rnacentral:lncRNA from 1 species
CCACCACCACCUCCUAUUCACAAAUCUCCAUCUCCACCUAAGAGUCCGUACAAGUCUCCACCACCAAAACCUUAUUUAUACAAGUCUCCUCCACCACCACCCCCUGUUCAUAAGUCUCCAGCUCCACCCAAGAGUCCACACAACUCUCCGCCACCGAAACCUUAUUUACACAAGUCUCCUCCACCACCACCUCCUGUUCACAAAUCCCCACCUUCACCUAAGAGUCCAUACAAGCACAAUUCUCCACCACCACCUUCACCUAACAGACCCUACAAAAACAAGUCUCCUCCAUCACCACCACAUAAUAUACCCUACAAGUGCAUUUCACCCCCACCACCAGUGUACAAAUCACCACCAUCACCGCCUCCCAUCUACGAGUCUCCACCACCACCACCACCGAAGAGUACCUAUGUUUACAAGUCCCCACCACCACCACCACCAAUGAAACCCUACAAGUACACCUCCCCACCACCACCAAAGAGUCCCUACACGUACACUUCUCCCCCUCCUCCUCAUCACUACUGAUCGAUAUCCCAUUAAGGUGUUAUAAAAGGUGAACCGACUAGACAAAAAUCCCACAUUACAUUUCUCUUAAACUUCUUUCAUUGCCGAGGACAAAUCAGAAUGGGUUUUCUUCUUCAUUAGGCUAUAUUUUGCCAAUUAAGCUUUACACCAAGAAAAAAAAAAGGCAUUAACUAUUAACAUCUAGUUAUUUUUCUUGCUACAGUAUGUCUCAUGCAUGCAUUGAGAAUACUUCCUGUAUCUUUGCAGGUAAGGAUUUGUUGAAAAAUAAAACAAGUAUGGGCUAACUGCAAUGUCCACGCAAAGAUAAUGAAAGCAACAAAACAUGAGAAACGACAAUGAACACAAAGGGACAUGUUAAAUUCUCACUAUAGAUCUUCAUGUUUUGAGAUAACAGAAGUUUGUGACUGCGUGAAAGAGGCCCAUGUUAGUAUGUGGCUAAUUAGUACGUGUAACAGAGCAAUCUUAGUAGGUGUUAAAGUUUUUAUGUUGUGUGUCUUAUGGUUCUUGAUCUCUUGCAAAUGCUGGGAUUAUCGAUUGGCACCUAAUGAAAUAUCAAAAAGUCUCUCUAAAUCAUGUUCCUCGUUGCUACAGUGAUUAUUUUGGCAACGAUUUGCUUGAUCUGCAUGCUCUUGCCGCUGCAUGCAUGAACGUCGACGACAAAAGCUACGCUUAUAUAAUCACAAUAAUUGGGAAAUACAUUAAUACCUUACCACCUAUUUGUACAUACAUCAAAUUUUACGUCACUUUGGACAACGUAAUUAGAAAUCAUGAAAAGUUCAACCAACUUGUUCAUUGUUCUUAUGCUGCGUUUGUAUGGUAACGUUGGAGAUGAAAUGAAACAAGGACGAUAUUGUUACCAUGAAAAUAGAAUUUGCGCUUCACUUGGAAAAAAAAAUGCAUAUAUUUCUGCCGCAUAAAAGGGUUGUGAACUCUCCAACCUGUAAUGGUAGCCUAAUAAUAUCAUUAAGUCCCCUCCCCCCCCCUCCCAAAACAAAAAAAUAAAAAGAGAAAAGAAAAGAAUACCAUUAAUUUCUUGAUAAGUUUCAAUUACUUUUUCCUUUCAAUGAUGGCUGAGUAAUUCAAGAACUCUAAUGAUCCAUGACUACAAUGUUAGAAAGAAUAAAUGGCCACUUACAAUCUGAAAAUCUUACAGAUUGCUGGUUUGCACCUCGAACAUCUACAUUAUAAUCAAUUUGCAGUAGAACUUUUUUUUCCUACGUAAUUAAUGUGCAGCCAGCAUCAAUUAACAAUGCCAUCAUCACACCAGCAACCAAAAACAAGUCAUACACGUUAUUUACAAGUUCUUCUUGGACAAAUUUUAUUCAAUUUUCUUAAUCAACUGAUAGCUAAUUCCAAUUGGUGACUUGAUCUAUAUACCUAGCUCUAUAUCGUUCACAAAAUUUGACUACAGUUGACAUUAUUGGAAAGUUCAUGUAUGUAAAUUGGCAACCAAAUCGAAGUUGCAAAUCAAAGUAUGGAGAGAAAUUAAGCUGGUUGCAGAUUUCGAGGAUGUAAAUAAUGGUGUUCACCCUAUAAAAUUUUGAAUGACACCUCUCUAUGUUUAGGUACGUUUCUGAAAAUUGUGACUCGUACACUCCAUUAUUGAAUGGAUCCUUUUGAUUAGAAAUUAUAAACAUAUAAGAUUUCACCAAACAAUGUAACGGUAGAAUGCAUUUACCAGCUAUAACCUAUCUAUUAUUCUCCGUGGUCCCUGCCAUUAUUUUCAGCAAUAACUAAAAGAAAUGCUUUCUUUUCUUCCAAAUUUUUUAAGCCCAUUAACGUCAAAGGACUAACUUGUAGUAGCUACCAGUAGAGGCCACUGACCACAGUGUACAACAAUGCACUUACAGGCCCAAAAGAUCUAGGAUUGCUUCUACGUAUGAUGAAACAGCCUUGAAGGAAAUUGUUUUCCUUUCACUGCUGAUAAAAAUUGAAGAAAUAAAUAUCACUUUGUACUUCUAAUAUUUCUAUCAGUUUUACUCCGUAGUUCUAAAUUUUAUGUUCAAUUCUUGCGACAAAUAUCAUAAAUCAUAGGAAAAUUGUUUUGAAUGUUCUUGAAGGUGGUUAGAAGCCAUGCGCGUAGACUCUUUCUUUUUUUAUCUUGGUUUCUCUUUAUCACGAAUACUAAUAUCAUCAUUUUUCACUGAUAAGAAUGAGGAACAUGGUGGUGCCCAUAAGCAUAUCUUUCGUCUGCUUCUCUAACAAUGUUUCUAGUUUGCGAUGAAUUAGUAAAUGUACGAUUAAUUGGUACAUUUGGAAUAUAAAGCAUUUAAAUGAAUGUUUUACUUGAAAGUACGAAUAUGCCCUAUUUGAUAAUUUAAUUCAGUUAAAUUUUAAUUAAUUAGGUGGUACUAAAUUUUCAUAAUAAUUAGCCAAUAUAUUGGUUAUGCAAAAUGAAUUAGUCAUAAUUAAAGGUAUGUCAGUGCUGAAAAAUUAUUCUAUUUCUUUUGUAAAGGUAAAAGUAAUUACAAAAAUUCUUCUCACCAGUCAAUAUAUAACAUUAAUAUCGUGGUGUGCUCAUACAACUUUUGACAACUUUUGAGAGGCAUUAGAUUUCAAUAUGCUCCCAAUAUCAAAAAGUGGGGUUGAUUUUUUUUUUUUUUUUUUGCUCAUUUUGAUUAGGAUUUUAUGCAUUGAAUCAAGCAAUGAUCCACUUACACUUAAAAGAGGCAAAAACUGUCUAAUAAACGGAAUAAACAACUAAAGUGAACACUGCAAGGAACACUUAGUAGGGUUGCUUUUAGAACUUCACCAAAAUUUUGGUGCUUGUACAUUUCAAAAGAAAAGAAAAAAGAAGAAGAAAUUAAAAUCGUUCAACCUUUAGCAUUAAAGAUGUAAGUGACCAGAUCAUGACUUUAGAAUGAUCCAUCUGAACAUGCAAGCAGUCGUCCAUGACUAAAAUCAGUUGAUCUUUCAAAGCCUCAUUUUCAUGUCAUUCCCAAAAUCAACUAAAGCUAGCACCAGUAUGACUUAAUUGAUAAACUGGGAUCCACUACAGAUAUCAAAGUCUGGAAUCAUUAUUAAAAAGUGGGCCAAAAAAGAAAUUUUUUCUAGCAUUAGAUUGUUCGAAAGUUAAUACUAGCACGCCAAUGUCUAUUCGUCUAUUUGGAUGACUCAACAAAGUCUCUGUGAAAACCGGUCCAAUAUGAAUAUUCUGUGCCUAAUUCGAUAAAAGAGAGGUUCCUCUUCAUAUUAUUUUGAAGGAAAAAAUGACUUUUGAUGCUCAAGAGUUUUCAAAUUUUGCCACUACAUCAAGUUGACUAGUACCUACCCAAGUAGUUGUCGGAAUGUGAUUUUUGUUAAAAAGCUUAAGAAAAGGAUUACUACAUUAUCCCUCCAAAAUUCAACCCUAAUUUAUUUAUUAAUCAUAUUUUUCUUUUCCUAGUUUCAAACCUAAUUAUAGACCAAUCUUAUGUUAUUUUGUUUAAAUCUUUCUAGAUUAAUUUUUUUAGAUGUUAGUGAAAUCGUGUUUUGGUGAGCAAAAUGUCACUAAUUAUGAGUGUAUUUGCAUUAAAGUGCAUGGUAAUUAAGCAAAAUGGGCACUAAGCCAAUACAUUAUACAACUGAAAUAUAAAGAAAAAAUUGUACAACUGAAGUAGUAGCAUUUUUCUCACAAAGUACCAUUACUGUUUUCUAGUGUAGCAUUUUCUCAGAAAACUCCCUUAGAGUUUAGAAUAAGCAAGUGCCUCUAAUUUAGUAUGUCCUUGUAGUACUGGAUGCAUUGCAUGGGAACGUCCUACUUCCCAUGACUUAUAAAAAUCAUAUAUACGUGAAUUUUCCAUCUCUUUUGCCGUCCCUCUUUCUUACACGUAAAACCAAAAUCACCUAACAACAUAUUUUAUAUAACCUGGCCUCCACUUCUCAUGUCAACUAAUAGGAAUCACAAUGAAGAUAAAAAUUAAACUUCACCCCAUAUUAUUGGAUCACACCAACACUACUGUUAAUUUUUAAUUGCUUUUCCUUUUUUCCCACCAUAUUAAAAUAUACUGUCCCACUUGAGGCUAAAACAUUCCACAACAAUGUCGAAAAUUUUCUGAUUAAUUUAAUUGUGAUGCACAUUUUAAUAUUGGUUAGACGGCUUCUGAUCAGAAGUCUAUAUUCUGGAUUAAGGCAAUCUUGAGGUAGAUGUAGUGGCAAUGUUCUUUGUUGAUUAAAUACUUUAGAAAGUCUGCACUGUAAAUAAAUGAAAAGUCAACUUAUACUUUAGAACCAUUUCCAAUCUAACUAAUUGUAAACAGCUCUGAGUUGUUUCUCUUUAAAAAUUUUGUGAAUUACUUGUAUACAUCAAUGAUUGAUUUGUUGUCUACUCCCACAACCAAAAAAAAAGAAAAAGAAAAAGAAAAAGAAAAGAUACAAAAUGUGUAGCAAAAGUCAAUAGUCAAAGUUGUAGUGUUAUAUACGAGUCCAAAAAUCAAAAGGAUUAAACUGAUAAAUAUAUCAGAGCCAAACAAUAUUGGACCAUAUGGAAGGCAUUGUUACUGUUGCACUCUUGUCCUGGUCCUCGUUAGAUGAGGGCGGAAUCCCUUUUGUCCACCGCUAAGUUGGAUGUCAACGUAGGAAUAAUGUUGACUUUUUCUUUCUUUCAUUCUGUUCUGUUGUUUUUUUUUAUCAAUUGUCAUCCCUACUCCUGCUUCCUACUCUAACUACGAGAAGGUUCAACUGAGCCUACAGGAGACCGAUGGGGAUAGAACCACCACCGGAUCAGACGAAUACACUACGCACCCGUCUGGAUUUGAAGCAGAGCCACAAGAGUGGCAUUUUGGUAGGAGGCAUUUUGGUGGGAGCCUCAAGAUUUGAACCCUUGCCUCCCACCCCACCAAUGUUUUAAGGGUUUGGUAGUGGUCACCAACCCAAGAGCUGGAUGGUUCAUUCUGUCCUGUUGUUAGGAAACUCUUUUUGUAAAUUUAGGGCAUUGAGAAGUAUGGCCCAACCAACUCUUUUAGUCUUUUAGGCGAGCAGGCUACUACAGAAAAUUGUCCGGCUGUAAGUUGAGAGGUCAAAACCCUAGAUUUGUUAAAUCUCUGGACUUGCAGUUAAUUCAAAAGAUGAAGAUGCUCUAAUACACCUUUCUCCAACUAUCUCUAGAUUCUCUUGGAUUAGGAGUAAGAAUAGAAAUAGAUUAACAAUUAUUGUGUCGACACAAAAAAAAUAAAUAUAAAAUGAUUUUGGAUGUGUGCCUUGAAAAUUUGCUCCUGUUGUUUCUGAUUGGAAAGUCUUUUGCAUCACAAAAAAUAAAAUAAAAUCCUGAAGAAGCUUGCCUUUUGCUCUCUUUCCAUUUCUUUCCGAGUUAGAUAAAACAUUUCAACACUCCGUUGCGGUAAGAUAUCUUAAGGUUCAACAUUAUUAGGAGGAAAAAUGGACUGGGUGGUUUGGGGGAGGGAGCGUAAAUAAGAGGUUUUAGAUUCAAACCCUUCCACUUAUACUAUAUAUAUAAAAAAAAGCUCCAUAUUACAUUAUUACUAGUGUUUUCUGCCCUAAAUAAACCACUUCCUUUUCUCUUCUUUCAUUGGAUUCUUUCCAAAUAUCGGUUCCCAAACGAGUUUAGAUCAAUUAUGAUAAAUAUAGGCACAUCUAUUUUGUGAGAGUACUUUUGAAGAAAUAGUUACACCUUGGAAUUAACGACAGGGAUGCCAUUCAUAAUGAAAAAAUAGUCUGAAAUUCGAGCUAAUCCAUAUAAAGUCAAAUUGUAGUCCUCACAUUAGUGGGAUUUGACAACCAAAAUCCUCCACUUGGAAGCUAAACUGUAGUCCUCAUAUUCGGCAACUUGUUGGUCAUCUUUUUUUUUCUUUUUUUUUUUAAAAGGUUUUGAAAACCAAUUAAAAAACAAGUAAUUCAUGAUUUUUUUAUAUCUUCAAUCAUUUACCUAUUAAAAAAACGACAUCUUCAAUCAUUUUAUAGCUUUCAACUUCCCCAUGUGAACCUUUUCAAACAGAAGCCACACAAUGGAGGAGGAAUAUUUGGAUGGUACUUUUCUCCUAAAAGGAGCUGGCUGUUGUAUAGUCAAUGUUCUAUCUGGGGAAGUAUCACCAUGGCAAUGAAUUCUUUUUUCCCUCUGUUUUUGGGUGAAUAUUCCCAGUUGCAGCAGGGGGCCAAUAUAUAUAUAUAUAUAUAUAUAUAUAUAUAUAUAUAUCCCACAUAAUAAAAGUGUCAUGAACUGGUCGUAAUCAUCGGAAUCAUACAUUCAUUGACUCGAGCUGUCAUCAAUGGCUCCUUCAAUUCCAUAAGGGCCAUUCCAAUUCACACUAGCUAGAGAAAAAGGUGAAAGAAGUACUUAGAAAAUGUCUUUUAUUGCUACGAUGCUAUUAUCUUCAAUGAUCAGCUUAAUAAUUUUCCUUUUAUAGAGCCAGUACCCGUACUCCUCACAUGUUGUAGAUUCUUGGUUUCAUGCUUCCAGCUGUUAACACAUUCUAUAAAUCUGAAUUUUACCUUGUUUGGAUUGCCAUUUUUUCACUCAAAACUUUUUAUGUUUUUCGUAAAUAUAUUUUCUAAUCACUUUUUUAUCUCAUAUAUAUCAAAUCAUUAUAGUACAUUAUUUUUACCAAAAAAAAAAAACUCAAGAAAAUAGCAAUCCAAAUGAGCUACAUCUUUCCAUUUUUAUUAUCCAACUAACGAAUAUGACAUCUUAUGUAUAGGUCAGUUAAAUAUUACAUUCUCUACCAAAUAUGAAUACAUAUCAUUUUUCUGAGCAAGUACAGAUUCUAUCCUUUUUAUUCCUGCCUAACAAAUUUGUGGUUGAACAUCUUCACAUGUGCUAUCAGAUCACAAGUUAUAGUAAUCUUCUGAAGAUAGUUUAAAUUUAUUCGUACAAUUUAGUCAAAAGAAGCAUAAUAAAUUCAAAAUUCACCAUGGUAUUAUUAAUGAGUACUUUCAAGGUCUCUAUUAUGGAAGCUUCCUUGGGUUGGUCAUGUAUACUAAUUAUUUAGUGUCAUGCACGCACGUCUAUGUUUUUCAGAGUGCUAAAGAUAAUAUUUUAUUGACGGCAGAUGAAAAUUAACCUUAAGCCGGCAACUUUUUUUUUUUUUUUUUAAUAAAAAAUUUUCAGUAAGUUAAGACGACUCCUGAAACUAUAUUAAGCUACUAAAAUACUACGAAAUUUUUGUCUUUGUUCCAGUGACUUCAGAAGCAUCAAAAGUAGGCGGGGCACACAGGCUUCUUCUACGAGGUUUAACUAUGCAAUUAGAGUCAAAAGAAUUCCUCUCAAGAUUAAUUGACAUGCCAAUUAAGAACUAAAUAUUGGUAUCAUCAUUUCAUGAAAUACAAGAUUACUGUUUCAAUAUAUGUAGACAUUAACUUUCUAUGCCUGAUUUAUUAUAAGAAAAAUCUAAAUAAUUGGCCUUAUAUGGAUUGUAAUUUUUCACCUAGAAAUUUUAUAUUUUUUGUUAACACAUUUUUUAAUCACCUUUUUAUCUCAAUACAACAAUUUGAUACAAUUUAUUUUUCUACAAAAAUUUAAAAAAAUGGUAAUCCAAACGGAUUGUUAAACAUUUCAGUAGCAAUUUAUCAAUUACCGAAGACGAAAAAUUGGUUGCCCCUCUAUACAAGGGAAUUCUUGAUCAUUCCACAUUCUGGUCUACUAUAAGGAGAAAUCAACCUAAACAUUUCGAUAGCAAGUUUUCAAUGACAGAAGAUGGAAAAUUGACUGCCCCUUUGUGCGAGGGGAUUCAUGAUCUUUCCUCGUUCUAGUCUACUUGUCAAUUCUUGGAAAAAAAAAAAAGAAUACUCAUUUCUAAAAUAUACAGCCUCUUCAUUUGCACUAUCCUGCAGUCAAAUUGAUAGGCAUAUAUUCCGAAACUCAGACACAAGCAAUUUUGCUAGGAAAAUUCACUGUUCAAUAACCAACUCGAUGCAUGCCUUACUGCAUUAUAAAUUUUGUACCCUUCCAGCACAAACCCCCCCUUUUUUUUUUUAUUUAUUGUAGCUUUUUCAUCUAGGUAAGAAUCUCCCAACUCAUUUCUUUAGAAACCCUGUAUUUAAUCCCACCUUUAAAAGUCUCCACAUGUUUCUUUAACAUUUAAAACUAUUCACCGACUCGCAAUUGACGUCAGAAAUUCUAAGAGGAAUUCUACUAUACUCCCAGAUUGGCCAUGAUGAGAAAAUGGUGAUUUUGAAUUAUUACAUUAUAACCUCCUUUUUUUUGGCAUGAAAAAGUUUGGGUAGAUUAGGCUUUGAUGAUCACCACUAGUCAAAAUAUACUCCCGAUACCAUAGAAUACUUACAAGUGUUCUAAUAUAUCGCUCACUAACACAGUUCUUAUAUCGACAGUAAAAUUCAAACAUAUAAUGUUUUGUAAGAAAGUAGUCCGAACUUACCAAUUCAACCAACUUGUGUUGACGAUGUACAUGUCUUCUUGACAAGAAAAGGAUGGACAAAAGAUAGUCAAACAAUGUCUAACACUUUUUUGGAGACAAAAAAGCAUUGCUAAAUCAAGCAUUUACACAAAAUUUCAAAGUCACCGCUAUGCUAAGUUGCAAAGUUAUGCAAACGCUUAAUAUUUUACCGUUCAGGAUUUAACAAUUUAGAGCAUAAUCCUCAAACAACGACAAUUAAAUAAUGAAUGGUCACGAUUGCCAAAUCAAAGUACAGUUCGACGACAACCCAUUACAACGUGUACAAGAUAAUUAACUUUUCCAAUGUUGUUUAAAGAAUUUGAAGAGACUUACUACGCUUACAUAUUGCAAGUCCUAGGGCUUAAAAAUGAAGAUAUGAGGGCUAUAUAAAGAGGGCUAGAAGCUACCUGGAAGCAUAUUCGCCUAAAACCAGAUUUUGUUGCAAUGGGGAGCAAAGCAAUGCGGUCUAGGCUGGCUCCUCUUCUUACCACCGUUUUGGUGGUAUUCGUCGCUCUUGGCUUGCCUUUAGAGACUGCAGCUGACUAUUACAAGUAUUCAUCUCCUCCUCCUCACAACUAUUCCUCACCACCACCUCUACUGUAUUCACCACCACCUCCUAUUUACAAGUCACCUCCACCACCUUACCACUAUUCCUCACCGUCACCUCCAGAGCAUUCACCUCCACCACCGCCUCCAGUUUACAAGUCACCCCCGCCACCUUACCACUACUCCUCACCACCACCUCCAGUGCAUUCGCCUCCUCCACCACCUUACCACUAUUUAUCACCACCACCUCCAGUGCAUUCUUCUCCACCACCACCGGUUUACAAGUCACCUCCACCACUAUCUCCAUUUUACAAGUCCCCACCACCACCUUACCAUUAUUCCUCGCCACCACCUCCAGUGCAUUCACCUCCACCGCCACCAGUUUACAAGUCACCUCCACCACCUCCUCCAGUUUAUAAGUCCUCGCCAUCACCUUACCAUUAUUCCUCACCACCACCUCCAGUGCAUUCACCCCCACCACCACCAGUUUACAAGUCCCGCCACCACCUUACCAUUAUUCCUCACCACCACCUCCUGUGCAUUCACCUCCACCACCAUUUACAAGUCACCUCCACCACCUCCUCCAGUUUACAAGUCUCCACCACCACCUUACCAUUAUUCCUCACCACCACCUCCAGUGCAUUCACCCCCACCACCACCAGUUUACAAGUCCCGCCACCACCUUACCAUUAUUCUCACCACCACCUCCAGUGCAUUCACCUCCACCAAUUUCCACCAAGUCACCUCCACCACCUCCUCCUCCAGUUCCUACCAAGUGCAUUCCACCAACACCACCUUACCAUUAUUCCUCACCACCACCUCCAGUGCAUUCACCCCCACCACACCAGUUUACAAGUCCCGCCACCACCUUACCAUUAUUUCUCACCACCACCUCCAGUGCAUUCACCUCCACCACCACCGGUUUACAAGUCACCUCCACCACCUCCUCCAGUUUACAAGUCCCCGCCACCACCUUACCAUUAUUCUCACCACCACCUCCAGUGCAUUCACCCCACCAUCACCAGUUUACAAGUCUCGCACCACCUUACCAUUAUUUCUCACCACCACCUCCAGUGCAUUCACCUCCACCACCACCGGUUUACAAGUCACCUCCACCACCUCCUCCAGUUUACAAGUCUCCACCACCACCUUACCAUUAUUCCUCACCACCACCUCCAGUGCAUUCACCCCAACCAUCACCAGUUUACAAGACACCUCCACCACCUCUUCUAGUUUACAAGUCUCCACCACCACCUUACCAUUAUUCCUCACCACCACCUCCAGUGCAUUCACCCCCACCACCACCAGUUUACAAGUCUCCGCCACCACCUUACCAUUAUUCCUCACCACCACCUCCUGUGCAUGCACCUCUACCACCAAUUUACAAGUCACCUCCACCACCUCCUCCUCCAGUUUACAAGUCUCCACCACCACCUUACCAUUAUUCCUCACCACCACCUCCAGUGCAUUCACCCCCACCACCACCAGUUUACAAGUCUCCGCCACCACCUUACCAUUAUUCCUCACCACCACCUCCGUGCAUUCACCUCCACCACCACCGGUUUACAAGUCACCUCCACCACCUCCUCCAGUUUACAAGUCCCCCCACCACCUUACCAUUAUUCCUCACCACCACCUCCAGUGCAUUCACCCCCACCACCACCAGUUUACAAGUCUCCGCCACCACCUUACCAUUAUUCCUCACCACCACCUCCUGUGCAUGCACCUCCACCACCAAUUUACAAGUCACCUCCACCACCUCCUCCUCCAGUUUACAAGUCUCCACCACCACCUUACCAUUAUUCCUCACCACCACCUCCAGUGCAUUCACCCCCACCACCACCAGUUUACAAGUCUCCGCCACCACCUUACCAUUAUUCCUCACCACCACCUCCAGUGCAUUCACCUCCACCACCACCGGUUUACAAGUCACCUCCACCACCUCCUCUAGUUUACAAGUCCCCGCCACCACCUUACCAUUAUUUCUCACCACCACCUCCAGUUCAUUCACCCCCAUCACCACCAGUUUACAAGUCUCCGCCACCACCUUACCAUUAUUCCUCACCACCACCUCCAGGGCAUUCACCCCCACCACCACCAGUUCACAAGUCUCCGCCACCUCCAGUCUACAAGUAUAAGUCACCACCACCUCCUUCCCCAAUUUACAAGUCACCAUCACCACCUUCUCCAGUAUACAAAUUACCUCCACCACCUCCUCCAGUUUACAAAUCUCCACCACCAUCAAUUUAUAAAUACAAGUCUCCUCCACUACCUCCUCCAGUGUACAAGUCAUCACCACCACCUGCUUACAAGUCUCCACCUCUUCCAGUUUACAGUUCCCCACCACCACCAAUCUACAAGUCUCCACCUCCACCCUACCAUUACUACUACAAUUCUCCUCCUCCUCCUCCUCGUCACUACUAAGCAAUUGUAUGCAAGUUUUUGAGGUAAUAACGCUUAACCAAUAAACUAACUUUCGCAUGAUAAAACUUAUCUCUAUCAAGACAAACUGCCAUGUGUAUCAUGCCAAAUACGUACACCUAGAUCCAUGAAAAUGAAUGGUAGAAAAUUUUCUUAAGAACUAAGGAACAGCAUUAGUAUUCCCUCUGCUUCCAAAAACUUGUGUAUUAAAUAGAUUAAUGAAUUGUUUAACAUGCUCAUUUACUUGAAAAUACACAAUACCCAUAACCUACUGAAUUUUUUGCAGGAAAAGGGAAAGACAAUCUGUGUUUGAGAGCUUCAUGAAGAUGUUGAAGAAUAAGAAUAAAAGCCCAAUGCGAGGAUGUUUCAAGUUUUUCUAUGUUUCCACUUUAAUUUGUAAAUUGAAUUUUGUGACUCAAUUAAUUCCCUGUUUGUGGGGUACGUGUUGUUUUACGUACCAUGCCGUACAGGUUUGUAAGGAUUUCUAUCCUAUUGGCAAAAGUCGGUUCCAUACAAUUAAUCAAUUCAUUUCACUUCUAUUGGCUCUACUAUUUAUGCAUGUUACGACAUUUUUUCUCUCUUUCCCUUAUAUUUUGCCUUUAAUAUUAUUGAAUCAAUAUUAAUAAUGGGCCUUUUUCUUAAAAUUAUACUAUUAUACAUAGGUUGUUUGGUCUAACGCUAAAUUCAUGUUUGUCUUUCUUUUAUUCCCUUUACAUCUCAAAGUAUACUAUAGUUUGUAAUCAUUGUGGUGAUGAUAUUGCCAGCUGGUACUUAUAGUUUAAGGCAGAGACAUGAUAUUAACAACUAUCUCAUUGAAACAUAAAGAAAAAUCAUGACAAGUGUGAGUCUUGGUUAAUGCACAAUUUGUUAGUGGAAUUUAUAUUUAUAAAACUCAAAAAAAAAUUUUGACAAUGCUAUUACUAAUUAAUUAAGGACUUUAUUGCUAUAAUUUAUCGCUUACUAGUUUAAACUAUAAAUGAUCUCAAUACUUUUCUCCAUGAUGUCGAUUUCUUUAGAUUACGAAAGGGAAAAAUUAGUGACAUAUCCCUUACUGAUUACAACAUCAGCAAAAAUUAGUUAUAAAUUUUUCCGGUGGUUUUAAAUCCCUCGGGCACUAAGAUUUUUUGCACAUCGAGUGAAUUGAGGAACAUAGGCAAUUCGUUCUGCAUACCAAGUCCUUGUUUAAGAUGCAAGUACUAAAAUGCAUCCACUUCAUUAAUUUGGGAAAUUGCCAUAGUUUUUUUUAAGCAUUUUGAUUUUUUACAUGAUUCAAAAUUUUCUUAUUGGAUACAAUCACUUUGUAUCAAGAACAUUUUCAAUCAUCCUUUUUAUCUUCUCAAUAAGAAAAUAAAAAUUUAUUCAUGCUUUUCUAACAUAUCCAAUCAUUGAUCUGAAAAAUAAAGAAUUUAAAAAAAAAGACAUUUUCAAUCAUUGCUUACAGGGCAACUUCCCCAUGUGAACCUCUUCAAACAAAGCCAAUAAUAUGAAGGAACAUCUAAAUACACUUUUGCCCUAAAGGCUGGUUGCCUUGGGGUCAAAAUUUAACCUUCGGGAGUAUAAUUACCCUGCCAAAUUUAUUAUUUUUUAUGGGUAUAUAGUUCCAAUUUUUCCUCCUGUUAAGCUUAUAAAUAUAUUAUCACCCAGAAAAUAAAGGAAUCUUGAAUACUAACAUGUCCAUUUACUUGAGUUGUCAUCAAUUUGGCUACUUCGAUUCCAUGAGGGCAAUCCAAUUCACACUUGCUAGAGAAAAUGGUGAUAAAGGCACAAAGAAAAUUAUAUGUAAUAUUGAUUGGUAGUAACCACCUUGUAUUGAUCCCACUAUUGUGGAUACUCGUGCUCUUAUGAAAAAAAAUUAUAAAAAAUUAGCAAAAUUUAAAAGAACAAAGUAAAUUUAUUCGUACAAAUCAGUCAAAGAAGUAGCAUUUUAAAGACCAUGAUGAAAUUAAUACUUUCAAGGUCUCUAUUAGGAAGACUUCCUUUGUUGGUGAAACUACACUAGGUACGGUUACAUGCAGAUGUUUACUGUUUUGGUACCUAAUUUCCUUGCCUUGAGUUGGGUGCAGAUGUUUAUAUUACAAAUAGAUGGUAUCAUAAAUUUGUUGUAUUAACGUCUGUUCUUUUUUUUCUUCCUUAAGUUUUUUUCUUUAUUCUCGUGACUUCAAAAAUACGAACUCAAGAAAUUAACUGCUUCGACAUUAAGGUAUAACUUCACAACUAGAGCCAAUAGAAAUCGUCAAAUGAUUUUUUGACAUCCAAAUUAAGCAAUAAAUUUUGUUUUCAUUUCACGGGAGAUUUUAUAGUUUCUUUUGGGUAUCAUACCUACAAGUGAUAAUUGUCAUUGGAUAGUGAAAGAAGUGUUAAUGAUUGUAAGAUUAAAUAUUGAAAAUUUAAACUAUUUAUCUUUAUUGAGAGAUACAACUUAAAGAAUCGUAUCCAAAAGAGACUAUAGAAUUUUCUCUGUUUUUCAUCAUCUGUAGACAUAAACUUUCUACGGUUGAUGUACUAUAAGGAAAUUUUGCCUAUACAAUGUGAUACCAUUUUUUCAAAAAGACAAGAUGGCAAAUUGCCCCCUUGAACGGAAAAAAUCAUGAUCUUUCCUCAAACUAGUCUACUUGUCAAUUCUUUGAAAAAGAAUACACUGCCCCGCAGAAUUCUAGAAAGUUAGGCAAAACUAGACAAGUUGACAGCUAUAAUCAUACCCAAGAUCAGGAACAAGCAGUUACACAUUUCAAAAUUCGCUGCUGCAACAACUAAUUUGAUGACUUACAACACUAAAUGGUCAAACUUUGAAUGGCAAUGAAUCUUUUGUUGUACAUCAUGAUGUAAUUUUCAUGUUACAUAAUAGAUUGAUAUCUAUGUUCUUUAAAUUAUCAUAAUAAUUAAAUUUAACUGAUAAAAAGAACACAUAUCAAUACACAAAAGUGUGUAACGUGAAUGUUAUAUUAGUGUAUUGCAGAAGACCUAUAGUCUCUUCACAUCUCUUCCUGCAUCUUUUAUGUUUUAUUACCUCCAAAAGCCUUUACAGGGUCUUUACCCUAAAAAUCAAUUCACCGACUCGCAUUUGAUGUCAGAAAUUCUUAAGACGAAUUCUACUUUACUCAAAGAUUGACUGUUAAUAAUGAGACAACGACCAUUUUGUAUUAUUACACCGUCCUUCUUGAUAGGCAAAAGAAAUAGAGAGGAAAGCGGGUCCGUAUAUGGUCUUUUAUUCAUAGAUAAUACAACAUUACGCCAUCGAGCAUUCACACAAUAUUUCAAAGUCAUUGCAUGCCUAAAGCCCCGCUUGAUAAUCCAAUUUCAUACUUAAAUUUAAUGGAUUCAAAUUUUAACACAUUCAAAUUGUUUGAUAACAAAAAAUUGAACGUCUAAAUUAAUUAAGUAACACUAAAUUUUUUAGACAAAACUUGCUCCCAAAAUUAAGUGAUAAGCUAUAUCACUUAUCACUGAAUGUGAUAUGCAUUCAAAUGUAUUAUAUUUAAUACUUAAUAAUUUAAUAAUUUAAUGGAUUCAAAAUUCAGAUUUUAGAUUUCAGUUUUAUCAAACAUACCCUAAGUUGCAAAAUAAUACCAAAACUUGUUAUUAUAUAGCUUGAGAUUCAAAAAUUUAGAGCAUAAUUCUCAACCUAACACAAUUGAAUAAUGAAUAUUCACGAUUGUCAAAUCUAUCAAAGUACAAUUUGAGGACAACCCAUUCCAACGCGUACACAAUUUCUCACUUUUCUAAAGUUGUUGAGAGCUGUUAAAAGAGAUUUACCAUGUUUACAUCUUCCAAGUCUUGGGAGUAAAAAAUGAAGCCACCGAGUGCUAUAAAAAGGGGGCUAGAGGCUGCCUAGAAGCAUAUCAGCCUAAAACAAGAAUUUGUAGUAACAAUGGGGAGCAAAGCAAAAGCAACGGGGUCUAGGCUGACUCCUCUUCUUACCACUGUUUUAGUGGUAUUUGUCGCCCUUGGCUUGCCCUUGGAAACUGCAGCUGAUUAUUACAAGUAUUCAUCUCCUCCUCCUCCUCCUUACCACUAUUCUUCACCACCACCUCCAGUGUAUUCACCUCCACCAACCCCUGCUUAUAAGUUACCCCCACCAUCUCCUCCAGUUUACAAGUCCUCACCACCACCUUACCACUACUCACCACCUCCGGUGUAUUUACCUCCACCAUCUCCAGUUUACAAGUCACCACCACUACCCCCUCCGGUAUACAACUCCCCGCCUCCACCAGUGUACAAAUACAAGUCCCCACCACCACCUCCUCCAGUUUACAAAUCUCCACCGCCACCAGUUUACAAAUACAAGUCACUCCCACCACCUCCUCCGGUAUACAAGUCUCCUCCGCCACCUGUUUACGAGUACAAGUCUCCUCCACCACCUCCUCCAGUGUACAAGUCCCCACCACCUCCAGUUUACAAGUACAACUCACCUCCACCUCCUCCCCCAGUUUACCUGUCUCCACCUCCACCCUAUCAUCACUACUACGGUUCUCCUUCUCCUCACCACUACUAAGCAAGUGCAUAAGUUUUGAGGUAAUAAUACCUAUCCAAAACUUUAUCAACACAAACUGCCAUGUAUAUCAUGCUAAGGACGUACACUUGAUCCAUGAAAAUGACUAGUAGAAGAUUUUUUUUAAGAACCAAAGAAAUACAUUAUUUUUUCGGUCUGUUUUCAAGAAUUUGAGCAGUAUACAGAUUAAAGAGUGUUUUUUUUUUUGUAAACUUGCUUGUCAACUUAAAAAUGCACAUAGCUGAAAGCCAACUGAAUAUUUGCAGGCAAAGGAGAAGGCAAUCGGUGUUUGAGACCUUCAAGAAGAUGUAGAAGAAUAAGAAUAAAAGCCCAAUGCGAGGAUGAUUCCAAGUUUCUACGUUACCAUUUCUACAUCUAAAUUGACUUUAGCUCCUGAGUUCCAUGUUUAUGGGGUUUGUACCGUUUUACGUACCAUGCAGUACAUGCUUGCAAGGUUUUCUGUCCUGUUGGCAAACUGCAGGUCCAUAUAAUAAAUGAAUACUAUUUACAUUACGACACUUUUCUCUUUUUCUCUUAUAUUUUGUCUUUAAUAUUGUUGAUCAUUUUUUUUUUAUCAAAAGCAUCAAAUGCUUAGGUAAUUUGGUCUAAUGCUAAUUGUUUUACUUUUAUUUUUCACCUACACCCCUUUUCAACUCAAAGGAUGCUAUAGUUUGUGAUAAUUGUUUAAGACCGAAGCAUGAUACUAAUAAAUAUCUCAUUGAAAGUCAAGGAAACUAACAUUAGGAAAAGUUUAAAUCUUGAUUUGAUGAAACUAUUUAUUCGUGGAAUUUAGAGAUACAAAACUCAAAUUGUGACGGUGUUGUUGCUAAAUUAUUAAGGACAUUAUCACCAUUAUUUUUCCCUGAUCACUAGUUUCAACUGCAAUGAUCUCAAUCUUUUUGUGACUAAUUCUUUCCUUAAUAAUUUAUAAAGACAAAACUCACAAAGAAUAUGUGACUAAUUCUUUCCUUUCGUCUUCUAAAGAAAAUGCCAACUGUUAGUUUAUCAAGGGGAAAAAGGAUCGACAUCAGUUAUUAUUGAAACUAGUAAGGAAUAAAUAAUGGUGAUAAUGUCCUUAAUAAUUUAACAACAGCACCAUCAGAAUUUGACUUUGAGCUUCGGUCUUAAACAAUGAUCACAAACUACAGCAUCCUUUGAGUUGAAAAAGGAAGUAGGUGAAAAGAAAAGUAAAAAAUACAAUUAGCAUUCCCUCAAAUUGUAGAAAGUUAGGUAGCAUUAUAGACAAGUUGAUAGCGGCAAUUUUACAUUUCAAACUUCACCUAUUCAAUAACUAAUUCGAUGGCUUGCUACAUGGUCAAUCUUUGGACCCCUUCCUGCCUCCAGAUAUCCCUUUCCUCAAUCAGGGGCUUCUACAAUUACCAGUUUCAAUUGUAUGGUAUAGUGUAAAUAUCAACAAAUUAGAUGUAGAUGCUAACAUAAUAAAUGUGAAUGCUAAGACAGCAACAUACAAUCGAACCUGCAAUUGUAUGAACCCCAAUCUCGCUUCCUAGUCCACCAUCUUUCUCUAGGUAAUAAUCUCCCUUCUAAUUUAUUCACAAAAUGCACCUUUCAUCACCUCCAAUAGCGUCGACAUGAUCUUUACCCUAGAAGACUAUUCACCGACUCUCAAUUGACGUCAGAAAAUCUAAGAGUAAUUCUACUUUACCCUAAGAUUGAUAUCAACAAGACAAGGACAAUUUAGAAUUAUUACACGCCUCUUCUUAAUAGGAAAAAGAAAUAGAGAAGAAAGUCAGGCCAGGUCUAAUUUCUUUUCAAAGGCAAUACAACAUUACGAAAUCAAGCAUUCAUUCAUACAAAUAUUUCAUAGUCACCGGUUUGCUGAGUAGAAAAAUUUAGACAAAAACUUAAUAUUAUAUUGUUUAAGAGUUAACAAUUUAGAGCUUAAUCUCCUUGUACUUUGGAGUUAACAAUUUAGAGCUUAAUCUCCUUGUACUUUGGACUAAACUUGAACGUGAAAGGAAAUCCCAAAACCAUAUUGGGCAUGAAUUCACACUUAAUAUACCCAAUAAAAGAUGGCGACUGGUGAAAGGCAGUGGAGACUGGUGGAGAGAUUUGAGGAAUAGAAGCAGACGGAAAAGCAACAAAUUUUUGCCGAAAAACGGUCACUUUCAUGGUUAAUUUUGCUACUCUCCAAUUGUACUUGACCAAUUACAACAAUUUCAUGGAGUUUGAUACGUGAAAAGAAUUUUUUAUAAAUUUUAUUUUGAUCCAUAAUGUUAUCUUUACAUAUAUAAAACAUUUUACAAUUUUGAUUUUGGCGCAGCUAACUUUUGGUUAACAAAAAUGCUCAUGUUUAAAAAACCAGAAAUAAAACAAAACAAGAAACAAAAGAAAUAAGAGGGUAGCAUAGACAUUUUGGAUUUUUCCGUUAAUUUGGAUGAUUUCCACCCACGUUCUAAUUUAAUCCAAAACACAAAGGAAUUACGUAGAGGUUUUAAAUAAUCAGGGAGCUUCAUGAUCGAACCCCAAACCACGUGAUAGCAUACAAGAGUUCUAUUUCACUAUCGGUAGACAAAGACUUUCUAUGGUUGAUGUACCGUAGGAAAAAAUCUGCCUAUACAACGUGAUAGCAUUUUUUCAAAAACACAAGAUGGAAAAUUGCCCCCUUAAACGUGGAAAUUCAUGAUCUUUCCUCGAACAAAGAAUACUCACGCCUAUUCAAGAUGGAAAAUUGCCCCCUUAAACGUCUAUUUGUCAAUUCUUGAAAAAAGAAUACUCACGCCUAAAACACGGCCUCUUCAUCUGCAGAAUUCUAAAAAGUUACGUAAACUCUAUAAACAAGUUGAUAGGUACAAUCGUACCCAAGAUCAAGUACAGAUAGUUGUACAUUCACUGCUGCAAUAACUAAUCUGAUGACUUACAAACAUAUCAUGGUCAAUCGUUGAAUGGUAAUGAGUCUUUUGUUAUGCAUUAGUAUUAGUGUGUACACUCUAAUAGAUUGAUACUUAUACUCUUUAAAUUAUCAUAAUAAUACCCUUAAUUAACUUUAACUCUUAAAAAGAAUACGUGUUAAUACACGAGAGUGUGUAACCUGAAUUGUUACUUAUACAUUAGUGUGUAAUAGAUAGGGAUGGCAGUGAGGGCGAGUGCCCGCGGGGGGCUCUCGGGGCGGGGGCGGGGGAGAAUUUUUUCCCCCCGUUUAGAAACGGGGCAGGGGACGGGGGAGUAUACCCCCGCCCCAUCCCCCGCCCCGCCACCCGCAAAAAAAAUUAUAUAUAUAUAAUUAUAUAUAAUAUGUAAUUUAAUUAGUUAUAAACUUAUGAUAAUGAUAUUAUUAGUUAGAUGUAUUAUAUAAUGUAUAUUAGUGUAUGUAAUAUAAUUAAUAUUAUCAAUUAUACGAAUAAUUAGACAUGUCCACUAAUAGAGUUUAUUAAUUAGUUAUACUAAAUUUACUAAUACAUUUGUACUAAAUUUCUAAUUACACUUAAUAGAAUAACACUUUUUUCUAAAAAAAAAAGCACAAACACAAUAAUGAAUUAGUGAUUGUAUUUGUACCAAAAGUGAAAACUUAACUAUUUUAGUUGUAUUUAUUUCAUCAUGUUGGAUUGUAUUCAAAUAAUUUUUGUUUGAUUGUUUUUAUGAGUUUCAAUUGUAAAAUUAAAAUGAAUAAUAACUUGAUGAUGUGUUGAUAUUUUAGUACUUGAUUAUUUAUUGAUUUAACUAUAAUAAAAUUUUAUUUUAUUAAAAUUUAACUAUAAUAAAAUUUUAUUAACCAAACGAGUUAUUAAUCCCGCGGGGGCACCCACGGGGGAAGCGGGGCGGGGCGGGGGAGUGGGAGGCGGGGGACGGGGCGGGGGUGGGGGGAGUUGUAGGUAGCGGGGCGGGGGAUGGGGGAGGGGUCCCCCGCCCCAACCCCGCCAUCCCCCGCCCCGUUGCCAUCCCUAGUAAUAGACUGGCAAGCAUUGUGGUGGUCAUUGAGAACUUACUGGAGAAAUAGUCCUAUAAGCUGUUCAAUGAGCAAUCACAACUUGCUAAUUGGAUGACUAAUAUAGCUCUAGCUGUAAUGUUUUAAUUAAAUUACAUCACUAACGUUGGGAUGACUUUUUAACCAAAAAAAAAUGCCUUAGUUCAAGCUUUUCCCUUUAUUGUGCAUUUUUUAAAGCAUUUGAUAGGCACUGCAAAUCUGUCAUUUUGGACAUUUUAUUAUUGACUAACAAUGAAAGCCGUGACGUCUACCCAUAACCAACACAAGAUUAAAUUAAUAUUAGAAAAAAUAAUUGAGUAAUUGGAAAAAAAAAAAGAGACUCAUUUUCAUUGAAACCCACCGACAAACUAAACGUGUCCAUGGCUUUUGAAUAGUGCAUUCAACGUUUAAUUGUAUAGUCCAGUUCAUUGCAGAUUACAUGGAGUAAAGAUUGUGCUCUUUCCUUUUUCACCCCUUUUGGAAUCGAUACUGUGGAGAAUUGGGUUUUUCCCUUCUUUUUUUCUUUUCUUUCCUUCUGUGCUUUGCAAAACAUAGGUAAAAAUAUGAAAUCCGAAGCAUUCUUUAAUUGGGAUUAAGUAUUGUUGUUGAAAUUAAAAAGAAAAAAGAAAGAACAACAAAAUUCCCAAUCUGGGUUGAUUGUUGAGCUCUAGAUUGGUUGCAUCGUGCUUCCAUAGAAGCUCUCUUAGUGUGAUACACUGCUUUCAAUCAGUUUAACACGGGAAAAAAAAAAAAAGAGAUGAAAAGCAAAUUUGGUGGGGAUAAUUUCAGAAACCUCCCCUGAAGAUUUUGACUAUUCUACUGGUCUCCCUUCAGAUUUUAAAAAUUACACUAAUCUUCCUUGAAGUUAAUUAUCUUGUAACAUUUAAAUUCAAUCAAUAAUUUAAAAAAUGAUAUUAUGAGAGAGAAAAUAAUGAUUUUAUCAUUGCCCCCCAUCUUACUACAUUAUUUAAUUAAUUUAAUAGCAACCCACACAUUAAAGAAAAAUAUUAAAAUUUGUUGUUUAUCAUUAAAGAUCAAAUCGCUUAUAACAUCAAAUAAUAGUAUAUUAUUUAUAUUUUUCACUCAAUAUAAUAUCCAAAUUACUCUUUUCAAUUACAUACCCAUUGUUAGACAAUCAACAACAAAUAACCAAAAAAUUUGCAACCAAAAUAUUACAAAAAAAUAAACUUUAACAUAUAAAUAUUCUUAUCAACAUAUUAAAGUUAGUUACUGAAAUUUUUAUGCUGUUAAACUUCACUCUUUUUGGUUACAGAUUUUUUUGAUUAUUUGUUAUUAAUUAUGUUUGAUGAUGGAUUUAUAAUUGAAAAGAACAAUUUGAAACUUACAUUAAGUAAAAUAUAUAGAGUGAUAUACUAUUUUUUAUAACAUAUGUGAUUCAAUCCUUCUUGAUAGGAUUGGUAAUAGAGGUAGAGGGGGGAGCCGGCUGCAUCCGGUCUACUUUUCAUAGAUAGUACAAUAUUGCGAAAUCGAUCGCAUUCACGCAAUAUUAUUUCCAAGUCAUUGCAUGGCUAAGCUGCAAAAAAAGUACGAACACAUGUUAUUAUAUAGCUUACGAUUCAAAACUUUAGAGCAUAACCCUCCACCUAACACAAUUGAAUAAUGAACAUUCACGUUUGUCAAAUCUGUCAAAGCACAGUUUGAGGACAACCCAUUCCAACCUGCAAAAGAUUUUUUACUUUUCUAAAGUUGUUGAGAGCUGUAAAAAGACUUACCAUGCUUGCAUCCUCCGAGCCUUGGGAGUUAAAAAUGAAGGCACUGAGUGCUAUAAAAAGGGGAAUAGAGGCUGCCUAGAAGCAUAUCAGCCUAAAACAAGAAUUUGUAGUUAAGAUGGGAAGCAAAGCAAAAGCAAUGGGGUCUGGGCUGACUCCUCUUCUUGCCACUGUUUUAGUGGUGUUUGUUGCUCUUGGCUUGCCCUCACAAACUGCAGCUGAUGAUCACUACAAGUAUUCAUCUCCUCCUCCUCCUUACCACUAUCCCUCACCACCACCACCAGUGCAUAUACCUCCACCUCAUCCUGUUUACAAGUACAAAUCUCCACCACACCCCCAGUACAAGUAUAAGUCACCACCACCACCUCCUCAUCCGGUAUACAGUCUCCUCCGCCACCACACACCCAGUUUACAAGUACAAGUCACCACCACCACCUCCUCAUCCGGUACCACACCCAGUUUACAAGUAUAAGUCUCCUCCGCCACCAGUUUACAAAUACAAGUCUCCUCCACCACCACCUCCAGUGUACAAAUACAAGUCUCCACCACCACCAGUUUACCACUACAAGUCUCCACCACAGUUUACAAAUACAAGUCUCCACCACCACCCCCAGUUUACAAAUACAAGUCUCCACCACCACCAGUUUACCACUACAAGUCACCACCACCUCCUCCCCCAGUUUACAAAUACAAGUCUCCACCACCUCCUCACCACUACUAAGCAAUUGCUUCUGAGGUAAUAACACUUGUUCAAUAUACCCACUUCUGCAUGAUAAAGCAUAUCUCUAUCAACACAAACUGUCAUGUCUAUCAUGCUAAGUGCCUUCACUUCAUCCACCAAAAUGACUGCUAGAAAAUUUUUUUUAUGUUACCAAAGAAAGGCAUCAUUUUUUCCCUCUGUUAUCAAGAACUUGUACAGUAUAUAGAUUAAAGAGUAUUUUUUUAACUAGCUUAUCAACUGAGAAAUGCAUAUAGCUGAUAGCCAGCUGAAUAUUUGCAGGCAAAGGAGAAGGAAACCAGUGUUUGAGACCUUCUUGAAGAUGUAGAAGCAUAAGAAUUAAAGCCCAAUGUGAAGAUGAUGAUUUCAAGUUUUUCUACGUUACCAUUUCUUUAUCUAAAUUGGUUGUAGCGCCUUAGUUCCUUUGUUUAUGGGAUUUGUAUCGUUUUACGUACCAUGCAGUACAUGUCAUGUUUGUAAGGUUUUCUAUCCUGCCGGCAAACCGCAGGUUCCAUGUAAUAAAUCAAUACUAUUUAUAUUACGACACUUUUCUCUGUUUCUCUUAUAUUUUGUCGUCUUUAAUAUUCUUAAUCAUAUUUUUAACAAAAAUAUUCAAACACUUAGGCAAUCUGGUCUAAUGCUAAUUGUAUGUUUUACUUUUCUUUUUCACCUGCUCCCCUUUUCAACUCAAAAGGAUGCAAUAGUUUGUGAUCACUGUUUAAGACGGAAGCAUGAUACUAAUGAAUAUCUCAUUGAAACUCAAGGAAACUAACAUUGCGAAAAGUGUAAAUCUUGAUUUGAUGCAACUAUUUAUUCGUGGAAUCUAUAGUUACAAAACUCAAAUUCUGACUGCGCCAUUGAUAAAUUAUUAAUGACGCUAUCAUCAUUAUUUAUCCCUAACUAGUUUCGACUACAACUGAACCCAAUAUUUUCCCCAUGAUAAAAGUUUUUGACUAUUUUACUGGCCUCUCUUCAAAUUUUAAAAAUUACACUAAUCUUCAUUGAGAUUAAUUAUCUUGUAACAUUUAAGUCCAAUUAAUAAUUAAAAAAUGAUAUUAUGAGAGAGAAAAUAAUAUAAUUUUAUCAUUGCCCCCCAUCUUGCUAUAUUAUUUAAUUAAUUUAAUAGCAACCCACACAUUAAAGAAAAAUACUAAAAUUUGCUGCUUUUCAUUAAAGAUCAAAUUGCAUAUGCCAUAAAACAUAGUAUAUCAUUCUAUAUGUUUCACUUAAUGUAAGAUCCCAAUUGUUCUUUUCAAUUACAAACCCAUUGUCAAUAACAAAUAACCAAAAAAUUUGCAACCAAAAUAUUACAAAAAAAAACUUCAACAUCAUAAAUAUUCUUACCACCUCUAGUGCAUUCACCCUCAUAAAAUAAUUCAAGACCCUACUGUCAUAAAAUGACUGAUCAACUCCCGUAAACCUAAUUUGACAACAUUUAAAUGGAGAACUUUAGCUAAAAGAAUUAUGGUCAAGCUAAAGAAAAAACCAGUUAUUUUCCAACAUAUGCAAUCAUUGAUCAGGGAAAAAAAAAAGAGCAAAAAGACAUCUUCAAUCAUUUAAUAGCUUACAGGGCAAAUUAACCCCUAAGCGAAAACUGGUUGCUCUAGAAUCAAAAUUUUACUUUAGUUACCCAGGCAACUUUUUUGUUGCUUUUUUUUUUUUUUUCCUUUAGUUUUGCCCCCUCUGUCAAGCUUAUAAAAUUAUUAAGAUAAUAAAAGUGCCUUGAAUAGUAUUAAUAUAUCCAUUGACUUGAGCUGUCGUCAGUUUGCGAUUCCAUGAGGCCUUUUCAAAGUACUCAGAAAAUGGGGAGUCAUGAAAUCCAUUUGUUCUAUUCAUUGCUAAGAUGCUUUUCUCUAUAAAGAGACUUCCUAACGAAAAUACUUUGUAGAUUUCUUUACUCCAAGUGGUGCAUGGAAAAUUAAUAUUUUCAAUUAUCAAAUAAAAUUCCCUUUUUUCGGCGUAGAUUUCAUCCAUCCAGCUGUUAACACAUUCUAUAAAUCCGAAUUGACUAAUCUUUUCGUUUCCAUUUUCCAACUUGCGAAUACGGCAUAUAGUGUCUGCUAAACACUAUAUAUUCUCUGCCAAAUAUGAAUACAUAUCACUUUUCUGAGCAAGUGCAGAGUCAUUAUCAUUUUUAUUCCCACCUAACAAAUUAGGGAUAAAAAAGUUAAUAAUCUUUACAUGCUAUCAGGUCACAAGUUAAUAAUCUUUUAAAGAACAUGUUAAAUUAAUUUAUUGGUAUGAAUAGUAGUCAAAGAAGUAUGUUAAAGUUAGUAAUCUUUAAAAUAAUAUGUUAAAAUCAUUCGUACAAAUUAGUCAGAGAAGUAGCAUAAACACCGCGAUGCAAUUAAUACUUUCAAUCUCAAGGUCUCUAUUAUGGAAAUUUGCAUCGGUCAAUAUACACUUGGCAUAAUAUAAUCUCCCAACUCAUUUCUUUACAAAUGCACCUUUAAUCACCACCAAAAGGUGUGGACAUGAUCUUUACCCUAGAAAACUAUUCACCGACAGGCAAAUUGACGUCAGAAAUACUGAGGAAUUCUAGUUUCCUUCGGGUUCAUGCCAUGUUGUAUCCUUCAACUGUAACUCGAUUUCUAAGCUGUAAUUUGUGACAUAAUAGUCCUUAAACUAUGAAACCCUUCUUACUUAAUUACAAUGGUUAAUACAAUGCCCGUGACUAGACAAGUAUGAAGCAACCAUAACAGAAAAAAAAUCCAAAAUUAGAGAAAAGAAAGAAGUUUCGCGACCACCACCAGUUUACAAGUCACCUCCACCACCUCCUCCAGUUUACAAGUCACCUCCACCACCUUACCAUUAUUCCUCACCACCACCUCCAGUGCAUUCACCCCCACCACCACCAGUUUACAAGUCUCCGCCACCACCUUACCAUUAUUCCUCACCACCACCUCCUGUGCAUGCACCUCCACCACCAAUUUACAAGUCACCUCCUCCAGUUUACAAGUCUCCACCACCACCUUACGAUUAUUCCUCACCACCACCUCCAGUGCAUUCACCCCCACCACCACCAAUUUAUAAGUCUCCCCCACCGCCUCCCCCAGUAUAUAAGUCACCACCACCACCUCCUCCAGUAUACAAAUCACCUCCACCACCUCCUCCAGUUGACAAAUCUCCACCACCACCAAUUUAUAAAUACAAGUCUCCUCCACUACCUCCUCCAGUGUACAAGUCAUCACCACCACCUGCUUACAAGUCUCCACCUCCUCCAGUUUACAGUUCCCCACCACCACCAAUCUACAAGUCUCCACCUCCACCCUACCAUUACUACUACAAUUCUCCUCCUCCUCCUCGUCACUACUAAGCAAUUGUAUCCAAGUUUUUGAGGUAAUAACGCUUAACCAAUAAAUUAACUUUCGCAUGAUAAACCUUAUCUCUAUCAAGACAAACUGCCAUGUGUAUCAUGCCAAAUACGUACACCUAGAUCCAUGAAAAUGAAUGGUGAGGAGGGCCAUUUAGGCUCGGAGCGCCCUAGGCCUAGUUCCCCACCAUUUCCUGAAGUGCCGCCUCGGGUAUUAUCCUGGAAGGCGAUCGCGGCCCAUUUACCACCUCGGCUACAAUGUCAGGUCGUAACACCGAGGUGGACAUUGAAUGACAACUACGAAAAGGGGAGAUGUGAUCUCUGACACCUGAGCAAAGGCUGCUCUGACCCGCCGCCUGAAUCUGACAGAAUGUCCCAUCACGUCUCUUCAUGGAGACCGGUCAAGUCCACCUGAUCCACUGACUAUCUCAGAUCUUUUGGGACCCGUGCAAACAUCUCCUCUCUCCUAUCAGUCCCCUAUAAAUACACGAUACUUCUACUGAAAAAGGAGAUGACCAAUUUCUGGUAAAACACACUCCACUCAUUAUUUACUUCUCUAUAUCCGAACUGACUUAAGCUUCGGAGUUAUACCGGGGGAUCCAGCCCCUUUCUUAUCCAAGCAGGUGACUUCGUCCAAGAGAGUUGCCCAAGGUAAAGAUAUUCUUCCAAUUGAGGUGACUCACUCCUGCGGGUCGAAAAUCACCUCUUCAAUUGGCGCCGUCUGUGGGAACCGCAAAGAUAUUAGAAGAUGAAGCCUGCGCGUUCUAGAAGCAGAAAAGCUCUCACUAUCGAGGCUGGGCAAAGCAAUGCAGCUCAACAAGAAAAUAUUUCUGAAGGGCAGGAGUCCCCAAGGACUCAGCCCGCAAACGAAAAAGCCAUAACCCGUAUGGCCGAGUUUGUGACCGAGAACCCCAACAUCUUUGAAGAGUUGGGAAGAUACCUGAAGAGGCAAGGCAAACAAAAGGCCGAGUCCUCUAAAAGGAUGUCAGAUGGGUCUCUUGAGGACUCAUCUGAGGAGGAGUCGGAUGGAAGGCACUUAAGCCGAAGUGCCUCAAAGCGAGCAUUUUCUAAGGCCACUUCUAAGGUAGCCUCCCUGACCAAGGCGUUUUCCCGAGGGCUCUUGGGCCGACGACCCGAGGAAGAACCUCGGCCCUUGGGAAUACCCGGGGUGGACUGCAUGAGGGCUCCACCGUUCACGGAUGAUAUAAACGAGGAAAGGCUUCCUCCCAAUUUUAAGCUCCCCGCAGUACAAUCUUACGAUGGCCGAGGUGAUCCCGAGAAUCACAUCCAUACCUUCAUCUCGGCCUUCCAAAUAUACUGCAUCCCAGACCCUGUCAUAUGUCGGGCCUUUCCAGUAUUCCUCAGAGGAACUGCUCGAAAAUGGUUCUGAGCUCUAGAACCUAGGAGCAUUUCGACCCUGGGUGAAUUAGUGGAGAAGUUUCUCCACCGAUUUGUCUCCUCCCGACCUACGACUAGGACCUCGGCUUACCUGCUCACCGUGCAGCAGAACCCGGGAGAGUCACUCCGGUCGUACGUCCGGAGGUUCCAUGAGGAAAGCGUUCAGAUACCUGACCCCAAUGAGCAGGUAACCCUCGCUGCCUUUACCCAUGGACUCGUUGCCGGGGAGUUCAAUACGGGGAUCCAUAAAAAAUACCCCCGCACACUGCAUGAAUUGUGGUUGAAGGUUGAAAAGGGCAUACAGGCCGAAGACCUCCAUCGCAUGAAGAAAGAGGUCCAAGCCACCCGUCCAAGGGCUGAGCCCAGAAAGGGAAAAGACGCUGGCCGAACUGAAGUAGGGUCGGGAAGUGGCUUCCGAAGUCCUGGCCGAGACCGCCGCAGCGUGUUCGACAGGAUAUCCAAGGGGAAGUCACCUAUUCCCGAGUCCGAGUUGACUCCUUUAAAUACUACCCGAUCUCACGUGUUGUCCGUGAUGGAACAAAACAACCUCGGCAAGGGCCCGCCGAGGAUGUUUGGAAGCAGAGACAAGAGGAACUCGAACCUCUACUGCUUGUAUCAUCGUGACAUUGGUCACGAAACUGAGGAUUGCAACGAUCUCAAGAAGGAGAUCGAGAACCUCAUUAGACGGGGACACUUGAAACAGUUCAUCCGCAGAGGUGGAGGUCACCAACGUGACGAAAACCGGCAUGACAAAUGAGGUGACCAACGCCGAGAUGAGCGGCGGAGCUCCAGAAGCAGUUGCCGACCUCCUGAGGAUCCCAGGGAGACGAAAAGGCCUCCCCCAGACGGAUCUUCGGGACAUGGGCCAACCAUUGCCCGGGUCAUUAACACCAUUGCCGGAGGUCCGACGGGAGGGGACAGUCAGAACUCCCGGAAGAGAACCUAUAAGCAGGCUAACCCGGAUCAGGCCGAGUCGAGUUCUCGCCUGUCCGAGGUGAUCACCUACGGGCUCAGUGAUCCCAUCCCAGCUGCAUCCAGCAGUCAUGAAACCUUGGUGAUUGAAGUCCUCACCAAUAACUACAUUGUGAAAAGGUCUACAUAGACCCGGGAAGUUCAGUUGACGUCAUGUACCUCCGUACCUUUGAGAGCCUUAAAAUGGCUAAGGGGUGCAUGACCCCGCUGAGAACCCCUCUUGUAGGGUUCGGGGGACACGUGGUGCACCCCGAAGGGAUGGUGACUCUGACAGUGACCAUAGGGCAUCACUCUCGCUGUAGAACCGUCCCUGUCAAUUUUGUGGUGGUUAAGGCUGACUCCCCAUACAACCUACUUUUAGGUCGGCCUACGCUCAAUGCCUUGCGGGCGGUCUACUCCACCUACCACCUGAGCUUCAAGUUUCCUACCCCAGCAGGGGUGGCCGAGGUCAGCAGCGACGUCUGUGCUGUCCGGGAGUGCUACCUCGCCACCCUACAAGCAGCCUCCCCGUCUACCUCCGGUGCGAGGUCCGAGAAGAGGUCAAAUAUCCUCUCAAUAGAUAGCAUCGAUCCUCAGUGAGCUGAGAAGGUCCCGAGGCUGGAGACUGGGGAUGAGGUGGAAGAGAUUCCCCUGGACCCCACGAAACCUGAUCAGACAGUUCGCGUUGGUACCCGAUUGCCCGGUCCUAUCCGAAGAGGUAUGAUGGACCUCCUCAGGGAAUACCGGGACGUCUUUGCUUGGGCCGCCGAAGAGGUCCAAGGAGUCCCGCACCAUCUCAUGAUGCAUGACUGAACGUCGACCCCCAAGUCCGUCCGGUCAAACAGAAGAGAAGGCACAUCGGCCCUGAGCGCAGCCAAGCUGUUGGUGAGGAAGUGGACAAGCUUUUACCCGCUAAAAUAAUCCGAAAAGUCCAAUACCCGAUCUGGUUGUCUAACUCGGUCAUGGUCAAGAAGGAUACGGGGGCUUGGAGAAUGUGCGUCGAUUUUACCGACCUCAACAAAGCCUGCUCCAAGGAUUGCUACCCCUUGCCCAAAGUCGAUACUUUGGUAGACUCAGCAAUGGGCUACGAGAUCCUCUGUUUCUGGGAUGCAUUCAAAGGCUAUCACCAAAUUGGGAUGAGUCAAGAAAACCAGGAGAAAACGGCCUUCUACACCGACCGCGGCACGUACUGUUAUACUACCAUGCCAUUCGGGUUGAAGAAUGCCGGAGCCACUUAUCAACGCUUGGUCAACCAAGCAUUCAAGUCUCAAAUCGGCCGGAAUGUUGAGGCCUAUGUAGAUGACAUCCUCCUCAAAAGCCAGACGAACUCCACCUUCCUGGCCGACUUGAAGGAGGUCCUUGACAUCCUGCGGAAGGUGAAAAUGAUGCUGAACCCCAAGAAAUGUGUUUUUGGGGUCACCUCGGGGAAAUUUCUAGGUUACCUCGUCUCAAGGCGAGGUAUCGAAGCAAAUCCGGAUAAGGUGCGAGCCAUCCAGGAGAUGUCUCCACCCCGGUGCGUCCGCGAUGUCCAAAGGCUGACAGGGCGAUUAGCCGCCCUGAAUCGGUUCUUAUCGCAGUCGGCAGCUAAAGCACUGCCCUUUUUCAAAGUGUUGAAGAAAGCUGACCAUUUCUCCUGGACGGAAGAGUGUCAACAGGCGUUUGAGCAGUUGAAGGAUUACCUUCACUACCUUCCAACGCUCACCUCACCUCGUCCGGGGGACAAAUUAAUCUUAUACCUUUCUGCUGCGGCCGAAGCGGUGAGUGCCGUGCUGAUAAGGAAGGAAGGGGUCCAAAUGCCCGUCUACUACGUUAGCCGAGUCCUCCGAGGUCCAGAGACCAGGUACACACAAGCAGAGAAACUUGUGCUAGCCCUGAUCCACGCCGCCCGCAGACUCAAGCCCUACUUCCUAGCUCACCACGUCUGCUUGAGGACUGAUCAACCACUUCGGCAGAUUUUGACACGACCAGAGGUUUCGGGACGUCUUACCAAAUGGGCCAUUGAGCUGGGGGAGUACGACCUAACUUAUGAGCCUCGCACAGCGAUCAAGGCCCAGGCUCUCGCAGACUUCGUAGCCGAGCUCACCUUUGACGAGGUGCAAGGAUCCGUCCCGGCUGCCACAUCGGCCACAGUUGAUGUGGCCACCACUGGGCUCCAGCGGUGGAUCCUACACGUGGACGGUUCGUCAACAGUGAGGGUAGUGGAGCAGGCUUGCUCCUCGAAGACCCCCAAGGAGAAAUAUGCUAAUAUGCCUUAAGAUUUGACUUCGCUGCUUCAAACAAUGAAGCUGAAUACGAAGCCGUCAUUGCUGGACUGCAGCUAGCUCGCAAGCUCGGGGCCGCACACAUCUUGGUUUAUAGUGAUUCCCAACUCGUCGUGUGCCAGAUAUUAGGUGAGUACGAAGCCAGGGACGAGGUGAUGCAUCGUUACCUCUCCAAGGUCCUCCAGUUGGCGACUCACUUCGAGUCUUUUGAAAUUCAAAGAAUACCGCUAUCGAAAAACAGAAGGGCUGACGCCCUCUCCCGGCUUGCCUCAACCUCUUUCUCUGACCUGAACAAGACGGUUCUCGUUGAAGUUCUAGCCGAACCAGGAUAUGUAGCCGAGGUAGUAUACCCCGUCUACCCUGGGGACACCUGGAUGGGUCCCCUGACUCGAUUUUUCAGCCAGGGUGAGCUCCCCGAAGACCGAGCUGAGUCACGGAAGCUCCAACGAAAAGCAGCACGGUACAUUCUCCGACAAGGCCUUUUAUACAAAAGGUCUUACCUCGGCCCUUAGUUGCGAUGUAUCACGCCCGAGGAAGGCCAGAGAAUCCUCCAAGACAUACAUGAGGGGCUCUGUGGUGCUCACGUCGGCUACAGAAUGCUGGUAAAAAAGGCUUUGUUACUUGGGUAUUUUUGGCCCACUAUGAGGAUAGAUGCCCAGGUCAUGGUCCUUUGCUGCCCCUCCUGCCAGCAUCACGCUCCUGAGCACCACCAGCCGACCAAUUUAAUGAUCCCUAUCACCUCGUCAUGGCCAUUUGAGCAAUGGGGAACGGACAUAAUUGGCCCCUUUCCCAGAGCUCCAGGCAAUUAUACCUACGUGGUGGUAGCAGUGGACUACUUCACCAAAUGGGUCGAAGCUGAACCCCUAAAAAAUAUCACUGGUGCGGCAGUCCAGAAAUUCUUCUGGAAGAAUGUGGUUUGCCGCUUCGGCCUACCCCGGGUGAUCAUCUCGGAUAAUGGCCGACAGUUCGCCGAUAAUCCUUUCAAGGCCUGGUGUGAGAACCUCGGGGUCAAACAGCAUUUCACUUCGGUGGGACACCCCCAAGCCAACGGACAAGCCGAAAACUUCAAUCGCACGCUCCUCCAUGGCCUCAAGACCAGGCUCCACCAGGCUGGAUCGUUUUGGAUGGAAGAGCUCCCCAGUGUGCUGUGGUCCUACCGAACUACGCCGAGAUCAGCAACCCAGGAAACCCCGUUUUCCUUAACCUACGGGUCAGAAGCUGUUGUUCCAGCCGAAUUCAUCACCCCGAGUCCACGAAUGGCCGCAUAUGCUGCCGAAGUCAAUGAAGAAGAACGGCGAGUUGACCUCGACCUCGUCGAAGAGAAGCGUGAUAUGGCCGCGGCCAAAGUUGCUGUUUACAAAAAUAUCGUAGCUGGCUACUACAACGCUCGGGUUAAACAUUUGCGGUUCAGUCCGGGAGACCUGGUGCUCAGGAAGAACUCAGUCAGCCGGGCUGAACCUCAGGGUAAACUAACCCCCAAGUGGGAGGGACCAUACCGUGUUGUUGAGUCCAGCCAAAAUGGAUAUUGUAAAUUGGCAUACCGAGAUGGGUCUCUGAGUGCCCCGAACUUGGCAUGCUGAAAAUCUUAAGUUGUACUACCCUUGAGGGUAUGUGCUUUUAAUCUUGAGUUAUUUCACACUUAUUUUCAUUUCAUUAUAAGUGAAAAAUAAGGGGACAAAGUAGCAGUAAAGAGGAAAACCGAAUUUAAUUAAAAAGAAAGCAAGAAUAUGAACUCAAUUCCAUUGAAUUACAUAAAAGUAGAAAGCCGAGGUCACCUUUAAUUAGGAAGAAAGCAAGAAUAUAAACUCAAUUCCAUUGAAUUACAUAAAAGUAGAAAGCCGAGGUCACCUUUGACCUCGGCCUACAAUGACAAAAAAAAAAACAAGUGCCUCUAGGCACUCCCUACCCUGACAUCCUGGCCCCCCGUGGUCGCGCCACCCGUUUCGGCACCCUGUCCACCCUCAGCUCCUCCACCGGCCUGGUCGUCUUCAGUACCAUCUAGUUCAAACUCCUGGAGCCAUUUGUUGAAUUCGGCUCGGACUUCGGUUAGGUCUUUCUCAGUCCGGAUGCCCUCAGCCAUGCUGUCGCAUAGCUCCUUGGCAUCCUCGUUAUAGUGCGAAGUGCUCUGAAGGGACUCCAGUUGUUCAGAGGGAAGAAAGGAUGCCGCGUCAUUAAUAGCCGACGUGUACCCGAACAUGAAGCUUGGCCGGGUGAGCUCGCCGAGGUCACGGAUGAAGGACUCUGACGUCCGGAAGGCUUCCACAGCAGUGACCCCGGCCUUGUCCAUGGCCUCCCUGUUUGACUGUUCUUCUUGGGCCCUCCUUUUUUUCUCCUCAUCAAGAGCAGUCACCAGGGAAUUGUUCGCGACCUCGGCCCUUUUGUUAGCCGCCUUGGCCUUGUCACGCUCCAACUCGGUUGCCUUCAGUUUUUCUUCCAACUCGGCAAUUCUCUUCUGGAGCUCGGCAGGAGGCUCAUAGUUUUCCAUGAACUUUCCAUACCGUUGAAUCAUCUCGACAAAAAAAGCCGUGGUAGAGGCCCAUGACACCGAGGCGCUCUGCAUCAACUCCCCUGCGGAGAGCUUCCUAGCAUAAGUGCUAUCUCGUGGCAGCACUGAAUGCACCAAGAGCUCCUGAGCGACCAAAGGGUUCUUGCAGCGAUCGUUGAAAUUAAUCUCCCACUCUGGACACCAGUGUGAUCCGGGGUGUCUCUUGUCCUCCUCAGCUGCCUUGAAAGGCACAUGAUGGAGUUUGAACAAAGAUGACCCCGUGACGGGGUUCUCCGGAAAUAUGGUCACACCCUGACCCCGGGGGGGAGUGGCAAUCGUGACCCAGCGAGAAGGGAUUCCCACCGGAAUUGCCGAGGCUCGGGAACCUCCCGGAGUGGCCGAGGUGUGCGAGCCCUCGCCCACGAUCACCACGGCAGGCUCGCGGUCGCCCGACGCCGCGGUGGUUUUCUUAGCCGGCCUGGAAGAGGACCCUGCAGUGUCCUUGCGCUUUUUGGGAGCUCUUUUGACCACCUCGACAUCUCCCGAGGUUAUCAGGUCGAAAAUCUUCGUCACUGCAAAGUAGGAGACGAAGUCAGUUAGAAUUCAAGAGGGAUAAACUAAAAGGGAAGAAAUGGAAAAAUACAAAGUCUGUGAAGCCUAGUCGAGAGUAAGACAGGCUGGUCAGAGCUCGUCAAGGCUCAACUGAUCCCGCCUUCCACGAGCACCACUUCGGGAAAAUCCCAGCAGUUUAUCCUGAGGCCCGACCCCGUUAACUUCUGGAAGUUACGCUCUUCUAACUUCCCUGGAGAUAUCUCCUUGAUCGAGGUGGGAGGCCUCCACCAGAAUCCGCGAGGGAAGUCAUCGGCCGAGACGAAGAAGAAGUUUUGCUUCCACUCCUUUAUUGAGUUCGGAGCAUCAACCACCAACUUCGGAACUUUGUUUCCGAAGUAGAACCAUCCUUUUUCACUUCUGCUGUUCUUGAGUGAGUAACAGCGGCGAAAGAGGUUGACCUAAGGUUGUAUCUCCUGAUGUCGGCAAAGUAGCUGGAAGCCAACGAGAAUGCGAAUAGCGUUAGGGGUGAGUUGAGUGAUUCUCACCCCCCAGUACCUCAGGCAGUCCCGAAGAAACCUCGUCGUGGGCACUCUGAGUCCGGCCUCCAGCUGUUCCUGAUAGAUAGUCACCUUGCCCUUUGGUGGCAGUGCGGCUGACUGAUGCGGUUGGGGUAUGUAAAUACUAUAAUCCCUUCUCCAGGGAUACCUGCGGACCACCUCGGCUAUUGAGGCUUGUCCCAUACCACUACUGAAGAACGGCAUCUGGCCGUAGUCGAGAGUUGCCACGUUUGGAGGAGUGGAAGGUUCUUGUACUCCCUCGUCUCUAGGGAUCUCAAUCCCGAGGUCAUCGUUGUAUAGGACCUCGGGCUGGACCUCGAUCUCCUCGGGCUGCACCUCAACCGCCUCAGCUCGGCGUGAUGCCUCGGCACCUCCACCCUCAGCUUGGUGAGAUGCCUCAGCACCUCCGCCCUCGGACGCGGUCCUUUCCUGGGAGGGGUCAGGCCUCUCUGCCUCAGUGAGGUCAGGUCUCACUGUCUCUUUGUGCGUACGAGCUGUUCUAGCCAUUGUAUCAGAAGGGGAAGAAGUGAACUUACUUAGAAUCUGCGACUGGAAGAAGAUGCCGAAGUAGACGUGGUUUAGAAAGGUUGCCGAAGUGAAAAGAGAAAGAAACAGAGUUCUGGGGUGAUUCUUGAUUUUUGGUGAAGAGUAAAACGGUGAAAAAAGACCACUAUUUAUAGGCCACCAGGGUGAAACCCAAGAGACGGCACCCUCUCUCUUCAUUAAUGGGAGGACUGUUCGUCUGCCAACACAGCUGACAGCCGUCCCUUCAGUUAUCACUCAGUCCCAUCUAUGCGGUCAUGACGUGUCCGUGUUCCGUGUUUUAUACGCUUCUCAGCUUCGGGAAGUAACGACCACGGCGGAUGCCCAUCUCGCCCUUCUCAAAGCUUGGGGGGCUUAGUGAGGAGGGCCAUUUAGGCUCGGAGCGCCCGAGGCCUAGUUCCCCAUCAUUUCCUGAAGUGCCGCCUCGGGUAUUAUCCUGGAAGGCGAUCGCGGCCCAUUUACCACCUCGGCUACAAUGUCAAGUCGUAACACCGAGGUGGACAUUGAAUGACAACUACGAAAAGGGGAGAUGUGAUCUCUGACACCUGAGCAAAGGCUGCUCUGACCCGCCGCCUGAAUCUGACAGAAUGUCCCAUCACGUCUCUUCAUGGAGACCGGUCAAGUCCACCUGAUCCACUGACUAUCUCAGAUCUUUUGGGACCCGUGCAAACAUCUCCUCUCUCCUAUCGGUCCCCUAUAAAUACACAAUAUUUCUACUGAAAAAGGGGAUGACCAAUUUCUGGUAAAACACACUCCACUCAUUACUUACUUCUCUAUAUCCGAACUGACUUAAGUUUCGGAGUUAUACCGGGGGAUCCAGCCCCUUUUCUUAUUCAAGCAGGUGACUUCGUCCAAGAGAGUUGCCCAAGGUAAAGAUAUUCUUCGAAUUGAGGUGACUCACUCCUGCGGGUCGAAAAUCACCUCUUCAAAUGGUAGAAAGUUUUCUUAAGAACCAAGAACAGCAUUAGUAUUCCCUCUGCUUCCAAAAACUUGUGUAUUAAAUAGAUUAAUGAAUUGUUUAACAUGCUCAUCUACUUGAAAAUGCACAAUACCCAUAACCCACUGAAAUUUUUGCAGGAAAAGGGAAAGAGAAUCUGUGUUUGAGAGCUUCAUGAAGAUGUUGAAGAAUAAGAAUAAAAGCCCAAUGCGAGGAUGUUUUCAAGUUUUUCUAUGUCCACUUUAAUUUGUAAAUUGAAUUUUACAACUCAAUUAAUUCCUUGUUUGUGAGGUACGUAUUGUUUUACGUACCAUGCCGUACAUGUUUGUAAGGAUUUCUAUCCUAUUGGCAAAAGUCGGUUCCAUACAAUUAAUCAAUUCAUUUCACUUCUAUUGGCUCUACUAUUUAUGCAUGUUACGACACUCUUUCCCUUAUAUUUUGCCUUUAAUAUUAUGAGUCAAUAGUAAUAAUGGGCCUUUUUCUUAAAAUUAUACUAUUAUACAUAGGUAGUUUGGUCUAACGCUAAAUUCAUGUUUGUCUUUCUUUUAUUCCCUUUACAUCUCAAAGUAUACUAUAGUUUGUAAUCAUUGUGGUGAUGAUAUUACCAGCUGGUACUUAUAGUUUAAGGCAGAGACAUGAUAUUAACAACUAUCUCAUUGAAACAUAAGUCAAAAUCAUGACAAGUGUGAGUCUUGGUUAAUGCACAAUUUGUUAGUGGAAUUUAUAUUUAUAAAACUCAAAAAAAAUUUUUGACAAUGCUAUUACUAAUUAAUUAAGGACUUCAUUGCUAUAAUUUAUCGCUUACUAGUUUAAACUAUAAAUGAUCUCAAUACUUUUCUCCAUGAUGUCGAUUUCUUUAGACUACGAAAGGGAAAAAUUAGUGACAUAUCCCUUACUGAUUACAACAUCAGCAAAAAUUAGUUAUAAACUUUUCCGGUGGUUUUAAAUCCCUCGGGCACUAAGGUUUUUUGCACAUCGAGUGAAUUAAGGAACAUAGGCAAUUCGUUCUGCAUACCAAGUCCUUGUUUAAGAUGCACGUACUAAAAUGCAUCCACUUCAUUAAUUUGGAAAAUUGCCAUAGUUUUUUUUAAGCAUUUUGAUUUUUUACAUGAUUCAAAAUUUUCUUAUUGGAUACAAUCACUUUGUGUCAAGAACACAUUUUCAAUCAUCUUUUUUAUCUUCUCAAUAAGAAAAUAAAAAUUUAUUCAUGCUUUUCUAACAUAUCCAAUCAUUGAUCUGAAAAAUAAAGAAUUAAAAAAAAAAGACAUUUUCAAUCAUUGCUUACAGGGCAACUUCCCCAUGUGAACCUCUUCAAACAAAGCCAAUAAUAUGAAGGAACAUCUAAAUACACUUUUGCCCUAAAGGCUGGUUGCCUUGGGGUCAAAAUUUAACCUUCGGGAGUAUAAUUACCCGCCAAAUUUAUUAUUUUUUAUGGGUAUAUAGUUCCAAUUUUGCCUCCUGUUAAGCUUAUAAAUAUAUUACGACCCAGAAAAUAAAGGAAUCUUGAAUAGUAACAUGUCCAUUGACUUGAGUUGUCAUCAAUUUGGCUACUUCGAUUCCAUGAGGCCAAUCCAAUUCACACUAGCUAGAGAAAAUGGUGAUAAAGGCACUUAGAAAUUUAUAUGUAAUAUUGAUUGGUAGUAACUGAUAAGUAUAUAUUUUACGUGUUUUAAAUAUGUUUUAUUAGUUAGUUUUGGUGUGUUUUAACUACUUUUAUAACUAAUUAACUAGGAAUCUAGUGAAAAUAUGCAUUUUGUGGUUUGAAGUGUGAAAAUUGUAUUUCUAUGGAUUUUAAUGGUGAAAACUUCAUGUUUUUGUAGGUUUAAUGAUUCAAUCAUCAAAUGACAUGAUUUGAGAAGAUAAUUAGAUGAUUGAUGAUGUUUUGAAGUGAUAAAAAGAGAAUACAAAGUGCAAGAGAGGAAAUGCAAUCAAGAAUAAAAGAAGAAAAUUUUUGUAGCUUUGACAUAUUGUGGUAUUUUGGCAAUAUAUUGAGCUACAAUGAUUGGAUUAAGGUGAUUCUUAAACCAUUUGAAGCUAAGAUAUAGAUCUACAUUUGGUAUGAAGGCAUCGAAACCCAUGUCAGUCAUUUUCCUUGUCAAAAUGUUGAAAUACAGAAGUGCAACUCUGUUCUCGAAAGCUAAAACAGAGCUCUGGCUAGUCGAGGGUAUUUUCAUCAUUUCUUAGUCCACAGAGCUCCAAAUGAGAUGAUUCUUAAGGCAUUAGAACCCUAACUCAAAGAGCUACAACUUUCAUAUUUUGUACAAGAGUUAGUUCGGCCUCCAUCAUUCAGAAAAUAGUAGUUGAAGUGGUGCCAAAUGCAUAGAAGUGAAAACGCGAGCUAUCAAUACUCGACCUGAAGUCGCGUAUUCCUGAGGUCAUGCAUUCUCUUCUAUUUUCUGCAACUUGCCCUGCUUUCACAUAAUUUUUUCAUCUCAAUUCCAACUAUCAAUUUCGGCUAUAUCUGAUCAAGAAAAGUGUGGAAAGUUUGAAAGACAACUCAUAGGAGUUUCAAGAGUCAAAAAUUACAAUUAGAAACAACUCAUUUGGCUCUUGAAUCCUCUAUAAAUAGAGGCCUUUGAAGAACAUUUUCACAACUUUGGAAGGUUAGAGAAACUCCACAAAAACAUAGUCUUCACUAGAAUUUCCUUAGUUCAUUAGUUAGGGUAGUAUAGUAUAGUUAGUGUAGCUUUUCCUUCUUGUAUUUAUAGUUAGGUUUGAAUGAAGAUUCAGGAGCAAAGAUAGAGAGGUUGAUCUCAUGUGACAAGGGUGAUAUCUCUUCUACUACUUUCUCUUUUGUAUUUGAUUUCAUAUUUAACUAUACUACAAAUUUGGCUUUGUUUUUUUUUUUUAUCAUGUUUAGUUAAAGUUUAUGCCUAGAGUAUGGAUGACCUUUCUAUAUCUUGUUUGUGAUAUUUAACUGGUUAUUUGAUGAUGUUAUUUUUGAGCAAGUUAUUUAUCACUUUUGCUUUUCUAAUCGUGAUUAACUGGCCAUUAGUUGUGAUUAUCUAAAAGUGUUAAGUUUGUAAUGAGAAUUGGAGUUUAACACUAGUUCAAGGAAGUGAUAAAUUUAGGGAGUUCACUCAUGAGAGUAGAGGAACACCUUUGUGACCUAAGUGACUUGUUUCAUAUAAUUUCAUAGAAAAAAUGAACUUGUAAUUAAUUUCAUAACCACGAGAGUAAGUAUGGUUUAGCUAUAUGUAUAGUUGAUUCACUACGAGAGUAGGUUUCACAUACAUUAGAAAAUUACAUCAUAACUAGUCAAGAUAAUAUCAUUCAUUUAAUCAGUAAUCUCAUUUGCAUGAGUAGUAAGGCAUUCCAUAUCUCUAGGAGGUUUUUAGUAUUAUUUUCAUUACUUUUAUGUUUAUGGUAGUCUAGAUAAUAAUGGAGUUCAAAAACUACUAGUAAUUGAAAAUUUUCCCUGUGGGAUCGACCUUUAAUACCCUAUACUCGCUCUCGACUCGUAUACUUGCGAAAAAUCACGUGUGCGGUAUUUAGAAUUUAUAAAUGUAAAACUUGACUGUAGAUGAACUAAUUGAUAUAUGUAUACCCCGCACUCGUCAGUAACCAGCUUGUAUUGAUCCCAUUAUUGUGGAUAAUUGUGCUCUUAUGAAAAAAAAUUAUAAAAAAAUUAGCAAAAUUUAUGAUAACAAAUUAAAUUUAUUCAUACAAAUCAGUGAAAGAAGUAGAAUUUUAAAGACCAUGAUGAAAUUAAUACUUUCAAGGGCUCUAUUAGGAAGACUUCACUUGUUGGUGAAACUACACUAGCACAGUUAUAUGCACAUUUACUGUUUUGGUAUCUAAUUUCCUUGCCUUAAGUUGGGUGCAGAUGUUUAUAUUACAAAUAGAUGGUAUCAUAAAAUUGUUGUAUUCACGUUUGUUCUUUUUUUUUCUUCCUUAAGUUUUUUUCUUUAUUCUCGUGACUUCAAAAAUACGAACUCAAGAAAUUGGCUGCUUAAUCAAUAUGUCAUACAGGCUUCGCUAGUGAGGUAUAACUUCACAACUAGAGUCAAUAGAAAUUAUCAAAUGAUUUUUUAACAUCCAAAUUAAGCAAUAAAUUUUGUUUUCAUUUUAUGACAUAUAAUAGUACUACUUCAUGAGAGAUUUUAUAGUUUCUUUUAGGUAUCAUACCUACAAGUGAUAUUUGUCAUUGGAUAGUGACAGAAGUGUUAAUGAUUGUAAGAUUAAAUAUUGUUAAAUAUUGAAAUUUAAACUAUUUAUCUUUAUUGAAAGAUACAAGUUAAAGAAUCGUUCAAGGGGGCAAUUUUCCAUCUUGUCUUUUUGAAAAAACGCUAUCACAUUGUAUAGGCAUGAUAGGUUCAAAUUUGUCAUUAAAUUUAUGAUUGAUUUCCCUUUUAUUCAAGCCAAAUAUUGUUUUAAUUAUCAAAUUCUACUUAUAUUUGGUUAAUUGUACUAAUUGUAGGGCGGUAGAGCAAAAGUUGCUAAAAAUAGGUGAUUUUCUGCAAAUUGGUUGUCAAGGCUGAAGGAUUUGGGAUUCGCAUGUUCAAGGCCUGUUUCCAAGUUUGAUUCAAACUCUGGACAGUUUUAGAGGAAGAUUUGGAAGAUUUGAAAUUUCAUUAUUAGUUUUAUGGUUGAAUUAGGAAUCUUGGAAUAAUUUCUUUUGUGAUUUAUUUUUCUAUUUAGGAGACUAGUUGUUAUUUAGUAGUAGACUUCAAUUAGAAAACAAAGAGAAAAAGAAGGCCGGAAUCCCGCUUGAUUAAUACCUUGGCCAGGGAACAAUCUCGGUGGGGAGGACGGCCACUUAGCCUCUCAAUUCAUCUUGCUUUUCGUUAGUUUGAGAGGAAAACCAAUUGCAACUAGAUUCAAUGGAGUCUGGCAGAAUUUCUUCUAGGAUGCGUAGCUAAAUCCUCAAUUUUUAGUCGAAGGUCAAUUUGAAAAUUCGGUUCCAAAUAUCUGUGAAAUCGAAUUAUUUUACUUAUUUCUUUUAUUUAUUGGUAUUCGCACGUUUUCUGAUUUAACUUUUUAUGAUUGUUUUGUUAUUUGAAUGUCAAGGGUCCGAUAUUCGAAUUAACUUAAUAAUCUACUGCCAAAUUAACCGGUUAAAUCCGUAAUUGUUUGAUUGAUUAAUAUCAGUGGCGACUAGCGUGAUUGGUCCCAUGUUAGGAAAACGUCUGAUCUAAUUUAAACAAACCGUCGUAGCGUGUUUGUUGAUUAGGGUUGGACUUUUCUAAUUCUUAAUUCAAUUGAGAAAUUAAAUCUCCCGGUCGUACCUAAGAUUAUUUUUUUGUUAGCGAAAUAGUUAAUGGUCGUACCUUGACUAUCGAAAAAGUAAGGAAGAGUUGAUUGUUUAUCGCGUGUACGACAACUAUAAUCAAUCUAUUAAUGAGUAAUUGAAUUAUCUUUGCAUCAGUAAUCAGUUGAAUGGACCGUGUCUGAAAAGUUGUACCUUUGGCUAGAGUCUUAUCUGUUGUUGAUUCAUUCAUAUCUAUCUUCAUGCGUUGUUUUAAUUUAGUUAAUUAGUUAUUUUUAUAAAAACCCCUCAUCUCUGGACUCUAAAAGAAAUAAAUUAUUUCUAGUUCCUGUGGAUUCGAUCCUACUCACCGCUAUAUACAAAAUUUGUAUUUUUUUGAAUAAAUAAUUAUUAUUACACAGGCUUGACACCUGUCAAGGCAAAAUUUCCUUAACUUCAUCAUCUGUAGACGUAAACUUUCUACGGGUGAUAUAAUAUAAGGAAAUUUUGCCUAUACGAUGUGAUAGCAUUUUUUCAAAAAAGACAAGAUGGAAAAUUGCUCCCUUGAACGGAAAAAAUCAUGAUCUUUCCUCAAACUAGUCUACUAGUCAAUUCUUUACAAAAGAAUACUCGCUCCUAAACAUAGCCUGUUCAUCUACACUGUCCCGCAGAAUUCUAGAAAGUUAGGCAAAACUAGACAAGUUGACAGGUAUAAUCAUACCCAAGAUCAGGAACAAGCAGUUGCACAUUUCAAAAUUCGCUGCUGCAACAGCUAAUUUGAUGACUUACAACACUACACGGUCAAACUUUGAAUGGCAAUGGAUCUUUUGUUGUACGUCAUGAUGUAAUUUUCAUGUUACAUACAUUAAUAGGUUGAUAUCUAUAUUCUUUAAAUUAUCAUGAUAAUACCCUUAAUUAGAUUUAACUGAUAAAAAGAACACGUGUUAAUAUACAAAAGUGUGUAACGUGAAUGUUACAUUACUGUAUUGCAGAAGACCUAUAGUCUCUUCAUAUCUCUUCCUGCACGUAUCAAUUCGUUUCCUCUAGAUAAUAAUCUCCCAACUCGUUUCUUUACAAAUGCACCUUUUAUGUUUUAUUACCUCCAAAAGCCUUUACAGGGUCUUUACCCUAAAAAUCAAUUCACCGACUCGCAUUUGAUGUCAGAAAUUCUUAAGACGAAUUCUACUUUACUCAAAGAUUGACUGUUAAUAAUGAGACAGCGACCAUUUUGUAUUAUUAGACCGUCCUUCUUGAUAGGUAAAAGAAAUAGAGAGGAAAGUGGGUCCGUAUAUGGUCUUUUAUUCAUAGAUAAUACAACAUUACGCCAUCGAGCAUUCACACAAUAUUUCAAAGUCAUAGCAUGCCUAAGGCCCUGUUUGAUAGCUCAAUUUCGUAAUUAAAUUUAAUAGAUUCAAAUUUUAACACAUUUAAAUCAUUUGAUAACAAAAAAUUGAAUAUUUAAAUUAAUUAAGUAACACUGAACUUUCUAAACAAAACUUGCUUUCAAAAUUAAGUGAUAAGUUAUUCACUUAUCUUUGAAUGUGAUAUGCACUCAAAUAUAUUAAAUUUAAUAAUUUAAUGGAUUCAGAUUUCAGAUUUCAGUUUUAUUACACACCCUAAGUUGCAAAAUAAUACCAAAACUUGUUAUUAUAUAGCUUGAGAUUCAAAAAUUUAGAGCAUAAUUCUCAACCUAACACAAUCGAAUAAUGAAUAUUCACGAUUGUUUCAAAGUACAAUUUGAGGACAACCCAUUCCAACGCGUACACGAUUUUUAACUUUUCUAAAGUUGUUGAGAGCUGUUAAAAGAGAUUUACCAUGUUUACAUCUUCCAAGUCUUGGAAGUGAAAAAUGAAGCCACUGAGUGCUAUAAAAAGGGGGCUAGAGGCUGCCUAGAAGCAUAUCAGCCUAAAACAAGAAUUUGUAGUAACAAUGGGGAGCAAAGCAAAAGCAACGGGGUCUAGGCUGACUCCUCUUCUUACCACUGUUUUAGUGGUAUUUGUCGCCCUUGGCUUGCCCUUGGAAACUGCAGCUGAUUAUUACAAGUAUUCAUCUCCUCCUCCUCCUCCUUACCACUAUUCUUCACCACCACCUCCAGUGUAUUCACCUCCACCAACCCCUGCUUAUAAGUUACCCCCACCAUCUCCUCCAGUUUACAAGUCCUCACCACCACCUUACCACUACUCACCACCUCCGGUGUAUUUACCUCCACCAUCUCCAGUUUACAAGUCACCACCACUACCCCCUCCGGUAUACAACUCCCCGCCUCCACCAGUGUACAAAUACAAGUCCCCACCACCACCUCCUCCAGUUUACAAAUCUCCAUCGCCACCAGUUUACAAAUACAAGUCACUCCCACCACCUCCUCCGGUAUACAAGUCUCCUCCGCCACCUGUUUACGAGUACAAGUCUCCUCCACCACCUCCUCCAGUGUACAAGUCCCCACCACCUCCAGUUUACAAGUACAACUCACCUCCACCUCCUCCCCCAGUUUACCUGUCUCCACCUCCACCCUAUCAUCACUACUACGGUUCUCCUUCUCCUCACCACUACUAAGCAAGUGCAUAAGUUUUGAGGUAAUAAUACCUAUCCAAAACUUUAUCAACACAAACUGCCAUGUAUAUUAUCAUGCUAAGGACGUACACUUGAUCCAUGAAAAUGACUAGUAGAAGAUUUUUUUUAAGAACCAAAGAAAUACAUUAUUUUUUCGGUCUGUUUUCAAGAAUUUGAGCAGUAUACAGAUUAAAGAGUGUUUUUUUUUUUGUAAACUUGCUUGUCAACUUAAAAAUGCACAUAGCUGAAAGCCAACUGAAUAUUUGCAGGCAAAGGAGAAGGCAAUCGGUGUUUGAGACCUUCAAGAAGAUGUAGAAGAAUAAGAAUAAAAGCCCAAUGCGAGGAUGAUUCCAAGUUUCUACGUUACCAUUUCUACAUCUAAAUUGACUUUAGCUCCUGAGUUCCAUGUUUAUGGGGUUUGUACCGUUUUACGUACCAUGCAGUACAUGCUUGCAAGGUUUUCUGUCCUGUUGGCAAACUGCAGGUCCAUAUAAUAAAUGAAUACUAUUUACAUUACGACACUUUUCUCUUUUUCUCUUAUAUUUUGUCUUUAAUAUUGUUGAUCAUUUUUUUUUUAUCAAAAGCAUCAAAUGCUUAGGUAAUUUGGUCUAAUGCUAAUUGUUUUACUUUUAUUUUUCACCUACACCCCUUUUCAACUCAAAGGAUGCUAUAGUUUGUGAUAAUUGUUUAAGACCGAAGCAUGAUACUAAUAAAUAUCUCAUUGAAAGUCAAGGAAACUAACAUUAGGAAAAGUUUAAAUCUUGAUUUGAUGAAACUAUUUAUUCGUGGAAUUUAGAGAUACAAAACUCAAAUUGUGACGGUGUUGUUGCUAAAUUAUUAAGGACAUUAUCACCAUUAUUUUUCCCUGAUCACUAGUUUCAACUGCAAUGAUCUCAAUCUUUUUGUGACUAAUUCUUUCCUUAAUAAUUUAUAAAGACAAAACUCACAAAGAAUAUGUGACUAAUUCUUUCCUUUCGUCUUCUAAAGAAAAUGCCAACUGUUAGUUUAUCAAGGGGAAAAAGGAUCGACAUCAGUUAUUAUUGAAACUAGUAAGGAAUAAAUAAUGGUGAUAAUGUCCUUAAUAAUUUAACAACAGCACCAUCAGAAUUUGACUUUGAGCUUCGGUCUUAAACAAUGAUCACAAACUACAGCAUCCUUUGAGUUGAAAAAGGAAGUAGGUGAAAAGAAAAGUAAAAAAUACAAUUAGCAUUCCCUCAAAUUGUAGAAAGUUAGGUAGCAUUAUAGACAAGUUGAUAGCGGCAAUUUUACAUUUCAAACUUCACCUAUUCAAUAACUAAUUCGAUGGCUUGCUACAUGGUCAAUCUUUGGACCCCUUCCUGCCUCCAGAUAUCCCUUUCCUCAAUCAGGGGCUUCUACAAUUACCAGUUUCAAUUGUAUGGUAUAGUGUAAAUAUCAACAAAUUAGAUGUAGAUGCUAACAUAAUAAAUGUGAAUGCUAAGACAGCAACAUACAAUCGAACCUGCAAUUGUAUGAACCCCAAUCUCGCUUCCUAGUCCACCAUCUUUCUCUAGGUAAUAAUCUCCCUUCUAAUUUAUUCACAAAAUGCACCUUUCAUCACCUCCAAUAGCGUCGACAUGAUCUUUACCCUAGAAGACUAUUCACCGACUCUCAAUUGACGUCAGAAAAUCUAAGAGUAAUUCUACUUUACCCUAAGAUUGAUAUCAACAAGACAAGGACAAUUUAGAAUUAUUACACGCCUCUUCUUAAUAGGAAAAAGAAAUAGAGAAGAAAGUCAGGCCAGGUCUAAUUUCUUUUCAAAGGCAAUACAACAUUACGAAAUCAAGCAUUCAUUCAUACAAAUAUUUCAUAGUCACCGGUUUGCUGAGUAGAAAAAUUUAGACAAAAACUUAAUAUUAUAUUGUUUAAGAGUUAACAAUUUAGAGCUUAAUCUCCUUGUACUUUGGAGUUAACAAUUUAGAGCUUAAUCUCCUUGUACUUUGGACUAAACUUGAACGUGAAAGGAAAUCCCAAAACCAUAUUGGGCAUGAAUUCACACUUAAUAUACCCAAUAAAAGAUGGCGACUGGUGAAAGGCAGUGGAGACUGGUGGAGAGAUUUGAGGAAUAGAAGCAGACGGAAAAGCAACAAAUUUUUGCCGAAAAACGGUCACUUUCAUGGUUAAUUUUGCUACUCUCCAAUUGUACUUGACCAAUUACAACAAUUUCAUGGAGUUUGAUACGUGAAAAGAAUUUUUUAUAAAUUUUAUUUUGAUCCAUAAUGUUAUCUUUACAUAUAUAAAACAUUUUACAAUUUUGAUUUUGGCGCAGCUAACUUUUGGUUAACAAAAAUGCUCAUGUUUAAAAAACCAGAAAUAAAACAAAACAAGAAACAAAAGAAAUAAGAGGGUAGCAUAGACAUUUUGGAUUUUUCCGUUAAUUUGGAUGAUUUCCACCCACGUUCUAAUUUAAUCCAAAACACAAAGGAAUUACGUAGAGGUUUUAAAUAAUGAGGGAGCUUCAUGAUCGAACCCCAAACCACAAGGCGAUUUACUAUAUUUUACUCUUAAAUUUUGGUUUCAUCUCAUAGCAUACAAGAGUUCUAUUUCACUAUCUGUAGACAAAGACUUUCUAUGGUUGAUGUACCAUAGGAAAAAAUCUGCCUAUACAACGUGAUAGCAUUUUUUCAAAAACACAAGAUGGAAAAUUGCCCCUUAAACGGGGAAAUUCAUGAUCUUUCGUCGAACAAAGAAUACUCACGCCUAUUCAAGAUGGAAAAUUGCCCCCUUAAACGUCUAUUUGUCAAUUCUUGAAAAAAGAAUACUCACGCCUAAAACACGGCCUCUUCAUCUGCAGAAUUCUAAAAAGUUAGGUAAACUCUAUAAACAAGUUGAUAGGUACAAUCGUACCCAAGAUCAAGUACAGAUAGUUGUACAUUAACUGCUGCAAUAACUAAUCUGAUGACUUAUAAACAUAUCAUGGUCAAUCGUUGAAUGGUAAUGAGUCUUUUGUUAUGCAUUAGUAUUAGUGUGUACACUCUAAUAGAUUGAUACUUAUACUCUUUAAAUUAUCAUAAUAAUACCCUUAAUUAACUUUAACUCUUAAAAAGAAUACAUGUUAAUACACGAGUGUGUGUAACCUGAAUUGUUACUUAUAAAUUAGUGUGUAAUAGAUAGGGAUGGCAAUGGGGGCGGGUGCCCGCGGGGGGCUCUCGGGGCGGGGGUUGGGGCGGGGGGGAAUUUUUUCCCCCCGUUUAGAAAUGGGGCAGGGGACGGGGGAGUAUACCCCCGCCCCAUCCCCCGCAAAAAAAAAAUUAUAUAUAAUAUGUAAUUUAAUUAGUUAUAAACUUAUGAUAAUGAUAUUAUUAGUUAGAUGUAUUAUAUAAUGUAUAUUAGUGUAUGUAAUAUAAUUAAUAUUAUCAAUUAUAUGAAUAAUUAGACAUGUCUACUAAUAGAAUUUAUGAAUUAGUUAUACUAAAUUUACUAAUACAUUUAUACUAAAUUUCUAAUUACACUUAAUAGAAUAACACUUUUUUCUAAAACAAAAAAGCACAAACACAAUAAUGAAUUAGUGAUUGUAUGAUAGGGUGUAAUUUUACUAUUUAUUUUAUUAUUAAUUUCCCCUAUCACCUGACCUGAUGUGGAUUAAUUGCUGGAUUCUGCUCACUUUUAGUACUUUGUAUUUAUUUCAGGGAGUAGAACGGAAAUUUGAUAACAGGUGCUAAUUUGGCAGAAAAAGAGUCCAGAUGAUAGAGCUUGCCCCAAGGGCAUUUUUGGAAAGGAGAACUUGUGCCCAUCUUGGUAAUUUGGGAGAAAAGGGAAACAGACAAAAUGGGUCUAACAUGGAUUGGAAGCGGCCGCACAGUAGCAGGGAAGAGGGCAGACGUAAAAGCAAUUGCAGGGGGGAAAAGGAGUUUUUUUAGUUUUUAGCUUAGCAUCUGAUUUUCCCUGGGAGACUUUUGUUAAAGAUUUCCUUUUGGCUGAUAUUACGCAUGGCAGAUGGCUUUUAACUUAUUCCUCCAUCUUUGACUUUUCUUCUUUAGCUUGUGGCAGUGGAUUGCUACUUACGAAUGUCAGCACUUAGCCAUUCGUGGCUUUUGAUCUUUUCUUCCUUAGAAAUUCUGAGUAACCUCUUUUCCUUUGUGCGCCAGACGAAGUGAAAACUAUAAACUUUUGUAGUUUUUCUAUUCAUUCAAUAUAUUGAGACGAGUUGGAUUCUACCAAAUUUCAACGGACAUGGCCGCUGGUUUCUCUUCAAUUUUAUAUGGGCUUUGUUCAUCCAACAUGAACUAAUUUCACCACUCUAGUCAAGGAGCAACGAAGGCUCUGAUUUGCCUAAAAAUUGUGAGAUCGUUUUAAUUUAAUCUUUUCCUUUUAUUUAUUGGUAUCCGCACAUUUCUUGAUUGCUAUGCUUAUGGUUAUUUAAUUAAUUGAUUGUCUUGGAUCCAGAUAAUUAAUUGAUCUGAUAGCCUAUUGUCAAUUAGGGCAUUUAAAUCCGUAAUUGUUUAAUUGUCCUGAAAUAGUGACAACUGGCACGAUUAGAUUCGUGCCAGGGGGGAUAUGCGGGCUAAUCUAAAAUAACCCUGGUAGUGUGUUAUUUGGUUAGAAUAGGGCUCCUCUAAUACUAAGGCAAUUGGGGAAUUAAAUUCUACGGGCGUACCUAGGAUUAUUUCUUAAUUAGAGCAGUGAUUAACGGGCGUACCUUGAUCACCGACACAGUAAGGAGGGGUUGACCGUCAUCGCUUGUUUGGCAGUUAUAACCUAUUUAUCAGUAAAUAAUUGGGAUUGCCUUGCAUCAAUGAUCAAUUAGGUGAACCAUUGUUGAAGUUACUUCUUGGUUAGAUCUUUAGUUAAUAUUACCUUGAUUUUGGUGAAUUGCCAUUUGAUUUUUAGUUGCCUACUUUAUUUUAUUUUUAAUUGUUUCCUUGCUUUAAUUGAGUUAGGCCUUUAAUUAUUGUUAUUCUAAGUUUAGUGAAUUGUGGUUUAAUUCCUAAUUAGUUAUUUAUUUUUACUUUCUUAUUUGAAUUUAUUUGCUUGUUAUCAUUCCUACGAAAUCACCCCCCUGUGUUACUUUGGAUUUCUUAAGAAACAAAUAUACCCAAUCCCUGUGGAUACGACCCUACUUGCUCUGUUCACGAAUUCAUAAUUAUUUGUGAAAAGAAAUAACCAUUCCACUCGGGUAUAUCGGAUCAAGCAAAUUCUUCGGGAACAGGGUGAAUCAAGUAACCCAAUGCACACCUAGAGUCCCUGCUCCAGUACUUGGAAUUGGGUUUUGGUCAUUUUAACUGGCAAUUAGGUUUAAUUUUAUUAUUGCACAGGCUGACGACCCUGUCAAUUUUUGGCGCCGUUGCCGGGGACUGGCGUUAUUAUUUGUUUCUUUUUAAAUUCAUUCUUUGUCCUAAUUUUCUGGUUUUCUUCUAGUGUAUGCCUCGAUCUUCUCGUACAGGUAAUUUGAUUUUUGACCCUGAGGUAGAGAAGACCGCAUGUAGAACGAGAAAGGAAACCAGACAGCUCAGAGAAGAGCACUCCAGUGCUACAUCUCAGAGACCCGAGUCAGAAGUUGAACUAACAGAUUCGUUUGGUAACACUUCGAGUGACUCUGACCAGGAGGAAGACACCAUGGCUAAUGCACGAACAUUAAGGGAGUUGGCUGCUCCUGAUUUAACUCAGCAGCCUUUAUGCAUUACUUUCCCCACUUUAAAUGAUAACAUUCCAUUUGAACUAAAAUCUGGUCUGAUUCAGCUUUUACCCUCUUUUCAUGGUUUACCAGGUGAAGAGCCGUAUAAGCAUCUGCAGGAGUUUGAUGUCGUGUGUAAUAGUAUGAAACCCUCGGGAAUCACAGAAGAGCAGAUAAAAAUGAGGGCAUUCCUCUUCUCCUUGAAAGAUUCUGCGAAGGACUGGCUGUACUACCUGUCACCAGGUAGCAUCACCACGUGGGACCAAUUGAAGAAAAAAUUUUUGGAUAAAUAUUUUCCUGCGUCCAGGGCUGCAAGUCUAAGGAAAGAAAUUUGUGGGAUCAAGCAGCAUCCAGGGAAGUCACUUUAUGAGUAUUGGGAACGGUAUAAGAACUUGUUGCGCAGGUGCCCCCAACACCAAAUAAGUGAGCAAUUGAUCAUACAGUAUUUUUAUGAGGGGCUCCUUUUUAGAGACAGGAGCAUCAUUGAUGCCAGGGGGGAGGGUUGGGAUGGGUGGUACGGGGGGAGGGAGUGUAAGCAAGAGGUCUCGGGUUCGAGUCCUCCCGCUUACACACAAAAAAAAAGAUGCUGCAAGUGGAGGGGCACUGGUAAACAAAACCCCUCAGGAAGCACGGGAGUUAAUAGAGGGGAUGGCAGAGAAUUCACAACAAUUCAGUACAAGAGAGGAUGUCCCAAUACGUAAGGUGAAUGAGGUAGAGACACCCUCUAUGCAGCAGCAGCUAACUGAGUUGACCGCGUUUGUUAGGCAACUGGCUGUGAGAAAUGCAUCACAAGCCAGGGUGUGCGGGAUUUGCACUGGUAUGGGUCAUUCUGCAGACAUGUGCCCAAUGAUUCAGGAAGAAACUGCAGAACAGGUGAACAUGGCUGACCACGCGCCCGCGCCAAGGAAGCAGUACGACCCUUACUCAAGCACCUACAACCCCGGGUGGAGAGAUCAUCCCAACCUCAGUUAUGGAGAAAAUAGGCAGCCCAACAUUACACCGAACAGGCAGUCUAACUUUGUGCCAAAUAGGCCACCAGGGUACCAGCAGCAAUAUCAACCCCGACCACCUCCGUCCCCAAGCUCUGGCCCAUCUUUGGAGGAGAUGAUGAAACAAAUGAUGACAACUAUGGCUCAAAAUCAGCAAAUGACGGAGGCAACCAUUAUGCAAAAUCAGCAAAGGACGGACUCCGAAAUGAAGGAUAUAAGGAAUCAGAUAAGUCAAAUGGUCACAACAAUCAACCGUUUGGAUUCCCAGAACCAAGGUAAAUUGCCAUUUCAGCCCGAAUUAAAUUCGAAGAACGUGAGCGCAAUGACCCUAAGGAGCGGGAAAGAAAUUCAGGGGUCUGAACCUGUGAUCCCUAAGGAUAAGGAUGAGGAAAAGAUCGAAAAUGAGCUUGAAAGGGAGGACAGCAAUGGUGCAGAUCUAAAGGUACUUCCUGACCCAAUAAUUACAGCUAAAACUAACCCGCCUCCUUUUCCUAGCAGGUUGGAAAAAUCGAAAAAAGAGGAUAAGGAGAAGGAGAUCUUGGAGGUUUUUCGCAAGGUUGAGAUAAAUAUCCCCCUCUUAGACGCAAUCAGACAAGUACCAAAAUAUGCCAAGUUCCUAAGGGACUUGUGUGUCAACCGAAGGCAGUUGAGGGAAGAUGAACGGGUUAUUGUUGGGGAGAAUGUGUCAGCAGUCCUGCAGAGAAAGCUCCCACCAAAGUGCGGGGACCCAGGUAUGUUUACUAUUCCCUGUAGGAUAGGUAAUACUGUGAUAGAAGGGCCAUGUUGGAUCUGGGAGCAUCAAUUAAUCUCAUACCUAAAUCUAUCUAUGCUUCUCUAAAAUUAGGUCCAUUAAAAGAAACUGGAAUAAUCAUUCAAUUAGUUGACCGAACUAAUGCAUAUCCUGAUGGGUUGGUUGAAGAUGUGUUGGUAAAAGUUAAUGAUUUGAUGUUUCCAGCUGAUUUUUAUGUACUUGAUAUGGAUGAUGAUCACUCCCCUGAUCCCUCACCUCUGUUAUUGGGUAGACCCUUUAUGAGCACAGCACAGACGAAAAUUGAUGUUAAUAAGGGUAUCUUGUUCAUGGAGUUUGAUGGGAAAAUUGUGCAUUUCAAUAUCUUUGAUACUAUGAAAUAUCCCUCAAACUCCAACUUUAGCACAGUUUUCUCUGUGAGUGCUAUUGACCCUGUAGUGCAGGAAGUGUUUGAAACUGAUGGCAGGGAUGAGUUGGAGGUGGCUUUGACCAAGCACCUCGAGUUGGAGACAACUCCUGAGGUGGAAUGGAGCGAGGACCUAAAAUGCACAAUAGGUGCAUUACACUCAUUGCAGUCCACCACGAAAAGGUAUGAAGUCUUACCUAUUUUUACUCCCGAACCUCACCAGAGGGUGUUGCCAUCUGUGGUGCAGGCACCUGUACUAGAAUUUAAACCUCUAUCAGAGCACCUGAAAUAUGCAUAUCUGGGUGAUAAUGAGACACUCCCGGUGAUUAUCUCAUCGACACUGUCAAAAAUCCAGGAGGAGAAACUGAUCCGGGUCCUUAGAGAGCAUAAAGAGGCGAUAGGUUGGACAAUCGCAGAUAUUAAGGGGAUCAGCUCGGCCAUCUGUAUGCACCGGAUUAGACUAGAAGAGGAUGCCAAACCUGUUAGGCAGGCUCAAAGGAGGCUCAACCCCCUAAUGAUGGAAGUUGUAAAGAAAGAAAUUUUAAAAUUGCUAGAUGUGGGGAUUAUUUUUGCAAUAUCAGAUAGCCCUUGGGUAAGCCCGAUCCAGGUAGUCCCAAAGAAGGCAGGGGUGACGGUGGAGGCAAACCAAACGGGUGAGCUCGUGCCAGUGCGCAAACCCACUGGAUGGAGGCAGUGUAUAGACUACCGUAGGCUAAACGCCGUCACCAAAAAGGACCAUUUCCCUCUCCCUUUCAUUGACCAAAUGGUUGAACGUUUAGCUUGUAGAGCUUAUUAUUGCUUUUUGGAUGGAUUUUCAGGAUACUUUCAGAUAGCAAUUGCUCCAGAGGAUCAAGAGAAGACAACCUUCACGUGCCCGUUCGGGACCUUUGCUUAUAGACGAAUGCCAUUUGCGUUGUGCAAUGCACCUGCAACAUUCCAGAGGUGUAUGGUAAGUAUUUUUUCUGAAUAUGUGGAGAAAAUUAUUGAAGUUUUCAUGGACGAUUUCAGUGUGUAUGGUGAUAGUUUUGAUACGUGUUUAGAUAAUCUGAAAUUGAUCCUGAUAAGGUGUAUAGAGACUAAUCUUGUGCUUAAUUGGGAAAAAUGUCAUUUUAUGGUUGAGCACGGGAUAGUCCUGGGUCAUAUUGUAUCGUCUAAGGGCAUAGAAGUUGACAAGGCUAAAAUAGAUAUUAUUUUUGCAUUACCUUACCUCGCGAGUGUGCGGAAGGUGCGUUCUUUUCUUGGACAUGCAGGUUUUUAUCGAAUGUUCAUCAAGGAUUUUUCAAAAAUUGGAGCCCCGUUAUUCCAACUCCUACAAAAGGAUGUGACCUUCGAAUUCGAUGAUAAGUGUGAGGAAGCCUUCAACAAGUUGAAAGAAUUGUUGACCUCACCCCCAAUUAUCCAGCCCCCUGAUUGGAGUCUACCAUUUGAGAUCAUGUGCGAUGCCAGUGAUCAUGCCGUAGGGGCUGUAUUGGGGCAAAGAGUAGGGAAGGCAGCUCACGUCAUCUACUAUGCAUCCCGAGCAUUGAAUGGAGCCCAAUUGAAUUACUCCACUACUGAAAAGAAGCUUCUUGCAGUUAUUUUUGCUUUAGAAAAAUUCAGGUCAUAUUUGCUAGGUGCUAAAGUAAUUGUAUUUUCUGACCAUGCAGCAUUAAGGUACCUAAUGACCAAGAAAGAUGCCAAACUGAGGCUCAUUAGGUGGAUAUUGCUACUGCAGGAAUUUGACCUGGAGAUACGGGAUAAAAGGGGCUCAGAGAAUUUAGUAGCUGACCAUCUGAGUCGUAUACCCGUUGGAGAGGAUAAUGAACCAUUGAGGGAUGCGUUCCCUGAAGAGCACUUAUUUUCUUUAAAUUCUCAGUUGCCUUUGUAUGCCGAUCUGGUCAAUUAUUUGGUAACUGGUAAUUUUCCUGCAGGUUGACCAAAAUCGAAGAGGGAUAAAUUGAAGAGCGACGCCAAGUAUUUUAUUUGGGACGACCCGUACCUAUGGAAGAGGUGUGCAGAUCAAGUGAUGCGGAGAUGUGUAAGUGAAAUGGAAUUUCAAUCGAUUUUAGCUUUUUGUCAUACUUUUGCCUGUGGAGGUCAUUUGGACCCAAGAGAACUGCUCAUAAGGUUUUAGAAAGUGGAUUUUAUUGGCCUUCAUUGUUUAAGGAUGCCUAUGUGUUUUGUAAGUCAUGUGAUCGCUGUCAAAGGGUAGGUAAUAUACCCCGUAGAGAUCAAAUGCCCCAAGUCCCGUUGAUUUUUAUUGAAAUUUUUGAUGUCUGGGGUAUAGAUUUCAUGGGGUCUUUUCCUACUUCAUUUGGUUUUUUAUAUAUUUUGCUGGCAGUUGAUUAUGUGUCUAAAUGGGUGGAGGCUAAGGCCACUCGAACUAAUGACUCGAAAGUAGUUGCAAAUUUUGUCAGGUCUAAUAUUUUUGUGCGAUUUGGAAUGCCUAGUGCUAUUGUCAGUGAUAGGGGAACGCACUUUUGCAACAAAAUCAUAGCUGCGUUGUUUCGCAAGUAUGGUGUACUCCAAUGGGUCUCAACGUCGUACCACCCUCAGACCAAUGGUCAAGCGGAGGUGUCGAAUCGAGAGAUCAAGUCUAUCUUGGAGAAAAUGGUGCGCCCCGAUAGGAAAGACUCGAGUCAAAGGCUGGAGGACGCACUUUGGGCCUAUCGGACGGCGUACAAGACUCCUAUAGGGAUGUCACCGUACAGGUUGGUAUUUGGGAAGCCGUGUCACCUUCCAGUGGAGUUUGAGCACAAAGCUUUUUGGGCGAUAAAGUAAUGCAACAUGAAUUUAGAGGAAGCCGGUGCCCAACGAAAGUUGGAUUUGCAAGAAUUAGAAGAGAUCCGGAACGAGGCUUACGAAAAUGCACUAAUUUAUAAGGAGAGAAGCCGGAUAUUUCAUGAUCAACAAAUUUCAAGAAAAUCCUUUGAAGUUGGUCAGAAGGUCCUACUAUACCAAUCCAGGCUCAAGCUAUUCCCAGGUAAACUACGUUCCCGUUGGAUUGGACCUUUUCUUGUUACUCAUGUUUUUCCAUAUGGUGCAGUUGAAAUCCGGAGCGCUAAAACAGACAACAAAUUUGUGGUGAAUGGACACCGUCUCAAGCAUUACUACGAAGGAUUUUCAGGUGAAAAGGUGGAGACAAUAAGUCUAGACGCGCCACCGUGUCCUAAUCAGUGACAUUUUACUAUGUCUAGCCAAAGACAUUAAAGACAGGCGCUCAUUGGGAGGCAACCCAAUUGUCCCUUUUAAUUAUUUGUUUGAUUUCGUGUGAUAGUUUAAAUAUGUUUUCCUUGAAUUCGACUGAUUUUGGGUUUCAGUUUUCGUUUUUGCUGAAUUGUAGGUGACCUUCAGUCUUGACGCGCCCGCGUGAUGACAUGCAGGAAGCUCACGAUCAGAAUCGUCUGAAAGCUCUCUUGCCCUUUUGACGCACCCGCGUGAUGACGUGCAGGAAGCUCACGAUCAGAAUCGUCUGAAAGCUCUCUUGCCCUCUUGACGUGCCCGCGUCACGUUCGCAGGAAAGGUACGGGUUUCAAAAAUUUAAAGAAAAAAUAAUAAUAAUAAUAAUUUAAAAUUUUGAAAUUAACUUCCGUAAAAAAAAAAAAGAAGAAAAAAAAUUUCACCGUGGCUUAAAUAGAGCCUAAAGAAGAGAAAAAAGAAACAAUUUCUUUCUUUUUUUUUUCUUUUUCUUCUUUCUUCCUUCUUUCUUUCUUUCUUCUUUCUCUUUUCCCUCUCUCUUCUCCCCUGUUUCUUCUCCCCUGUCCGUCGCCCGUGCGCCCCAUCGCUGCUCCACCUCCACACGCACGCCGACGCUGCGAGCCACCUGCGACCCCAGCGCCAGAUCUGGACCAUCGCCGAAACCCGCAGCCUCCGCCACCUCCACCUGAGCUCUGCCUCGCGCGCAACCCAGCUGCUCUGCGCCCGAAGCUCCACCGCCGCCACAGCCUCCCCACGCAGCUCCCUGCUCACGCGGCCACAAGCCCAUUGGAAACGGGACAGAGACUGCCGCCGAGCCACUUGCCCGCGUGACCGCCGCUGUUUUCCACCACCUCCCUCACGCGAGCUCUUUCCCUCUCAGCAGCAAUCCACUUCACAGCGCACCCGCUGCGCGCCGUCGCAGCCCUCGCAGCUCCAGCCCGUCUGGUCUAGUCCGCCGCGCGCACCAACCACCCACGGACGCUACCCCCAUCGCUAACCCACGCGGCCUCCACUCCAGUCUGUCCGCCGCCGCUGCUCGUGUCUCCCUUGCGCACCUCACGCCACCCGCUACUGUCCCCUUCCGUUUGGUUAGCAUCCACGGUGGAGGUAAUUGGAGGUUAUUUUCUCAAUUGUGUGACUUCCGCCUGUGAUACUGGUUGCAUUAUUUUUGCUGGGAAUUGCUACUUCUUUUGGGUUGGGUUCAACUGUGCAAUUAAUUGGCCAACUGGAGCCAUUUGUUGGGAUUUUGGGUGAGCUGAAAUACUGCAUUUGUGUGUUACAUUGGGAGGUUUAUUGGGUACAUUCUAACCGCUGUUUUCCAUUGUUACUCUCGCUGGGGUGUCUAUUAAAUUGCGAUUGAAGUAUUUUGGAUAUUGCAUGUUGAGAUUGAGGUUUCAUUGAAUUUGGCCUACGUUCUGCCCCCAGUGGUACUGGUGGGAAUAUUUUCAAUUGAAUUUGUUACCUCUAGUUGGUUGGCUACAUUAUUAUGGUCGAAUUCCUAAGUUGUCGUCAUUGCAUUUGUUGAUCUUGAUUUGGGGCAUUAACCGGCCAACUGGAGCCAUCUGUGCGUUUUUAGGCGCUAUUAUUGGUUUCUUCUCCCUUAACUUUGUCAACUAUAUUUGGUUGGGUAUUUGGUUGACUGCCACGGACUUGUAACUGUGUUUUGCUUCUAAUUGACCAGUUGCACAGCAGUUUUUUUUUAAUUGAUAGGGUGGUUAUACCUCUGGAUAUUUGUAUCCACUGGUUUGAGGACAUGGUGAGACCAAAAUCCUCCUCUAGGUCUAGGACCCCUAGAACCUCGCAAUCCCAACCCCAAGCCUCUACUCUAGUCAAUACCCCUAUAAAUCAACCUACUGCUCCCGGUGUCCGAACCUGGUUAGGUAGGGGUAGAGGUGCCCACGUGGCUUCCGCCACUCACUUGGGAGGGCAUUUGGAAUUCACUAGAGCCGCCGAUCAGCGACGCUAUGCUCAAGCUUGUGAGCGGCGUAUCAUUCCGUGCAAAUGCGCGGACCACAUUACUAUGGUUUUUCUGGGGAUCCAAGGGGAGGUUGAGCGCAUGUACACCGCCAUUGGAUGGCGCCCCUAUCUGGAUAUUUUCCAGCCAGCCUUUGUCGAGUUGACUAGAGAGUUUUACACCACUUUUAAGUUUGAAUUACCGACUAGGUAUACUGUUGCGACUCCCGAUAUCAUUCACUUCCGUCUCAUGGGCCAGGAAUUCAAUUUCUCUAUCACCCAGUUCAAUCUGGCUUUCGGUUUCAUCACUCGGGAGUAUGCAGAGACUAGGGAAUACGGUGAGAGUGCCUGCGAUUUUGUGGAACCUUUCCUUACCGCCUACCGUGAGGUGUGGGAGGACAUGUCUGUGGACAUGCAGCGUUACGAUCCCUCUCGGUCUCGGAGCUCCUUUCUAGAGGACCCGAGUGCUCGGUAUGUUCAGCGGCUUUUAGCAUAUAGCUACUCGGGCAGAAAGAACAGCUUCGGUAUUAUCUCUCGGCCGGAGCUCUUCUUCCUUUGGUGUAUGAAGAAUGGGUUCAAGGUCAAUUUGGGUUGUUGGUUGGCGGCACAGUUCAAGACCGUCAUGGCAAAGAAGAACAAGCCGUUGAUUCUUGGGUCGUAUAUCACGUACUUGGCGGUCCAGCUAGGCGUUCUGAAUCUACAGGAUCACGAUUUGCACUUGGCCUGCGACAUGGAGUAUCUCACUGCUGACCGGCUAGAGAAGAUGGGGGUUCUGGAGCUUGUCGAUGGCCACUACCGAUUUGUGCCCCCGGGACCGCCCCGCGCCCCGCCUCGCUCUUCCUCCACCCAUUCGGCCCCAGUUGGCGGUGAUCCUGGCCCGUCGACAUCCGCUCAGCUCCCUCCACCAGCAGGGGCUGAAGAUUGGCACCAAAUCAGGACGCAGAUUCAGAAUUUGGACGCCCGGAUGAUUAGCAUCGAGAGCAACGUGGCGGCUAUAUCACAGAAUCUGGCGGCAUUCCUGCAGCACUCGGGUUUCCCGCCCCCAAUCCCACCUCACCCUCCACUAUGACCCGGUUUCAGGGAAGUUUGGUUACUUUCUCCCUCACUUUUGUUGUUUUUUGACACAUUGAGGACAAUGUGUCCUAUAGGUGUGGGGGGGUCUAUAGUCUUUCUAGUUUUUAGUAGUUGUUAGUUUUUAGUUUUUUAGUAGUUUUAGUUUUAUUUCUAGUUGCGUAUUUUCUUUCUUUUCUUAGUGCUUAUUCCCCAUGUGAAAAGAAAAAGAAAACAAAAAAAAAGAGAAAAAAAUGUUGGUUUAUUGACUCUAACUCUACUUUUGCCAAGUUUUUUUUAAAUAAAAAUGUAUCGGGUUAAUGUGGUUGGAUCCAGAAUAUCUCCCUGGUGAAUAUCGGAUUGCUUGGCUCUUUUGAUUUCUGUGUUAAUUUCUCUAGGCAUAGGGAAUGACUGUUGGCAUUUUAAUGUGAACUGGUCCAAUAUUGACUCCAGUUCUCUAUGUUUGGCAAUAAUGAGGCGAGCUGUUCCUAUUUUUGGUUCUUAGUGUUGUUAUUAUGUGUUUUUGGCUUUGUUUGGCUGUGAAUAAUCUGGACUGUACUCCGCUAUGAGUUACUACUGAGUAACCGAGGAUCGGCACCUAAAAGUGUCGAUUCUCGCGUCAAAAGGUGGUACUUUAUAUGAGUACGUGGUCGUAUAGCAGUAGGAGCUGAGUAACCGGGCUCCUUCAUCUAAAAAUGUUGGAGUUCGCGUCAAAAGGCCCCGACGGCUAACGACUAAGUCUUUUUGUGUUAAUUAUUAUUGCUUUGAAAAACAAAAAAAAAAAAGAACGAAAAAAGAGAGAAUAAAUAAUAGGAAGGCUUGCCGGUUUAUGGACUUAAUAUGGAGACUUGUGUGAAUAUUUGGACCAUUAGCUAAUAAAUGUUGUGCGCCAUUCCCUUUUCUUAGAGUAGUUAACCUGGAAAUUGAAGGAAUUUGCAGUUUAGGGGCUAACCGGGGGGGAGGCUUCUUGGAUUUUAAUCACCAAUGCUCGAUAUAUGUUUUUCUCUUGAAGAUCUUGGCAAUAUAGGAGAUUGGACAAUGGCCAUCAUCGAAUUUUGGUGUUCGUUUACUAUUCUUAUGCUUGAGGACAAGCAUGGUUUAGGUGUAGGGGGAAUUGAUAGGGUGUAAUUUUACUAUUUAUUUUAUUAUUAAUUUCUCCUAUCACCUGACCUGAUGUGGAUUAAUUGCUGGAUUCUGCUCACUUUUAGUACUUUGUAUUUAUUUCAGGGAGUAGAACGGAAAUUUGAUAACAGGUGCUAAUUUGGCAGAAAAAAGUCCAGAUGAUAGAGCUUGCCCCAAGGGCAUUUUUGGAAAGGAGAACUUGUGCCCAUCUUGGUAAUUUGGGAGAAAAGGGAAACAGACAAAAUGGGUCUAACAUGGAUUGGAAGCGGCCGCACAGUAGCAGGGAAGAGGGCAGACGUAAAAGCAAUUGCAGGGGGGAAAAGGAGUUUUUUUAGUUUUUAGCUUAGCAUCUGAUUUUCCCUGGGAGACUUUUGUUAAAGAUUUCCUUUUGGCUGAUAUUACGCAUGGCAGAUGGCUUUUAACUUAUUCCUCCAUCUUUGACUUUUCUUCUUUAGCUUGUAGUAGUGGAUUGCUACUUACGAAUGUCAGCACUUAGCCAUUCGUGGCUUUUGAUCUUUUCUUCCUUAGAAAUUCUGAGUAGCCUCUUUUCCUUUGUGCGCCAGACGAAGUGAAAACUAUAAACUUUUGUAGUGUUUCUAUUCAUUCAAUAUAUUGAGACGAGUUGGAUUCUACCAAAUUUCAAUGGACAUGGCCGCUGGUUUCUCUUCAAUUUUAUAUGGGCUUUGUUCAUCGAACAUGAACUAAUUUCACCACUCUAGUCAAGGAACAACGAAGACUCUGGUUCGCCUAAAAAUUGUGAGAUCGUUUUAAUUUAAUCUUUUCCUUUUAUUUAUUGGUAUCCGCACAUUUCUUGAUUGCUAUGCUUAUGGUUAUUUAAUUAAUUGAUUGUCUUGGAUCCAGAUAAUUAAUUGAUCUGAUAGCCUAUUGUCAAUUAGGGCAUUUAAAUCCGUAAUUGUUUAAUUGUCCUGAAAUAGUGACAACUGGCACGAUUAGAUUCGUGCCAGGGGGGAUAUGCGGGCUAAUCUAAAAUAACCCUGGUAGUGUGUUAUUUGGUUAGAAUAGGGCUCCUCUAAUAUGUAAGGCAAUUGGGGAAUUAAAUUCUACGGGCGUACCUAGAAUUAUUUCUUAAUUAGAGUAGUGAUUAACGGGCGUACCUUGAUCACCGACACAGUAAGGAGGGGUUGACUGCCAUCGCUUGUUUGGCAGUUAUAACAUAUUUAUCAGUAAAUAAUUGGGAUUGCCUUGCAUCAAUGAUCAAUUAGAUGAACUAUUGCUGAAGUUACUUCUUGGCUAGAUCUUUAGUUAAUAUUACCUUGAUUUUGGUGAAUUGCCAUUUGAUUUUUAGUUGCCUACUUUAUUUUAUUUUUAAUUGUUUCCUUGCUUUAAUUGAGUUAGGCCUUUAAUUAUUGUUAUUCUAAGUUUAGUGAAUUGUGGUUUAAUUCCUAAUUAGUUAUUUAUUUUUACUUUCUUAUUUGAAUUUAUUUGCUUGUUAUCAUUCCUACGAAAUCACCCCCCUGUGUUACUUUGGAUUUCUUAAGAAACAAAUAUACCCAGUCCCUGUGGAUACGACCCUACUUGCCCUGUCCACGAAUUCAUAAUUAUUUGUGAAAAGAAAUAACCAUUCCACUCGGGUAUAUCGGAUCAAGCAAACUCUUCGGGAACAGGGUGAAUCAAGUAACCCAUUGCACACCUAAAAUCCCUGCUCCAGUACUUGGAAUUGGGUUUUGGUCAUUUUAACUGGCAAUUAAGUUUAAUUUUAUUAUUGCACAGGCUGACGACCCUGUCAUUGUAUUUGUACCAAAAGUGAAAACUUAACUAUUUUAGUUGUAUUUAUUUCAUCAUGUUGGAUUGUAUUCAAAUAAUUUUUGUUUGAUUGUUUUUAUAAGUUUCAAUUGUAAAAUUAAAAUGAAUAAUAACUUGAUGAUGUGUUGAUAUUUUAGUACUUGAUUAUUUAUUAAAAUUUAAUUAUAAUAAAAUUUUAUUAACUCAACGAGAAAAAUUUUAUUAAUCCCGUGGGGGCACCCGCGGGGAAAGCGGGGCGGGGCGAGGGGAGUGGGAGGCGGAGGACGGGGCGGGGGCGGGGGAUGGGGGAGGGGUCCCCCGCCCCAACCCCGCCAUCCCCCGUCCCGUUGUCAUCCCUAGUAAUAGACUGGCAAGCAUUGUGGUGGUCAUUGAGCAACUUAUAGGAGAAAUAGUCCUAUAAGCUGUUCAAUGACCAAUCACAACUUGCUAAUUGGAUGACUAAUAUAGCUCUAGCUGUAAUGUUUUAAUUAAAUUACAUCACUAACGUUGGGAUGACUUUUUAACCAAAAAAAAAAAGCCUUAGUUCAAGCUUUUCCCUUUAUUGUGCAUUUUUUAAAGCAUUUGAAAGGCACUGCAAAUCUGUCAUUUUGGACAUUUUAUUAUUGACUAACAAUGAAAGCCGUGGACGUCUACCCAUAACCAACACAAGAUUAAAUUAAUAUUAGAAAAAAUAAUUGAGUAAUUGGAAAAAAAAAAAAAAGAAGAGUCUAAUUUUCAUUGAAACCCACCGACAAACUAUACGUGUCCAUGGCUUUUGAAUAGUGCAUUCAACGUUUAAUUGUAUGGUCCAGUUCAUUGCAGAUUACAUGGAGUAAAGAUUGCGCUCUUUCCUUUUCACCCCUUUUGGAAUCGAUACUGUGGAGAAUUGGGUUUUUCCCUCCUUUUUUUCUUUUCUUUCCUUCUGUGGUUUGCAAAACAUACGUAAAAAUAUGAAAUCCGAAGCAUUCUUUAAUUGGUAUUAAGUAUUGUUGUUGAAAUUAAAAAGAAAAAAGAAAGAACAACAAAAUUCCCAAUCUGGGUUGAUUGUUGAGCUCUAGAUUGGUUGCAUCGUGCUUCCAUAGAAGCAAGAUUUGUAAAAUCGGAAUCCUACAUAGGAUCGAUUUUAGUUUCACAGGAUCGGAUUGUAAAAUCGUAAGAUCCUACCAAAAGCUCUCAAUUGCAAUUAAAGGUUGCAAUUCUUUAAUAAAUUACAAAUAUACCACAAAUAUUUUCAUUUACUUGCAAAAUGGAGCUUCGUAUUUCACAAAUUUACAAAAAAAUUGUAGGAUCGUACGAUCCUACCGAUCCUACGAUCCUACACGAUCCUACCGAUCCUGCUACGAUUCUAUGCGAUCCUACAAAGAUUAAUAUGAUUUGCGACUCUGCAUACGAUCCGGAUCGAUUUUGGUUAUCCGGAUCGUAGGAUCGUAUGAUCCUACGAUCCGGAUCGCGAUUUUGACAACUAUGCAUAGAAGCUCUCUUAGUGUGAUACACUGCUUUCAAUCAGUUUAACACGGGAAAAAAAAAAAGAGAUGAAAAGCAAAUUUGGUGGAGAUAAUUUCAGAAACCUCCCCUGAAGAUUUUGACUAUUCUACUGGUUUCCCUUCAGAUUUUAAAAAUUACACUAAUCUUCCUUGAAGUUAAUUAUCUUGUAACAUUUAAAUUCAAUCAAUAAUUUAAAAAAUGAUAUUAUGAGAGAGAAAAUAAUAUGAUUUUAUCAUUGCCCCCCAUCUUACUACAUUAUUUAAUUAAUUUAAUAGCAACCCACACAUUAAAGAAAAAUAUUAAAAUUUGUUGUUUAUCAUUAAAGAUCAAAUCGCUUAUAACAUCAAAUAAUAGUAUAUUAUUUAUAUUUUUCACUUAAUAUAAUAUCCAAAUUACUCUUUUCAAUUACAUACCCAUUGUUAGAGAAUCAACAACAAAUAACCAAAAAAUUUGCAACCAAAAUAUUACAAAAAAAAUAAACUUUAACAUCAUAAAUAUUCUUAUCAACAUAUUAAAGUUAGUUACUGAAAUUUUUAUGCUGUUAAACUUCACUCUUUUUGAAUACAGAUUUUUUUGAUUAUUUGUUAUUAAUUAUGUUUGAUGAUGGGUUUAUAAUUGAAAAGAACAAUUUGAAACUUACAUUAAGUAAAAUAUAUAGAGUGAUAUACUAUUUUUUAUAACAUAUGUGAUUCAAUCCUUCUUGAUAGGAUUGGUAAUAGAGGUAGAGGGGGGAGUCGGCUGCAUCCGGUCUUCUUUUCAUAGAUAGUACAAUAUUGCGAAAUCAAUCGCAUUCACACAAUAAUAUUUCGAAGUCAAUGCAUGGCUAAGUUGCAUAAAAGUACGAACACUUGUUAUUAUAUAGCUUAAGAUUCAAAACUUUCGAGCAUAACCCUCCACCCAACACAAUUGAAUAAUGAAUAUUCACGAUUGUCAAAUCUGUCAAAGCACAGUUUGAGGACAACCCAUUCCAACCUGCAAAAGAUUUUUUACUUUUCUAAAGUUGUUGAGAGCUGUAAAAAGACUUACCAUGCUUGCAUCCUCCGAGCCUUGGGAGUUAAAAAUGAAGGCACUGAGUGCUAUAAAAAGGGGAAUAGAGGCUGCCUAGAAGCAUAUCAGCCUAAAACAAGAAUUUGUAGUUAAGAUGGGAAGCAAAGCAAAAGCAAUGGGGUCUGGGCUGACUCCUCUUCUUGCCACUGUUUUAGUGGUGUUUGUUGCUCUUGGCUUGCCCUCACAAACUGCAGCUGAUGAUCACUACAAGUAUUCAUCUCCUCCUCCUCCUUACCACUAUCCCUCACCACCACCACCAGUGCAUAUACCUCCACCUCAUCCUGUUUACAAGUACAAAUCUCCACCACCCCCACCACCACACCCAGUUUACAAGUAUAAGUCACCACCACCACCUCCUCAUCCGGUAUACAAGUAUAAGUCUCCUCCGCCACCACCACACCCAGUUUACAAGUACAAGUCACCACCACCACCUCCUCAUCCGGUACCACACCCAGUUUACAAGUAUAAGUCACCUCCACCACCUCCUCAUCCGGUACCCACAGUUUACAAGUAUAAGUCACCACCACCACCUCCUCAUCCGGUAUACAAGUAUAAGUCUCCUCCGCCACCACCACACCCAGUUUACAAGUAUAAGUCACCACCACCACCUCCUCAUCCGGUGCCACACCCAGUUUACCACUACAAGUCACCACCACCACCUCCUCAUCCGGUACCACACCCAGUUUACCACUACAAGUCACCACCACCUCCUCACCCAGUUUACAAAUACGAGUCUCCACCACCACCAGUUUAUAAGUACAAGUCACCACCACCUCCUCCACCAGUUUACAAGUAUAAAUCUCCUCCACCACCACCACCAGUUUACCACUACAAGUCUCCACCACCUCCUCCCCCAGUUUACAAAUACAAGUCUCCACCACCUCCUCACCACUACUAAGCAAUUGCUUCUGAGGUAAUAACACUUGUUCAAUAUACCCACUUCUGCAUGAUAAAGCAUAUCUCUAUCAACACAAACUGUCAUGUCUAUCAUGCUAAGUGCCUUCACUUCAUCCACCAAAAUGACUGCUAGAAAAUUUUUUUUAUGUUACCAAAGAAAGGCAUCAUUUUUUCCCUCUGUUAUCAAGAACUUGUACAGUAUAUAGAUUAAAGAGUAUUUUUUUAACUAGCUUAUCAACUGAGAAAUGCAUAUAGCUGAUAGCCAGCUGAAUAUUUGCAGGCAAAGGAGAAGGAAACCAUGUUUGAGACCUUCUUGAAGAUGUAGAAGCAUAAGAAUAAAAGCCCAAUGUGAAGAUGAUGAUUUCAAGUUUUUCUACGUUACCAUUUCUUUAUCUAAAUUGGUUGUAGCGCCCAAGUUCCUUUGUUUAUGGGAUUUGUAUCGUUUUACGUACCAUGCAGUACAUGUCAUGUUUGUAAGGUUUUCUAUCCUGCCGGCAAACCGCAGGUUCCAUGUGAUAAAUGAAUACUAUUUAUGUUACGACACUUUUCUCUGUUUCUCUUAUAUUUUGUCUUUAAUAUUCUUAAUCAUAUUUUUAACAAAAAUAUUCAAACACUUAGGCAAUCUGGUCUAAUGCUAAUUGUAUGUUUUACUUUUCUUUUUCACCUGCUCCCCUUUUCAACUCAAAAGGAUGCAAUAGUUUGUGAUCACUGUUUAAGACGGAAGCAUGAUACUAAUGAAUAUCUCAUUGAAACUCAAGGAAACUAACAUUGCGAAAAGUGUAAAUCUUGAUUUGAUGCAACUAUUUAUUCGUGGAAUCUAUAGUUACAAAACUCAAAUUCUGACUGCGCCAUUGAUAAAUUAUUAAUGACGCUAUCAUCAUUAUUUAUCCCUAACUAGUUUCGACUACAACUGAACCCAAUAUUUUCCCCAUGAUAAAAGUUUUUGACUAUUUUACUGGCCUCUCUUCAAAUUUUAAAAAUUACACUAAUCUUCAUUGAGAUUAAUUAUCUUGUAACAUUUAAGUCCAAUUAAUAAUUAAAAAAUGAUAUUAUGAGAGAGAAAAUAAUAUAAUUUUAUCAUUGCCCCCCAUCUUGCUAUAUUAUUUAAUUAAUUUAAUAGCAACCCACACAUUAAAGAAAAAUACUAAAAUUUGCUGCUUUUCAUUAAAGAUCAAAUUGCAUAUGCCAUAAAACAUAGUAUAUCAUUCUAUAUGUUUCACUUAAUGUAAGAUCCCAAUUGUUCUUUUCAAUUACAAACCCAUUGUCAAACAUGAUCAAUAACAAAUAAUCAAAAAAUUUGCAACCAAAAUAUUACAAAAAAAAACUUUAACAUCAUAAAUAUUCUUACCACCUCUAGUGCAUUCACCCUCAUAAAAUAAUUCAAGACCCUACUGUCAUAAAAUGACUGAUCAACUCCUGUAAACCUAAUUUGACAACAUUUAAAUGGAGAACUUUAGCUAAAAGAAUUAUGGUCAAGCUAAAGAAAAAACCAGUUAUUUUCCAACAUAUGCAACCAUUGAUCAGGGGAAAAAAAAAAGCAAAAAGACAUCUUCAAUCAUUUAAUAGCUUACAGGGCAAAUUAACCCUUGAGUGAAAACUGGUUGCUCUAGAAUUAAAAUUUUACCUUAGUUACCCAGGCAACUUUUUUGUUGCCUUUUCUUUUUCUUUUUUGGGUAUAUAGCUCCAGUUUUGCCCCCUCUGUCAAGCUUAUAUAAUUAUUAAGAUAAUAAAAGUGCCUUUAAUAGUAUUAAUAUAUCCAUUGACUUGAGCUGUCAUCGAUCGGUUUGGGCUACUUCGAUUCCAUGAGAACAAAUGGUAAUAAAAGUACUCAGAAAAUGGGGAGUCAUGAAACCCUUUUGUUCUAUUCAUUGCUAAGAUGCUUUUCUCUAUAAAGAGACUUCCUAACGAAAAUACUUUGUAGAUUUCUUUACUCCAAGUGGUGCAUGGAAAAUUAAUAUUUUCAAUUAUCAAAUAAAAUUCCCUUUUUUCGGCGUAGAUUUCAUCCAUCCAGCUGUUAACACAUUCUAUAAAUCCGAAUUGACUAAUCUUUUCGUUUCCAUUUUCCAACUUGCGAAUACGGCAUAUAGUGUCUGCUAAACACUAUAUAUUCUCUGCCAAAUAUGAAUACAUAUCACUUUUCUGAGCAAGUGCAGAGUCAUUAUCAUUUUUAUUCCCACCUAACAAAUUAGGGAUAAAAAAGUUAAUAAUCUUUACAUGCUAUCAGGUCACAAGUUAAUAAUCUUUUAAAGAACAUGUUAAAUUAAUUUAUUGGUAUGAAUAGUAGUCAAAGAAGUAUGUUAAAGUUAGUAAUCUUUAAAAUAAUAUGUUAAAAUCAUUCGUACAAAUUAGUCAGAGAAGUAGCAUAAACACCGCGAUGCAAUUAAUACUUUCAAUCUCAAGGUCUCUAUUAUGGAAAUUUGCAUCGGUCAAUAUACACUUGGCAUAAUAUAAUCUCCCAACUCAUUUCUUUACAAAUGCACCUUUAAUCACCACCAAAAGGUGUGGACAUGAUCUUUACCCUAGAAAACUAUUCACCGACAGGCAAAUUGACGUCAGAAAUACUGAGGAAUUCUAGUUUCCUUCGGGUUCAUGCCAUGUUGUAUCCUUCAACUGUAACUCGAUUUCUAAGCUGUAAUUUGUGACAUAAUAGUCCUUAAACUAUGAAACCCUUCUUACUUAAUUACAAUGGUUAAUACAAUGCCCGUGACUAGACAAGUAUGAAGCAACCAUAACAGAAAAAAAAUCCAAAAUUAGAGAAAAGAAAGAAGUUUCGCGACCACCACCAGUUUACAAGUCACCUCCACCACCUCCUCCAGUUUACAAGUCACCUCCACCACCUUACCAUUAUUCCUCACCACCACCUCCAGUGCAUUCACCCCCACCACCACCAGUUUACAAGUCUCCGCCACCACCUUACCAUUAUUCCUCACCACCACCUCCUGUGCAUGCACCUCCACCACCAAUUUACAAGUCACCUCCUCCAGUUUACAAGUCUCCACCACCACCUUACGAUUAUUCCUCACCACCACCUCCAGUGCAUUCACCCCCACCACCACCAAUUUAUAAGUCUCCCCCACCGCCUCCCCCAGUAUAUAAGUCACCACCACCACCUCCUCCAGUAUACAAAUCACCUCCACCACCUCCUCCAGUUGACAAAUCUCCACCACCACCAAUUUAUAAAUACAAGUCUCCUCCACUACCUCCUCCAGUGUACAAGUCAUCACCACCACCUGCUUACAAGUCUCCACCUCCUCCAGUUUACAGUUCCCCACCACCACCAAUCUACAAGUCUCCACCUCCACCCUACCAUUACUACUACAAUUCUCCUCCUCCUCCUCGUCACUACUAAGCAAUUGUAUCCAAGUUUUUGAGGUAAUAACGCUUAACCAAUAAAUUAACUUUCGCAUGAUAAACCUUAUCUCUAUCAAGACAAACUGCCAUGUGUAUCAUGCCAAAUACGUACACCUAGAUCCAUGAAAAUGAAUGGUAGAAAGUUUUCUUAAGAACCAAGAACAGCAUUAGUAUUCCCUCUGCUUCCAAAAACUUGUGUAUUAAAUAGAUUAAUGAAUUGUUUAACAUGCUCAUCUACUUGAAAAUGCACAAUACCCAUAACCCACUGAAAUUUUUGCAGGAAAAGGGAAAGAGAAUCUGUGUUUGAGAGCUUCAUGAAGAUGUUGAAGAAUAAGAAUAAAAGCCCAAUGCAAGGAUGUUUUCAAGUUUUUCUAUGUUUCCACUUUAAUUUGUAAAUUGAAUUUUGCGACUCAAUUAAUUCCCUGUUUGUGAGGUACGUAUUGUUUUACGUACCAUGCCGUACAUUUUUUUUUUCCAACAAACGGUAUCAUGUUAUAGAUAUUAACACUUGACCUUACAAGGAUUAGUUACAAAAAGGGGAUACUACCCUCAACUCUGUCCUAGCUAAAUCAGUCAGCCAUAUUGGGAAAUUAGUUUCCCAUUCAAUAUCAUGUACAAGCUUCACAGCAUAUUGUGCUAAUUGAUGGCUGAUGUGAUUUUCAGUUCUAGGUAUAAACACAAAAGAACAUUUUUCAAAAGCUAGACUAAGUUCCUGCACAUCUUCUAAGAUAGUUGCAGUCGUGUAGUCAUACUCCUUGCGUUUAGUAAUCUGCUCUACCACUGAUUUGCAGUCUGUAUGGACUAUAAUUUGUGUCCAACCUGCUUGGGUAGCCAUCAGCAGAGCAUUUCUCACAGCCCGAGCUUCCACUUCACUUGCCGAUCCCUUUCCCUGUGUGACAAUUCCUUUUGCUUUCAAAAGCUGUCCUUUCCAAUUUCUUGCUAUAAUCCCUUGUCCGGUCCUGACUCGUUUAGCUGAUAUCGCUGCAUCGGUAUACAGCCUUAUCUCUUCCUUCCUUGGCCGCACUCUCCUGGUAGGUAAGGCAUCAUUCAGCUUCCCUGCGAUCUCCUUCUGGUCUGUACUCCCUACCUGUUCAAACUCAAGCCAUUCCUCCUGUGCUUUCCUUACUAUUUUUACUGGAUCCUGGUUGGCUUGUUCAAAAAAUUUUUUGUUCCUGGCUUUCCAAAUUUGCCAAAGGAUAUUGAUAGUAAGACUAACUCUCUCCUGACCUUGGUUCAGUGCCAGCGAUUGUGUGACUUGUUCCCACCAUAACCAAAAGUUAUAUUGCAUACCCAGUAAUCCAUCCCACCUGACCGGUGCUAGCUUCCACGUUUCCACAGCCUUUUCACAGAAGAAAAACAAAUGCUCAAUAGUUUCCAUAUCUUCACCACAGCAACCACAUCUGCCUUCCCCUCUAUGUAGCCUUUUCGACAUCUGUUCAUUGACUGGCAGACAAUUUUGUAAGCACUUCCACAUGAAGUGUUUUAGUUUGGCCUUCACCUUCAAAUGCCAUAGCUGCUUCCACACAUUUCGUUUUCGUAUCUCCCAACUUGUUUCUGCCUCUUGGCCUGUCCUUGUACCUGCUUUUCCUUCCCGUUGCCUUGCUAAAGCAUAACCAGAUUUCACGCUAUAAAUUCCAGCUUUGGAAUGCCCCCAUACCAACCUAUCCUUUCUUCUUCCUAUACUUGUUGGAAUUCCCUUUAUGUGCUCUGCAUCUUUUGCACAAAACCACUUGAGAAGCAAAUCAUUUUUCCAUUUCCCUUCCUCUAUCAGCUCACUUACCCAUUCCAACUUGCAUCCCACAGGUUGUGUGGUUGAUGCAAAGCCGGUAUCUGAACCAACUAUCCAUCUGUCCCGCCACAUGUUGACUGACUUGCCAUCUCCAAUUCUUUUCCAAAGACCAUCAUACAGAAAGGAGGCUGCACUAUGAAUACUCUUCCAACACCAUGAGGCUGAAGAGACUGGCUUCUUGUCCAUCCAUUUUUCAUCACUCAUAUACUUCGCCUUCAUUACCUUACUUACUAACAAAUUUGGAGCCAUUAAGAAUCUCCAAAUUUGUUUUGCCAGUAAUGCUGUGUUGAAGGCCUCCAAAUCUCUAAAGCCUAAACCUCCUCUUCCCUUAACUUCUAAGAGCUUCUUCCAGCUUGCCCAAUGUACACAGGUACCCUUUUCUCCCUUCCCCCACCAGAAACUCGCUAUUUUACCUGUGAUUUGUCUACACAAACCCCUUGGAAGUCUAAAGCAAGCCAUCACAUAUGUUGGCAUAGCCAUAAUCACUGAUUUGACCAGAAUUUCUUUCCCUCCUUGGCUCAACAGUUUUUGUUUCCAACCUUGCAACUUGUUACUAAUUUUGUUCUGGACAAAUGCAAAGACCUGUGUCUUUGAUCUUCCAAUUGCCAUUGGGAGUCCUAGGUAGGUUCCAUUCCUUGCCUCUUUAAUGUUAUCUAAUACCUCCCUCACUCCAUUCUUCCUUUGAUCAGUGGUAUUUUUGCUAUAGAAGAUAGCUGACUUUUCAAAAUUCACCACCUGUCCGGAUGCUUGACCAUAUCUUUCCAAUAUGCUUUUGACCUUCCUCGCCUCCUGCUUGGUUGCUUGGCAGCAUAGUAGAGAAUCAUCUGCAAAAAAUAGGUGAGAAACCAUCGGACUGUCCUUGCAUAUUUUGAUCCCUGUAAUUUCCUUGUUCAUCAUAGCUUUAUGGAUCAAACAUGAAAGACCUUCAGCGCAUAUAAUAAACAAGUACGGGGAUAGGGGGUCUCCUUGUCUAAGCCCUCUACUCGGUUGAACACAGCCUACCUUUUGCCCAUUUAAGUUGAAGGAGUAAGUCACAGUAGAUAGGCAAGACAUGAUCCAUUUAACAAAAAUUGGACAAAACCCCAUUUUCAUCAUAACUCUCCCCACAUAUUUCCAUUCGACUCUAUCGUAAGCUUUGGACAUGUCCAGUUUAAGAGCCAUAAAUCCUACCCUUCCCUUUCUCCUAUUUUUCAAAAAAUGCAGGAUUUCAUGUGCAACUACUACAUUAUCAAGAAUUUGACGGCCUGGGAUAAAAGCGGAUUGAGAGGGACUAAUACAAUGAUGCAAGACACCUUUCAAUCUAUUAGCUAUGAUUUUAGAAAUGAUUUUAUACAGGACAUUGCACAAGCUAAUAGGUCUAAAAUGCACCACAGAUUCAGGAGUAUCAACUUUAGGAAUCAACGAAAUAAUAGUAUCAUUCACAGCUUUGAGCAAAUGCCCAGUAUGAAAGAAACUCUUAAUAGCUGCUACCACAUCAUCCUUGAUAAUAUCCCAAUAGUGUUGAAAAAAUAGAGGAGACAUACCAUCCGUUCCUGGUGCUUUAUUAGGGUGCAUCGAGAACAAAGCUUUCCUGAUCUCACUUUCCUCCACUUGUCGUAUCAGUUGUCCAUUCAUAUGACUCGAAAUAGUGCUUGGAAUUUCAGCUAGAAUGUCCUCAAAGCAGUCCGGGUUAGUAGUGGUAAAAAGGUCUUUAUAGUACUCACAAAGUUCCUCCUCAAUCUCAUGUUCCUCCUUGCACCAUGUCCCAUCUUUUUUCUGCAAUAUAGUGAUCUUAUUUCUCCUCCUCUUUGCCAUGACCGAAGAAUGGAAAAAAGCUGUAUUCUUGUCCCCUUCUUUGAGCCACUUGUUCCUGGAUUUUUGACUCCAAAACAUCUCUUCCUCUGCAUAAGCUUUAUUCAAUUGUGCUUUUAGUUCAGCCACUUGUACUCUUUUCCCUUCAUCCUUUCUUGCUUUCACUUCAGCCAAUUUCUCCUUUAACACUUUAAUUCUAACCUUUGAGUUUCCCUGCACCUUUUUCCUCCAAUCCAGAAUAGCCAUGCGACAUUCCUUUAUUUUUGUAGCCACUCUAAACAUCCUGGACCCUGACUUCACCUUUGUCCAUGCUCCUUGAAUCACCCUUUUUGCUUCUGGAUUUAGCGUCCAUCGUUGAUCAAAGUAAAAUCUCCGUUUUCUCCUUGUGUUUUCCGGGUUUGUAUCCACAAGAAGCAUUAGAUGAUCAGAGGCUUCAGUAUCUAAAUGAGUACACUGUGCCUUUUCAAAUCUUUGCAGCCAUUCGGUGCUGCAUAAACAUCUAUCCAACCUCUCUUUCACUUCCCCAUCCCCCUCCCAACUAUUGCACCAAAUCCACGGGACCCCUUGAUAACCUAAGUCAACCAGGUUAUUGUCUUUGAUAAACCUGUUGAACUCCCUAAAACAUCUUUCAGCUCUAUCCCUUCCUCCCCACUUCUCCUCACUAGACCUCAAAUCAUUAAAAUCUCCUACAAUGAUCCAGCCAUCCCCCCAGUCCCUCAUCCUGUCCUCUAAAUAUUUCCAUUGUGCUUUUCUAAUGUUACUAUCUGUGCUUGCAUAAACACACACUAGCCCCCAGUAUCCUUUAGUAUCCUUGUCCUCAACUCUAGCACUAAUACACCAAUCAGUACUUACAAUCUGGUCUAAAAUCACCUCAUUGUUCCAGAAUAAUGCUAGACCGCCUGCUUUACCUAUUGAAUUCACAAAAAAGCUAUUGUCAUACUGAAUCUUCCUUUGAACCUUGCCCAUAAACCCUUCCUGAUUCUUAGUUUCACAAAGGAACACCACCUUAGGAGAGUGGAAGUUAGUCACUUCCUUUAGUUGGGGACUUGUCAAGGGGCCUCCUACACCUCGACAAUUCCACACCACAACCUUCAUUUACACUUUGGAGGCUUUCCGGGGCUAGCCUCCAUUUCCCCUAUUGUACUAACAUUUAUUAGAUCCAGUUUCAUAACCUUUACCUUCGGUACAUUAUCAUCAUCCUCCUCUAUCGGUUGUGUUCCCUGAAACAUACCAUCAGCCUUCCUUUUAGCACACGAAACCUGCGUUACUUGUCCAUUUGUAUCUGCCUUUAAGGAUGUUUUAGCCGGCCUCCCUCUUCUUUUAAAACUGCUUCUUUUUUCAGCUUUGUUAUCUUCUUCCCCUGGAGUAGCCUCCUUUCUUGGCAUUCUUGCAUUUGUCUCCUCCUGCUUUAUUGACCCUACCCGCAAACUUUCACAUUCCUGUUUUGAGCUGUCCGUUUCCAUAUCCUCAUAAUCUACUGGUGGGAUUACGCUGCUCCCUCCUUUACUCCCUUCCUGUACCCUACCCUCCUUUUCACCAUUUCCCUCCAUUAAGACCACAGCCAAACUUUCCACCCGUUGGUUUGCCUUUCCAUACUGCCUGCUGUCUUUUAGAAUCUCAUCCCACCUCUCUUCAUAUUGUCUCGUCAUCAUUUUCUCCUUAUCCCCCCUUUCCUUUCCCCCCAAGACUCUACCAUUUUUUCCCCCAAGAGUUAAUGUAUCUCCAGCCAUUUGUACUCCAGUUUGAACUUCACUACUAGGAGACCCUGCCCCCACCCUCCUUGCAUCAAUUUCACUUACUCCUUCCAGCCGUCCCUUUAAGGGAGAUACCAUUAUAUUUCCAGCUCUCAUCCAGGCACCAUAUUGUUCCUCUCGCUUCUCCCCCCCACCCUUCCUACCACAGUACAAGUCCUAUCACUAUGCCCAAUGAUACCACACCUAUAACAGAAAUCAGGGCAGCGUUCAUACCUGAACUCAACCCACACUGCCUGGUUCUUACAGUUGAUCUUUGUCCCUCUAACCAGUGGUUUCGUUAUAUCUACCUCAGCCAUAAUCUUCAUGUGGCGACCCUCUUUCCCACCACUUCCUGGGAGAAUCACUCCCCUCACUGAUUUAAAGAUCCCUCCUAUUUUCAAACCCACUGCUCUGCUCAACCAGUGCACCGGUAGGUUCCAUAGUUGAAUCCAAAGAAAGGAAUGCUGGAAAAAGCUGCUGUUUGUAUCAUACCCCUCUACCCACUCCUUCACUAUCAGCAACUGGUUGUCCAUGACCCAAGGCCCUCCAGAUAAGAUCUUUUUCUUUUCCCCUUCAUCUCCCAGAUGGAAAUGGAAUAAGUUAGGACCUAACUCAGUCACUUUCAUCUUUGAGGGGUAUCCCCAUGCAUGAUUUGUAAAGUUCUUUAACCCCGUAAAGUUGGCAAUUUUUUCACCAAUCAGCUUUCCUACCAGGCUUCCUUGACACUCAGAGACGCCUUCUUCCAGGUCCUCACCACUCAGAUCGACACCUCCUAACUCUGUUUCAGACAAGUCAAAAUUUUGAAAGGCUCUUUCUAAAGCAUCCGCCAUUGCUGUGACGAGAGCUCCUUGAGAAACCAAGCACUAUUUCUGAGCUAUGAGUGACCCACUGACAGACCUGUGAAGAAUUGCAAAGACAGACAAAGCUGUGUUAUCCGUACACACUAAAAACCAACCAGAAAAACAGAGAGGAACUCGACAGAAAAAGCACAGGCACAAGAAGAAACGAAAGAAAAAAGAAAAACCAACAAACCACUAUCCCACUCCCGACCACAUAACAGCAUUAAAGAAAGGGACACAAAUACGACACUCCAACUUCCGAUCACAUGCUCUGACUCAAUGGAUCAUAUCUUGCCCAAAGCGUUUACUCCUCCAACCGAUUCCAAACCACUACAGACAUUGUCUCCCAUUUUGAAGCCGGAAGAAAGGUGGCUUCUGGACAGGGAACAUGAAAGCAAAGGUUGAACUAAAGAUUUGAUUUUAGAUCUGAAAAUUACGCUGUAGGAAAAAGUGCUAUGUGUUUGUACCUCACCCACUCUCCCACACCGAGGAGGGGAACCUCUAAAGUUAGAGAGAGAAGCUCUCAAGUUAGAGAGAAGCUUUGGAAGUUAAUUACCAACGUACCAUGCCGUACAUGUUUGUAAGGAUUUCUAUCCUAUUGGCAAAAGUCGGUUCCAUACAAUUAAUCAAUUCAUUUCACUUCUAUUGGCUCUACUAUUUAUGCAUGUUACGACACUCUUUCCCUUAUAUUUUGCCUUUAAUAUUAUGAGUCAAUAGUAAUAAUGGGCCUUUUUCUUAAAAUUAUACUAUUAUACAUAGGUAGUUUGGUCUAACGCUAAAUUCAUGUUUGUCUUUCUUUUAUUCCCUUUACAUCUCAAAGUAUACUAUAGUUUGUAAUCAUUGUGGUGAUGAUAUUACCAGCUGGUACUUAUAGUUUAAGGCAGAGACAUGAUAUUAACAACUAUCUCAUUGAAACAUAAGUCAAAAUCAUGACAAGUGUGAGUCUUGGUUAAUGCACAAUUUGUUAGUGGAAUUUAUAUUUAUAAAACUCAAAAAAAAUUUUUGACAAUGCUAUUACUAAUUAAUUAAGGACUUCAUUGCUAUAAUUUAUCGCUUACUAAUUUAAACUAUAAAUGAUCUCAAUACUUUUCUCCAUGAUGUCGAUUUCUUUAGACUACGAAAGGGAAAAAUUAGUGACAUAUCCCUUACUGAUUACAACAUCAGCAAAAAUUAGUUAUAAACUUUUCCGGUGGUUUUAAAUCCCUCGGGCACUAAGGUUUUUUGCACAUCGAGUGAAUUAAGGAACAUAGGCAAUUCGUUCUGCAUACCAAGUCCUUGUUUAAGAUGCACGUACUAAAAUGCAUCCACUUCAUUAAUUUGGAAAAUUGCCAUAGUUUUUUUUAAGCAUUUUGAUUUUUUACAUGAUUCAAAAUUUUCUUAUUGGAUACAAUCACUUUGUGUCAAGAACACAUUUUCAAUCAUCUUUUUUAUCUUCUCAAUAAGAAAAUAAAAAUUUAUUCAUGCUUUUCUAACAUAUCCAAUCAUUGAUCUGAAAAAUAAAGAAUUAAAAAAAAAAGACAUUUUCAAUCAUUGCUUACGGGGCAACUUCCCCAUGUGAACCUCAUCAAACAAAGCCAAUAAUAUGAAGGAACAUCUAAAUACACUUUUGCCCUAAAGGCUGGUUGCCUUGGGGUCAAAAUUUAACCUUCGGGAGUAUAAUUACCCGCCAAAUUUAUUAUUUUUUUUAUGGGUAUAUAGUUCCAAUUUUGCCUCCUGUUAAGCUUAUAAAUAUAUUACGACCCAGAAAAUAAAGGAAUCUUGAAUAGUAACAUGUCCAUUGACUUGAGUUGUUAUCAAUUUGGCUACUUCGAUUCCAUGAGGCCAAUCCAAUUCACACUAGCUAGAGAAAAUGGUGAUAAAGGCACUUAGAAAUUUAUAUGUAAUAUUGAUUGGUAGUAACUGAUAAGUAUAUAUUUUACGUGUUUUAAAUAUGUUUUAUUAGUUAGUUUUGGUGUGUUUUAACUACUUUUAUAACUAAUUAACUAGGAAUCUAGUGAAAAUAUGCAUUUUGUGGUUUGAAGUGUAAAAAUUGUAUUUCUAUGGAUUUUAAUGGUGAAAACUUCAUGUUUUUGUAGGUUUAAUGAUUCAAUCAUCAAAUGACAUGAUUUGAGAAGAUAAUUAGAUGAUUGAUGAUGUUUUGAAGUGAUAAAAAGAGAAUACAAAGUGCAAGAGAGGAAAUGCAAUCAAGAAUAAAAGAAGAAAAUUUUUGUAGCUUUGACAUAUUGUCGUAUUUCGGCAAUAUAUUGAGCUACAAUGAUCGGAUUAAGGUGAUUCUUAAACCAUUUGAAGCUAAAAUAUAGAUCUACAUUUGGCAUGAAGGCAUCGAAACCCAUGUCAGUCAUUUUCCUUGUCAAAAUGUUGAAAUACAGAAGUGCAACUCUGUUCUCGAAAGCUAAAACAGAGCUCUGGCUAGUCGAGGGUAUUUUCAUCAUUUCUUAGUCCACAGAGCUCCAAAUGAGAUGAUUCUUAAGGCAUUAGAACCCUAACUCAAAGAGCUACAACUUUCAUAUUUUGUACAAGAGUUAGUUCGGCCUCUAUCAUUAAGAAAAUAGUAGUUGAAGUGGUGCCAAAUGCAUAGAAGUGAAAACGCGAGCUAUCAAUACUCGACCUGAAGUCGCGUAUUCCUGAGGUCAUGCAUUCUCUUCUAUUUUCUGCAACUUGCCCUGCUUUCACAUAACUUUUUCAUCUCAAUUCCAACUAUCAAUUUCGGCUAUAUCUGAUCAAGAAAAGUGUGGAAAGUUUGAAAGACAACUCAUAGGAGUUUCAAGAGUCAAAAAUUACAAUUAGAAACAACUCAUUUGGCUCUUGAAUCCUCUAUAAAUAGAGGCCUUUGAAGAACAUUUUCACAACUUUGGAAGGUUAGAGAAACUCCACAAAAACAUAGUCUUCACUAGAAUUUCCUUAGUUCAUUAGUUAGGGUAGUAUAGUAUAGUUAGUGUAGCUUUUCCUUCUUGUAUUUAUAGUUAGGUUUGAAUGAAGAUUCAGGAGCAAAGAUAGAGAGGUUGAUCUCAUGUGACAAGGGUGAUAUCUCUUCUACUACUUUCUCUUUUGUAUUUGAUUUCAUAUUUAACUAUACUACAAAUUUGGCUUUGUUUUUUUUUUUUUAUCAUGUUUAGUUAAAGUUUAUGCCUAGAGUAUGGAUGACCUUUUUAUAUCUUGUUUGUGAUAUUUAACUGGUUAUUUGAUGAUGUUAUUUUUGAGCAAGUUAUUUAUCACUUUUGCUUUUCUAAUCAUGAUUAACUGGCCAUUAGUUGUGAUUAUCUAAAAGUGUUAAGUUUGUAAUGAGAAUUGGAGUUUAACACUAGUUCAAGGAAGUGAUAAAUUUAGGGAGUUCACUCAUGAGAGUAGAGGAACACCUUUGUGACCUAAGUGACUUGUUUCAUAUAAUUUCAUAGAAAAAAUGAACUUGUAAUUAAUUUCAUAACCACGAGAGUAAGUAUGGUUUAGCUAUAUGUAUAGUUGAUUCACUACGAGAGUAGGUUUCACAUACAUUAGAAAAUUACAUCAUAACUAGUCAAGAUAAUAUCAUUCAUUUAAUCAGUAAUCUCAUUUGCAUGAGUAGUAAGGCAUUCCAUAUCUCUAGGAGGUUUUUAGUAUUAUUUUCAUUACUUUUAUGUUUAUGGUAGUCUAGAUAAUAAUGGAGUUCGAAAACUACUAGUAAUUGAAAAUUUUCCCUGUGGGAUCGACCUUUAAUACCCUAUACUCGCUCUCGACUCGUAUACUUGAGAAAAAUCACGUGUGCGGUAUUUAGAAUUUAUAAAUGUAAAACUUGACUGUAGAUGAACUAAUUGAUAUAUGUAUACCCCGCACUCGUCAGUAACCAGCUUGUAUUGAUCCCACUAUUGUGGAUAAUUGUGCUCUUAUGAAAAAAAAUUAUAAAAAAAUUAGCAAAAUUUAUGAUAACAAAUUAAAUUUAUUCAUACAAAUCAGUGAAAGAAGUAGAAUUUUAAAGUCCAUGAUGAAAUUAAUACUUUCAAGGGCUCUAUUAGGAAGACUUCACUUGUUGGUGAAACUACACUAGCACAGUUAUAUGCACAUUUACUGUUUUGGUAUCUAAUUUCCUUGCCUUAAGUUGGGUGCAGAUGUUUAUAUUACAAAUAGAUGGUAUCAUAAAAUUGUUGUAUUCACGUUUGUUCUUUUUUUUCUUCCUUAAGUUUUUUUCUUUAUUCUCGUGACUUCAAAAAUACGAACUCAAGAAAUUGGCUGCUUAAUCAAUAUGUCAUACAGGCUUCGCUAGUGAGGUAUAACUUCACAACUAGAGUCAAUAGAAAUUAUCAAAUGAUUUUUUAACAUCCAAAUUAAGCAAUAAAUUUUGUUUUCAUUUUAUGACAUAUAAUAGUACUACUUCAUGAGAGAUUUUAUAGUUUCUUUUAGGUAUCAUACCUACAAGUGAUAUUUGUCAUUGGAUAGUGACAGAAGUGUUAAUGAUUGUAAGAUUAAAUAUUGUUAAAUAUUGAAAUUUAAACUAUUUAUCUUUAUUGAAAGAUACAAGUUAAAGAAUCGUUCAAGGGGGCAAUUUUCCAUCUUGUCUUUUUGAAAAAACGCUAUCACAUUGUAUAGGCAUGAUAGGUUCAAAUUUGUCAUUAAAUUUAUGAUUGAUUUUCCUUUUAUUCAAGCCAAAUAUUGUUUUAAUUAUCAAAUUCUACUUAUAUUUGGUUAAUUGUACUAAUUGUAGGGCGGUAGAGCAAAAGUUGCUAAAAAUAGGCGAUUUUCUGCAAAUUGGUUGUCAAGGCUGAAGGAUUUGGGAUUCGCAUGUUCAAGGCCUGUUUCCAAGUUUGAUUCAAACUCUGGACAGUUUUAGAGGAAGAUUUGGAAGAUUUGAAAUUUCAUUAUUAGUUUUAUGGUUGAAUUAGGAAUCUUGGAAUAAUUUCUUUUGUGAUUUAUUUUUCUAUUUAGGAGACUAGUUGUUAUUUAGUAGUAGACUUCAAUUAGAAAACAAAGAGAAAAAGAAGGCCGGAAUCCCGCUUGAUUAAUACCUUGGCCAGGGAACAAUCUCGGUGGGGAGGACGGCCACUUAGCCUCUCAAUUCAUCUUGCUUUUCGUUAGUUUGAGAGGAAAACCAAUUGCAACUAGAUUCAAUGGAGUCUGGCAGAAUUUCUUCUAGGAUGCGUAGCUAAAUCCUCAAUUUUUAGUCGAAGGUCAAUUUGAAAAUUCGGUUCCAAAUAUCUGUGAAAUCGAAUUAUUUUACUUAUUUCUUUUAUUUAUUGGUAUUCGCACGUUUUCUGAUUUAACUUUUUAUGAUUGUUUUGUUAUUUGAAUGUCAAGGGUCCGAUAUUCGAAUUAACUUAAUAAUCUACUGCCAAAUUAACCGGUUAAAUCCGUAAUUGUUUGAUUGAUUAAUAUCAGUGGCGACUAGCGUGAUUGGUCCCAUGUUAGGAAAACGUCUGAUCUAAUUUAAACAAACCGUCGUAGCGUGUUUGUUGAUUAGGGUUGGGCUUUUCUAAUUCUUAAUUCAAUUGAGAAAUUAAAUCCCCCGGUCGUACCUAGGAUUAUUUUUUUGUUAGCGAAAUAGUUAAUGGUCGUACCUUGACUAUCGAAAAAGUAAGGAAGAGUUGAUUGUUUAUCGCGUGUACGACAACUAUAAUCAAUCUAUUAAUGAGUAAUUGAAUUAUCUUUGCAUCAGUAAUCAGUUGAAUGGACCGUGUCUGAAAAGUUGUACCUUUGGCUAGAGUCUUAUCUGUUGUUGAUUCAUUCAUAUCUAUCUUCAUGCGUUGUUUUAAUUUAGUUAAUUAGUUAUUUUUAUAAAAACCCCUCAUCUCUGGACUCUAAAAGAAAUAAAUUAUUUCUAGUUCCUGUGGAUUCGAUCCUACUCACCAUACAAUCCAACCUGCAAUUGUAUGAACCCCAAUCUCGCUUCCUAGUCCACCAUUUUUCUCUAGGUAAUAAUCUCCCUUCUAAUUUCUUCACAAAAUGCACCUUUCAUCACCUCCAAUAGCGUCGACAUGAUCUUUACCCCAGAAGACUAUUCACCGACUCUCAAUUGACGUUAGAAAAUCUAAGAGUAAUUCUACUUUACCCUAAGAUUGAUAUCAACAAGACAAGGACAAUUUAGAAUUAUUACACGCCUCUUCUUAAUAGGAAAAAGAAAUAGAGAAGAAAGUCAGGCCAGGUCUAAUUUCUUUUCAAAGGCAAUACAACAUUACGAAAUCAAGCAUUCAUUCAUACAAAUAUUUCAUAGUCACCGGUUUGCUGAGUAGAAAAAUUUAGACAAAAACUUAAUAUUAUAUUGUUUAAGAGUUAACAAUUUAGAGCUUAAUCUCCUUGUACUUUGGAGUUAACAAUUUAGAGCUUAAUCUCCUUGUACUUUGGACUAAACUUGAACGUGAAAGGAAAUCCCAAAACCAUAUUGGGCAUGAAUUCACACUUAAUAUACCCAAUAAAAGAUGGCGACUGGUGAAAGGCAGUGGAGACUGGUGGAGAGAUUUGAGGAAUAGAAGCAGACGGAAAAGCAACAAAUUUUUGCCGAAAAACGGUCACUUUCAUGGUUAAUUUUGCUACUCUCCAAUUGUACUUGACCAAUUACAACAAUUUCAUGGAGUUUGAUACGUGAAAAGAAUUUUUUAUAAAUUUUAUUUUGAUCCAUAAUGUUAUCUUUACAUAUAUAAAACAUUUUACAAUUUUGAUUUUGGCGCAGUUAACUUUUGGUAAACAAAAAUGCUCAUGUUUAAAAAACCGGAAAUAAAACAAAACAAGAAACAAAAGAAAUAAGAGGGUAGCAUAGACAUUUUGGAUUUUUCCGUUAAUUUGGAUGAUUUCCACCCACGUUCUAAUUUAAUCCAAAACACAAAGGAAUUACGUAGAGGUUUUAAAUAAUGAGGGAGCUUCAUGAUCGAACCCCAAACCACAAGGCGAUUUACUAUAUUUUACUCUUAAAUUUUGGUUUCAUCUCAUAGCAUACAAGAGUUCUAUUUCACUAUCUGUAGACAAAGACUUUCUAUGGUUGAUGUACCAUAGGAAAAAAUCUGCCUAUACAACGUGAUAGCAUUUUUUCAAAAACACAAGAUGGAAAAUUGCCCCCUUAAACGGGGAAAUUCAUGAUCUUUCCUCGAACAAAGAAUACUCACGCCUAUUCAAGAUGGAAAAUUGCCCCCUUAAACGUCUAUUUGUCAAUUCUUGAAAAAAGAAUACUCACGCCUAAAACACGGCCUCUUCAUCUGCAGAAUUCUAAAAAGUUAGGUAAACUCUAUAAACAAGUUGAUAGGUACAAUCGUACCCAAGAUCAAGUACAGAUAGUUGUACAUUCACUGCUGCAAUAACUAAUCUGAUGACUUACAAACAUAUCAUGGUCAAUCGUUGAAUGGUAAUGAGUCUUUUGUUAUGCAUUAGUAUUAGUGUGUACACUCUAAUAGAUUGAUACUUAUACUCUUUAAAUUAUCAUAAUAAUACCCUUAAUUAACUUUAACUCUUAAAAAGAAUACGUGUUAAUACACGAGAGUGUGUAACCUGAAUUGUUACUUAUACAUUAGUGUGUAAUAGAUAGGGAUGGCAAUGGGGGCGGGUGCCCGCAGGCAACCGCCCCGCGGGGGGCUCUCGGGGCGGGGAGGGGGGAAUUUUUUCCCCCCGUUUAGAAACGGGGCAGGGGACGGGGGAGUAUACCCCCGCCCCAUCCCCCGCAAAAAAAAUUAUAUAUAUAUAAUUAUAUAUAAUAUGUAAUUUAAUUAGUUAUAAACUUAUGAUAAUGAUAUUAUUAGUUAGAUGUAUUAUAUAAUGUAUAUUAGUGUAUGUAAUAUAAUUAAUAUUAUCAAUUAUACGAAUAAUUAGACAUGUCUACUAAUAGAAUUUAUUAAUUAGUUAUACUAAAUUUACUAAUACAUUUAUACUAAAUUUCUAAUUACAUUUAAUAGAAUAACACUUUUUUCUAAAAAAAAAAGCACAAACACAAUAAUGAAUUAGUGAUUGUAUUUUUACCAAAAAUGAAAACUUAACUAUUUUAGUUGCAUUUAUUUCAUCAUGUUGGAUUGUAUUCAAAUAAUUUUUGUUUGAUUGUUUUUAUGAGUUUCAAUUGUAAAAUUAAAAUGAAUAAUAACUUGAUGAAUAAUAAUGUCAAUCGUUGAAUGGUGUGUACACUCUAAUAUUAUGCAUUAGUAUUAGUGUGUACACUCUAAUAGAUUGAUACUUAUACUCUUUAAAUUAUCAUAAUAAUACCCUUAAUUAACUUUAACUCUUAAAAAGAAUACGUGUUAAUAACUCUUAACCUGAAUUGUUACUUAUACAUUAGUGUGAAAUAGAACGGCAAGCAUUGAGCAACUUAUAGGAGAAAUAGUCCUAUAAGCUGUUGGAUGACUAAUAUAGCUCUAGCUGUAAUGUUUUAAUUAAAUUACAUCACUAACGUUGGGAUGACUAAUGGUUUAAAAAUAAUUGAGUAAUUGGAAAAAAAAAAAGAGACUAAUUUUCAUUGAAACCCACCGACAAACUAAACGUGUCCAUGGCUUUUGAAUAGUGCAUUCAACGUUUAAUUGUAUAGUCCAGUUCAUUGCAGAUUACAUGGAGUAAAGAUUGUGCUCUUUCCUUUUUCACCCCUUUUGGAAUCGAUACUGUGGAGAAUUGGGUUUUUCCCUUCUUUUUUUCUUUUCUUUCUUUCUGUGCUUUGCAAAACAUAGGUAAAAUUAUGAAAUCCGAAGCAUUCUUUAAUUGGGAUUAAGUAUUGUUCUUGAAAUUAAAAAGAAGAAAGAAAGAACAACAAAAUUCCCUGAUUGGUUGCAUCGUGCUUCCAUAGAAGCUCUCUUAGUGUGAUACACUGCUUUCAAUCAGUUUAACAUGGAAAAAAGAAAGAGAUGAAAAGCAAAUUUGGUGGGGAUAAUUUCAGAAACCUCCCCUGAAGAUUUUGACUAUUCUACUGGUCUCCCUUCAGAUUUUAAAAAUUACACUAAUCUUCCUUGAAGUUAUAACAUUUAAAUUCAAUCAAUAAUUUAAAAAAUGAUAUUAUGAAAGAGAAAAUAAUAUGAUUUUAUCAUUGCCCCCCAUCUUACUACAUUAUUUAAUUAAUUUAAUAGCAACCCACACAUUAAAGAAAAAUAUAAAAUUUGUUAUUUAUCAUUAAAGAUCAAAUCGCUUAUAACAUCAAAUAAUAGUAUAUUAUUUAUAUUUUUCACUUAACAUAAUAUCCAAAUUACUCUUUUCAAUUACAUACUCAUUGUUAGACAAUCAACAACAAAUAACCAAAAAAUUUGCAACCAAAAUAUUACAAAAAAAAAUAAACUUUAACAUCAUAAAUAUUCUUAUCAACAUAUUAAAGUUAGUUACUGAAAUUUUUAUGGUGUUAAACUUCACUCUUUGUAAUAUUUUGGUUACAGAUUUUUUUUGAUUAUUUUUUAUUAAUUAUGUUUGAUGAUGGGUUUGUAAUUGAAAAGAAUAAUUUAAAACUUACAUUAAGUGAAAUAUAUAGAGUGAUAUACUAUUUUUUAUAACAUAUGUGAUUCAAUCCUUCUUGAUAGGAUUGGUAAUAGAGGUAGAGGGGGGAGUCGGCUGCAUCCGGUCUUCUUUUCAUAGAUAGUACAAUAUUGCGAAAUCAAUCGCAUUCACACAAUAAUAUUUCGAAGUCAAUGCAUGGCUAAGUUGCAUAAAAGUACGAACACUUGUUAUUAUAUAGCUUAAGAUUCAAAACUUUAGAGCAUAACCCUCCACCUAACACAAUUGAAUAAUGAAUAUUCACGUUUGUCAAAUCUGUCAAAGCACAGUUUGAGGACAACCCAUUCCAACCUGCAAAAGAUUUUUUACUUUUCUAAAGUUGUUGAGAGCUGUAAAAAGACCUACCAUGCUUACAUCCUCCGAGCCUUGGGAGUUAAAAAUGAAGGCACUGAGUGCUAUAAAAAGGGGGCUAGAGGCUGCCUAGAAGCAUAUCAGCCUAAAACAAGAAUUUGUUGUUAUGAUGGGAAGCAAAGCAAAAGCAAUGGGGUCUGGGCUGACUCCUCUUCUUGCCACUGUUUUAGUGGUAUUUGUUGCUCUUGGCUUGCCCUCAGAAACAGCAGCUGAUGAUCACUACAAGUAUUCAUCUCCUCCUCCUCCUUACCACUAUCCCUCACCACCGCCUCCAGUGCAUUUACCUCCACCAGUGUACAAAUACAAGUCCCCACCACCACCUCAUCAUGUUUACAAGUACAAAUCUCCACCACCCCCACCACCACACCCAGUUUACAAGUAUAAGUCACCACCACCACCUCCUCAUCCGGUACCACACCCAGUUUACAAGUAUAAGUCACCACCACCACCUCCUCAUCCGGUAUACAAGUAUAAGUCUCCUCCGCCACCACCACACCCAGUUUACAAGUAUAAGUCACCACCACCACCUCCUCAUCCGGUACCACACCCAGUUUACAAGUAUAAGUCUCCUCCGCCACCAGUUUACAAAUAUAAGUCUCCUCCACCACCACCUCCAGUGUACAAGUACAAGUCUCCACCACCACCAGUUUACAAGUACAAAUCACCACCACCUCCUCCCCCAGUUUACAAAUACAAGUCUCCACCACCACCAGUUUACCACUACAAGUCACCACCACCUCCUCACCCAGUUUACAAGUACAAAUCUCCUCCACCACCAAUUUACCACUACAAGUCACCACCACCUCCUCCCCCAGUUUACAAAUACAAGUCUCCACCUCCUCCUCACCACUACUAAGCAAUUGCUUCUGAGGUAAUAACACUUGUUCAAUAACACUUGAUAGCCAGCUGAAUAUUUGCAGGCAAAGGAGAAGGAAACCAGUGUUUGAGACCUUCUUGAAGAUGUAGAAGCAUAAGAAUUAAAGCCCAAUGUGAAGAUGAUGAUUUCAAGUUUUUCUACGUUACCAUUUCAAUAUCUAAAUUGGUUGUAGCGCCUUAGUUCCUUUGUUUAUGGGAUUUGUAUCGUUUUACGUACCAUGCAGUACAUGUCAUGUUUGUAAGGUUUUCUAUCCUGCCGGCAAACCGCAGGUUCCAUGUAAUAAAUCAAUACUAUUUAUAUUACGACACUUUUCUCUGUUUCUCUUAUAUUUUGUCUUUAAUAUUCUUAAUCAUAUUUUUAACAAAAAUAUUCAAACACUUCAGCAAUGGUUCACCUAGUUGAUCAUCGAAGCAGAGGCAAUUCCAAUUAUUUAUCAAUAAAUAGGAUAUAACUACCAAACAAGCGAUGGCAGUUAACCCCUCCUUACUGUGUCGGUGAUCAAGGUACGCCCGUUAAUCACUGCUCUAAUUGAGAAAUAAUCCUAAGUACGCCCGUAGAAUUUAAUUCCCCAAUUGCCUUACAUAUUAGAGGAGCCCUAUUCUAACCAAAUAACGCACUAUCAGGGUUAUUUUAGAUUAGCCCGCGUAUUCCCCUGACAUAAAUCUAAUCAUGCCAGUUGUCAUUAUUUUGAGGUAAUUAAACAAUUACGGAUUUAACACCUCAAUUGACAAUAGAUUAUUAAAUUAAUUAAUUAUUCGGAUCCAAGACAAUCAAUUAAUUAAACAACCAUAAGCACUACAAUCAGAGAAUAUGCAAAUACCAAUAAAUAAAUAAAAAAUAAAAUUAAAUCGAUCUCACAAUUUUUAGGCGAAUCAGAGCAUCCGUUGUCCCUUGACUAGAGCAAGGAAAUUAGUUCAUAUUUGAUGAACUAAACCCAUACAAAAGGGAAGCGAGAAAUGCAGCCAUUAUCCUUUGAAAUCUGGAAAAUUCAACUUGUCCGAAUAUCGAAUAGAUAGUAAUACUACAAAAGGUAAUUCAUAGCUUCCCUUUCGUCUGACACACAAGAAGAAAAAAAAGGGCUGCUAAUAACUAAAGGAGGAAAAGUCAAAGUCCUAAGCUAUGCUACAAGACGAAAAACUAAAGAAGACAAAAAGGCAGUGCUCAUUCCCUGCAAUCUCAAUUCCUAUUCUAUCUAAGUGCUCUCCAAUGUGCGGCGGCUCCCCUUCCGGAGAGGACGAAGUGGCACCCUUUUUUCCUGCGCAAUUUUCCUAUAUAAAGUAGUGCUCCUUGCAGCGGCUCCUGUGCGAAAAAAUGAAGACUUCGGCCCAAUUUGCCUAACAAGGGCUCACGUUUUGUUGUUCUAAAAAUGUCCCUAGGACAAACUCUAUCAUCUGAACUCUUUUCUUGCCAAAUUAGUACCUGUUAUUAUAUUUUCGUUCUACUCCCUGAAAUAAAUGCAAAAUAUCAAAAGUGAGUAGAAUCUAGCAAUUAAUCCACAUUAGGUCAGGUAAUAGGGAAAAUUAAUAAUAAAAUAAAUGAUAAAAUUGCAAUCUAUCACGGGACCACUGUGGUAAGGUGUGUUUCGCCUAUUAUAAGGAGUUCGGAGAGUUAGACGUGUUGGAGGCGGAGGCGCGGUCACUCCUGCACGCCCUCCAGCUGUGUGCAGAUCGCGAGGUACGGGCGUUGACUGUAGAAUCUGAUUCAAAGGUGCUUGUUCAACUAGUUUGCUCGGAUAUGAGGUCGAAGUGGCCGGUGUGUAUCGUAUUGCGGGAAAUAAGACAUUUGAUCCGGCGGAUGGGUGCAUCCCUUCAUCAUAUAUUCCGUGAGGCCAAUUCGGUGGCGGACGCAUUGGCUUCUCUGCAAUUGGGAGGGCAGCAGUACUACACCUCAGGCGUGGCGCUGCCUUUCAGGCCCAGAGGAGAGGCUCUGCUGGAUCGUCAAGGAGUACCUCGCAUCCGUGAGGCGCUCACUAAGGUUUGAUAGGCUAUGUCCUCCUUUCAAAAAACUUAUUUCAUCUACUCCUUGUAAUCAUUUUUCUUAUCAAUAAAUUGAGGCUUUUUAUUUAAAAAAAAACAUAUAAUUUAAGGCAAAAAUAUGAUCCUAGCGAGUAUCGCACUGAGACAUUAGGAAACAUCAUUAAAAGAGUAUUUCUUGAGUUAGUGCAACUAUUUCUUAGGGGAAUUUAUAGUUACAAAAUUCAAAAAUUUGAGAUUCUAUUACUGAUUAAUUAAGGGCGUUAUCACUAUUUUUCUUAUUAUCACCAUUAUUUACCCCACAUACUAUAAGUUUUUUUAGGGCACAGGAAAAGAGGUGGGCCGAUGUUUAGUUAUGUACAAAAGUUCAAAAUUUGUAGAUAACUUAUCAUGUGCCCUUAGAGCGUAGAAUACAGAAAAAAUAUCUUAAACUAUAACUAAUCCUAAUAUUUUUCUCUAUGAUAAACUAGCUCUUAUCCAUUUCUUUAGAUGAUGAAAGGAAAUAGUUAGUCACCUGUCCUCUAGUGAUUACAACAGCAUCAAAACAAAUUAGCACUCUUUUCCCGUAGUUUAAAAAUCCCUCAGCCACUAAGAUUUUGCAUGUCGAACGAAUUAAGGAACAUAGAAGGUUCGUGCUGCACCACAGUGUCCUUGUUGACGAUGCAAAGACAGAAAUGCAUCCGCGUAUACUUCCUUAAGCAUUUUGAUUACUUUAUGAUUCGAACUUUUCUUGUCUGACAGCUGGACUUAAUUGAAAAACACAAGUAACAAUAUUUCAAAGUUGAUUCGUCAAAGUUUACCCAAUUGGUGAAACUUUCUUCAUAGAGCUGACUUUGUAUUAGGUGACAAUGAUAUGGAAUUGAUGUCCUUCCCUUUUUCCUUUUUUUGUGUUGAAGACGCACAACGUUUUCAAUGGCAAAUUUAUAUGGGCUUUUCACGACAAAAUGUGUUCUGAAAAGUUCAUUCCAGAGGUUAAAAUUUUGUGUGUUAAAAAUUUGCUUCUCAGGACUUUGAUGGGAAAGUCUUGGUGUUUCCAAAAAGUUUAAGCAGGAUGCUUCUGGCUUUCUCUCCAUGUAUUUGUGAGUUAGAUCUAAAAUUAUCAGGGCUCCAGAGAUCUCUUGAAAUCGCAGCAUAUAUUGAAGUCUUUCCAGAAGGAGUCUUUUUUUUUUUUUUUAUGAAUUAUGAUAGAUAAUUAAUCUGACGGUGCAUAUAUAUAUAUAUGUGAUUUGCAGUAGGGUGUUUGACGAAAUGGUUAGGCUUCCUAAGUAAUGAUAGGAAUGCCAUUUGCAAAGAAGGACAGGGGGCUGGUGCUGUCAUAUUUUAUGCGAUUUGAUCCGUUGUUGUAUAAGUUUAAACUUUUGACGUGCAAUUGUGCUAUAAUAUUAUACUAAAUAUAUGUGUGAAAUAUUUUGUCUAUAUACAUCACUUUUAUCAUGAAUACAACAGCUGAGUAUAAUAAUAUAGUAUAAUGUAAUUGUACACCAAAUAAUGUAGCAAAUAUAACAAUUGAUCCGAAUUACACGGAACCAUAACAACAAGAUCACCGCCUCCCAAAUUUUACAAAAUUAGGUUUUUUUUUUUUCUCUUAGAUUAUUGAAAAUUUUCAAAAAUAAUCUACAUAAUUUAAGCUUUUGUCCUACAAAAAUUUGAAGAGAUUUUACAUUACAAGCUUAAGCUUAGAUAUAUUAAACUUUGCCCCCAAGAUUAAUUUUCCGUUUUUAUCUAUGAACCGAUCCAUAUAGCUAGUUAGACUGUAGUCCUCACAUUUGUGGGAUUUAACACCCAAGAUUCUCCUUCUUGGAAUGUAAAAUGUAGAUCUUCUAUGUUAAUAAUUCAAGACCCUACUGUCAUAAACGAAAUGACUGAUCAACUCCUGUAAACCUAAUUUGACAACAUUUAAAUGGAGAACUUUAGCUAAAAGAAUUAUGGUCAAGCUAAAGAAAAAGCCAGUUAUUUUCCAACAUAUGCAAUCAUUGAUCAGGAAAAAAAAAAAAAAGCAAAAAGACAUCUUCAAUCAUUUAAUAGCUCACAGUGCAAAUUAACCCCUAAGCGAAAACUGGUUGCUCUAGAAUCAAAAUUUUACCUUAGUUACCCAGGCAACUUUUUUGUUGCUUUUUUUUUUUUCUUUUCCUUUUUGGGUAUAUAUAUAGCUCCAGUUUUGCCCCCUCUGUCAAGCUUAUAUAAUUAUUAAGAUAAUAAAAGUGCCUUGAAUAGUAUUAAUAUAUCCAUUGACUUGAGCUGUCAUCGAUCGGUUUGGGCUACUUCGAUUCCAUGAGAACAAAUGGUAAUAAAAGUACUCAGAAAAUAGGGAGCCAUGAAACCCUUUUGUUCUAUUCAUUGCUAAGAUGCUUUUCUCUAUAAAGAGACUUCCUAACGAAAGUACUUUGUAGAUUUCUUUACUCCAAGUGGUGCAUGGAAAAUUAAAAUAUUCAAUUAUCAAAUAAAAUUCCCUUUUUUCGGUGUAGAUUUCAUCCAUCCAGCUGUUAACACAUUUUAUGUAUCCGAAUUAUAUAUUCUCUACCAAAUAUUGUAACUUUUCUGAGCAUCUUUACAUUUUUAUUCCCACCUAACAAAUUAGUUGUUGAGCAUCUUUACAUGCUAUCGGAUCACAAGUUAAUAAUCUUUUAAAGAACAUGUUAAAUUAAUUUAUUGGUAUGAAUAGUCAAAGAAGUAUAUUAAAGUUAGUAAUCUUUAAACACCACGAUGCAAUUAAUACUUUCAAGCUCAAGGUCUUUUUUUUUUUUUUUUUUGGUACUGUACUUCCUUGCUUUAUAGUAUGCACGUUUAUUUCUGUGGAUUGCUUAAGCUUAUAUUGUUAAUAAUUGGGCAUUUAACCAUAAAUUAUAAUGAUUAUGAAGUCAUAUAUAUAUAUAUAUAUAUAAGAAAAUUACCACAAUUAUUCAAUUUUUUUUGCAAAUUCAAAUUUUAUUAAUAAGAAAUAGGCAGUAAGCUUUUACAAACGGAAAAAAAAAAUCCUACAACAACUCUAGGACCUUUGAAAGAAAGAAAAAAAAAAGAAAAGAAAAGCUUAAGGACUCUACCUCAUAGAAGCUAAACAAUCCUACAAAUAAACUGCAAAAUAAAUCACAAUAACGCAAAAUUUUUGUCUUUCUUCCGUAUGAAAUGAAACUACGAAGUCAAGAAUUGACUCCUUUAACCGCUAUUGCCAGCGGGCUCCGUCAGCAAGAUACAACUUUGCAAUUUGAUUCAAUAGAAAUCCUCAAAUAGCUAUUUUGACAGGCAAAUUAAGCAUUAAUUUUGGUAUCCCUUCAUAAAAUACAAGAGUACUUUUGAUUAUAUCUAUAGAUCAACUUUCUAGGCUAUUUUGAUGUAUUAUAAGAAAAUCUGCCUCAACAAUUUUGAUAGCAUUUUUCCAAAAGCAGAAGAUGGAAAAUUGCCCAUUUGUACUGGGGAGUUCGUGAUCUUUUCCUCCUUCUAGUCUACUUACAAUUCUUGGAAAAAGGAAUACUCACAUCUCAAACAACUGCCUGUUCAUCUGCAAUGUCCUGCCGAAUUCUAGAAAGUUAGGUGGCAAUGCUAAUUACAUUUCAAAAUUGACUGCUGCGAUGACUAAUUCGAUGGCUUACUACAUGGUCAACGUUUGGAUCCCUUCCUGUCCUUUUUGGAUGCACAUUUUUUUUCUCUAGGCAAUAUAUAAUCUCCCAACUCAUUUCUUUACAAAUGCACCUUUAAUCACCACCAAAAGGUGUGGACAUGAUCUUUACCCUAGAAAACUAAUCACCGACAGGCAAAUUGACGUCAGAAAUACUAAGAGGAAUUCUAGUUUCCUUCGGGUUAAUGCCAUUUUGUACCCUUCAACUGUAACUCGAUUUCUAAACUAUAAUUUGUGACAUUAUAGUCCUUAAACUAUGAAACCCCUCUUACUUAAGUACAAUGGUUAAUACAAUACCCGUGACUAGACAAGCAACCAUAACAAAAAAAAAUCCAAAAUUAGAGAAAAGAAAGAAGUUUCGCGACCAAAGUAUGUAUCAAGGCAUAGUAUAGAAAUAAAAGUGUCCAAAUUAAGAGUUUAGGGAUAAAAGAGAUCAAGAUAUAGUUUAGGGAUUGAUUUGUCUCAAUUAGAGUUUUGAUGUCAACUAAGAAGAGAGAUAUAGUUGAAGGGUAGAAUAUAGAUAUAACAGUUCAAUGAUUGAUAUCAACGAGACAAUGACAACUUUGGAUUAUUACCAACCUCUUCUUGAUGGGAAAAGGAAAUAGAGAAGAAAGUCGGGCCUGGUCUAAGCCUGCUUCGGAGGCAAAACAACAUUAUGAAAUCACCGGCAUUCACACAAAUAUGUCAAAGUCACCGGCAUGCUAAGUUGCAUAAUUUAUACAAACACUGAAUAAUAUAUUGUUCUUAAAAUUUUUGUUUAAGAUUUAACAAUUAGAGCACGGUACACGAAUUAGCAAUAUUAAAUAAUGAAUGUUCACGAUUGAUAAAGUUAUCAAAGUACAGUUUGAGGACAACCCAUUCCAACGUGUACAAGAUGUUUAGCCUUUGAAAAGUUAAUUAGAGAAGGUGACGAGAUUUUACUAGGCUUAAAUCUUCUAGGCCUCGGAAGUAAAAAAUGAAGGCCUUUGAGUGCUAUAAAAAGGGGGCUAGAUGUUGCCUAGAAGCAUAUCAGCCUCAGACCACAUUUUGUAGCAAUGGGGAGCAAAGCAAAAGCAAUGGGGUCUAGGCUGACUCCUCUUCUUACCACCGUUUUAGUGGUAUUUGUUGCUCUUGGCUUGCCUUCAGAAACUGUGGCUGAUUACUACAAGUAUUCAUCUCCUCCUCCUCCUUACCAUUAUUCCUCACCACCACCUCCUGUGCAUUCACCUCCACCACCGCCAAUUUAUAAGUCACCCCCACCACCUUACCACUACUCCUCACCGCCACCUCCAGUGUAUUCAUCUCCACCACCACCUUCGCCAGUUUACAAGUCUCCGCCACCACCUUACCAUUAUUCGUCACCACCGCCUCCGGUGCAUUCACCUCCACCACCACCUGUUUACAAGUCACCUCCACCACCUUCGCCAGUUUACAAGUCUCCGCCACCACCUUACUAUUAUUCGUCACCACCGCCUCCGGUGCAUUCACCUCCACCACCACCGAUUUACGAGUCACCUCCACCACCUCCUCCAGUUUACAAGUCUCCGCCACCACCUUACCAUUAUUCCUCACCACCACCUCCAACGCAUUCACUCCCACCACCAGUUUACAAAUCACCGCCACCACCUCCUCCUAUGUAUAAGUCCCCUCCACCACCUUAUCAUUAUUCCUCACCACCACCUCCAGUGCAUUCACCCCCACUGCCACCAAUUUACAAGUCUCCGCCACCUCCAAUCUACAAGUAUAAGUCACCACCACCUCCUCCCCCAAUUUACAAGUCACCACCACCACCUCCUCCAGUAUAUAAGUCCCUACCCCCACCAGUGUAUAAGUACAAGUCUCCACCACCACCUCCUCCAGUAUACAAAUCACCUCCACCACCUCCUCCAGUUUACAAAUCUCUACCACCACCAAUUUAUAAAUACAAGUCUCCUCCACCACCUCCUCCGGUUUACAAUUCCCCACCACCACCAAUCUACAAGUCUCCACCUCCACCCUCCCAUUACUACUACAAUUCUCCUCCUCCUCCUCCUCAUCACUACUAAGCAAUUGUAUCCAAGUUUUUGAGGUAAUAAUGCUAAACCAAUAUAUUAACUUUCGCAUGAUAAACUUUAUCUCUAUCAAGACAAACUGCCAUGUGCAUCAAGCCAAAUACGUACACUUCGAUCCAUGAAAAUGACAAGUAGAAGGUUUUCUUAAGAACCAAGGAACAGCAUUAGUAUUCCCUCUGUUUCCAAAACUUGUGUAUUAAAUAGAUUAAUGAAUUGUUUAACAUGCUUAUCUACUUGAAAAUGCACAAUACCCAUAACCCACUGAAAUUUUUGCAGGUAAAGGGGAAGAGAAUCUGUGUUUGAGAGCUUCAUGAAGAUGUUGAAGAAUAAGAAUAAAAGCCCAAUGCGAGGAUGUUUUCAAGUUUUUCUAUGUUUCCACUUUAAUUUGUAAAUUGAAUUUUUCGACUUAAUUAAUUCCCUGUUUGUGGGGUACGUAUUGUUUUACGUACCAUGCCGUACAUGUUUGUAAGGAUUUCUAUCCUAUUGGCAAAAGUCGGUUCCAUACAAUUAAUCAAUUCAUUUCACUUCUAUUGGCUCUACUAUUUAUGCACGUUACGACAUUUUUUCUCUCUUUCCCUUAUAUUUUGUCUUUAAUAUUAUUGAGUCAAUAGUAAUACUGGGCCAUUUUUUUUAAAACUUAUACUAGUAUACAUAGGUAGUUUGGUCUAACGCCAAAUUCAUGUUUGUCUUUCUUUUAUUCCCUUUACAUUUCAAAGUAUACUAUAGUUUGUGAUCAUUGUGGUGAUGAUAUUACCAGCUGGUACUUAUAGUUUAAGGCAGAGACAUGAUAUUAACAACUAUCUCAUUGAAACAUAAGGAAAAAUCAUGACAAGUGUGAGUCUUGGUUAAUGCACAAUUUGUUAGUGGAAUUUAUAUUUAUAAAACUCAAAAAAAAAAUUUUGACAAUGCUAUUACUAAUUAAUUAAGGACUUUAUUGCUAUAAUUUAUCGCUUGCUAGUUUAAACUAUAAAUGAUCUCAAUACUUUUCUCCAUGAUGUCGAUUUCUUUAGAUACGAAAGGGAAAAAUUAGUGACAUAUCCCUUACUGAUUACAACAUCAGCAAAAAUUAGUUAUAAACUUUUCCGGUGGUUUUAAAUCCCCGGGCCCUAAGAUUUUUUGCUCAUCGAGUGAAUUAAGGAACAUAGGCAAUUCAUUUUGCAUACCAAGUCCUUGUUUAAGAUGCAAGUACUAAAAUGCAUCCACUUCAUUAAUUUGGGAAAUUGCCAUAGUUUUUUUAAGCAUUUUGAUUUUUUACAUGAUUUAAAAUUUUCUUAUUGGAUACAAUCACUUUGUAUCAAGAACACAUUUUCAAUCACCUUUUUUUAUCUUCUCAAUGAGAAAAUAAAAAUUUAUUCAUGCUUUUCUAACAUAUUCAAUCAUUGAUCUGAAAAUUAAAACAUUAAGAAAAGGACAUUUUCAAACAUUAAGAAGUAGUAUUUUAAAGACCAUGAUGAAAUUAAUACUUUCAAGGUCUCUAUUAGGAAGACUUCCUUUAUUAAUACUCUACUAGGCAGAGUUAUAUGCACGUUUACUGUUUUGGCCUUAAGUUGGGUGCAGAUGCUUAUAUUACAAAUAGAUGGUAUCAAAAAAUUGUUGUAUUCACGUCUGUUCUUUUUUUCUUCCUUAAGUUUUUUUCUUUAUUCUCGUGACUUCGCUAGUGAGGUAUAACUUCACAACUAGAGUCAAUAGAAAUCGUCAAAUGAUUUUUUGACAUCCAAAUUAAGCAAUAAAUUUUGUUUUCAUUUCAUAACAUAUAAUAGUACUACUUCAUGGGAGAUUUUAUAGUUUCUUUAGGGUAUCAUACCUACAAUUGAUAUUUAUCAUUGGAUAGUGAAAGAAGUGUUAAUGUCUCUAAGAUUAAAUAUUGUUAAAUAUUGAAAAUUUGAACUAUUUAUCUCUAUUGAGAGAUACAACUUAAAGAAUCCUACCCAAAAGAGACUAGAAUUUUCUCUGUUUUUCAUCAUCUGUAGACAUAAACUUUCCACGGUUGAUAGCAUUUUUCAUCAUCUAUAAGGAAAUUUUGCCUAUACAAUGUGAUAGCAUUUUUCAAAAAGACAAGAUGGAAAAUUGCCCCCCUUGAACGGAAAAUUGCCCCCUUGUCAAUUCUUUAAAAAAGAAUACCGUCCCGCAGAAUUCUAGAAAGUUAGGCAAAACUAGACAAGUUGACAGGUAUAAUCAGACCCAAGAUCAGGAACAAGCAGUUGCACAUUUCAAAAUUCGCUGCUGCAACAACUAAUUUGAUGACUUACAACACUAAAUGGUCAAACUUUGAAUGGCAAUGAAUCUUUUGUUGUACAUCAUGAUGUAAUUUUCAUGUUACAUAAUAGAUUGAUAUCUAUGUUCUUUAAAUUAUCAUAAUAAUUAAAUUUAACUGAAAAAAAGAACACAUAUCAAUACACAAAAGUGUGCAACGUGAAUGUUAUUUUAGUGUAUUGCAGAAGACCUAUAGUCUCUUCAUAUCUCUUCCUGCACGUAUCAAUUCGUUUCCUCUAGAUAAUAAUCUCCCAACUCAUUUAUUUACAAAUGCACCUUUUAUGUUUUAUUACCUCCAAAAGCCUAAAAAUCAAUUCACCGACUCGCAUUUGGUAUCAGAAAUUCUUAUUACGAAUUCUACUUUACUCAAAGAUUGACUGUUAAUAAUGAGACAACGACCAUUUUGUAUUAUUACACCGUCCUUCUUGAUAGGCAAAAGAAAUAGAGAGGAAAGCGGGUCCGUAUAUGGUCUUUUAUUCAUAGAUAAUACAACAUUACGCCAUCGAGCAUUCACACAAUAUUUCAAAGUCAUUGCAUGCCUAAGGCCUGCUUGAUAAUCUAAUUCCGUACUUAAAUUUAAUAAAUUCAAAUCUUAACACAUUCAAAUCGUUUGAUAACAAAAAAUUGAACAUCUAAAUUAAUUAAGUAACACUGAAUUUUCUAGGCAAAACUUGCUCCCAAAAUUAAGUGAUAAGUUAUUCACUUAUCACUGAAUAUGAUAUGUAUUCAAAUGUAUUAGAUUUAAUACUUAAUAAUUUAAUGAAUUCAAAUUUCAUAUUUCAUAUUUCAGUUUUAUCAAACACACCUUAAGUUGCAAAAUAAUACCAAAACUUGUUAUUACAUAGCUUGAGAUUCAAAAAUUUAGAGCAUAAUUCUCAACCAAACACAAUUGAAUAAUGAAUAUUCACGAGUGUCAAAUCUAUCAAAGUACAAUUUGAGGACAACCCAUUCAAACGCGUACACGAUUUUUAACUUUUCUAAAGUUGUUGAGAGCUGUUGAAAGAGAUUUACCAUGUUUACAUCUUCCAAGUCUUGGGAGUAAAAAAUGAAGCCACUGAGUGCUAUAAAAAGGGGGGUAGAGGCCACUUGAGAUCCUCGGUGACAUGUUUUCUAUGCCAAUCCAAUGCCACCAAUAGUGUUGCGCCAAGUGUCAUGUUAUUAUUUACACUUGUGUUAAACUAAGCCAAGUUGAAUUAUUAGAAAAUUAAAGUGUAAAUAAUAACAUGACACUUGGCGCAAUACUAUUGGUGACAUUGGGUUGGCAUAGAAAAUAUGUCACCGAGGAUCCCAAGUGGAUAGAUGCUGCCUAGAAGCAUAUCAGCCUAAAACAAGAAUUUGUAGUAACAAUGGGGAGCAAAGCAAAAGCAACGGGGUCUAGGCUGACUCCUCUUCUUACCACUGUUUUAGUGGUAUUUGUUGCCCUUGGCUUGCCCUUGGAAACUGCAGCUGAUUAUUACAAGUAUUCAUCUCCUCCUCCUCCUCCUUACCAGUAUUCCUCACCACCACCUCCAGUGUAUUCACCUCCACCAACCCCUGUUUAUAAGUUACCCCCACCAUCUCCUCUAGUUUACAAGUCCUCACCACCACCUUACCACUACUCACCACCUCCUGUGUAUUCACCUCCACCAUCACCAAUUUACAAGUCACUGCCACCACCCCCUCCAGUAUACAACUCCCCGCCUCCACCAGUGUACAAAUACAAGUCCCCACCACCACCUUCUCCAAUUUACAAAUCUCCACCGCCACCAGUUUACAAGUACAAGUCACCCCCACCACCUCCUCCGGUAUACAAGUCUCCUCCGCCACCUGUUUACGAGUACAAGUCUCCUCCACCACCUCCUCCAGUGUACAAGUCCCCACCACCUCCAGUUUACAAGUACAAGUCACCACCACCUCCUCCCCCGGUUUACCAAUCUCCUCCACCACCAGUUUACAAAUACAAGUCACCACCACCUCCUCCCCCAGUUUACCAGUCUCCACCUCCACCCUAUCAUCACUACUACGGUUCUCCUCCUCCUCACCACUACUAAGCAAGUGCAUCUAAGUUUUGAGGUAAUAAUACCGAUCCAAAACUUUAUCAACGCAAACUGCCAUGUAUAUCAUGCUAAGGACGUACACUUGAUCCAUGAAAAUGGCUAGUAGAAGAUUUUUUUUAAGAACCAGAGAAAUACAUUAUUUUUUCGCUCUGUUUUCAAGAAUUUGAGCAGUAUACAGAUUAAAGAGUGUUUUUUUUAAACUUGCUUAUCAACUUAGAAAUGCACAUAGCUGAAAGCCAACUGAAUAUUUGCAGGCAAAGGAGAAGGCAAUCGGUGUUUGAGACCUUCAUGAAGAUGUAGAAGAAUAAGAAUAAAAGCCCAAUGCGAGGAUGAUUUCAAGUUUCUACGUUACCAUUUCUACAUCUAAAUUGACUUUAGCUCCUGAGUUCCAUGUCUAUGGGGUUUGUACUGUUUUACGUACCAUGCAGUACAUGCUUGUAAGGUUUUCUGUCCUGUUGGCAAGCCGCAGGUCCAUAUAAUAAAUGAAUACUAUUUAUAUUACGACACUUUUCUCUCUUUCUCUUAUAUUUUGUCUUUAAUAUUGUUGAUCAUUUUUUUUUUUUAUCAAAAGUAUCAAAUGCUUAGGCAAUUUGGUCUAAUGCUAAUUGUUUUACAUUUAUUUUUCACCUACAUCCCUUUUCAACUCAAAGGAUGCUACAGUUUGUGAUCAUUGUUUAAGACCGAAGCAUGGUACUAAUAAAUAUCUCAUUGAAAGUCAAGGAAACUAACAUUAUGAAAAGUGUAAAUCUUGAUUUGUGAAACUAUUUAUUCGUGGAAUUUAGAGAUACAAAACUCAAAUUGUGACGGUGUUGUUGCUAAAUUAUUUUUUUUUUAUAAUAAAACACAGUUCAUUCAAGGAUUACUGGAAAUCGUCCAGCACAAUUGAGAUACAUUGUUGCCCAGGUGGCAGAUAAAUAUGCACUAAAAUUAUAGAUAUGCAAUUUAACAAAUACAUAAGAUUUGAGAAAUUAAGGACAAAUCUAAAAAGGACCAUAAAUUUGAAAAACAUUUCAUCCUAGAAUAAGUCGCUGCAACUCUCUUUGUGCAUGCUGUAAUCGUCAGAUCUACUAAUCAACAGUUGUAAGGUCCAGUAAAGAUGGUGAGAUCUGCCGAGAUUGAUCCAAAUCUGAAAUAUUCCCUCAGAUCUGCUAUCCAAUUGGUUCAAACUCAAUACUGAAAGUGAAAUCUGAUGAGAAGACUGAAAAAAUUGUAGAUCUAACAUAUAGAUCUAAAAAAACUCCAAGAUUUGAAAAAGUAAAGAAACAAAACUAAAUAAAACUCUCAUUAAGAUAGUUUAGGAGAGACUAAAACUCUCAAUAGGACACCCUAGGAGAGAAGAAAACUCUCACUAGGAUAACCUAUGAGAGACUUUAUUGAAUGAAAGGAAAAGCAAAGGACAAAGGAAGAAGAAGGGAGACCUUGGCUUAAGGCCAAGGUCUCCCUCCUAUGGAGGAGGAAGGGUAGAGGAGGAAGCCUAGAGAGAAGGAAGAGAAUCCCUCCGCUAGAGGGAAGGAAGAGCCUCUGAGAGGGUACCCGUGUUGUUGCUAAAUUAUUAAGGACAUUAUCACCAUUACUUUUCCCUUACUAGUUUCAACUGCAAUGAUCUCAAUCUUUUUGUGACUAAUUCUUUUCUUAAUAAUUUAUAAAUACAAAACUCACAAAGAAUAUGUGACUUAUUCUUUCCUUUCGUCUUCUAAAGAAAAUGCCAACUGUUAGUUUAUCAAGGGAAAAAGGAUCGACAUCAGUUGUUAUUGAAACUAGUAAGGAAUAAAUAAUGGUGAUAAUGUCCUUAAUAAUUUAACAACAGCACCAUCAGAAUUUGAGCUUUGUAUCUAUAAAUUCCACGAAUAAAUAGUUUCAUCAAAUCAAGAUUUACACUUUUCAUAAUGUUAAGUUUCCUUGACUUUCAAUGAGAUAUUUAUUAGUAUCAUGCUUCGGUCGUAAACAACGAUCACAAACGAUAGCAUCCUUUGAGUUGAAAAGGGUAGUGAAAAAGAGAAGUAAAAAAUACAAUUAGCAUUCCCUCAAAUUGUAGAAAGUUAGGUAGCAUUAUAGACAAGUUGAUAGCCGUAAUUAUACUAAAAAUCAGGCAAAAGCCAGCAAUUUUACAUUUCAAAAUUCACCUAUUCAAUAACUAAUUCGAUGGCUUGCUACAUGGUCAAAAUUCACCACAUAUCCCUUUCCUCAAUCAGGGGCUUCUACAAUUACCAGUUCCAAUUGUAUGGUAUAGUGUAAAUAUCAACAAAUUAGAUGUAGACACUAAUAUAAUAAAUAUGGAUGCUAAGGCAACAACAUACAAAAACAUAAUAAAUUUUGGCAUUCCUUAAAAAAUUACGUCCCCAAAUCAAUCUCAUACACCCAAUUUCUAAUUUAUUUAACUCAUUCCGUCUAUUAACUGCACCAUACAAUCCAACCUGCAAUUGCAUGAACCCCAAUCUCGCUUCCUAGUCCACCAUUUUUCUCUAGGUAAUAAUCUCCCUUCUAAUUUCUUCACAAAAUGCACCUUUCAUCACCUCCAAUAGCGUCGACAUGAUCUUUACCCUAGAAGACUAUUCACCGACUCCCAAUUGACGUCAGAAAAUCUAAGAGUAAUUCUACUUUACCCUAAGAUUGAUAUCAACUAGACAAUGACAAUUUAGAAUUAUUACACGCCUCUUCUUAAUAGGAAAAAGAAAUAGAGAAGAAAGUCAGGCCAGGUCUAAUUUCUUUUCGAAGGCAAUACAACAUUACGAAAUCAAGCAUUCAUUCAUACAAAUAUUUCAUAGUCACCGGUUUGCUGAGUAGAAAAGUUUAUACAAAAACUUAAUAUUAUAUUGUUUAAGAGUUAACAAUUUAGAGCUUAAUCUCCUUGUACUUUGGACUAAACUCGAACGUGAAAGGAAAUCCCAAAACCAUAUUGGGCAUGAAUUCACACUUAAAUAGACCCAAAAAAAGAUGGCGACUGGUGAAAGGCAGUGGAGACUGGUGGUGAGAUUUGAGGAAUAGAAGCAGACGGAAAAGCCACAAAUUUUUGCCGAAAGAGGGUCACUUUCAUGGUUAAUUUUGCUACUCUCUACUUGUACUUGACCAAUGACAGGUUGUCAGUCUGUGCAAUAAUAAAAACCUGUUCAAACUAAAAGUAAUUUCUGUAGAUAGUGGUAAGCAGGGUCGAAUCCACAGGGAUUAGGUGUAACUGUUUCUUUUCAAAUUCACAAUAACAAAGGGGGUGUUUUUAUGCAGAAUGUGACAAUCAAAGAAAUUCAAUUAAAAGUAAAAUAAUAAAAAUAAAAUAGCCAACUAGAAAUUAAAUAACAAUUUACUAAAAUCAAAUGAGUGAUAAUUAAGGAUCUAGCCAAGGAAUAACUUCAGCAGUGGUUCACCUAAUUGAUCAUUGGAACAAAGGCAAUUCCAAUUAUUUACUAAUAAAUAGGUUAUAACUGCCAAACAAGCGAUGACAGUCAAUCACUCCUUACUGUGUCGGUGAUUAAGGUACGCCCGUUAAUCACUGCCCUAAUUGAGAAAUAAUCUUAGGUACGCCCGUAAGAUUUAAUUUUCCAAUUGCCUUACAUAUUAGAGGAGUGUCAGGAACAAGGAAAUAGAAUGGGACGUCGUUUAAUGCAAAGGGUUGUGCGUUUAAGGCCUUAGAAGCAAUACUACGUCGUUCUAAUAACAUAGGCGGUGCUGGUGUGAUAGGCCAAGUUAGUUGAGGGUCAAUUACAUAAAUAGCCUUCUGUAACAGAUUUUUGGUUAUGUUUUUGAAUGAAAAGUAUCUCGCUGCUUUCUCUCUCUUGUCUGUUAUUUCCCUCCCUUUUCUUCUUUCUCUCUUCCCUCUUCUUAAUCUUGUUUCUUUCUUCUGAUUCUUCCCCCAAAUUCAAUACAAUUCCAGAAAUUAACCUGCAAGUCUGACAUUUGGUAUCAGAGCGGUCGAUUCUUGGCCGCGAAGGUAUCAGAAAUGGCUGAGAGCACGCGAUUCAGGACACUGGAGGAGCAACUCAAGAAGCAGGAGAAUCGGUUGCAAGAACUGGCGGAAUCCAUGGCUGCACUGCAGAGUACGAGUUCCGAGGAGUUGCGGCAUAAGCUACAGGCGGAAAUGGAGCAGAACAAUGCAAAAUUGGACGCGGUGGUGGGAAGUCUGGACCAGAAGUUCAAUAAAAUGGAACAGAGACUCAGUACAGUGUUGAAGCUGCUGAUGAAGGAGAAAGGUCUCCCUGAUGUCGAAGGAGGAAUUUCUGAUCCAAUCUUGCCGACUCCUCCAUCUCAUCUGAGGUUAGCAUCCUCAGUCGAAGGGAUUGGGCACCAACAAGAGUACAGAGGUAGGCAAUUCACUCCUAAUGUACCUCGAUUAGAACUGCCAAUGUUUAACUCUGGAAACCCUAGGGAAUGGACCAGGAAAUGCCAGAAAUAUUUUUUGAACUAUCAGAUAGCAGAGAGUCAAAAGGUAGAGGUAGCAGAGAUGUUUUUGGAAGGUAGAGCUGACAAUUGGUUUCAAGGAGUGAAAUUGGUGAGGCCAGGGUUGUCUUGGGGGGAAUUUAGUGAACUUUUGUGUGAAAGAUUUUCUGGAAGUAGUUCUCGUGACAUUGUGGAGGAAUUUAACAAGUUACAGCAGAAAGGAACUGUUGAGGAAUAUGAGGAGAAAUUUGAAGAACUAAAAGCUCUAAUGCUGAUGAAAACCCCCAGGUUGGAUGAACUUUACUUUGUUUCCAGUUUUAUUAGUGGCCUCAGGGAAGAAAUUAGACCUAUGGUGAAGAUGUUUAAGCCUCAAACACUGAUGAAGGCCUUUGAAGUUGCGGAGUUGCAGGAGUGUUCCCUGGAAAUCCAAUCGAAACAAAACAGAACUUCAAGGAGGACAGCAAUGGAACCCAAGUUUGGAAUGUAUAAGGGCACUACGAGUGAUUAGGGUCGCCAAAAUUCAUAUAAGUUGCCUGGAGUCACUCCUGUCUCCAGGAGGACUAAUGCAGUACACAAGGAAUUUAGUAAGAUAUCAGCGGAGGAAAUGCAGUAUAAGCGUAAGCACAGCCUGUGCUAUAGGUGUGGAGAGAAGUUUGGAAUAGGUCAUCAGUGUAAGAAAGGAAGUCUGAACUGUGUGAGCACUGAGGAAGAGGAGGACACUGAAUUUGAGGAUGCGGAAGGGGAACAGGAUGAGUUAACAGGAAGGGUCGGGGAACUUGCAGAAGUCUCUUUGAAUGCUUUAUCUGGUGCCAUAAGGAGGAAAUCCAUCCUGUUGAUAGGGAACUUAGGGGGGCUUCCAGUCAAAAUUUUGGUGGACACAGGCAGUUCUAACAGCUUCAUUCACCACAGGAUUGUCAACCUACUGCAUCUACCAUAUCAGGCAGUCAGUCCAUUUACUGUGACUCUAGCAGAUGGAACUGACAUUACCAGUGGAGCCAUCAGUCCCAGCGUGUCUUGGUUAAUUCAGGACUAUCAAUUCCAAUUUGACUUAAAAGUAAUGGAAUUAGGGGGAUGGGAUAUAAUUCUGGGGGUGGACUGGAUGUGCCAGUAUAGUCCCAUUACAUUUGAUUUCCACUCUCUUAGCAUUGCCCUUAGUGAUAGGGGUUCUUUACUACACCUCCAAGGACUUGUGAAGCAACCUACUAUGGAACUGGUGAGGGGCAGGGAUCUCAGCUCGUUUAUACAGGAGAAGCAAAGAAACUGUGCAGCCAUGCAUGCUGAUAGGGCCAGGGAAACAGGAGAGCAGCUUCCAAAAGCUAUAGAAAGGAUCCUGGAACAGCACUCUCAGGUUUUCUCCACCCCAACAGGAUUACCCCCAGAGAGGGAAUUGGACCAUCAGAUCAACCUCAAACCAGGAGCUGAACCCUUCAAGCUCAAACCUUACAGGUACCCCCACUCACAUAAAGCAGAAAUUGAAAAAAAAGUUGCUGAGAUGCUCACUAAUGGAAUUGUUAUACAUAGCACAAGCCCCUAUGCCUCCCCUGUAUUGUUAGUAAAGAAAAAGGAUAACUCCUGGAGAUUAUGCAUAGAUUACAGGAAGCUGAACGAGCUGACUAUAAAGGAUAAGUUCCCUAUUCCCAACAUAGAUGAACUAUUGGAUGAAUUACAUGGAACCAGAUACAUGUCCAAACUGGAUCUCAGAGCUGGUUACCAUCAGUUGAGGGUGAAAGCUGUUGAUACCCCUAAGACUGCCUUCCAGACACACCAUGGCCACUUUGAAUUCUUAGUGAUGCCUUUUGGACUCACAAACGCGCCAGCUACAUUUCAGUCCUUGAUGAACAGAAUAUUUCAGCCAUAUCUCAGAAAGUUUGUCCUAGUCUUCUUUGACUACAUAUUAGUGUACAGCCCCACACUAGAGAUGCAUGCACAGCAUCUACAGAUUGUGCUCAAUAUUUUAGAAGAAAAUCAGCUGUAUUACAAGAGGUCAAAGUGCUCUUUUGCCCAGUCCUCAAUUGAAUACUUGGGGCACGUGAUCUCAGAGGCAGGAGUGAGUAUGGAUGUGGCUAAGGUGGAGUGUAUCAAGUCCUGGUCUGUUCCUAGUACAGUCAAGGAGCUGAGAGGGUUUUUGGGAUUAAUUGGUUACUACAGGAGAUUCAUUAAAGGCUAUGGAGUGAUUAGCAAACCCUUGACUGUAUUGUUGAAAAAGGAAGGUUUUGCAUGGAACCAUGAAGCUCAAAUGGCCUUUGAAGAUUUGAAAAAGGUUAUGACCACAGCCCCAGUGCUGAGCAUGCCUAAUUUCGAACUUCCUUUUGUCAUAGAGACUGAUGCCUGUGGAAUAGGUAUUGGAGCAGUGUUGAUGCAGCAAGGACAUCCUAUUGCUUUCCUUAGCAAGGCAUUAUCAGUUCAGAAUUUGGGGUUAUCAGUCUAUGAAAAAGAGCUUUUUGCCUUAGUGCUAGCUGUAACUAAGUGGAGGCAUUACCUGGUGGGUCAUCACUUCAUUAUCAGGACAGAUCACCAAGCUCUCAAACAUUUGAUAGAGCAAAGGCUUACUCAUCCACUCCAGCACAAGUGGCUAACUAAGCUACUUGGUUUGGACUAUGAAAUACAGUAUAAAAAGGGUGCAGACAAUGGGGUGGCAGACGCCCUCUCCAGGAGAAGGAUUGAGGGAAACACUGUUGACUGUGGAGAGACUGGGCAUCAGACCUGCGCCAUAACCUCAGCUCAGCCUAGUUGGAUGCAGGAAAUGCUAGAAAGCUACAUUGGAGAUGCAGAGGCUCAACAGAAGUUAUCUGAGCUAUUGCUGGAUCCCAAUGCAGAUCCAGAUUAUCAGUUAAAGAAUGGGAUGCUCAAGUUUAAAGGGCGGCUGUACAUAGGAUCUGCUAACAACAUUAGGACCAAGGUGGUCAGAGCAUUGCAUGACUCAGCCCUUGGGGGGCACUCAGGUCCUGGAAUCCGUAAGGAUGUCCUUCAAUAUGUGAGAUCUUGUGAUGUGUGUCAAAGGAACAAACAUGAAAAUGUUCCUUAUCCUGGGUUGCUGCAACCAAUUCCUGUACCUCAGCAGGCUUGGUCACACCUCACCAUGGAUUUUAUUGAGCAACUACCCCCAUCCCAUGGAUUUGAUACCAUUUUGGUGGUGGUGGAUAGGUUAACCAAGUUCAGCCACUUCAUUCGACUCACUCACCCUUUUUCUGCACAGCAGGUAGCACAGCUUUUCCUUGACAACAUAUACAAGCUGCAUGGACUUCCUGAGACCAUUAUAACUGACAGGGACAUAAUCUUUCUUAGUAAGUUUUGGCAAGAGUUAUUUGGUAUGGUAGGGGUAAAGCUGCACUACAGUUCAUCGUAUCACCCUCAAUCAGAUGGUCAAAGUGAAAGGGUCAAUCAGUGUUUGGAAAACUAUCUCAGGUGUAUGUGCAGUGAGCAUCCUUCUCACUGGAGCAGUUGGCUUCCUACAGCUGAGUUAUGGUACAACACUAACUUCCAUACUAGCUUGCAGGUGACACCAUUCGAAGCACUAUACGGGUAUAAACCAAAUCACCUUCCCUUAGGACCUUUUCAUGAUAGCCUGGUACCUGCUGCUGGUAACAUGGUGCAGACUAGGCUCCAAAUUCUAUCCCUCAUCAAAGAGAAUCUAGCCACCGCCCAGAAUCGAAUGAAAAUGUUUACUGAUAAGCACAGGACUGAACGUGUCUUCCAAGUGGGGGAUUGGGUAUUUCUCAAGCUGCAACCUUACAGGCAACAAUCAGUGGCCUUACGGAAGAAUUUGAAGUUGGCUGCCAAAUACUUUGGACCUUUCCAGAUCCUUGCGAGAGUAGGGGAAGUCGCCUACAGACUUAAGUUGCCAGAGGGAGCUCGAGUUCAUUCCGUGUUCCAUGUGUCCUUACUUAAAAGGAAAGUGGGAGUUACACAGCAGGUAAAGCCCAGCUUGCCAGAAGUAGACGCAUCAGACCAAUGUUUGCUGAAGCCAGAGAAGAUUCUCCAGAGGCGUGUUAUCAUACGAGCUGCCAAACCAAUCAUCCAGUACCUGGUGAAGUGGAACAACUUACCAGAAUCCGAAGCAUCAUGGGAGGAUAAAAGCUUCAUUGACAGACAAUUUCCGGAAUUUCAAGCUUGAGGACAAGCUUUGCUUAAGGGGAAGAGAUUGUCAGGAACAAGGAAAUAGAAUGGGACGUCGUUUAAUGCAAAGGGUUGUGCGUUUAAGGCCUUAGAAGCAAUACUACGUCAUUCUAAUAACAUAGGCGGUGCUGGUGUGAUAGGCCAAGUUAGUUGAGGGUCAAUUACAUAAAUAGCCUUCUGUAACAGAUUUUUGGUUAUGUUUUUGAAUGAAAAGUAUCUCGCUGCUUUCUCUCUCUUGUCUGUUAUUUCCCUCCCUUUUCUUCUUUCUCUCUUCCCUCUUCUUAAUCUUGUUUCUUUCUUCUGAUUCUUCCCCCAAAUUCAAUACAAUUCCAGAAAUUAACCUGCAGAUCUGACAAGGAGCCCUAUUCUAACCAAAUAACACACUACCAGGGUUAUUUUAGGUUAGCCCGCGUAUUCCCCUGACAUGAAUCCAAUCAUGCCAGUUAUCACUAUUUUGAAACAAUUAAACAAUUACGGAUUUAACGUCCCAAUUGACAAUAGAUUAUCAAAUUAACUAAUUAUCCGGAUCCAAAACAAUCAAUUAAUUAAAUAAUCAUAAGCACUGUAAUCAGGGAAUAUUUGAAUACCAAUAAAUAAAAAGAAAGGACAAAAUUAAAUCGAUUUCACAAUUUUUAAACGAACCACAACCUCAGUUGUUCCUCGGCUAGAUUGAGAAAAUUAGCUCAUGUUCGAUGCGAAAAAUCCACAAGAAAUUGUUAAGAGAGCCGCGGCCAUUGUCCCUUGAAAUUGGGGAAAUUCAAUUCGGUUGAACUACGAAAGAAAAGUAAGCUACAGAGAGUUGCCGAUUGGGUUUUGCUUGUCCCUAACAUGCGAGGGAGCAAAGCCACGAAAGGACGACAAAGGUCAAAAAGAAAGGCUACAGAGCAUGUUCCAGGUCUUUUUGUGCUCUCCACAUCCGAGCCAACGAAAAGAAAUAAAAAACUACCAGGAGCUAAAGGAAAACCGCAAGAAAAGUCAAAGGCUAAAAAAACUUCCUAGUGCUUGUUCUCUGCUUAUCUCUUUAUCUAAUUCUAAGUCCCCGAUUUUUUGCUCCGUGCGGCGGCUCCCCCGGAGAGAAAGGAUUGCAUCCGCUGCCCUCUUCCACCAAUUACCAAAAUGGGCACACCGCUUCUUUUUCAAAAAUGCUCCUGGAUAAACUCUAUCAUCUGGACUUUUUUUCUGUCAAAUUGACAUUUAUUAUUAUAUUUUCGUUCUACUCCCUGAAAUAAAUGUAAAAUAUUAAAAAUGAGUAGAAUCCGACAAUUAAUUCACAUCAGGUCAGAUAAUAAAGAAAAUUAAUAAUAAAAUAAAUAAAUAAAUUGCAACCUAUCAACCAAAUACAACAAUUUCAUGGAGUUUGAUACACAAGCCCAAAUACACGAGAGUGUGUAACCUGAAUUGUUACUUAUACAUUAGUGUGUAAUAGAACGGCAAGCAUUAUGGUGGUCAUUGAGCAACUUGUAGGAGAAAUAGUCCUAUAAGCUGUUCAAUGACCAAUCACAACUUGCUAAUUGGAUGACUAAUAUAGCUCUAGCUGUAAUGUUUUAAUUAAAUUCCAUCACUAACGUUGGGAUGACUUUUUAAUCAAAAAAAAAAAAGCCUUAGUUCAAGCUUUUCCCCUUAUUGUGCAUUUUUUAAAACAUUUGAUAGGCACUGCAAAUCUGUCAUUUUGGACAUUUUAUUAUUAACUAACAAUGAAAGCCGUGGACAUCAACCCAUAUCCAACAAAAUAUUAAAUUAAUAUUAGAAAAAAUUAUUAAGUAAUUGGAAAAAAAAAGAAGAGGCUAAUUUUCAUUGAAACCCACCGACAAACUAUACGCUGCUUUCAAUCAGUUUUAACACGGGAAAAAGAAAAGGCAUGAAAAGCAAAAUUUGUGGGGAUAAUUUCGGAAACCUCCCAUGAAGUUUUUGACUAUUUUACUGGCCUCCCUUCAGAUUUUAAAAAUUGGACUAAUCUUCCUUAAAGUUAAUUAUCUUGUAACAUUUAGAUCCGAUCAAUAAUUUAAAAAAUAAUAUUAUGAGAGAGAAAAUAAUAUGAUUUUAUUAUUGCCCCCAUCUCACCACAUUAUUUAAUUAAUUUAAUAGCAACCCACACAUUAAAGAAAAUGACAGGUCGUCAACCUGUGCAAUAAUAAAAUUAAACCUAAUUGCCAGUUAAAAUGACCAAAACCCAAUUCCAAGUACUGGAGCAGGGACUCUAGGUGUGCAAUGGGUUACUUGAUUCACCCUGUUCCCGAAGAGUUUGCUUGAUCCGAUAUACCCGAAUGGAAUGGUUAUUCCUUUUCACAAAUGAUUAGGAAUUUGUAGACAGGGCAAGUAGGGUCGUAUCCACAGAGACUGGGUAUAUUUGUUUCUUAAGAAAUCCAAAGUAACACAGGGGGUGAUUUUGUAGGAACGACGAUAAUUAAAUAAAUUCAAAUGAGAAAGUAAAAAUAAAUAAUUAACUAGAAAUUAAACCACAAUUUACUGAACUCAGGAUAACAAUAGUUAAAGGCCUCAAUUAAUUAAAAUAAGGAAACAAUCAAAAAUAAAAUAAAGUAGGUAAUUAAAAGUCAAAUGGCAAUCCACUACAAUCAAGGAAAUAUUAACUAAAGAUCUAGCCAAGAAAUAACUUCAGCAAUGGUUCACCUAAUCGAUCAUUGAUGCAAAGCAAUCCCAAUUAUUUACUAAUAAAUAGGUUAUAACUACCAAACAAGCGAUGGCAGUCAACCCCUCCUUACUGUGUCGGUGAUCAAGGUACGCCCGUUAAUCACUGCUCUAAUUGAGAAAUAAUCCUAGGUACGCCCGUAGAAUUUAAUUCCCCAACUGCCUUACGUAUUAGAGGAGCCCUAUUCUACCCAAAUAACACACUACCAGGGUUAUUUUAGAUUAGCCCGCGUAUCCCCCUGACACGAAUCUAAUCGUGCCAGUUGUCACUAAUUUGAGGUAAUUAAACAAUUACGGAUUCAAUACCCCAAUUGACAAUAGAUUAUCAAACCAAUGAAUUAUCCGGAUCCAAGACAAUCAACUAAUUAAAUAAUCAUAAGCACUGCAACCAAGGAAUAUGCGAAUACCAAUAAAUAAAGGAAAAGAUAAAAUUAAAUCGAUCUCACAAUUUACAGGUGACCCAAAGCAUCAGUCGUUUCUUGACUAGAACGAGGGGGUUAGCUCAUAUUGGAUGAACUAAGCCCGCGGGAAAUUCCAGCAAAAGUCACGGCCGUUGUAUGCAUUUCAAGAGCCGCAAUUCGUCAAACACUUGGAAAGCGAAUGUAAGGCACGGGUAACAAUUGAAACUUUCUAAUUGUUCCUAGCAUUCGUAAAGCAAAUUCACUCCAGAAGUACAGUGAGGAAAAGUCAAAGAAAGUGGGCUUCAAUUCCUUGCUCCUGACAUGCGUGGAGACAAGCCAAUGCAAGACUACAAUAAACUAACAAGGAAAAGUCAAGAAUUGGAGCUAAGCUCCCCUGCCAUGCGCAGGAAUCCCAAAAGUAAAAAGUAAAGCUUCAAAGAAAAGUCAACAAUUCUUCCUAAGCUACAGACGGAAGAUCCAGCACAAAAGCCAGCUCCCUUUUUGAUCCCUUUUUCCCCCUUCUUAUUGCGGCGGCUCACCAGGAGAGGAGAGCCCUCCGUCCGUCCUUUCUUCCGGAAAUUACCAAAAUGGGCAUGACAUCUUCUCUUCCAAAAGUGCCCCUGGGACAAGCUUUCUCAUCUGAAUUCUUUUUUUUUCCAAUUUGGCACCUGUUAUCAUAUUUAUAUUCUACUCCCUGAAAUAAACGUCAAAUACUAAAAGUGAGUAGAAUCCAGCAAAUAAAUCCACAUCAAGUCAGGUAAUAGGAGGAAUUAAUAAUAAAAUAAAUGAAUAAAUUGCACCCUAUCAAUUCCCUCCACACCUAAACCAUGCUUGUCCUCAAGCAUAAGAAAAGUAAACGAACACCAAAAUUCGACGAUAGCCAUUGCCCAAUCUCCUAUAUUGCCAAGACAUUCAAGAGAAAAACACAUAUCGAGCAUUGGUGAUUAGAAUCCCAGAAGCAUCCCCCCGGUUAGCCUCUAACCCCCAGAUUCCUUCAAUUUCCAACUUAACUACUCUAAGAAAGAGGAAUGGCACACAACAUUUAUCAGCUAGUGGUCCGAAUAUUCACACAAGUCUUCAUAUCCAAUCCAUAAACCGGCAAGCUUCCCUAUUAUUUAGUCUCUCUUUUUUUCCGUUUUUUUUCAUUUUCAUUCUUCCCCUCUUUUUUUUUUUUUUUUAAAGCAGUAGCAAUCAACACAAAAGACUUAGUCGUUAGCCGUCAGGGCCUUUUGAUGCGAACUCCAACAUUUUUAGAAGGAGGAGCCCGGUUACUCAGCUCCUACCGCUAUACGACCACGCACUCAUAUAAAAUACCACCUUUUGACGCGAGAAUCGACACUUUUAGGUGCCGAUCCCCGGUUACUCAGUAGUAACUUAAUAGCGGAGCACAGUCAAGCUUAUUCUCAGCCAAACAAUGCACAAACGCAAAAUAACAGCACUAACAAUCAAACAUAGGAGCAGCUCGCCUCAUUAUUGUCAAACAUGGAGAACUGGAGUCAAUAUUGGACCAGUUCACAUUAAAAGGCCAUAUUCAUUCCCUACGCCUAGAAAAGUUAACAAAGAAAUCGAAAGAGUCAAACAGUUAAAUAUUCACCAAGGGGAUAUUCAGGACCCAACCACACUAACCCGAUACAUUUUGUAUUUUAAAAACUUGGCAAAAGUAGAUUUGGAGUCAAUGAGUCCACAUCUCAAUUUUAGCCUUCACAUGAAAGGCAAUCACCAAGAAGAAAGAACGGAAAAAUAAGCAACUAGAAAUGAGACUACGAAAAACUACUAAAACUAAAAACUCACUUUUUUUCUUUUUCUCUUUUUUUUUCUUUUUGAAUUUUUUUUUCAUUUUUAUUUUUUUUUAUUUUUUUUAUUUUUUAAACAUUAACUAUAAACAUUAACUACUAAAAACUAAAAACUAAAACUACUAAAAACUAAAAACACUAAAAACUGCUAAAAUGAAAAGCUGAAAACUGAAAACUACUAAAAACGGAGCACACUAGCAUAACUUUAGAUCCCCCCCACACCUAUAGGACACAUUGUCCUCAAUGUGACAAAUAAGAACCAAAAGUGAAGCACAAGUGAGAGGGGAAUCAGCCAAACUUCCCUGAAAUCGGGUCACAGCGGAGGGCGAGGUGGAAAUGGAGGUGCAAAGCCUGUAUGCAUCAGGAACUGUGCCAAAUUCUGUGCUAUGCCGGCGACAUUGGCGUCGACGUUGGUCAUCCGGGCCUGCAAAUCCUGAACCAGCUCCCUGAGAUGCUGCCAAUCAUCGGUCCCAGGUGGUGGAGGUGGCGCAGAAGUAGAGGUAGACGGCCCAGCAGUGUCCGCGGCCGACCCAGGGAAUGAAGAUGGCCCUGCCCGGGCCGAAUGGUGUGCACCCGGGGCUCGAGGUGGUCCCGGACGGGUAAACUGGUGAAAACCAUCUGGCAGACGCUCGACGACCCCCAUUUUCUCUAAGCAAACUACGUCCAAGUGCUCCAUCUCAAAUGCCAAAUGGAGGUCGUGGUCAUCCAGGUUAAGAACUCCCAACUGGGUCGCCAAGUGAGUGAUGUAGGACCCAAGGAUCAGUGGUUUGUUCUUCUUGGUCAAGACCGUCUUGAACUGUGCGGCCAACCAACAUCCCAAGUUCACCUUGAUAUUGUUCUUCAUACUCCAGAGAAAGAAGAAUUCGGGCCGAGAGAGUAUACCGGAGCUGUCCUUGCGCCCCGAGUAGCUAUAAGCUAAGAAUCGCUGAACAUAGCGGGCGCUAGGGUCCUUAAGAAAGGAGCUCCUGGACCGGGAAGGAUCGUAGCGUUGCCUAUCGACGGACAUGUCCUCCCAUACAUCAUGGUAGUGGGAGAGGAAAGGCUCUACGUAGUCACAGGCACUCUCCGCAUACUCCCUAGUCUCAGCAUACUCUCUAGUGAUAAACCCAAAUGCCAGAUUGAAUUGAGUAAUGGAGAAAUUGAAUUCUCGACCCAUGAGCCGGAAAUGAAUGACAUUCGGUGUUUCACCCGUGUAUCUCGUAGGUAAUUCGAACUCAAAGGUGGAGUAAAACUCCCGGAUCAGCUCAACAAAAGCGGGACAAGAAAUAUGGAAAUAUGGGCGCCACCCAAUGGCUGUGAACAUUUGCUCAACCUCCUCCCGUAUACCCAGGGCAGUUAGAGAGAGUCUAUGACAAGACUUACAGGAUAUUAUACGCCUCUCGCAGACCUUAGCGUACCUCUGCCGAUCGGCGGGUCUGGUAAAUGUUAAGUGCCCCCCAAAAUGAACAGGUGCAUCUACCUGAGCACCCCUAUCCCUACCCAAACGGGUUCGAACACUAGAAGAGGAGGGUAGGUUGGUAGGUGAGUUGACAGGAAUAGAGGCUUGUGGAGGGGGUUGAGACUGAGAGGUCCUAGACCUAGAGGAGGAUUUCGGUCUCACCAUUCCCCCCAAAGUAAGUUCAAGGCAACAGAAAAUCCGACAAGUAUAGAAACCAGCAAUUGACAAAGCAAAAAUCUCCCAGUAGUAACCCAGCCAAUAGCAAACAAAAGAGUUCCAGCAAGUAAUCAACAAGCAAUUCAGAAAUAUCUCAACUAAAAUCUCAAGAGAAACCCCAGCGAGUUAUCCAGCAAUUCAAGCAAUAUCCCCAAGCAAUGUGGUGGUCAAAAUGUCAUCUCCAAAUUGAACAAAUAAUCAGAGCAUUGCAACACAUUGAAAAUCUCAAUAAACGGCUCCAGUUGGCCAAGAAAAAUUGCUAACUCAUACUCAGCAAUAGUAGUGCAGCAAAGGGACAGUAACCACGCAAUAAAAACACUUAGCUUGCACUCAAAUGGUCACCCCAAAUAACAACCCAGUAUGAAACCCGCAGGCAGAGUAUUCCUCAAACCGUUAGCCUAAACCCAGUCAACAACCACGGCCAGAAAUAACCCCAUAAAUAGUGCAAUGAGUAAUCCCCAGCAACAUAAUCAGGUGUAAUCAACUGGAGCAAGCAAUUUACAUGGCAUAGAAACCUCCCAAUCAAACAAGUGCAUUAUUCUAGCGCACCCCAAAAUUCCAAGAAAUGGCUCCAGUUGGCCAAUUAAUUUCACAAUGUCACCCAACUCAGGAGAAAUAGCAAUUCCACACAAAAAUAGUCAAACCAGUACCACUGGCGAAAAAUCUUUCAAAUAUGCACAAUUUGCUACCAAAUAUCACCGGCUAACACUGAAAAAUUGAGGGCAAGUGUCAAAUACCUCCACAGGGACUACCCCAGGCGGCAGACAGAGAAGCGGCGUUGAAGCUGGUGGUCGAGCGGGGCGGCGCUCGCGUCGGCGUGCGCAGCGGCGACGGCGCGCGAGGAUGGAGUUUCGGGAGGUUGCGUGCGGGCUUGGCUGAAGACGCGGCGCGCGCUAGGGCUUCGCUGCGGCAGGCGUGCAGCAGGGGAGAAGAAAGAAAAGAGAAAGAAAGAAAGAAAAAGAAAGGAAAGAAAGAACAGAAAAGAAGGAAAAGAAAAAGGAAUUUUUCUUUUUUUUCUUUUUCUUUAGGCUACGGUUUAGAGGACAAAUUUUUCUUCUUCUUGUUUUCUACUUUUUUAUUUUUUUAUUUUUUAGUUUUUAAUUUAUUACUAUUAUUAUCAUAUUUAAUUGAGGAAAAAAAAUGUUUUUUUUUAAAUCCCUACCUUUCCCACGAACGUGACGCGGGCACGUCAAGAGGGCAAGAGAGCUCCCAGAAGUUUCAGAAUUUUCUGAUCGUAAGCGUCCUGCACAUCACCACGCGGGCACGUCAUGAGGACAGGAGAGCUCCCAGAAGUUCAGAAUUUUCUGAUCGUGAGCGCCCUGCACGUCACCACGCGGGCACGUCAUGAGGCCAGGAGAGCUCCCAGAAGUUUGAAGUUUCUGAUUCCUGCCCGUCAUCACGCGGGCGCGUCAUGACUGAAGGUCACCUACAAAUCAGCAAAAACGAAAACUAACACCCAAAAUCAGUCAAAUUCAGGGAAAGCAGAUUUAAACUAUGCUACAAAACCAACAAACAAUUAAAAGAAAUAAUUAGGUUGCCUCCCAAUGAGCGCCUUUCUUUAAUGUCUUUGGCUAGACAUGGUAAAGUGUCACUGAUUAGGACACGGUGGUGCGUCAAGCCUUAUUGUCUCCACCUCUCUACCUGAAAAUCCUUCGUAAUAAUAUUUGAGACGGUGUCCAUUCACCACAAAUUUGUUGUCUGUCUUAGCACUCUGGAUCUCAACUGCACCAUAGGGAAAAACAUGAGUAACAAUGAAAGGUCCAAUCCAACGGGAACGUAGCUUACCUGGGAAUAGCUUGAGCCUGGAUUGGUACAGGAGGACCUUCUGACCAACUUCAAAUGUUUUUCUUGAAAUUUGUUGGUCAUGAAAUGCCCGGCUUUUCUCCUUAUAUAUCAAGGCGUUUUCGUAUGCUUCGUUCCGGAUCUCCUCCAAUUCUUGCAAAUCCAACUUCCGUUGAGCACCGGCCUCCUCUAAAUUCAUAUUGCAGUGCUUUAUCGCCCAAAAAGCCUUGUGCUCGAACUCCACUGGAAGGUGACACGGCUUCCCAAAUACCAACCUGUACGGUGACAUCCCAAUAGGAGUCUUGUACGCCGUCCGAUAGGCCCAGAGUGCGUCUUCCAACCUUUGGCUCCAGUCUUUUCUAUCAGGGCGCACCAUUUUCUCUAAAAUGGACUUAAUCUCCCGAUUCGACACCUCCGCUUGACCAUUGGUCUGAGGGUGGUAUGACGUUGAGACCCUGUGGAGUACACCAUACUUGCGAAACAACGCAGCUAUGGUUUUGUUGCAAAAGUACGUUCCCCUAUCACUGACAAUAGCUCUAGGCAUUCCAAACCGCACAAAGAUAUUAGACCUGAUAAAAUCUGCAACUACUCUCGAAUCAUUAGUUCGAGUGGCCUUAGCCUCCACCCAUUUAGACACAUAAUCAACUGCCAGCAAAAUAUAUAAAAAACCAAAUGAAGUAGGAAAAGGCCCCAUGAAAUCUAUACCCCAGACAUCAAAAAUUUCAACAAAAAUCAACGGGACCUGGGGCAUUUGAUCUCUACGGGCUAUAUUACCUACCAUUUGACAGCGAUCACAUGACUUACAAAACACAUAGGCAUCUCUAAACAAUGAAGGCCAAUAAAAUCCACUUUCUAAAACCUUAUGAGCAGUUCUCUUAGGUCCAAAAUGACCUCCACAGGCAAAAGUAUGACAAAAAGCUAAAAUUGAUUGAAAUUCCAUUUCACUUACACAUCUCCUCAUCACUUGAUCGGCACACCUCUUCCAUAGGUACGGGUCAUCCCAGAUAAAAUACUUGGCAUCGCUCUUCAAUUUAUCCCUCUUCGAUUUCGGCCAACCUGCAGGAAAAUUACCAGUUACCAAAUAAUUGACCAAAUCAGCAUACCAAGGCAACUGAGAAUUUAAGAAAAAUAGGUAUUCUUCGGGGAAUGCAUCCUUCAAUGGCUCGCUAUCCUCUUCAACUAGUAUGCGACUCAAAUGGUCCGCUACUAGAUUUUCUGAGCCUUUUUUGUCCCUUAUCUCCAAGUCAAAUUCCUGUAGGAGCAGUAUCCACCGUAUGAGCCUCGGUUUUGCAUCUUUCUUGGUCAUCAGGUACCUCAAUGCUGCAUGAUCAGAAAAUACAAUCACUUUAGCACCUAACAAGUAUGACCUAAAUUUUUCCAAAGCAAAAAUAACUGCCAGAAGCUCCUUCUCAGUGGUGGAAUAAUUCAACUGGGCUCCAUUCAAGGCCCGGGAUGCGUAAUAGAUGACAUGAGCCGCCUUGCCUAUUCUUUGCCCCAGUACAGCCCCAACAGCGUGAUCACUGGCAUCGCACAUGAUCUCAAAUGGCAAAUUCCAAUCGGGGGGUUGGAUGAUUGGGGGUGAAGUCAGCAAUUCCUUCAGCUUGUUAAAGGCUCUCUCACACUUAUCAUCAAAUUCGAAGGCUACAUCUUUUUGUAGGAGUUGGAACAACGGGGCUCCAAUCUUUGAAAAAUCCUUGAUGAACCUUCGAUAAAAACCUGCAUGUCCAAGAAAAGAGCGCACCUCCCGCACACUCGCGGGGUAAGGUAAUGCAGAAAUAAUGUCUAUUUUAGCCUUGUCAACUUCUAUGCCCUUAGACGAUACAAUAUGACCCAGGACUAUUCCGUGCUCAACCAUAAAAUGACAUUUUUCCCAAUUAAGCACAAGAUUAGUCUCUAUACACCUGAUCAGGAUUAAUUUCAGGUUAUCUAGACAAGUAUCAAAACUAUCACCAUACACACUGAAAUCAUCCAUGAAAACUUCUAUUAUUUUCUCAACAUACUCGGAAAAGAUGCUUACCAUACAUCUUUGGAAAGUCGCAGGUGCAUUGCACAACCCAAAUGGCAUUCGUCUGUAGGCAAAGGUCCCGAACGGGCACGUGAAGGUUGUCUUCUCUUGAUCCUCCGGGGCAAUUGCUAUCUGAAAGUAUCCUGAAAAUCCAUCCAAAAAGCAAUAAUAAGCCCUACCAGCUAAACGUUCAACCAUUUGGUCAAUGAAAGGGAGAGGGAAAUGGUCCUUUUUGGUGACGGCGUUUAGCCUACGGUAAUCUAUACAUUGCCUCCAUCCAGUGGGUUUGCGCACUGGCACGAGCUCACCAGUUUGGUUGGCCUCUACCGUCACUCCUGCAUUCUUUGGGACUACCUGGACCGGACUCACCCAAGGGCUAUCAGAUAUUGCAAAAAUGAUGCCCACAUCUAGCAAUUUUAGAAUCUCUUUCUUUACGACUUCCAUCAUGAGGGGAUUGAGCCUUCUUUGAGCCUGCCUAACAGGUUUGGCAUCGUCUUCCAGCCUAAUCCGGUGCAUACAAAUGGCCGGGCUGAUCCCCUUAAUGUCUGCGAUUGUCCAGCCUAUUGCCUCUUUAUGCUCCCGAAGGACCCGGAUCAAUUUCUCUUCCUGGGUCUUUGACAGUGCCGAUGAGAUAAUCACUGGGAGUGUCUCAUUAUCACCUAGGUAUGCGUAUUUCAGGUGCUCUGGUAGAGGUUUCAACUCCAGUACAGGUGCCUGCACCACAGAUGGCAAUACCCUCUGGUGAGCCUUGGGAGUAAAAAUAGGUAAGACUUCAUACCUUUUCGUGGUGGUCUGCAACGAGUGUAAUGCACCUAUUGUGCAUUUUAAAUCCUCGCUCCACUCCACCUCAGGAGUUGUCUCCAACUCGAGGUGCUUGGUUAAAGCCACCUCCAGCUCAUCCCUGCCAUCAGUUUCAAACACUUCCUGCACUACAGGGUCAAUAGCACUCACAGAAAAAACUGAGCUAAAGUUGGAGUUAGAGGGGUACUUCAUAGUAUCAAAAAUAUUAAAAUGCACAAUUUACCCAUCAAACUCCAUGGACAAGGUACCCUUAUUAACAUCAAUUUUCGUCUGCGCAGUGCUCAUAAAAGGUCUACCCAAUAACAAAGGUGAGGGAUCAGGGGAGUGAUCAUCAUCCAUAUCUAGUACAUAAAAAUCAGCUGGAAACACCAAAUCAUUAACCUUUACCAACACAUCUUCAAUCAACCCAUCAGGAUAUGCAUUAGUUCGGUCAGCUAAUUGAAUAAUUAUUCCAGUUUCUUUUAAUGGACCUAGUUUCAAAGAAGCAUAGAUAGAUUUAGGCAUGACAUUAAUUGAUGCUCCCAGAUCCAGCAUGGCCCUUCUGAUCACAGUAUUACCUAUCUUACAGGGAAUAGUAAACAUACCUGGGUCCCCGCACUUUGGUGGGAGCUUUCUCUGCAGGACCGCAGACACAUUUUCUCCAACUAUGACCCGUUCAUCUCCCCUCAACCGCCUUCGGUUGACACACAAGUCCCUUAGGAACUUGGCAUAUUUUGGUACUUGUUUGAUGGCGUCUAAGAGGGGGAUAUUUAUCUCAACCUUGCGAAAAACCUCCAAGAUCUCCUUCUCCUUAUCCUGCUUCUUCGAUUUUUCCAACCUGCUAGGAAAAGGAGGCGGGUUAGUUUUAACUGUAAUUAUUGGGUCAGGAAGUACCUCUGGAUCUGCACCAUUGCUGUCCUCCCUUUCGAGCUCAUUUUCGAUCUUCUCUUCAUCCUUGUCCUUGGGAAUCACAGGUUCAGGCCCCUGAAUUUCUUUCCCACUCCUUAGGAUCAUUGCGCUCACGUUCUUCGGAUUCAACUCCGGUUGAGAUGGCAGCUUCCCUUGGUUCUGGGACUCCCAACGGUUCAUUCUGGUGGCCAAUUGACCUAUCUGAUUCCUUAUGUCCUGCAUUUCGGAGUCCGUCUUUUGCUGAUUUUGCAUAAUAGCUGCCUCCGUCCUUUGCUGAUUCUGCGCCAUGGUUGUCAUCAUUUGUUUCAGCAUCUCAUCCGUAGAUGAACCAGAUUGAGGGAGCGGAGGUGGUCGGGGUUGGUAUUGCUGCUGGUACCCUGGUGGCUUAUUUGGCACAAAGUUAGACUGCCUGUUUGGCGUGAAGUUGGAUUGCCUAUUUCCACCAUAACUGAGGUUGGGAUGAUCUCUCCACCCGGGGUUGUAGGUGCUUGAGUAAGGGUCGUACUGCUUCCUUGGCGCGGGCGCGUGGUCAGCCAUGUUCACCUGUUCCGCAGUUUCUUCCUGAAUCAUUGGGCACAUGUCUGCAGAGUGACCUAUACCAGUGCAAAUCCCGCAUACCCUGGCUUGUGAUGCAUUUCUCACAGCCUAUUGCCUAACGAACGCAGUCAACUCAUUUAGCUGCUGCUGCACAGAGGGUGUCUCUAUCUCAUUCACCCUACGUAUUGGGACAUCCUAUCUUGUACUGAAUUGCUGUGAAUUCUCUGCCAUCCCCUCUAUUAACUCCCGUGCUUCCUGAGGGGUUUUGUUCACCAGUGCCCCUCCACUUGCAGCAUCAAUGAUGCUCCUGUCUCUAAAAAUGAGCCCCUCAUAGAAAUAUUGUAUGAUCAACUGCUCACUUAUUUGGUGAUGGGGGCACCUGCGCAACAAGCUCUUAUACCGUUCCCAAUACUCGUAAAGUGACUCCUCGGGAUGCUGCUUGAUCCCACAAAUUUCUUUCCUUAGACUCGCAGCCCUGGACGCAGGAAAAUAUUUAUCCAGAAAUUUUUUCUUCAAUUGGUCCCACGUGGUGAUGCUACCUGGUGACAGGUAGUACAGCCAGUCCUUCGCAGAAUCUUUCAAGGAGAAGGGGAAUGCCCUCAUUUUUAUCUGCUCUUCUGUGAUUCCCGGGGGUUUCAUACUGUUGCAAACGACAUCAAACUCCUGCAGAUGCUUAUACGGCUCUUCACCUGGUAAACCAUGAAAAGAGAGUAAAAGCUGAAUCAGACCAGAUUUUAGUUCAAAUGGAAUGUUGUCAUUUAAAGCUGGGAAAGUAAUGCAUAACGGCUGCUGAGUUAAAUCAGGAGCAGCCAACUCCCUUAAUGUUUAUGCAUUAGCCAUGGUGCCUUCCUGCUGGUCAGAGUCACUCGAAGUGUUACCAAACGAAUCUGUUGGUUCAACUUCUGACUCGGGUCUUUGAGAUGUAGCACUAGAGUGCUCUUCUCUGAGCUGUCUGGUUUCCUUUCUCGUUCUACGCGCGGUCUUCUCUACCUCAGGAUCAAAAACCAAAUCACCUGUGCGACAAGAUCGAGGCAUACACUAGAAGAAAACCAGAAAAUUAGGACAAAAUUGAAUUUAAGAAGAAACAAAUAAUAACGCCAGUCCCCGGCAACGGCGCCAAAAAUUGACAGGUCGUCAACCUGUGCAAUAAUAAAAUUAAACCUAAUUGCCAGUUAAAAUGACCAAAACCCAAUUCCAAGUACUGGAGCAGGGACUCUAGGUGUGCAAUGGGUUACUUGAUUCACCCUGUUCCCGAAGAGUUUGCUUGAUCCGAUAUACCCGAAUGGAAUGGUUAUUCCUUUUCACAAAUGAUUAGGAAUUUGUAGACAGGGCAAGUAGGGUCGUAUCCACAGAGACUGGGUAUAUUUGUUUCUUAAGAAAUCCAAAGUAACACAGGGGGUGAUUUUGUAGGAACGACGAUAAUUAAAUAAAUUCAAAUGAGAAAGUAAAAAUAAAUAAUUAACUAGAAAUUAAACCACAAUUUACUGAACUCAGGAUAACAAUAGUUAAAGGCCUCAAUUAAUUAAAAUAAGGAAACAAUCAAAAAUAAAAUAAAGUAGGUAAUUAAAAGUCAAAUGGCAAUCCACUACAAUCAAGGAAAUAUUAACUAAAGAUCUAGCCAAGAAAUAACUUCAGCAAUGGUUCACCUAAUCGAUCAUUGAUGCAAAGCAAUCCCAAUUAUUUACUAAUAAAUAGGUUAUAACUACCAAACAAGCGAUGGCAGUCAACCCCUCCUUACUGUGUCGGUGAUCAAGGUACGCCCGUUAAUCACUGCUCUAAUUGAGAAAUAAUCCUAGGUACGCCCGUAGAAUUUAAUUCCCCAACUGCCUUACGUAUUAGAGGAGCCCUAUUCUACCCAAAUAACACACUACCAGGGUUAUUUUAGAUUAGCCCGCGUAUCCCCCUGACACGAAUCUAAUCGUGCCAGUUGUCACUAAUUUGAGGUAAUUAAACAAUUACGGAUUCAAUACCCCAAUUGACAAUAGAUUAUCAAACCAAUGAAUUAUCCGGAUCCAAGACAAUCAACUAAUUAAAUAAUCAUAAGCACUGCAACCAAGGAAUAUGCGAAUACCAAUAAAUAAAGGAAAAGAUAAAAUUAAAUCGAUCUCACAAUUUACAGGUGAUCCAAAGCAUCAGUCGUUUCUUGACUAGAACGAGGGGGUUAGCUCAUAUUGGAUGAACUAAGCCCGCGGGAAAUUCCAGCAAAAGUCACGGCCGUUGUAUGCAUUUCAAGAGCCGCAAUUCGUCAAACACUUGGAAAGCGAAUGUAAGGCACGGGUAACAAUUGAAGCUUUCUAAUUGUUCCUAGCAUUCGUAAAGCAAAUUCACUCCAGAAGUACAGUGAGGAAAAGUCAAAGAAAGUGGGCUUCAAUUCCUUGCUCCUGACAUGCGUGGAGACAAGCCAAUGCAAGACUACAAUAAACUAACAAGGAAAAGUCAAGAAUUGGAGCUAAGCUCCCCUGCCAUGCGCAGGAAUCCGAAAAGUAAAAAGUAAAGCUUCAAAGAAAAGUCAACAAUUCUUCCUAAGCUACAGACGGAAGAUCCAGCACAAAAGCCAGCUCCCUUUUUUAUCCCUUUUUCCCCCUUCUUAUUGCGGCGGCUCACCAGGAGAGGAGAGCCCUCCGUCCGUCCUUUCUUCCGAAAAUUACCAAAAUGGGCAUGACAUCUUCUCUUCCAAAAGUGCCCCUGGGACAAGCUUUCUCAUCUGAAUUCUUUUUUUUUCCAAUUUGGCACCUGUUAUCAUAUUUAUAUUCUACUCCCUGAAAUAAACGUCAAAUACUAAAAGUGAGUAGAAUCCAGCAAAUAAAUCCACAUCAAGUCAGGUAAUAGGAGGAAUUAAUAAUAAAAUAAAUGAAUAAAUUGCACCCUAUCAGAAAAAUGCAAAAAUUUGUUAUUUAUCAUUAAGGAUCAUAUCGCAUAUAACAUCAAAAAAUAGUAUAUUAUUUAUAUCUUUCACUUAAUAUAAUAUCCAAAUUACUCUUUUCAGUUACAUACCCAUUGUUAGACAAAAUCAACAACAAAUAACCAAAAAAUUUGCAACCAAAAUAUUACCAAAAAAAUAAACUUUAACAUCAUAAAUAUUUUUAUCAACAUAUUAAAGUUAGUUAUUGAAAUUUUUAUGGUGUUAAACUUCACUCUUAGCAAUAUUUUGGUUACAGAUUUUUUUGAUUAUUUAUUGUUGAUCGUGUUUGACAAUGGAUUUGUAACUGAAAAGAAUAAUUUGAAUCUUACAUUAAGUGAAAUAUAUAAAAUAUUAUACUAUUUUUUAUGGCAUAUGUGAUUCUUUUUUUUUUUUUUAUCAGAACGGCAACAUUGUAUUAAUAGUAAACCAAUUACAGUAUAGGUGGGCAACCGCCCUCACAAUCUGCCUGGACUUGUUCCAGCAGCCAAACUGGGAAGUUUUCCUUCCAUUCAGUAUUUUGUUCCAAAGUAAUAGCUACUUUAGCUAGUUUAUGGCUAACAAAGUUGUUCACCCUAUUUGCAAAGGUAAAACAACAUUCAUCAAAUUUUAUUCAUGUACAAUUGUUGCUAUCACCACGUCCUCCUCCUCCUCCUCACUGCACACUACUUGACUACCACCCUUCGCCAACCUUGCUGUUGCAUGUGCAACUAUCAUGGCCUCUCUUAGCGCCUUUGCUUCUUCGACCUUUGGACUGGCACAGCUAAAAUUUGGAACAGCCCAGGCCCACCCGCAAUCUUCCCAACCAAUCCCUGGCCACCCUUUUCCCACCCAGCUUCUAUGGCAUGUGUGAUUCAAUCCUUCUUGAUAGGAUUGGUAAUAGAGGCAGAGGGGGGAGCCGGCUGCAUCCGGUCUACUUUUCAUAGAUAGUACAAUAUUGCGAAAUCGAUCGCAUUCACACAAGAAUAUUUCGAAGUCAUUGCAUCGCUAAGUUGCAAAAAAGUACAAACACUUGUUAUUAUAUAGCUUAAGAUUCAAAACUUUAGAGCACAACCCUCCACCUAACACAAUUGAAUAAUGAAUAUUCACGAUUGUCAAAUCUGUCAAAGCACAGUUUGAGGACAACCCAUUCCAACCUGCAAAAGAUUUUUGACUUUUUUAAAGUUGUUGAGAGCUGUAAAAAGACUUACCAUGCUUACAUCUUCCGAGCCUUGGGAGUUAAAAAUGAAGGCACUGAGUGCUAUAAAAAGGGGGCUAGAGGCUGCCUAGAAGCAUAUCAGCCUAAAACAAGAAUUUGUAGUUAUGAUGGGAAGCAAAGCAAAAGCAAUGGGGUCUGGGCUGACUCCUCUUCUUACCACUGUUUUAGUGGUAUUUGUUGCUCUUGGCUUGCCCUCAGAAACUGCAGCUGAUGAUCACUACAAGUAUUCAUCUCCUCCUCCUCCUUACCACUAUCCCUCACCACCACCUCCAGUGCAUUUACCUCCACCAGUGUACAAAUACAAGUCCCCACCACCACCUCAUCAUGUUUACAAGUACAAAUCUCCACCACCCCCACCACCACACCCAGUUUACAAGUAUAAGUCGCCACCACCACCUCCUCAUCCGGUAUACAAGUACAAGUCUCCUCCGCCACCUCCUCAUCCGGUACCACACCCAGUUUACAAGUAUAAGUCACCACCACCACCUCCUCAUCCGGUACCACACCCAGUUUACAAGUAUAAGUCUCCUCCGCCACCAGUUUACAAAUAUAAGUCUCCUCCACCACCACCUCCAGUGUACAAAUACAAGUCUCCACCACCACCAGUUUACCACUACAAGUCUCCACCACCUCCUCCCCCAGUUUACAAAUACAAGUCUCCACCACCACCACCACCAGUUUACCACUACAAGUCACCACCACCUCCUCCCCCAGUUUACAAAUACAAGUCUCCACCACCUCCUCACCACUACUAAGCAAUUGCUUCUGAGGUAAUAACACUUGUUCAAUAUACCCACUUCUGCAUGAUAAAGCAUAUCUCUAUCAACACAAACUGUCAUGUCUAUCAUGCUAAGUGCCUUCACUUCAUCCACCAAAAUGACUGCUAGAAAAUUUUUUUUAUGUUACCAAAGAAAGGCAUCAUUUUUUCCCUCUGUUAUCAAGAACUUGUACAGUAUAUAGAUUAAAGAGUAUUUUUUUAACUAGCUUAUCAACUGAGAAAUGCAUAUAGCUGAUAGCCAGCUGAAUAUUUGCAGGCAAAGGAGAAGGAAACCAGUGUUUGAGACCUUCUUGAAGAUGUAGAAGCAUAAGAAUUAAAGCCCAAUGUGAAGAUGAUGAUUUCAAGUUUUUCUACGUUACCAUUUCUUUAUCUAAAUUGGUUGUAGCGCCUUAGUUCCUUUGUUUAUGGGAUUUGUAUCGUUUUACGUACCAUGCAGUACAUGUCAUGUUUGUAAGGUUUUCUAUCCUGCCGGCAAACCGCAGGUUCCAUGUAAUAAAUCAAUACUAUUUAUAUUACGACACUUUUCUCUGUUUCUCUUAUAUUUUGUCGUCUUUAAUAUUCUUAAUCAUAUUUUUAACAAAAAUAUUCAAACACUUAGGCAAUCUGGUCUAAUGCUAAUUGUAUGUUUUACUUUUCUUUUUCACCUGCUCCCCUUUUCAACUCAAAAGGAUGCAAUAGUUUGUGAUCACUGUUGAAGACGGAAGCAUGAUACUAAUGAAUAUAUCAUUGAAACUCAAGGAAACUAACAUUAUGAAAAGUGUAAAUCUUGAUUUGAUGCAACUAUUUAUUCGUGGAAUCUAUAGUUACAAAACUCAAACUCUGACUGCGCCAUUGAUAAAUUAUUAAUGACGCUAUCAUCAUUAUUUAUCCCCAACUAGUUUCGACUACAACUGAACCCAAUAUUUUCCCCAUGAUAAAAGUUUUUUACUAUUUUACUGGCCUCUCUUCAAAUUUUAAAAAUUACACUAAUCUUCAUUGAGAUUAAUUAUCUUGUAGCAUUUAAGUCCAAUUAAUAAUUAAAAAAUAAUAUUAUGAGAGAGAAAAUAAUAUAAUUUUAUCAUUGCCCCCCAUCUUGCUAUAUUAUUUAAUUAAUUUAAUAGCAACCCACACAUUAAAGAAAAAUACUAAAAUUUGCUGCUUUUCAUUAAAGAUCAAAUUGCAUAUGCCAUAAAACAUAGUAUAUCAUUCUAUAUGUUUCACUUAAUGUAAGAUCCCAAUUGUUCUUUUCAAUUACAAACCCAUUGUCAAACAUGAUCAAUAACAAAUAACCAAAAAAUUUGCAACCAAAAUAUUACAAAAAAAAACUUUAACAUCAUAAAUAUUCUUACCACCUCUAGUGCAUUCACCCUCAUAAAAUAAUUCAAGACCCUACUGUCAUAAAAUGACUGAUCAACUCCUGUAAACCUAAUUUGACAACAUUUAAAUGGAGAACUUUAGCUAAAAGAAUUAUGGUCAAGCUAAAGAAAAAACCAGUUAUUUUCCAACAUAUGCAAUCAUUGAUCAGGGAAAAAAAAAAGAAGCAAAAAGACAUCUUCAAUCAUUUAAUAGCUUACAGGGCAAAUUAACCCCUAAGCGAAAACUGGUUGCUCUAGAAUCAAAAUUUUACUUUAGUUACCCAGGCAACUUUUUUUGUUGCCUUUUCUUUUUCUUUUUUGGGUAUAUAUAUAGCUCCAGUUUUGCCCCCUCUGUCAAGCUUAUAUAAUUAUUAAGAUAAUAAAAGUGCCUUUAAUAGUAUUAAUAUAUCCAUUGACUUGAGCUGUCAUCGAUCGGUUUGGGCUACUUCGAUUCCAUGAGAACAAAUGGUAAUAAAAGUACUCAGAAAAUGGGGAGUCAUGAAACCCUUUUGUUCUAUUCAUUGCUAAGAUGCUUUUCUCUAUAAAGACACUUCCUAACGAAAAUACUUUGUAGAUUUCUUUACUCCAAGUGGUGCAUGGAAAAUUAAUAUUUUCAAUUAUCAAAUAAAAUUCCCUUUUUUCGGUGUAGAUUUCAUCCAUUCAGCUGUUAACACUCCGAAUUGACUAAUCUUUUCGUUUCCAUUUUCCAACUUGCGAAUACGGCAUCUUACAUAUUGUCUGCUGAAUAUGAAUACAUAUCCCUUUUCUGAGCAGGUGCAGAGUCAUUAUCAUUUUUAUUCCCACCUAACAAAUUAGUUAAUAAUCUUUUAAAGAACAUGUUAAAUUAAUUUAUUGGUAUGAAUAGUAGUCAAAGAAGUAUGUUAAAGUUAGUAAUCUUUAAAAUAAUAUGUUAAAAUUAUUCGUACAAAUUAGCCAGAGAAGUAGCAUAAACACCGCGAUGCAAUUAAUACUUUCAAUCUCAAGGUCUCUAUUAUGGAAAUUUGCAUCGGUCAACAUACACAAAGCAUUAUUGUAUGCACGUCUCUCUAUUAUGGAAAUUUGCAUAGGUCAAUAUACACUUGGCAUAGUUGCAUGCACGUCCAAUUUUUUUUUAUUUUUAUUUUUGGUAUUUUACUUCCUGCCUUAAGUUGCCUGCAGAUGUUUGUAUUACAAAUAUAUGGUAUACUAAAUAUAUAGUAUGCACAUUAAUUUCUUUGGGUUGCUUAAGGGUAUAUUGUUAAUAAUAGGGGGUUUAACCAUAAAUUAUAACAAUGAUGAAGUAAUAUAUAUUAGAAAAUUAACACAAUUAUGAUUUUUUUUUUUGUAAAAUUCAAAUUUUAUUAAUAAGAAAUGAAAUAGGCAGUAAGCAUUUACAAACCGAAAACAAAAUCCUACAACAACUCUAGGACUCUACACCUUAUUAAAAAAAAACAUUUUGAUAGCGUUUUUCCAAAAGCAGAAGAUGGAAAAUUGCCCAUUUGUACUGGGGAGUUCGUGAUCUUUUCCUCAUUCUAGUCUACUUACAAUUCUUGGAAAAAGGAAUACUCACAUCUCAAACAACAGCCUGUUCAUCUGCAGUGUCCUGCCGAAUUCUAGAAAGUUUGGUGGCAAUGUUAAUUACAUUUCAAAAUUGACUGCUGCGAUAACUAAUUCGAUGGCUUACUACAUGGUCAACGUUUGGAUCUCUUCCUGUCCUUUUUGGAUGCACAUUUUUUUUCUCUAGGUAAUAUAUAAUCUCCCAACUCAUUUCUUUACAAAUGCACCUUUAAUCACCACCAAAAGGUGUGGACAUGAUCUUUACCCUAGAAAACUAUUCACCGACAGGCAAAUUGACGUCAGAAAUACUAAGAGGAAUUCUAGUUUCCUUCGGGUUAAUGCCAUUUUGUACCCUUCAACUGUAACUCAAUUUCUAAGCUGUAAUUUGUGACAUUAUAGUCCUUAAACUAUGAAACCCUUUCUUAUUUAAUUACAAUGGUUAAUACAAUGCCCGUGACUAGACAAGUAUGAAGCAACCAUAACAAAAAAAAAAUCCAAAAUUAGAGAAAAGAAAGAAGUUGCGACCAAAGUAUGUAUCAAGGCAUAGUAUAGAAAUAAAAGUGUCAAAAUUAAGAGUUUAGGGAUAAAAAAGAAUCAAAAUAUAGUUUAGGAAUUGAUUUGUCUCAAUUAGAGUUUAGAUGUCAACUAAGAAGAGAGAUAUAGUUGAAGGGUAGAAUAUAGAUAUAACAGUUCAAUGAUUGAUAUCAACGAGACAAUGACAACUUUGGAUUAUUACCAACCUCUUCUUGAUGGAAAAGGAAAUAGAGAAGAAAGUCGGGCCUGGUCUAAGCCUGUUUCGGAGGCAAAACAACAUUAUGAAAUCACCGGCAUUCACACAAAUAUGUCAAAGUCACCGGCAUGCUAAGUUGCAAAAUUUAUACAAACACUGAAUAUUAUAUUCUUCUCAAAAUUUUUGUUUAAGAUUUAACAAUUAGAGCACGGUACACGAAUUAGCAAUAUUAAAUAAUGAAUGUUCACGAUUGAUAAAGUUAUCAAAGUACAGUUUGAGGACAACCCAUUCCAACGUGUACAAGAUGUUUAGCCUUUGAAAAGUUAAUUAGAGAAGGUGACGAGAUUUUACUAGGCUUACAACUUCUAGGCCUUGGGAGUAAAAAGUGAAGACACUGAGUGCUAUAAAAAGGGGGCUAGAUGUUGCCUAGAAGCAUAUCAGCCUCGGACCACAUUUUGUAGCAAUGGGGAGCAAAGCAAAAGCAAUGGGGUCUAGGCUGACUCCUCUUUUUACCACCGUUUUAGUGGUAUUUGUUGCACUUGGCUUGCCUUCAGAAACUGCAGCUGAUUACGACAAGUAUUCACCUCCUCCUCCUCCUUACCAUUAUUACUCACCACCACCUCUUGUGCAUUCACCUCCACCACCGCCAGUUUAUAAGUCACCCCCACCACCUUAUCACUACUUCUCACCACCACCUCCAGUGUAUCCAUCUCCACCACCAUCUGUUUACAAGUCACCUCCACCACCUUCGCCAGUAUACAAGUCCCCACCACCACCUUAUCAAUAUUCCUCACCACCACCUCCAGUGCAUUCACCUCCACCACCACCGAUUUAUAAGUCACCUCCACCACCUCCUCCAGUUUACAAGUCCCCGCCACCACCUUACCAUUAUUCCGCACCAUCACCUCCAGUGCAUUCACCUCCACCACCACCGAUUUACAAGUCACCUCCACCACCUCCUCCAGUUUACAAGUCUCCAUCACCACCUUACCAUUAUUCCUCACCACCACCUCCAGUGCAUUCACCCCUACCACCACCGGUUUACAAGUCUCUGCCACCACCUUACCAUUAUUCCUCACCACCACCUCCUAUGCAUGCACCUCCACCACCAAUAUACAAGUCACCUCCACCACCUCCUCCAGUUUACAAGUCUCCACCACCACCUUACCAUUAUUCCUCACCACCACCUCCAGUGCAUUCACCCCUACCACCACCAGUUUACAAGUCUCCGCCACCACCUUACCAUUAUUCCUCACCACCACCUCCUGUGCAUGCACUGCCACCACCAAUUUACAAGUCACCUCCACCACCUCCUCCAGUUUACAAGUCCCCACCACCACCUUACCAUUAUUCCUCACCACUACCUCCAGUGCAUUCACCUCCACCACCACCGAUUUACAAGUCACCUUCACCACCUCCUCCAGUUUACAAGUCUUCACCACCACCUUACCAUUAUUCCUCACCACCACCACUCUUCAAUUUGGAUGUAAUUCAAUUUUCCUUGUAAUCGGUGGCCCUCCUUCGGAAUCCAAAUAGUCAUUGAGUGCAGCCUUCUUUCUUUAUUUUUUACUCAUUUUCACCUCAUAAAUUGCUUUCAUCCCCUAAAACUUGUUCGCUGGAAUUUUGAAUUUACCCAUACAACUAAACUCAGAAAAUUCUUACACAAAGGGAUUAGUAGCAUGAAUAGCAAACACAGAAUAAGAGAUAACAGUAUGUUUUAUUGUAUUAAAAAUAUUAAAGUGGAUUAUUUCUCCAUCGAAUUCCAUUGUGAGAGUAUCGUUACUAACAUCAAUCUUAGUUUGAGCAGUACUCAAGAAUGACCUUCCUAAUAUAAUGGGUGAUGGAUUUGGGACACUUUCAUCAUCCAUAUAAAACACAUAAAAAUCAACAGAAAAAAUUAAUCCAUCUACUUGAACUAAAAACAUCCUCAACUACCCCAUUUAGAUAAGCAAAUAUACGAUCAGCCAAUUGAAUUAUUAUCCCUAUUUCUUUUAAAUGUUCUAAAUUUAGGGAAUCAUAAAUUGAUUUAGACAUCACAUUAAUAGAAAUCUUUAAAUCUAUCAUGGCAUUUUUUAUAUUAGAAUGUCCAAUCUUACAUGAGAUAGUAAACAUACCUAGAUUCUCGCAUUUAGGUGGUAGUUUCCUUUGUAAAAUUGCUGAAACGUUCUCAUCUACCACAAUAUGCUUGUCCUCCUCAAUUUCUUCUUGUUGACACACAAGUUUUUCAAGCAUUUAACGUAUUUUGGAACUUAUUUGAUUUGCGUCCAACAAAGGGAUAUUGAUUGCCACCUUGCGAAAAUCUCUAAAAUCUCCUUUUCUUUAUCUUGUUUCUUUGAUUUCUCUAACCUGCUUGGAAAAGGUGGUGAGUUAGUUCCAACUCUAAUUAUAGAAUCAACAAUUACCUUUGGAUUCACAUUUCUCAUUCCUUCCUCCUCAAGCUCUUUGUCGAUUCGAUCUUCAUUUUUAUCCUUUGGAAUCACAACUUCGGAUCCCUGAAUUUUCUUCUCGCUCCUUAAGGUCAUUACACUUACAUUCUUCAGGUUCAGUUCAGGUUGAGACGACAAUUUUUCAUAGAUUUGGGAUUCCAGGCGGUUGAUUGCUAUUACCAUCUGACUCAUCUGACUCUGCAGUGCUUGCACCUGUCCCAAUUGAUUCCUCAUACUUUGCAAGUCAAAAUCCAUCUUUUGUUGAUUAGCAAUUAAUUGCUUCAUUAUCUCUUCUAUAGAUGGACUUGAGUUUGAAAGAGGUGGUGGCGGGCGAGACUGAUACUGUUAUUGAUACCCUUGCUAUCUAUUUGGUGCAAAAUCUGGCUACCUAUUUCCUCCAUAGCUGAGGUUGGGAUGAUCUCUCCAACCAAUAUUGUACGUAUUCGUGUACGAGUCGUAUGGUUUUCUUGGCACGGCGCGUGACCAGCCAUGUUCACUUGCUCCGUACUUUUCUCUUGAAUCAUUGAGCACAUCUCUGUAGAAUGACCCAUAGCAGUGCAGAUCCCACACAUCUUGACUCGUGAUGCAUUUCCUAUAGCUAAUUGCCUAACAAAGGAUGUUAAUUCGGUCAACUGCUGUUGGAUAGAAUAUGUUUCUACCUCAUUUACUUUGCGUGUUGGGGCAUCCUCCCUCGUACCAAACUGUUGCGAAUUUUCCGCCAUUCCUUCAACUAGCUCCCACGCUUCUCGAGAAGUCUUGUUCACCAAUGCCCUUCUACUUGCAGCAUCAAUUAUACUCCUGUCUCUAAAACGCAGCCCCUCGCAAAAAUAUUGGAUGAGCAAUUGCUCACUUAUUUGGUGUUGAGGGAACUUGAUGCAUAACUUCUUGAAUCGCUCCCAAUAAUCAUAAAGCGACUCUCCUGGAUGCUACUUGAUACCGUAUAUCUCCUUCCUUAGACUUGCAGCUCGAGAUGCAAGAAAAUAUUUGUCCAAGAACUUUUUCUUCAGCUGAUCCCACGUGGUGAUGCUACCUGGUGGUAGAUAGCACAGCCAGUCUUUUGCGGAGUCCUUCAAGGAGAAGGGAAAUGCCCUCAUUUUUAUCUAUUUUUCUGUAAUUCUCGGAGGUUUUAUGCUGUUGCAAACGACAUCAAACUCUUGCAAGUGCUUAUACGGUUCCUCACCUGGUAAACCAUAGAAAGAUGGCAAGAGAUGAAUUAGACCAGAUUUUAACUCAAAUGAAGUGUUAUCAUUUAAAAAUAGAAAAGUAACUGAGAUGCAGCACUGGAAUGUUCUUCUCGAAAUUGUCUGGUCUCUUUCUUUGUUCUACGCGUAGUCUUCUCUACCUUAGGAUCAAAAAUUAAUUUACCUGUACGAGAAGAACGAGGCAUACACUAGAAAAACACUAGAAAAUUAGAACAAAAAUGAACAUAAAAAGAAACAAAUAAACCAACGUCAGUCCCCAGCAACGGCGCUAAAAAUUGACAAGUUGUCGAUGCCUGUGCAAUAAUAAAAAUAAACCUAGUUACCAAUUAAAAUAAUCAGAGCCUAAUUCUGAGUACUAGAGCAGGGACUAUAGGUGUGCAAUGGGUUACUUGAUUCACCCUAUUCCUGAAGUUUGCUUAACCCGAUAUACCAGAAUGAGAUUGCUUAUUCAAAAGGAAUUAUUGAUUUGUAAACAGGGCAAGUAGGGUCGUAUCAUCAGGGAUUGAAAAAAUUUGUUUCUUUUCAAAUCCACAGUAACAAGGGGAUGUUUUUGUAUAAAUGAUAACAAUCUAAGGAGUGCAAAUAGAAAUAAAUAGAUAACUAGAAAUUAAAUGACAAUUCACUAAAAUUAGAGUAAUAAUAAUUAAAGGUCUAGCUAAGAAAUAACUUCAGCAAUGGUUCACCUAAUUGAUCAUCGACGCAAAGGCAAUUCCAAUUAUUUACUAAUAAAUAGGUUAUAACUGCAAAACAAGCAAUGACAGUCAACCCCUCCUUACUGUCGGUCGGUGAUUAAGGUACGCCCAAUCACUGCUCUAGUUGAGAAAUAAUUUUAGGGACGCUCGUAAGAUUUAAUUUUCCAAUUGCCUUACGUAUUAGAGGAGCCAUAAUCUAACCAAAUAACGCUACCAGGAUUAUUUUAAAUUAACCCGUGUAUUCCCUUGAUACAAAUUCAAUCAUGUCAGUUGUCACUAUUUCAAGGUAAUGAAACAAUUACGGAUUUAAUAUCCUAAUUGACAAUAGGUUACUAAAUCAAUUCACUAUUUCGAUCCAAGAUAAUCAAUCAAUUUAACAACUAAUAGCACUGCAAUCGGAGAAUAUGUAAAUACCAAUAAAUAAGAGGAAAAGAUAAAAUUAAAUCGAUCUCACAAUUUUUAAACAAAUCAAAGUAUCCGUUGUUUCUUGACUAGAAAAGAAAAUUUAGUUCAUUCCUAAUGUGAAAGACCCACGUGAGAAUUCAAAAAUAAUAUUCACGGAUAUUGUCUUGAUUCAAUAGAUUCAAUUGCGUUGGAAUAAGGAUAAAAAGCCAAACUAUAGAGAGUGAUUCAAUGUUUUGUUUCGUUUGCAUUUUUUCUACACAUAUGGAAGAAGAAAAACAACUAAAGGACGAAAAAAAAAAGUCAAAGAAAGGCACCCAAAGUAGUGCUUGGUCUCUACCAUCCUAUUUCCUAUCUAAUUACUACUUCCCUUCUGCGGCUGCCUAGAGGAAGAAAGAGAAAGCAGACUUCAGGUCUUGUUCCAUCUCCUCCCUUUUCGGCAAUUCCCCAAAAGUAGAAAAGUUCCUCCGUUUACCAAAAUGCCCCUGGAAUGAGGACUGCUACUUGAACUCAUUUUCUUGAUAACUGUCAAAUUAGCACUUGUUAUGGUAUUUGCGUCUACUUCCUGUAAUAAAUGUAAAUUGCCAAAAGUGAGUAAACUGAUAAUUAAUUUACAUCAGGUCAGGUAAUAGGAAAAAUUAAUUAUAAAAUAAAUGAUAAAAUUGCAACCUAUCACUUAGAAUAACCAGAAAUAAAACAAAACAAGAAAUGAAAGAAAUAAGAGGGUAGCAUAGACAUUUUGGAUUUUUCUGUUAAUUUGGAUGAUUUCCACCUACGGUCUAAUUUAAUCCAAAACACAAAUGGAUUAUGUGGAGAUUUUUAAACAAUGAGGGAGUAUCGUGACCGAAUCCCAAACCACAAAGGGGAUUUACUAUAUUUUACUCUUAAAUUUUGGUUUCAUCUCAUAGCAUACAAGAGUACUAUUUCACUGUCUGUCGACCAGGGAGGAGGGUUGGGUUGGGUGGUACGGGGGAGGGAGUCUAAGUAAGAGGUCUCAGGUUCGAAUCCUCCUGUUUAUACUAAAAAAAAAAAUUUACUAUCUGUCGACAAAGAUUUUCUAUGGUUGAUGUACCAUAGGAAAAAUCUGCCUAUACAAUUAUUUGGAAAAAUUAUCCAUCCAAACAUAGUCACGAUAGCAUUUUUUCAAAAACACUAGAUGCAAAAUUGUCCCCUUAAACGUGGAAAUUCAUGAUCUUUCCUCGACUAGUCUACUUGUCAAUUUUUGAAAAAAGAAUACUCACGCCAAAAACACGGCCUCUUCAUCUGCAGAAUUCUAAAAAGUUACGUAAACUCUAUAAACAAGUUGAUAGGUACAAUCGUACCCAAGAUCAAGUACAGAUAGUUGUACAUUCACUGCUGCAAUAACUAAUCUGAUGACUUACAAACACAUCAUGGUCAAUCGUUGAAUGGUAAUGAGUCUUUUGUUAUGCAUUAGUAUUAGUGUGUACACUCUAAUAGAUUGAUACUUAUACUCUUUAAAUUAUCAUAAUAAUACCCUUAAUUAACUUUAACCCUUAAAAAGAAUACGUGUUAAUACACGAGAGUGUGUAACCUGAAUUGUUACUUAUACAUUAGUGUGUAAUAGAACGGCAAGCAUUAUGGUGGUCAUUGAGCAACUUAUAGGAGAAAUAGUCCUAUAAGCUGUUCAAUGACCAAUCACAACUUGCUAAUUGGAUGACUAAUAUAGCUCUAGCUGUAAUGUUUUAAUUAAAUUCCACACUAACGUUGGGAUGACUUUUUAAUCAAAAAAAAAAAAGCCUUAGUUCAAGCUUUUCCCCUUAUUGUGCAUUUUUUAAAACAUUUGAUAGGCACUGCAAAUCUGUCAUUUUGGACAUUUUAUUAUUAACUAACAAUGAAAGCCGUGGACAUCAACCCAUAUCCAACAAAAUAUUAAAUUAAUAUUAGAAAAAUUAUUAAGUAAUUGGAAAAAAAAAAGAAGAGGCUAAUUUUCAUUGAAACCCACCGACAAACUAUCCGUGUCCAUAGCUUUUGAAUAGUGCAUUCAACGUUUAAUUGUAUGGUCCAGUUCAUUGCCGAUUACAUGGAGUAAAGAUUGUGCUCUUUCCUUUUUCACCCCUUUUGGAAUCGAUACUGUGGAGAAUUGGGUUUUUCCCUCCUUUUUUUCUUUUCUUUCCUUCUGUGCUUUGCAAAACAUACGUAAAAAUAUGAAAUCCGAAGCAUUCUUUAAUUGGGAUUAAGUAUUGUUGUUGAAAUUAAAAAGAAGAAAGAAAGAACAACAAAAAUCCCAAUCUGGGUUGAUUGUUGAGCUCUAGAUUGGCUGCAUCGUGCUUCCAUAGAAGUUCUCUUAGUGUGAUACGCUGCUUUCAAUCAGUUUUAAUAUUUAAGUAGAGUGCAAAAUAACUUUACUAUUUAAUGGGUUAUAAUGCACCAUUUGGUACCUCUCACCCACCUAUGAUUUGAUUUACUACUGGCAUGGUAAUGGACAGAGUUGGGGGAGCAGGAGGAGGGAGAUGGCGGUACCAGUCCGUCAACCACAGCACACCCUCCCUCGGACUUUGCGUGGUAGCGAAGUGGAGGCAGAUCGAGCACACAUGCACUAACGCCUUAAGUAUGUACAAUAUAUGUAUGCCAAAAGCAUAGCCAAGCCUACCAGCGCAUUUCAAUAAUAUAACCCGGAAAUUAAGGGCAUUGAAUUAAGUACGAUGAAUCAUAUUGGUGCACAAUUACAGUUUGAAGCUACCGAUUCGAGUAAAUUUAAGCGUAAGCACAAUCAAUCGCCAGUCAAAUGCUGAAAUAUGCAUAUGCAUGGAUGAAUGUAUGGGUUUCUUAGUUCCAGACCAAAGGCCAACAAUAAGGGAAGGAAGGACAGUUCUCAUUUUUAGCACGGACAAGGAGAUGAAGAAAAGUGUAUGUAGCUUGAGACAGAACAAUGGCAUGUGACCGCUCCUGAGACCACAUAACGUGGGGUGGGGAUGGGACGGCCAAGAAUGAAGAUGCCUGUCGGUCUCUCCGUGCUGCUACCAUAUGAAUCCCCCGUUAACCAAUUCAAGAUAAGCCUGAAGUUCUUUUCAUCCCCAAACCCUGUCCCAUCUGUGUAAAUCCAACAUCAUCAUUUACGACCUGCAACUCAGGUUAAGCAUGUUCUAUUGAGAUUCAGACACCACCCUUCAAAAGAUAUACUACUGUGAAACCAGCAGCUUAAUAUCAUUGUAUAAAAAAAAAAAAAAAAGAAAGAAGAAAAGACAUGAAAAGCAAAUUUUGUGGGGAUAAUUUCAAAAUCUCUCCUAAAGUUUUUUACUAUUUUACUGGCCUCCUUUCAAAUUUUAAAAAUUACACCAGUCUUCCUUGAGAUUAUUUAUCUUGUAACAUUGAGGUCCAAUCAAUAAUUAAAAAAUGAUAUUAUGAGAGAGAAAAAAAAUAAACUUUAACAUCAUAAAUAUUCUUAUCAACAUAUUAAAGUUAGUUACUGAAAUUUUUAUGGUGUUAAACUUCACUCUUUGUAAUAUUUUAGUUACAGAUUUUUUGAUUACUUGUUGUUGAUUUUUUUUUUUUUAGUGUAAACAGGAGGACUCGAACCUAAGACCUCUCACUUACACUCCCUCCCCCCGUACCACCCCAACCCAACCCAACCCUCCCCUCGUUGUUGAUCAUGUUUGACAAUGGAUUUGUAAUUGAAAAGAACAAUUUGGAUCUUACAUUGAGUGAAAUAUAUAGAAUGAUAUACUAUUUUUUAUGGCAUAUGUGAUUCAAUCCUUGAUGAUAAAAGCAAAUUCAAGUGUUUUCUUUAAUGUUUGUGCUGAUAUUAGAUUAAUUAAAUAAUUUAGUAGAUGAAGGAAAAUGGUGAAAUCAUAUUAUCUUCUCUUUCCUAAUAUCACUAUUUAAUUAUUGAUUGAACUUAGAUAUUACAAAUAAUAAAUCUCAAGGGAGAUUAGUAUAAUUUUCAAAUUUUGGAGAGAAGCUAAUGAAAUAGUCAAAAACCUUAAGGGAGGUUUACAAAAUUAUCCCAAAUUUGUGGGAAUUAGAAUAAUUGUACUGGACGGCACUGCCGCAACAGAGGGAAAGAGGAGGAGGUGCAGUUAACUUUUUGUUGUUUGAAAUCCUUGGUGAAAUAUUACAGAAAGACAGAUAAAACAGUUAGUACAUAGAUGUAUAUGACAGGGAAAAUGGUACGUCUGUUAAUCACAUUUGAAACACUUUCAUUGGUGAAUGACGAAAACUAUCAGGCUUGCCCAAUAGUUGAUCAUUGACCAAGACAAAUCUUGCCAUGCUAGAGGUACCAUCUUUUCGUACCUCUUUAGUGCACAGGACAUUCCUUUGUUUCAUCUAGCUAAUAAUCUACCAACUCAUUUCUUUGCAAAUGCACCUUUUAUGGUCACGUCUACGAAAGCUUUACAGGAUCUUUACCCAAAAAAUCAAUUCACCGACUCGCAUUUGAUGUCAAAAUUUCUUUACUUUACUCCAAGAUUGACUGUUAAUAAUAAUGCCACUUUGAAUUAUCACACCAUCCUUCUUGAUAGGAUUUGUGCUAGAGGUAGGGAGGGAGUCGCUGCAGCCGGUCUUCUCUUCAUAGACAGUACAAUAUUGCGAAAUCGAUCGCAUUCACGCAAUAUUAUAUUUCCAAGUCGUUGCAUGGGUAAGCUGCCAAAAAGUACGAACACAUGUUAUUAUAUAGCUUAAGAUUCAAAACUUUCGAGCAUAACCCUCCACCUAACACAAUUGAAUAAUGGAUAUUCACGAUUGUCAAAUCUGUCAAAGUACAGUUUGAGGACAACCCAUUCCAACCUGCAAAAGGUUUUUUUACUUUUCUAAAGUUGUUGAGAGCUGUUAAAAGAUUUACCAUGCUUACAUCUUCCGAGCCUUGGGAGUUAAAAAUGAAGGCACUGAGUGCUAUAAAAAGGGAAUAGAGGCUGCCUAGAAGCAUACCAGCCUAAAACAAGGAUUUGUAGUUAUGAUGGGAAGCAAAGCAAAAGCAAUGGGGUCUGGGCUGACUCCUCUUCUUGCCACUGUUUUAGUGGUGUUUGUUGCUCUUGGCUUGCCCUCAGAAACUGCAGCUGAUGAUCACUACAAGUAUUCAUCUCCUCCUCCUCCUUACACUAUCCCUCACCACCACCUCCAGUGCAUAUACCUCCACCUCAUCCUGUUUACAAGUACAAAUCUCCACCACCCCCACCACCACACCCAGUUUACAAGUAUAAGUCACCACCACCACCUCCUCAUCCGGUACCACACCCAGUUCCUCAUCCGGUGCCACACCCAGUUCCUCAUCCGGUGCCACACCCAGUUUACAAGUAUAAGUCACCACCACCACCUCCUCAUCCGGUACCACACCCAGUUCCUCAUCCGGUACCCACACCCAGUUUACAAGUAUAAGUCACACCACCACCUCCUCAUCCGGUACCACACCCAGUUUACAAGUAUAAGUCACCACCACCACCUCCUCAUCCGGUAUACAAGUAUAAGUCUCUCCGCCACCAACACCCAGUUUACAAGUAUAAGUCACCACCACCACCUCCUCAUCCGGUGCCACACCCAGUUUACCACUACAAGUCACCACCACCACCUCCUCAUCCGGUACCACACCAGUUUACCAUACAAGUCACCACCAAUCCUCACCCAGUUUACAAAUACGAGUCUCCACCACCUCCAGUUUAUAAGUACAAGUCACCACCACCUCCUCCACCAGUUUACAAGUAUAAAUCUCCUCCACCACCACCACCAGUUUACCACUACAAGUCUCCACCACCUCCUCCCCCAGUUUACAAAUACAAGUCUCCACCACCUCCUCACCACUACUAAGCAAUUGCUUCUGAGGUAAUAACACUUGUUCAAUAUACCCACUUCUGCAUGAUAAAGCAUAUCUCUAUCAACACAAACUGUCAUGUCUAUCAUGCUAAGUGCCUUCACUUCAUCCACCAAAAUGACUGCUAGAAAAUUUUUUUUAUGUUACCAAAGAAAGGCAUCAUUUUUUCCCUCUGUUAUCAAGAACUUGUACAGUAUAUAGAUUAAAGAGUUUUUAUUUUAACUAGCUUAUCAACUUAGAAAUGCAUAUAGCUGAUAACCAGCUGAAUAUUUGCAGGCAAAGGAGAAGGAAACCAUGUUUGAGACCUUCUUGAAGAUGUAGAAGCAUAAGAAUAAAAGCCCAAUGUGAAGAUGAUGAUUUCAAGUUUUUCUACGUUACCAUUUCUUUAUCUAAAUUGGUUGUAGCGCCCAAGUUCCUUUGUUUAUGGGAUUUGUAUCGUUUUACGUACCAUGCAGUACAUGUCAUGUUUGUAAGGUUUUCUAUCCUGCCGGCAAACCGCAGGUUCCAUGUGAUAAAUGAAUACUAUUUAUGUUACGACACUUUUCUCUGUUUCUCUUAUAUUUUGUCUUUAAUAUUCUUAAUCAUAUUUUUAACAAAAAUAUUCAAACACUUAGGCAAUCUGGUCUAAUGCUAAUUGUAUGUUUUACUUUUCUUUUUCACCUGCUCCCCUUUUCAACUCAAAAGGAUGCAAUAGUUUGUGAUCACUGUUUAAGACCGAAACAUGAUACUAAUGAAUAUCUCAUUGAAACACAAGGAAACAAACAUUAUGAAAAUUGUAAAUCUUGAUUUGAUGCAACUAUUUAUUCGUGGAAUCUAUAGUUACAAAACUCAAAUUGUGACUGCGCUAUUGAUAAAUUAUUAAUGACGCUAUCAUCAUUAUUUUUUUUUUUCAACAAACGAUAUCAUUUAUAGAUAUUAACACUUGAUCUUACAAGAAUUAGUAUAAAAAGGAGAUACUACCCUCGUAUCUGCUAAGUCAGUCAGCCAUAUUGGGAAAUUAUUCUCCCAUUCAAUAUCAUGUACAAGCUUCACAGCAUAUUGUGCUAAUUCAUGGCUGAUUUGAUUUUCAGUUCUACGUAUAAACACAAAGGAACAUCUUUCAAAAGCUAGACUAAGUUCUUGCACAUCUUCUAAGAUAGUUGCAGUCGUGUAGUCAUAUUCCUUGCAUUUAGUAAUCUGCUCAACAACUGAUUUGCAGUCUGUAUGGACUAUAAUUUUUGUCCAACCUGCUUGGGUAGCCAUCAGUAGAGCAUUUCUCUCUUCUUCUUUUUUAGCUACGAUACAUUUGUAUAACCUACUCUAUCAUAAUUUAGGGGAGGGAGAGCCCAAGGAGACUGUGGUAGGGACUAGUAGGUAUACAGACCCAACUAGAUCAAAGGAGUGGUAUGGCACAACUCUUAGAUUUUUUUCGCUGAUUGGUGAGGUUAGCCCAAGGAGGGACUUAAGUCCCUCCCUGGUGGCCACUGAGCCAUUAGCCCAGUAGUUCAGUAGAGCAUUUCUCACAGCCCGAGCUUCCACUUCACUUGCCGACCCUUUUCCCUAUGUGACAAUUCCUUUUGCUUUCAAAAGCUGUCCUUUGCAAUUCCUUACUAUAAUCCCUUGUCCAGUCCUGACUCGUUUAGCUGAUAUCGCUGCAUCAGUAUACAACCUUAUCUCUUCCUUCCUUGUCCGCACCCUCCUGUUAGGUAAGGCAUCGUUCAGCUUCCCUGUACUCUCCAUCUGGUCCGUCUUCCUUACCUGUUCAAACUCAAGCCAUUCAUUAUUUAUCCCUAGCUAGUUUCGACUACAACAGAACCAAUAUUUUUCCCCAUGAUAAACUAACUCUUGUGCUUUUUGUUUAGAAGAUGAAAGGAAAUAAUUGAUCGCAUAAUCUCUAAUGAUUACAAAAGCAGCAAAAAAAUAGUAGGACACUCUUCCCAUAGUUUUAACAAUCCCCAUGACCCUUAAGAUUUUACAUAUCGAAUGAAUUAAGGAACAUAGGAUCUUCGUGCUGCACAGCAAAUUCAUGCUUGUGAUGCAAGUACUAAAAAUGAAUCCACAUAUGCUUCACGCAUUUGGAUAUCAUCAUAGUUUUUUAAGCAUUUUUUUUUAAUUUUGUGAUUACAUUUCUUGUCUGACAGCUGGACUCAAUCGAAAACACAAGUAAACAAUAUCUCGAAGUAUGAUCAGUUGAACUUUCAAGCUUACGAAAUUGUCAAAAGAGAAAACAAAAAAUAAGGACUGUCAAAACUUUCUUAGUGAAUCUGACUUCGUAUUACGUGAUAACGAUAUGGAAUUGAUGUCAAAACUCUCUUCUCUGCAGACAUCUAACUCGUAAAUGAGAAUUUUAUAUGGGGUUUUCAUGGCAAACCGAAUUCUGAAAUGUGAAAGGAUAUCAUAUUAUCAUGCUAACCUUCUUCAAUCUUUUUUUUUUUUAUCUUGUUUCUAACCAAAAUUAGACGGAUCAAAAUUUGCAGUGUAUCUCUUAUGGAACAUGCUUUCAUAUCAUCUUCUCUUAAUCCAUAAAAGUGUGCUUUUUGCAAAUCUCAGUCACUCAUUCUUUUGCUGCCCAACUGCGGAUUAGCUAAAGAACCAUAAGCUUUCUAAUCAAGUUUUCACCAUCAACAAAACUCAACAAACUAAACUCAAAAAUAUACUCUAUUUUUCUUCUUAACCUUCAUCAGUUCUCGGCUCUCCAGUUUUCUUGAAGUACAAAUGGCUAGUUGAAGGACAGCAAAUUAUCAUCUCAUAAUAAUGUCAUCAUGACGAAUGAUCAAUAGAACAAAUAAAGGUCGCAUUAAAAUGGGAAAAAAAAUUAGGGUAUCAUUAAGCAUGCAUUGGAGCAGGAGGAUUAGGCCUCAGAAUCUAAUUAAAUGUGAAGUGAUUGGUAGGGAUCUUCGGAAGAUUACAUAUAAGACUUUGAAAGAUUUUGAAAAGUACACAUGUUAGCCAGAGAAAAUAACAGGCCGUCAAAGUGUCCCAUGAUUGGGGUUGAAUAGUCUGCUUUUACAAAAUAGGGGAGUUUCGCCAACUCAUUGAUGGUGACAUCAAGAUCAUUAUCUGACAACUAAUUGAAAAGACUUCUACUGUUUUGUACAUGUCGAGGGUCUAAGUUAUUUGUCCUAUUAUUCUUUUUUCUUGUCGAAAUUGAUUUGUUGCGAUGUUAUUAUCAUGAAUUUCAUGGCUGAGAAAUAGUUAUCUGGUACUGUUGAUUAUUCUCUCUUCUUAUUGAAAUUGUUUGUUGAGAUGUUAUUAUCAUGAAUUUCAUGUCUGAGAAAUAGUAAAUUGGUACUGUUGAUUAUUCUCUCUUCUUAUUGAAAUUGUUUUGUUGAGAUGUUAUUAUCCUGAAUUUCACGUCUGAGAAAUAGUUUGUUGGUGUGUUAUUGGAGUUAUGCAAUAUUGAUGUUAAAAAAUAUAUUUUAUAUUUUUAAUUCGGUAAGCACACAAAAUAUAAGGCUGACCCACUAUUAAAAAAAAUUAUUUUUGGACCCACUAUAAAAUUCGAAUAUUAUCAACCACCCCUGACAUCUGACUUGCUAAUCUUUUGCUUGCUAAAUUAAACUUUUGCCCACAGUUAAACACUUGACCACCCACUUUUUUUUAUAUAUAUAUAUUCUGUUCCCUGUAGGCUAUACAGAAGAACCCCAAAAAAAUGUAUUAGUUGAUAUUCAAUUUUGUGGAGGUAGACACAAUCCUGUGAAUGUAGCCUGGAAGUUGGAUGUGCGAAACUUAGAGAAGGGAAUUUUUUUUUUUUUUAUGUGUUUUGGAUAUUUUGAAGUGUGUAGGUAAAAAAUUUUAGGAAGUUUUUUGGGAUUCCUGUAGCAAAAAUUGUUAAAAAACUAGUAGGUCAAAAACUUGCUUAAAAACCUGGCUUCCAAACAUGAUGUGCCCAUUCUUGUCUAAGCCAUCAAGAAAUUCUAUAUUUCUAUUUGAUUUCAUGAUUAAAAAAAAAGAAGAAGACAAUAUCGUCUUAAAAAUUUGUCAAUACAAAUAGUAAAUACUUGUACUUCUUCUUGCAAAAAUGUAUACAUUCUUAAUAAAAUAUUCAUCAGAAGGUGUAGAGAAAAAUUCUGACCAAGAAGGGGAAAGUUUUUCCUAAUUGACAAUUAUAAUAGAUGCAAAUUUACCCCCAAGUUAGUUUAAGAGACCAUUUCUAUGGUUUAGUAGUAGCCAUCAUUCUUGAAAAAAUGAAAACUCCAAGAAAUCAAAAGAAGGGACAAAAACACUUGCCGGAUUCUUGACGGCGAGGGUUAUUCAGUAAAUAAAAAUAAUAAACAUGUGAUUUCAAUUUUCAAGGCCACCAACUUAUAUAUCUUUUUGCAGUUUUUAUUGAAAAUCAUGCCUUGUAUUUAGGAAUUGGACUUGGAGGUAUCAUUCUGCCAAACUUCUCGAUGGAUAGUUUUCAAGUAGGUACCAUUGGAUAAUAGCAAUUAGGCUCCUAUAUCUGAAAAUUAACUUUGUGAUUAGCACAAAUGGAAGGCUUUCACAAGUUAAGAUGCCACUAUUAGCCAUUAAUGUUCCCCAAAUUUAUGAUUAUCUCUUUAUCUCCACAUUGUUACUCCACCCCUAAAACCAUACGAGCAAUAAUUGAAGGAAUUUUAUAUAAAAAUUUCAAAUUCAUGAUGUCUUGUCACAUUACUAGUAUCCUAUUUGACUAGUAAAGCUAAACUAGGACUCAUUUUUAAUGCUUAUCAAAAUAUCAUAUCAAAAUUAUUGAUCGAAUAAUUGAGAAAAGAUGAUUCUCCCCUCACCGGCCAAGUCUUCUUUUGUUUUUUGUUCUUUAUCAUGUGAUUGAUUAGAUGAGCAACUGAUUAGCAAAAGCAAGACCAAACAGAUAAUUACCUACUAAUCUUACAAUGAAUCUAGAAAAGCUUACUCAAAAAAAGGUGUAGGGAAAAACAAAAGGCAUUAUAUAUCCCUCCUCCUUGUACAAGAUCAAUAAUAAUGUCUGAUAGUGGGCGCUCAAAAAGACUUGGUACAAUGACUCUCGUUACUCUACAGUCCUAUACCAGUGGCUCUGUAAAAAUUGUCCAAUUUCCCUGAAGACGUUAAUACACUCUGUAUCAGGAACUGGGUAAAAACAAAAGGAUCCCUCAUUAGUUACUGCAAAAUUCGGCCGUUAGCAUGUAGUGUAAGCAACGUUCAGCUGCCAUUCGGUUCUUCGGGAAGUUCCUGCAAUCCUUACAUGUCAAUGUUAAAACUUAUCAAAAAGAAGCAGCAGAUUGGCUACCAACAUUUACCUGAACUUCCUGUUGAAGAAGUUCUUCGAGCUGUACCCUUAUAUUGGAGAAGGAGGGUCUGUUCUCGGGUAUCGCUUCCCAACAUCUUUGCAUCAUAUUUAAGAGCUUUGGAUGCGCAUCCUUGGGAAGCUCAGGCCGAAGACCCUAGAGGGAACAUACAUCGAGUCAAUUCGACAUUAACAAAAAAAAAAAAAAAAAAAAAAAAGAAAGUAACUUCUAGGAAGAAAUGGUAAAAGUUGUACUCCUUACAUGAAAUGGAAAAAGAUUGUUAUCUCGCUAAGGGAAUUAAAAAAAAAAAUUGCAAGGCACUUAGAGACGAGACAAUUGUUCCGAAAAAAAAAAAUCAAUUUUACCAUCUUGAUUGUGUUGCCACACUCUCUGAGGAACAGUCUUACCAAAGCGCUCUAUUCAACCAAAGGAGGUAUAGCGACUAUUACUCAUAGGGUAUAGCGACUAUUACUCACAACCAAAGGAGGUACAUCACUGAAUACAUUUCUUUACAUCUUGUUACUUCAACUUCCAUUAACAAAGUACUUGCAGUUCACAACUACCUCACUUCCACCAAAAUGAAUUGUCUCACUUUAUGGUUUGUCCCAAGAUUAAUGUCUAGAUUCCCAAAACUGAAAAGUUUUAUCAGCAACCCUUCCUUUUAAGUACUUUGUGGAUCAGUGAGACUAGCCCAUCCCCCAUGUUUCCCAUCUCAUACCUAAUUAUCUAACAUGACGACCUUACAUGUUCUCCUAUUCGUCCACGUACCAUUCUAAUUUUCCAACCAUUACUUGAUAUACUUGCCUAGCCAAUAUAAAAUAUCAAUUUUGGAACUCCAGGAAAAACAUUAUCACAAACUUAUGAUGUAUCUGCAUCAAACCAGCUCUAUGCAUCACUCGCAUUUCAGUGCACAACUGACAUAGUUAACCAACAUAAGCCGCCUAACGUAUCAUUGUAAGAAAUGAAUCAUGUUGUAAAACCUGUCUGACUCCCAAGGCAGCUUGAAGGGGUGUCAUGGUGUUGUAUGGAAUCUGCAGAUACAGCAAACUGAUUGUAAAUUUUCAAAGAGAAGACCAUCCAAUGAAGUUUAAAUUUUCUAUAAAGCAUGACAAAACUCAAGAGCACCUUGGACGUCACAAGCUCCCAAAGAACAAUCGCAAAACUAAAUACAUCUGCCUUCUGAUCAUAUGGCUGGUGGUUUAUAACCUGCAAACAAGCAGAUCGAAUUUAAGAAAAAUGAGCUGUUCAGCGUAAGAGAGAAACAGACAAAUAAAGCAACUCCCGGUAGUUACUACUUACUAGGUCAUUGAAGUAACAUGAACAAUCUACUAGAGGAGUAAAAGUCAAGGGAAUAAUGAAGGAUUAAACUAUUAAAUGUAGAAAUUCUUUUCCAGGCAAUGGAUAUAUAACCAUUUCAAAGAUAAGAAAUCACUGGCAAUAGGCAUAUGUUAAAUCUUGUCUCACGAAGAACUGGAAAUACCAUAAUAAUUUGCAAUAUGAUAGAAAAAUUAAUUGCACAGAGCAACAGCUUCAUUUAAAUAGCUAUGUGGAAAGGAUGGAACCAAAUCAAGUCUCUAAAACCACAAGGAGAUCAAAAGGAUCUCCAGCAUGCUUCACACUUUUCAACAUGCGUAGUCCAAAGGUAUACGCAAAGCUGGAAAUGAUAUAUAAACUAUAGAUGGCUUCAUUAGCUUUUUAAAGAACAAGGCAGUCAAACCUCAGGAGCCAUCCAUCUGUAUGUUCCAGUCUCAGCUGUCAUCACACCCCCAACAGAUUGAAAUCGAGCAACACCAAAAUCAGCUACCUUAACAACCUUUUAAAAAAAAAAAUUAAUGAUCACUCACAUGAGUAAUAUACUAAGCAGCACGAUGAGCAAAACACCAAGACAUGCAAGAGUAAAAUAGAAUCACUUAAGAACAAGUAAAAUGCAAUCACCCGAUUAGAAUGUAAAAUAAAACCACUGAUGUCCAACAAUGAUCAGUGUAUUCUAGAUGCUAAAAGGUGGCAAGACAGCUAAUCAAGGGUUCAAGAAACAUUAACAAAAAAAUCAUUCCUGCUAGUUUGAAUGCAAUCUUGUGGAGAAUCUUUACUCAAACCGCACAUUGUUGGAGUCAUAACUCGAAAUAGAAGUUUAUCACCUUCUAAUUUGGAUUUCUCUACAUUCAUAUUCAAAAGCAGGUUUGUUUAAUCUCCAUAAAAUGAGUAGAUUCCAGAUUUUAAAUCAGUUUGUUUCUUAAAAGACUUGCAGGUCUCAGCAAAUUAGCAACAUCAAAUUGGCCCCACAGUUAAUCUUUUAGUUACAUAUUUGUACUGCACUGAGUGCAAAAGCAUUUGUCUAUAGACAAGAGUUUCUUAUAACCUGAAUAUAAUUCUUAGGACAUUAAGACAACUUUGGUCAUUCUGAAAUUAAGGUCAGAUCCCAAGAAUUUCAUAAACCCCCCCCCCACACCCAAUUUUUUUUCGUCAUAUUAUUCAUACUAGCAAAAGAUGCCUAAAAUUUGUGCACUGCUGCUAUUUCAUUUUUAGAUUGGAAGUUCACCUAAACUAAAUGGGCAUCACACAACCAUCACAGCCAUCCCAAAAGAGCAUUAUAUUUAUGGCAGUAGAAGAACUUAAUUACUUCAAAUGAUGCAAAUAUUCAUCCAAAGAAACAAGAACGGGCAACACUUGGUCAGAGAAAUGACAAGUUUUGACAUUGCAGCUGACCAAAAAUCUUCACACUCAUGUCGUAGCCAAAAAUAUUGCAUGUAACUCAGCGAAUCUAACAUCCAAAAGACAAGAAAUUGGCUAGAUUAACUCUGGUCCAAAAAAGCUAUAUUCAAGGACUAUCAGUGACCAGGAGAAAAAGUAAAGAUAUAAACAGUUUUUUCCACAUAGUCAAACAUAAGCACCAUAUUAAUUUAUCAAAAAGUGCAAAAUAGAAUUCCAUUCAGAUAAUAGUGCUAAAGGGAAGAAUUGAAUAAGCAAGAGUAUUUUGCAUUGGGUGAAAGUAAUUUUGCAUCACAUCCACUCCCUAGGGUCACUCUCAGAGUCAUAUCAAAGGAAUAAGUAUCGUGAAGCCAUCAAAAGCUGACCAGCUAUAUGGUUGGUAAGAUCAUCAGAUACUAACAAUAGGGACUUUACAACUACACAAACUGCUAAUUGAUUUUUUAAAAAUUUAUUUUCCAUGACAAACGCACAAAUACCUCCACUCUCCCCCCCCCCUUCCCUCCUACCCACUGGGAUAACAAAUCCUCCUCCUGAAUAGGAAAUCAAAAACAAGUAUCAGGAUUUAACUGAAAAAGUUUUGUUUUUUUUUUUUUUGGGUCUACAGCCAUCAUCAAAAGAAUCCAAUUGGCACAUUCAAACUACUUACUUUGGCACUAUCCAUCAGCAAAUUUGCUGUCUUUAGAUCCCUGUGGAUAAUGUUGUUUAGAUGCAAGUAUUCCAUUCCCUUGCAAACAUCAAUGGCAAACUUCAGCAGCUGUGGGAGCUUCAACACAAUAUGGUUCUUGUGCAAAUAUUCAUACAGGCUCCCCCAGGCAUGAAUUCUUCACACAGCAGCAGGAGUUAUGUCAACAAGUUACAUAAGCAUUCCAACAAGGAUAUAAGUUAACUUAGUUAUCUAAUAUGCAAAACUACAAAAUAAUGUAUAGACACCACUCAAGCAACACAUAAUACUUAAAGAGACACGAUGAAGAUGAAAAAACCAUAUGCAUCUUAACAUAAGUGUCUAAGUUCCAUACAUACAAGAUAGCAAUUGAAUUUUCAAAACAACCAAAAGAAAACAUCUUUAUUCACUUAAUUAAGAACCAACUAUGAUUAGAUUUUUUUUUCAUUUUCUUCGAGUACAGUUAGAAAAUGUAAGCAAUGGCAGAAGAUAAACAAGACAUGAAUAUAAAUAUUAGUCAGUCCCAAAGCCAUGUACCUGUAACUAUCCAAAAAUUAGGAGAUUUUGUACAUGCACCAAUAAAACGAACAACAUUUUUAUGCUGAACUUGCCUGCACUCAAAUAAACAUGUAGAAUUAGUCAAAUUGGUAACAACUUUUGCUUUGGACAUUGUAAAUGAAAUUGAAUCAUCAAAAUACAUCUGCACCCAUGCAAUUUAGCUAAUUGAAGAACAACACAAGAUGGCAUCUUCCUAGUUUUGAGAAGGGUGUAUCAAACAAAGAAACAAUGUCAUAGGUUUCUAAAGAAACCUGCCUGAGGAUAUAACAGUGCCGUAAUUACAAACUGCAAUGUGCCACCAAAAUUUUUAACUGCCUAACUACUUCAAAGGCAGGAAAAGCAUGCAUGACUUUCUUUGUUUUUCCUUUCAGAUCCCUUAUUACUACCAGCUUAACCUGCUUCAUUUCUUACUCAGUUACAUGCAAAUUUUCAACUCAAAACUUAACAAAUUGCUAAGCAAAAGAGUUUGGUCAUUCAAGCUUUCAUUUAAACCUCAAGUCAACCACGUUGAAUAAUACAAAGCUUAAAUCCUACCUCGACAUGGGUAAGAUAACAUUAGCGUUCAUACUUAAGCCCCAACCCAACUGAAGCCCCCAACCUUUAGAUAAAGAAGUUACUACAAGUUUUAGUAACAAUUUAGGAUGUCUUAUUGUGGUACGGAUGCUUAAUUCUUGCAAGACAAAACAGCAAAAUAAAUUUCUAUAAUGUAAAGGAGCUAUGGAAAUUAUUUGUAAAUACACCACAUUUACGAGCUUAACUGGUUAGUUUGCAUCAAUGUUGCUUCUCAGGAGAGCUAUCUACACAAAGAAUAAAUGAAAAAUUCAACUCAUUUUUCAUCAUUUUAUGACCAUCCAAUGAUGCAUUGACACACUUUCUGGUGCUACUGUACACAGCCUGUCACUCUUUUUCUAAGCUCAGUCCUCAAAAUCUUAAUAAGAACUGAAAAUAACUUAUUGUUGAAAGCGCAAAAUUUCAACAGACCAAACUAUGACAGGACAGUAUUUUGGGGUUUCUCAGCAAAGAUUAAUCAUCAGAGGCUCGCAUCAAUCACAAUCAUGUACCUCAAGAUAGCCACUUCUUGAGCAAAUUCAUCCUCUAAGGUGUCAUUCAAAUGCUCCGAUCUGAGAACCUUAAUUGCAACAUCUUGACCUUUAUAAACUCCUCGAUACCUUUUGCUCAAUUGCAGUUGAGAGUGAGUGACAGAAAAAAGAAAAAAAGAAACAGGAAAGGAAUAUCUUUUCUGUUUUCUUGGCUUCCAAUCUAUGCAUAUAGGAAAAAUAUGGUCAACUCACAGGUCUCCACACGACCCCGAUGCAAUUUUCUCCCCUUUUGAGCAAUCUUGUAUCUAUUUCCCAAUCAACAGGCUUUGCUUCCACAGGUAAAGCUUUUUCCACAGCAUGCUUGGAAUGUGUAGAGCCAGACCAAGAUCCCUAUGGCAGUCAGAACAGGGCAUUGUUUUAAUUUGAUUUUCACAAAGAGGUAACAAAAAGCAUAGGUAUCAUGUUUUAACAAGUGGGCACAUAUCAAAGUAGUGACAACAAAAGAAUAACAAUAUCAUCACAAGGAAAUUGAAUUACCAAAUUUCUAGCUAUUGCUUUUCUCAUUUCUUCACAAGCCUUCUGUAUCCUGACCACAAGAUUGCAAAGUCAGCAACAUUUUGACUCAGCAGAGAUCCCUGUCAUACAAGAAAUAUAAUCACAAUGCUCCUUAUAUGAAGAUUUAACAUGUCCCAUGAGAAUGAACUCAUCCAUAUUGAUAACUCAAGAGAUACUGAUGCUAUGUUACAAGAAUGGUUCUCCCUCUCCGUUGUCAUACCCGCAAAUCAUGAAGCUUUAGUGGUCAGCAAUGAACAGAAAAACCAACAUUAAGAAGUUUCACAUGAUAAACACAUUGUACAUGCAGCUUAAGGAUACAUCAAUUAUCACUUGUCCAAAAACCAAAAGAUGUAGUACCUAUAAAUGAAAUAUGGGAAAUAUUUAACAAAGGAAUGGCAUCAGCAUAACAGGUUCAACCAAGCAAUCUUCCAGCGCAUUGAGUCUAGAAUAUAGCUAAAAUGUUAAAACUGAAAUCACAGUUACCUCAGCAGGCCAUCCAUCACCACAAAAACAUCUAAAGAGUAGCCAUCAGUUGUGGAAAACACAUGAGCUUCACGGAUGUUAAGCCCAAUAUCAGAAAGCAAAGCUGAAAGCUGGAAAGAGGGACACGAAGUUUAAAGUCAUUACAAAAUGUUUAUCAGCAAAAUCAAAGCAACCAUAUCCAGUGCCUAAUGCCUAUAGCAAUUUUCUCAGAUGAAACGUAUGGUUACCCAUUUAUAUCUUAUAUCCAGUAGAUAUAGUAAGCAUGAUUAACCCGUAAGACUUUUCAGCCAUUCCAACAAAUUUAUGCUAAUAUUAUACAGUACCAUUCUCAUUAACCCUGAAAUAGUAGUAUGUCGCAAAGUUUCUAGGAUGUUUGGCCCACUAAGCAUACUAGGGAUACCACAAUUACACAGCACCAAUUCCCCUUCGUACAAAACACUUCACAAACAAUGAUAUAAGACAUAUUAGAACAAGAUAAAUACGAAUUCUAAUAAUCAUUUAAAUGCACCAAAAAGAAAUAUUAUGUGCAACAUUCCAAAACAAAACUAAAUGAUAUUACAUCAUGUAUCAUAUAAUGCAUAUGUUUGAUUCUUACAUUCAGGGACUGGUGGGCACGUGAGACUUCAGUAACAAAAGAAAAGUGUAACCCUAAUAGUAUCAGAGUUCAAAAUUGCAGCAUAUAUGGCUAUUUUAUGAGAACUAGAUACUUAGCUUAAUGUGUCCCUCGUAUAUGCAAAUAGAUUUGCAUUAUUUUCUUUCGGUUAAUAUCAAUCAGUUAUUUCAACUUCCUAGUCCUAAUAUUACUAUGGUUUAUUAGGAAAAAAAUGCAAUAAUGCAUGUAUACUUGACUCAAUAUACAAAGGUUUUGUUGCUUAGAAGAGCAGGACAAUCAAGUUCACUAUUUUCACUUUUGGAGGCUUAGAACCUCCGGAAUGUCAAAUAUUAGCAUUGAUAUCAUGCAUAUUUGGAAAAGUUAGUGUUGAACUUAAAUAUAACAAAAAUCUUUUUGAAAUUCAUCAAUCAUAAGCUUAUGAGGCAAAAUGGAGAACUAAAAGAAUUCCAUAGCCAUACUACACCAAUUUCUUCAAUUGAUAAAUUAUCUCAUUCAAGCAUUAACCUGACUGAGGAGCUUGGGCUUGUCAACAGUUGAAAAUAUUACUUCAUGGAUUGGUAUAUGUGAAACGUCCUGCCUGCACUACAGAAAAGCAAUCAAAUAACACAAAAAUCCUUGGAGUAGAAGUCUAGUAUCAUUUUAUCCAUAUGCUUAAACAGCUAAGGCCAGUGAGACUGUGGGCAAAAGAAUUGCAAAAAUGAACGAGCCAAAACUCCAAAAAAAUAAUCUUUCUUCAACAUAGAGAGAUUCACAGAUGAACAGAAAUAUACUUUAAAUCCCUUAAACUCCAAAAUUUAUUAUGGGUAGACUAAAAAGUAUUUUGGUUCGUGUAACAAGGCAACAAUCAAAAUCUUCCUUUUGGAACUGCUGCACAUGUCGAAAGCUUUCACAUCAUUAAUUCAUCUGGCAUAGAAUUGUAAUGAUGGACAGUUCCUAACUCAAAAGUAAUCAUAAUAUAAUAUUAAAUGAAGUGUUAGAAAUAGUUUUUUGACAAAAUUUUGUUCUUUUCAUCAUUAACACUACUUCUUUUAGCUUCAUAAUUAAUGGAUUUGCCACCUUAUGUUCCAAAAUCCUUUACCAUAUGUUACCUGAACACGAUAAGUUUCUGUUUUUUUUUUUUUUCAUCAGUCCCAAAAAACUCUCUCCCAAUGUUUUGAUAUGCUGUCAUUCCACGGAGAAACUUACCAAUACAGCCCAGUAGAAUCCAACUCAUCUCAUCCGUAGUUAGAUCAAUCUUAAAAAGUUAACCAACAGACAGGAAAGCAAAGUAAAUAAAGUUCGCUUAGAAACUACCUUCUGGUAAAAUCUUCAGCUGGUGUUCCCCUCUCCAUCUCAUUGGGAUACUUUCUAACAUCCAAGUUUAGGUCCUCAAGCUUACAGCAAGGUUCAAAGUCAUUCACAGAAUUCCUGUUCUAAUUUCAGUAAAUGAAAAAAGCCAAAGAAAGUCGGGGGAAAGGGUGAAGUGCAACACACACAGCCAAAAUGCAAUCUUAUUGGAUGAAACAAACUGUAAGGCAAGUAUUACAUAUCUAUCAUCCAAUAACAAAAACAUUGAAGUGUAAGACAUGUCAACUCUUACGAAUAUGCUCAAUCAACUGAAACAAUAAAACCAUAAUAGCAGUUUAAACACACCUAUCAUGCAGUUGCAACUUCCCGUCAUUAUCAUCACUACCAGGUGGCUUUGCAUCUGGAUAAACACUUAAGAUUUGUCGAUCCUCAAUAUCAUCUCCCUUGGUCCAAAAUUCUUUCCAGAGUAAUGGAGGGCAGCAAGAACAUGAAAAUAAGAGACAAGGGAUAAGACUUGAAAAAAAAUAACCAAAUCAAACAGGGAAGUCAUCACUGCUGUCAUUGCAACAAGGUGAAAGACUACUAAAGAGAGAGAGUUGGGCAAAAGUCCAUGGAUCACCAAGGAAAGCAUGAAAAUAAGAUCGCUACAACUAAGAAGAGAGAGAGGUACAUAUGUCACAUUUAAUUCUUCUUUUUAAACAAUCUUCAAAAUUAAAGUAAACAACUCAUUAUUUAGGUUUAUGUUAUAGAUAGAAAAACGAUUUAAGACCCCAACUGGAAGAAACAAAGAAAAAGUAGACUUCAGUUUUACAUUUAAAAAAAAAAUCUCCAGUAAGAAGGGAUUGAAGUAGCAUUUCAGCAUUUCAAAGUUACUCUCACACUCAUUUUUGUGUGAUUUUUGUGCUUUCUUGUGCCAAGCAAGGUUAAAGAACGUGGCAAACAUCAUAAAAAUUUUCAUGGAUACCCUUCACUUUGUAUUUUCAGAUGAUUAGCAUUUGUAGCACUUUCAACAGUAACAGUAGUUAUUGCACCAUAAUGGUAUCUUCUUAUACAAUUUCACCAAAGUCUUAACAAAUCCUUCAGAUUAAGGUACUUAAACUGCAAAAUCUACCACAUACUGCAAAAGUAGAGUUCAAUCCAGCCUCAACCAUGUGCAGUAUUCUAACUGCUCAGAUACAUCAUAUUGACACAAAUUAAAGAAUUGUCAUAUAUUGUGUCUUUGGGUAGCAAACUGGUAAAAAUGAGAUCGAUAACAUUAUACAGUGCAAAGUAUCACAAUCAAUAUUUUGAGCACAGAGAGUGGAAUUAUAGCCCUCAUUAAAUCAAGGGAUGUAGUUCAACCAGAAAAUGGGAAUUAAAGGCCAUGAGAAACGUUAAAGGAAACAAAUAGAAGGGUGAUGCUUACCAACCACAAGUGAAAAACAAGAGAGCAACACAUCUGACAAGCAGUGUUACCUCUAAAAACCGAAUAUGGAAAACGGGACAAUUUUCAGGAUCUCUUGCCAUAGAAAGAAGCUUCUGAUGCAGCAAUACAUCUUCCACUUUAUCCAUAUUAAUGUCCAAUCCAUAGCUAGAAACAACAAAAGCACAAGAAAGUCAAUAAAUUCCUUAGAUGACAACUCUUAUUCUCUUCGACCAGCAGAAUGCCUUCAUGCUCUUGGUGACCAUCAUUUAGAACCCUUCCCAAUAUCGGUACUUCGGUACUUCAUAAAAUCACAAUUUCAACACCCAAUGUAAAUGAAAAAAAUUUAGCAACUCAUGCUUCCAAAAACUUGAUACACACAUACACCAUAAUCUAAAAGAGAGUAUAACAGAAAUCCAUAAGCCGCAUCAUAUAACAUUCUAAACAAAGAUAAGACAAUCACAAAUCAUUUAGGCUAGUUCAAAUAGACACCAACUUCUACAGCAAAAGCACACACAUGGCCAAGCCAUAAAACAAGUCAAUAUCUAUAUAACUAAGAUGAACAAAAUAAUAUCUUUAUAAAGUUCAAUAAUUGUUAAGUAAUGCCAAGUAUCACCUUUUGCAUUUUAUACAGAUGACGCACUAGGCUAUAUUUGAACAGCUUCGUUGCCACGUUACUACAAAAUGUCGAAAACGAAUUCAACCCCAAAACUGCCUUUCGCAUCACAAUUAAGCAGCAAUCAGCCACAAUUCAACAAUUCCAAUUUUCAAAAAUUACCAAAAAAAAAAAAAAGAAGGGAGAAGGAGAAUAAAAACAACAAUACUAAUCCAAAACAGGAAACCGAAACCAAUUCCACACAAGCAUUGCAUAAAUACUUUUAAAAAAAAUCUCCACAUAACACCCGCACUAUGUGUCAGUGUGCGACUGCGUGUACCCUUAUAAACACUAAAAAAAGAAGUUGAACAAGCUAAAGAAAAAGCAUUAAUUCAUGAAACAACUAAAAAUAAAGAAGAAAAAUACCUAGCAGGCAAGCUGUUGAAGUGAACAUCUAGCAGCUCCCGCAACUCCGGAUUAGAAACCGCCUCAUCAUUUCCGCUCUCCACCAACCGAUUGUAAACAUCAUUUCUUAUAUCAUAAGUUCCGAAACCACCAAAACUCCUCGCCGGUGAAGAGCUCUCACCGACUCCUUCUACCAAAUCCAUAUACAGUUUUAAAAAAUUAAAACAAAAAACAAAACAAAAAAAAAAAAAACUCCUUUUCUUCAAAUUUCUAUACGCAUAUUAGCUCAAAUUUGCUAUUUUCGAAUAAAUUCUUUUUACAUAUCUGUUGCGUGGGAAAAUUCAUCACCAGCUGAAGCUUAUGCUAAGGAAGAAGACUGAGGUGAGGAUCUCUGUUGACGGUGGAGUGGGAAAGAGUUAGAGAGUAAAGAAAGGGAAGGGGGGUGGGAUGAAAUUUUAGUAAGAGUAGAGGGUAUUUCUGUCAUAGCGUAGUUUUGAUGCAAGAAAGUCGAGGGCAUUUUUGUCAGGAUGGUUUUGACGUAACAAGAAAAUGGAGGUCUUUUCCCGGUUUUGUCCCGGCAGGGCGAGUCGUUUGAGAGGGCAAAUAAUUUAUUUAUUUGUGUUUUUAAAGGUGCAGUAGUGCGUGAGAGAGCAAGCGAGACCACGAGGCGUCAUUUUAAUUCUUCAUUCUUUUUUUUUUUUGUUAUAUUAAUAUUAAAUAAAAAAGUGGAUGGGAUAGGAUUGAGGCACAUCACAUAGGUACGGUUUUUCCUUUUCUUUUUUUUUUCCUUUUUUUUUUGUGAUAGUUUUUGUGAUUAUUGUAUUGGAUAUGUUUCUAAUGUACUGUGCAUGCGGCCUUUUAUGAAUUUGGACAAUAAGAUGCUUUCCUUAUGAUUUGAAAGGGCACUACGGAAUUUAAGGUACAAAAAGUUUGAAGUCAUUUGAAGAAUGGAUAAUGUUGGUGGAAAAAAGCAUAAUGUUUGUUUGGAGCGUAAUAAAAUUUGGUAAAGUUGAGAAUUUAAGUCACAGAAUUUGAUCGAUUUCGUCAAGCUAUGCUUGGACUUGGCUUGAUGAUUUGACGUUGAGAUAAAGAUUCCAUUACGCUUGUUCACUAUGUCUGGACUUGGCUUGAUGAUUUGACACUGAGAUAAAAAUUCGAUCUAUGUAUAUGUUUGUUUACUUGAGUGGAGUUGAAAUUGAAAUACUAGUUCAAUUGAUUAUUCACAGCAUGAAAUAGAUGUAAAUAAAAAUUGAAAUUUAUAAAAGAUCAACUAGGUUAACAAACUCGCAAGUUAUUUGAGUCAAUCGUUCUACGUACUUGAGUAGUUCGAUUCAAACUUGCCCGAAGUUUAGGUCUAAUUAAGUCCCAAGUACAAGUAAACCGAAGUUGAAUUCCAAUGUUUGGAUAACAAAUUAUUUUUUAGAUAAUUUUGUGAAAAAAAUACUGUAACAUUUUUUUAAUGUGAAAUAUGUGAGAUAGAAAAGAUGACGACUGAAAAAUGUGUUGAUAGUGCAAGUAAGUCUGUGUGUGUAAAAUAAUGUAGAAAUAACGUGUCUUCUUUUUCUUUUUAGCUACGAGGGAGCGACGAAGUUUUACCUAAAAAGUUAUGAUUUUGUAUACGUAGUAGAGCGGUAAAUUUCAACGGAUGUCUCUUUUCCUUUUUAUCUUUUUCCACAUGUAGGUAAUAAAGAUUUCAAAUAUUACUGGUAAUAGAACAUAAACCAAAGUGCAAAUAUUUUUAACUAUGUAGAAUUCUACGUAGUUGGUUUAUCGCUAAUAUAAAAGUUUCUGAGAAAGUAAAGCUGAAUGGAUUGAGGUUCAAUAAUUAAAGUCACAGGCAACGUUACGGAAUUGAAAGUAAAAAAUUAAAGAGCUCAUAAAAAUCUUGAAUUCAUUGGCAAUUAUUACGUAGUCAGGCGGCAGCUUUGUUUGGAAAUGCUUAUGGUAAUAUCACCCGCCGCCGUUUCUACACCCAAAACCGCGUUCCAAAAAUUUGUGUAUAAAAAAAAAUAUAUGUAUAUAAAUAUAAGCUUCUAAAAAUAAAAAAUACGUAUAAAUUUACUUUCUUUCAUUCGUUUAUUGCAAACAAUCUUAGCAUGUAAAUAAUAAUAUGUUCAUUCCACCACACCAUGCACCUCAUUGUUUAAAUGAUCAGUUAGUACAUAAAAGAGACUUAAUUGUUCAAUAAUUUAAUGGGUAAGAUGCAGCUUAUCGCAGAUUAAUAAUACCACAUCUUAAAGCGUUUUCAAUUAUUAUUAUUUUUUUAAGUAGGGGCGGAGUGAAAUUUGAGAAUUGAAGAGGGAAAAGAGGAAUUAGAACUCAGGACCUCAACUUUAACAAUUAAAUUAGGGCUUCCUUGAUUAAAAAUAAAAAAAAUGUCUUCAAUUGAUUAAAUUUGUGAAAUUGCCGUUUAAAUUCUAGAAAUCCUAAAGUUACUGAUGUGGACCUUUUAUGCUAAGUUGGCACAUUGGAAAAGUAUCAGUAAAUAUAAACUAUGUUCAAUUUUGAGAAAUAACAUAUUCGCAUAUUGGUAUGGGAAUAACAUUAUGGAAAAUUGAAUUAGAGAAUUCACACAUACAAACUCCUAUCAAAAUGGUGAAAAUUUUAUGCACUUAGUUAUUAUGCAAGUUACCUAAACACACACACACAUAGAGAAGAAUUUUCUUCACCAAGAGCAGAAAAAUUAGGAAAAAAAAACUCAAAGAAGUUAAAUUUCGACCUAUCGAAGGCGAUGGUAAGGUUUAGCCAUUAUGUGUUUUUUUUUUUUUUUUUUUUUUUUGUGGAAGGGGAAAAGAGGGUUUGGCCAUUCUAGUAGUACAAAAAGGUGACUGAGUUUAUAAGGACCCUUAAUUUGUUUAAUUAAUUUCUAGGAUGUGUCCACUGUCCAGAGUCCUUAAAGUAUUGGACCAGACAUAGAGCCAUCACCAAAUCAAAUAUUUCAUCAUUUAUGUCACAAUCUCGGAGUACUAUUUUGUGCUUAACCACGUAAUAGUUAGUGACCUGCAGAUCAAAUGGAGUUGGUAGCAUAUUUUUAUAUGAUCCAAUGCAUGAUAAUAAAUCCGAGGAUAAAGCAUAUACCUUUUGCGAAGUUUAUCCUUUGAUCUAGUUAUUAAAGUCAUCAAUAAGGACAAGUGAUGAGUAUUUGUUACUAACAAAGGAAUUAUAUAUCUCUCUACUUUUUGUAUCUUUCAAGGUAACUCAAUCUCCAAACUUUGUUACUAAAUAUGAGACUCUUCCCACAAGUAAUAUAUAAUUAGAAUGUGAAGUAACAUAUAAAAAAUCUUAGGGUGCGUUAACUAUGAAAACUGAAAUCUGAAUUCAUUAAGUCGUUGAAUUGUUAAGUACUGAACAUUAACUGAUAAGUAAAUAGCUUAUCAUUUAUUUUUAGAAGCAAAUUUUGUCUAAAAUAUUCAGUGCCACCUAAGUAAUUCAAAUGAUCAAUUUUUGGUUAUCAAACGCGUCUGAAUAUGUUAAGAUUCGAAUCCAUUAAUUGCUAAAUUAAAUAAUCAAAUAGGAUCCUAGUUAAAGAACAUUUUUCGUAGAACCAAAAGGUAGACAAGAAAUAUCGUCCAACAAAUUUGCUCAACUCAUUUGAUAGUAAAACGUUUAGAAAAGUCCAAAUUAAAUCUGCCAAACCAAUUUCGUCCAGGCACUAUAGUAAUGCACGGAAUUUCUAGAUACACUUCAUUUAAAAUUUAGAGUAAAUGUUAUAUAUAUAGGGAAAAUAGCCAAUUUCAUCCCUAAACUUUUUACCAGUGUUGAUUUACUACCUAACUUUUAUUCCUAACCAAUUUGAUAUGUGAACUUAUUUUGCAGUUCCAAUUAAGGACUUUUGUGGUAGCUUCACCACCUAAAACUAAUAUGGCUCUUUAUUGAUCAACUAAACAAGGGUAUAUUGGGAAAAUCACUUAUGGGGCUAUAAUAAAUCAAGUAAAUUGUGUAAAAAAUCACAAUAUUAAAAUUUUAAAAAGUUUUACCUAGUGAUUUUUUACACGAUUUACAAGUUUUAUUUGGUGAUUUUUUAUACAUUUUACUUGUUUUAUUACAGUCUCGUGAUAAUACUCUUGUUUAAUUAGUCAAUUAGGAGCCAGAUCAGUUUUAGGGUAGUGGUGCCACUACGAAGGUCCUUCAUUGGAACUACGAAAUAAGUUCAAGUAUCAAAUUAGUCAGAAAUAAAAGUUUGGGAAUAAAUCGACACUAACAAAAAAUUUAGGGACGAAAUUAACCAUUUUUUCAUAUAUAUAUUGUCAGUCAAUGUAUACAUUAUCACAGUUAGAUGAAUGGCACAUAAGUUAAAUUUGAAUUUUAAAUUCAUGUCAGGUUUAGUUGUCAUGUAUCUAAUAUUAAUAGUUCAUAUACUGUCAGUGUAUAUAAAAUUAAUCCUAAAAUUUAUAAUAUCAACUAGACAAAUGCAACAUUCCAAAUUUCUAACUUUGCCCUCAUUGAAAACGAUAAAUUCUCUAUGUGUCAAAACCGAUGUUUAAGCUAUACUGAACUUGUCUCUAGAUCAUAUAUUAAGCUAUAUAAUGUAAUUUUUAUAUUUUGUAACUCUAUUAAAUCUAAUAAUGUUUUAGAUCAAAUAACAUGUUCUAUGUAUUUUCUGUCAUUAAUACAACUAUCUUUAUUAAACAAAUCGUGAUAGACGAUUUUCAUCUGGUUUAUUAAUGGAUUUUUCUAACAAAUGCCCACUGGGCACUCACUAACUCAUCUAACAUUUACCUAACCUAUCAUAUAAAUACACAUACUAACAAUUAUUACUGUCUCUUACAUUUACAUACUUUUCUUAUUUAAUCUUACUUAUCCUCUCUUAUAUUCAUUUACUUUCUCUAAUUAAUUUUACAUUUCCAAAGAUAUGACACUUGAAAUAUAUCUUAACAAGUAUCCUAUAGGCACCCAUUAGACAGAUCAUUUAUUAAUAAUAUUGGCUUCUAUUUUAUAAAAAAAAAAAUUGUAUCCAAGCAUUAACUAAUGUCCAAAAAAAAUUCCAAAUUGUACCAUAUAUAUAAUAAAACAGAGCCAAUAACAAGAUGCUACCAAAAGAUGCCUGCGUUACCAAAGAAACGACUUGACUUCUCCUAUAAAAAUAACGAGACCUGAAUUCUAAUUAAAGUUGGAGAUUAUCCAAUUAAUUGGACUGAAAAUCCUUUUUGCAUAUUAACAAUUUCUGCCCUUGGAAUUGCGAUUCCCUAUUUCCUUUUGUGACACUGUUUUUCAAAGAAACUAAGAUGGCAUUAUGAGUUCAGAAAGGAGGAAAAUUUAGGGGUGGCAACCCAUUGCCUAUUAAUUAUCCCCAUCCCCUGCCCCUGACUUCCCCGUCCCGCCCCGAUUCCCCGCAGGGGCACUCGCGGGUUAAAAAAAAUUUAUUAUAUAAUUUAUUAUAAUUAAAUUUGAGCAAAUAAUUAAGUACUAAAAUAUCCAUACAUCACCAAAUUAUUAUUUAUUGUAACUUCACAAUUGAAACUCAUAAAAAAAUUAAACAAAAGUUAUUUGAAUACAAUCUAAUAUAAAAAAAUAUAUAACUAAAAUAAUCAAGUUUUCACUUUUGAUACAAAUACAAUCACUAAAUUAUUAUUGUGUUUUUUUAGAAAAAUUGUUAUUGCAUUAAGUGUAGUUAGAAAUUUAAUAUAAAUGUAUUAAUAAAUUUAGUAUAAAUAAUUAAUAAUUUUUCUUAAUAAACAUAUAUAAUUAGUAGUAUAAUUGAUAAUAUUAUUAUAUAUAUAAUUAUAUACAUAUAUAUAUUUUGUUUCAAACGGGUGGCGGGGCGGGGGAAUAUACCCCCCCCCCCCCCGCCUCGUUUCAAAAUAGGGGGAAAAUUUCCCCCCGCCCCAAUAGUCCCCGAGGGGCACCCAUUGCCACCCCUGGAGGAAAUGCAGGGUAGAAAACAAGAAUUCAUGGGCCUAUAGUCAUUUUCUAUUUUGAUAAAAUGAGUGAUUAACAUCACUAUGGAGAUAUAGUUGAUUAUUUAGUGGUCAUAUAGAUAAUACUGGAUUGGUGAAAUAUUAGCUAUAUAUCAAAUGUAAUGAAAUUACCACUCAGUUAUCAAAUAUUGAUUUAAUGAUCACGUUAAUAACAUGUAUUAAGUCAAAGAUCAAUAGCAGAUUACUUGAGAGAUAUCCACACACGCGUAUUCUGAAGAACAUUAUAAGACCUCACUUUUGGUAUCAUAUGCAUCAAAUUUGACAUUGGAAGGUAUAUACUAGAUAUGUGUGUACACACACAGACACAUGGAUGCACGCACACACACACAUACAUACAUAAAAAUAUAGACAUAUAUACAUACAUAAAUACAUAUGUGUGUGUGUAUGCAUAUAUAUUUUUUAAUUAAGCAUUUCUUCUACUAAAUAGAACCCAAUUAGAUGCAUGUUGAAAUAUAUGUAUGUGUAUAUGUGUAUGUAUCUAUGUAUUUUCUAGUAAAGUAUUUCUUCUACUAAAUAGAAGCCCACUAGAUGCUUCACUGUCACUCACUCUUGAAAUUAUACUAGACCAAACUGGUUCAUUUUGUGAAUGAAAACCCUGUGUCCAUGAACCAUACCUUUAAUCAAUUAAAUUUGACAUCUGCUACUUCAAAGCCAUUUUCUGCUUCUUUGAUGGAGGAAUAAAACUAAAAAUAACUGGAAUUCCACUUCUGGAUAAUGACAGAUAAAAGUGGAAGGCUGGUGCGACAAAUCGAUGCUGAACAUAAUUGAUCAGAUUUCAUUCUCACGAGUGUUUUCGCUUUAUAAGAUACUACUGCCCCAUGUGUUUAUUAAAAAGAUCAUUGUCACCCUUAGAAUUCAGAACUGUGAAUCCGCAGGUGAUUUGACAUAUGCGGGCUUAUAGUUGAUAGGCAUGGCCAUUAAUAGGAUUUUCUUGAAGGUUUGGAUCAACAUUUGAAAAGGGUUUUACCUCUGUAGUAACAUGUAUCAUACUCUAAUCCUAAGAAAAAGAGAUUUUUUUUUUUUUUUCUGUUUUCUUGAAUAAAAUUGUUACAAGGGAGGGGCAAGUAAUAGAGGGCAGAAGAAUUGAACCUUGUUCAGGGAUGAAACGUAAAGGCUCUUUAAUAUAUUCGACUCCCAAUAUGAUAUCUUGGUACAUAUGCUGUACAACCAAAUCAUACAAGUUGUUAACACUUUAAGCAUGAACUUUGAGUGUGUGUGUGUGUGUGUGUUAAAAUUGGAGAUUGCAGCUCUAAGUUUUGCUAUUAAGUGAAUGACUAUUCCAAUAAGAUAUAUCGAACGUAGAGUUGAUAUCUUGCGUGAGUUUACUACUACUACUUCCCUGCUUCCACUAAUUGAGUUAAUACAUAUGCUUGAAAACUGCAAUCAACAAAAAUUUGCUAAACUGCUAUUUGUACCUCGUGUCAUAAUAUGUACAAGUAAGCUUAAAAGUUCUUCGCACAAGGACUGAUUCCUAGGAUAAAAUUUCAUUUGAGAUUUAGCCAAUUAAAGGGAAAAAAGUUUUAAAAAAUGAAGAAAAAAAAACUUUCGAGAUGUUAACUUUUUAUGGUUCAUCACAACAGUUCAUUCUCUUUAAAGGUAAAUAUGAGGGGGAAAACGAAGAGAAGAGAAGUAAAUUAUAUCUAUCUAAAUCCAAAAAUGGAUGUGAAAAAAAGGAAAGAAGCGUCCAUGGUAAAAGCAGCCAAUAGUUGAUUAGUGCAUGCACCUUUCAACUCAUGGAACAUGGGUUUUAGAUGGCCUAAAGGGUAGAGAUGGUAAUUUUCGACACAACUCGAAAACACGACACGAAUCUAAUAUGAAAUUAAUGGGUUUGGGUUGAGGUUACGGGAGUUCGGGUCAGAAUUGGAUUGAACCCGAAAAGAAAACAGGUCGAUUUCGGGUCAAUCCGUGGUGACCUGAUAUGGCUCGAUAUGACUCGUUUACGAAUUAAAAAUAAUUUAAUAAACAUAAAAUAAUUUUAUCUAACUAAACUAAGUUAAUCUUUUUUUUCAAAGGCAUUAAUUACUUAAUCCUAAAUGAAUUUAUUUAAUUUGUAUGAAGUUGAAAUUAUUAUAUUUGGACAAAUAUUAUUUUUGCUUUUAUACUGUUUUAAUUUUUUUAUAUUUUGUUUGGGAUCAAACACUUUUACAGUGUUUAAUUUAUUUUAGAUUUGUUUGGAAUUAUUUAUUUAAAUUUUUAUUACUUGAUUAUGUAAUUAGUUUUGUGAGAAAUUGAUUUUAUUAGAAAUUACAGUGAUAAAUUAAUAAAUUAAAAUUAAGUUUCGGAUCAUUUCGCGAUCAGCCCGUCAAUCCGAAAUUUUCGAGGGGUCAACAUACCUGACCCGUCACGGGUUUGACGGGUCGAAUUCGAAUCAACAGAUUUUCUGACCCGACCCGCCAAUCUGAUUUGGAUCGAUUGCCAGCCCUACCUAAAGGUUGUCACAUCACGCGCACAAUGUCCUCUCAGGGUGCCAUGGGGCGCUGUUGUUCUCAUAUUCUUCUGAACAAUAAUUGCAUUUUAUCCAAAACUUAUCCUUAUUUAUUUGGGGGACCCUGUACUAGACACAACCCACUAAAUAAUCAAAUGUUAUUCCCUUUGAUAGGAUGCGUAAUUGUUGAUAAAUUUAUAAAUAUUUUUCCUUGAUUUUGGUCAAAUAUUGUAUUAAUUAGGUAGAUUUUACUCAUAUAGUUAGUUAUUAGUGUUAAUUGUAGAAAAGUGAAGCAAAAAAAUAGUUAACGGAGGCAAUUUUUCGGAAGAUCAUGAACCAGUUUGGCAUGGCGCGUUCAAGACAUGCUGUCAGGUCUGGAAGGCUCGGGAUUUUUCUUGCCCGUGGAGGUUUCUUAGUUCGAGUUGAACUCCGUGCAGAUUUUGACUGAAAAUUUAAAAAAUAUCUUUAUUAGUUAUAGUAUUUGAUUAGGAAACAAGGGAUAUUAUCUUUUGUAGUAAUUAGGAAAGGUGCUUUAUUUCUUUAAUAGGUACAAUUUAGGAGAUAAAAUAGGAAGAGGGUCCGCUGGCUAUAUUAGUAGACUAGUACUUCCGAGGAAAAACAAGGAACUUUGGCUCGUGAUUGAUUAGUCUUGGCAGGAACAAGAAACAAAAGGCUAUGUUCGUUUUUGGUUUCUUAUCGUCGAAUGUUCAUGAAACUUUUGUCAAUGAAAUUGUUUGAAUUAUUUCCAACGAUGAGCGGCUAAUUUCUUAUUCUAGUCAAAGGGUAACGAAGGAUUUAGUUCAACUACAACUGCAAGAUCUAAUUAUUCUUAUUUGUUUCUUUUAUUCGUUAAUAUUCGUUUAUUUUUCGAUUUAACUUCUCAUAACUGUUUUAUUGUUUGAAUAUUAAGGGUCCGGUAUUUAAUUCAACCUAACAAUUUAUUACCAAUUAAGACAGUUAAAUCCGUAAUUGUUUAAUUAUUUUAAAUUAGUGGCGACUAGCGUGAUUUGUUUCGUGUUAGAAAAACAUAUAGUCUAAUUUAAAUAAACCCUGAUAGCGUGCUUUAUUGAUCAGAACAAGGUUUUUUUAGUUUUUAAUACAAUCAAGAAAUUAAAUUUUAUGGGCGUACCUAGUAUUUUUUCUUAGUUAGGAGAAUAUUAACGGGUGUACCUUAAUUAUCGAAAAAGUAAGAAAAAAUUGAUUGUCAUCACUUGUUUGGCAAUUAUAACCUGUUUAUUAACAAAUAGAUGAAAUAAUUAUUGCAUCAAUGAACAGUUGUAUGAACUACUUUUGAAGUUAUUUCCUUGGUUAGAGUUUGUUUAUUAUUGAUUUAAAGUUAAUCUAUUUCAGUGUAAUUAUUUUUAUUUACGGUAAUUAUUUAUUUUAAUUUCAAUUUCUCACACCUCCGAUUUAAUUUUUGCUUGGAAGGAAAUAAAUCAUCCAAUCUCUGAGGAGACGACCUUAUUCACCGUUAUAUCUAAAUUUAAGUUUUUAGAGUAGAAAUUUUAAUUUUGGUGGUUUGACAUCCAUCAAAUUUUAGCACCAUUGUUGGGGACUAGUGCCUUUUCGAUUUAUUUUCUUCAAAAUUUUUAUUUUUAUUUUUCUCUUUUUUUUAACUAAUCUAUGACUGCUAAUAUUUAAUAUUUUGAUAAUAGAUUGGAUUUUAUUCUUAGGAGGGUUAAUGAGAUUCGUGUCUCUUCUAAUGAUCAAUAUUUAGAUACACUAACCUUUCUUGUGAAAAAAUUGGAUGUUGUAAUUUGUGAAAUUUGUUAUGUUUUGAAUCAUUCAAAUCGCAAGUUCCUCCCCCGCCCCGUUGCCAUUCCUUUAGCGCAAGAGAUCUUCUGUGUCACAUCCUAUCCCACUUCUUCUAAUCUUGCCAAGUGUCUCUUGAUAAACUAAAUUCUCAAACAACCCAACCUGAACCAUGUUAAAUUGAUUAAUCGAUUAAUCGGGCAGAGAAACUUAAUCUCUAUAACCAAAACCGAUUAAAAUAAAACUAUUUCACAAAAUCACAAUUUAUCAAGGGAAAAAAGCCCUAAAACUCAGUUUAACAUCUGGCCUCUCGUCAUUUUCUUCAUCAUCUUCACCAUUAUCUUCCAAAAAUCACUCACAAUUCACACACACAAAUUGAUGAUCCGUUGCGCACAAAUUGUUCAAACUUGAAACAGACAAAUUGAUGAUCCAAGUUAGACUAUCUUUCUCACGCCCACAAACACUCCCGCAGUAGACUAUCUUUCUCCCCCAUUCACACACAAAAAUUUUGUAGACUAAAAUCUAGUAGGAAAAUUCAAGAUUUUUUAGAGGAACCCAAGUUUUAUUUUCCUUUUUCCUUGGUGGGUUUCUUCGAAUACCAGAUCUUCUUGUAGAAUAUAUUUAGUUUUAGUGUAAAUUUGUACUGGGUAAUGGGUACACAAUUCUUUAGAACUAUGGGAGAAGUAACAGUCACAAUUCUUUAGGCUGUGGAGUUGUUGGCGGUGCAAUCUGGAGGGAAGCCCUGAGGAAAACGUUCGGCAUCUGUACAAUAAUUGUAUAUCUUGUAAUUCUGCUGCACCCAUUUCAAUCUAGCUUGACUAGUGGCAUCAAGUUCCUGAGAGAACCAUGGCUUUGUGGAGUUUGAUCCACAAGAAGAUUUCCCAGAGCUCCAUACACAAGCACCGGCCUUGAAAUUUCUCAAGGAAGCAGUAAAGGGAGACUGUGACCAGUCAGUCUUGACAAGGCCGCCUCCUGUGGCCCAGUCUUCUGCAUCCCGUAGACUAGUGUAUACCUUCAUCGGCUGGUUCUUCGGAUAUGGAAUCCCCUUACUUCCAAAUUCUAAUGCAGGAAAAAUCUUCAAAUUCCAAAUCAUCUUGGUGGGUUUAUUCAAAAUUGCGCAACGGAAGUUCAACUGGGUUUGUUUCAACGGUGAAGAUGAUGACGAGAGGACAGAUGUUAAACUGAAUUUUAGGGCUUUUUCCCUUGAUAAAUUGUGAUUUUGUGAAAUAGUUUUUAUUUUAAUCGGUUUUGGUUAUAGAGAUUAAGUUUCUCUGCCCGGUUAAUCGAUUAAUCAAUUUAACAUGGUUCAGGUUGGGUUGUUUGAGAAUUUAGUUUAUCAAGAGACACUUGGCAAGAUUAGAAGAAGUGGGAUAGGAUGUGAGACAGGGUGUGACACAGAAGAUCUCUUGCGCAUUCCAACAACAAGUGCCCCGUAUUUCAAGAUGAUAUGAGUACUCCAAUUAAUACUUUUGGAGCUUUCCCAACCCUGUCUCAAAUGUGGUAUAACCCUUAUUCAAUCAUGUAUAAUUAAGAAUGGUGAAACAACUCCAACUUUAAUUAUGCAGCAAGGUCAAUAGGUUUUCAAUAGCAACAAUCAUCAUCCACGUCAAGUAUGUCUUUUGAAAAAAUUAUUGAAUUACUAGAUACUAACACAUAUCAAUUUCAACAGGAAACAUAUCGAUUUCAACAGAAGACAAAAAUAAGAAUUAGAAAUUUGGCGGAUCAAAUGUGUCCAUUAGCAUCUAUAGUGAGGCAAUUGGUUUCUCCAAUUUGUGAAAAAUUGCCAUCACUGACCAUUAUCAACCUUAAAAAAGAUGAGAGUGUAAUUAUCCCAACAAGUGAUAAAGAACUACAAGAUUCUCAAGAAGAAGGAUCUAAAAAUGCAGCUGAAAAGAAAGAAAUGAGACUCCAACAUUAGAUUGCUCUUGUGAACAAAUCCAAUGAACAAUUCUCAAAUGUUGUGACACCUCCUUUAUUUCCUAACGAACAUUCUCCUAACUCUUAUUCUGUGAUUUCUAUUACGGAGAUUGAUUUUGUUAUAUCAAAAAUUUUUGAGUUUCAUAGGAGAAGGAAUAAAUUAGAAAUUGCAAUGACCAAAUAUCUUGAAUUGAUAAUUACUCAUGAUGGAGGAGUGAGUGAAGAAUUAAAAUCAGUACUUACUUGUUUUGAACCAUCUACUAGUCAAUAAAAGAAAAUAACUCAUAUGCUUAAAGAUUACUCUAUUUACGAAAGUUAUCAGGAUUACAUAGAGAAUGAAACACUGAAACGAACUAUAUGAUUUUUAUCCUCCUUGAACAAACAUGAUAAUAUCUAAUAAAAAAUAUUAAAGAAAAGCACUUAUUGAGAAACAAUCUAAUUAAUUUUUAGUUUAUUUUUAUUACUUUUAUUUUAGAUUUCUUGUAUUUUAUGCGUUUAAUUUUAAUUUUGUUGUUUUACUAGACAAAAGACUACUACGAGACAACCUAACUAACUCAUUAGUUGUAAAGACGUGUUUAAAAAUUUUAGAAGAUUACUGGACAACAAGACGUGCCCAUAUUUAUGAGUUGUGAUGGCAUUGAUGAGUUGAAAAUGUUUAAUCAAAAGAUUCCUUAUAUUUUAGGCUUGCCCGCAUCUAAAAUGAUUGAAGAAUUUGGUGGCUACUUUGCUUCCAUUGGUUUCACCCCACCUUUUGCUCCACAUCCUUAGCAGUGAGGUGCCCUCCUCCAUGUGCAGGAAAGUUUCAUUGUCCCUUUUACUUCAUCUUUUGAUAUUUAUUUCUUACAUUGGGAGCAAUGUAAGGAUCAGAUGUGAGGAAAUAGUAUACUAGUAAAGUGCAAGUGUAACCAUUAUGACAUUUUUGUUGAAAUUUUUGUUUAAAAUUUUCAAAUUUUAUCCAAUUUUUUGUCAAAUUUUGUGCAUUUUUGUGGUUAUUCCUGAUAAUCAGUGGCUAGAGUUUCAAAUCUAACUAUUGUUAAGGUUUAUGAACUAAUGUGUUAAGUAUGAUGUGGUAAGAUCUAAAUGUGUCUCUCUAGUGAAUAUUUGAGAUUUUGUAACUUUUACAAUUUUUGGUUAAAUUAUUUAGGCAUUGUAAAUAUUCUUUUGGCAUUUUUCAUGUAAAUUGGUUCAACUAUUAAUCUUAGUUCUCUAUAUUUAGAAAAUGAAGUGGACUUGUGUGCUUUUAAUUUUAUUUUGGUACUGUUUGUGAAUUAUAUUUGGCUAUACUAUACUAGUUAUCGUUAUCUAGUAACUGAAAAUUUUCACCACAAGUAUCGACUUUCGAGUCAAAAAAUAACGAUAGUCAUGAGUAUGUGGAUCUUAAAUAAUGAGAGUUGAGUAAUGGGACUCUUUCAUUUCAUAGAUGUUAGAGUUUGCGUCAAAAAAUUUGAUUGGCUAAUGAUUAAGGAUUCUUCCCUUGAAAAGAAAAAAAAAACCUUAAGUGUAGGGAUAUUUUAGAAAAGAAAAAAAGUUGUGCUAAUAGUGAAAAGUGAAAAAGUGCAUAUGAAAGUAAGAGUAUGGGAGUAUGGGAAUAGUUAUGUUAGCCUGCUGAUCCAAGAGUUUUAAUGUUGAGAUUUUAUUUAAUAGUCAAAUCAUUUGCUAAGGAAUGAUAAUUGAGUAUUUUAUAUCCUUAAAUUAGUUAGUCGAAAAUUAGAAAAGUCCCUAGUUUUAAAAGUUAAUCAGAAAGAUAUUUCUUGAAGACUAACCACUAAUGCUUGAUAUACGUAUUAAUUGUACCUUGGCAAUGAGUGACUUAGGCAAUGGUCAUUGUUUGAACUUGAUCGCCUGAUUGGUUAUUCUCAUGCUUGUGUAGGUGUGGAGGGAAUUGAUAGGGUGCGUAAUUAUUAUUAAAUUUAUAAAUAUUUUUUCUUGAUUUUGGUCAAAUAUUGUAUUAAUUGAUAGAUUCUACUCAUAUUGGUUAUUGGUAUUAAUUGUGGAAAAGUGGAAAAAAAAAGUAGUUAAAGGAGGCAAUUUUUCGAAAGACUGAACUAGUUUAGCGUGGGUGCGAUCAAGACAUGUCAAAUCUGGGAAGCUCGGAAUUUUUCUUGUGCGUGGAGGCUUCCUAGUUCGAGUUGAACUCCGAGCAGAUUUUGGCUAAAAAUUUAGAAAUAUCUUUAUUAGUUAUAGUAUUUGAUUAUGAAACAUGGGAUAUUAUCUUUUGUGGUUUGCCUUUUUCAAUUAGGAAAUGUACUUUGUUUCUUUAAUAGCUACAAUUUAGGGGAUAAAACAGGAAGAGGGUCCGCUGGCUAUAUUAGUACACUAGUACUUUUGAGGGAAAAAAAGAACUUUCGCUCGUGAUUGAUUAGUCUCGGUAGGCACAGGAAACAAAAGCUAUCUUCCUUUUUGGUUUCUUAUCGUGGAAUGCCACGCAACUUUUGUCAAAAAACUUGCUUGAAUUAAUCUAGUUAAUGGAUAACAAAGCAUUUGGUUCAAUUACAAGUAUGAGAUCUAAUUGUUCUUAUUUGUUUCUUUUAUUUGUUAAUAUUUGUAUGUUUUCUGAUUUAAUUUCUUAUGAUUAUUUUGUUGUUUGAACAUCAAGAACCCGAUAUUUAAUUCAACCUAACAAUCUAUUGUCAAUUAAGACAGUUAAAUCUACAAUUAUUUAAUUAUUUUAAAUUAGUGGUGACUAACGUGAUUAGUUUCAUAUUAGGGCAACAUAUGGUCUAAUUUAAAUAAACCUGGCAGCAUGUUUAUUGAUUAGAACCGAGUCUUUCUAGUUUUUAAUACAAUCAAAAAAUCAAAUUCUAUAAGCGUACCUAGAGUUGUUUUUUGAUUAGAGAAAUAAUUUAUAGGCGUACCUUAACUAUCGAAAAAGUAAGGAAAUAUUGAUUGUCAUCACGUGUUUGGCAAUUAUAAUCUAUUUAUUAUUGAAUAGAUGAAAUAAUUAUUGUAUCAAUAAGCAAUUGUAUGAACCACUUCUAAAGUUAUUUCCUUGAAUAGACCUUGUUUAUUAUUGAUUUAAAGUUAAUCUAUUUCAAUUUAAUUAUUUUUAUUUAUGGUAAUUAUUUAUUUUAAUUUCAAUUUCUGAAACCCCCAUUUAAUUUUUGCUUGGAAGGAAAUAAAUCAUCCAAUUUCUGAGGAGACGACCCGACUCAUCGCUAUACUUGAAUUUAAGUUUUUAGAGUAGGAAUUUUAAUUUUGGUGAUUUGACACCCAUCACCCUUAAUUUGUUUCAAUUCAUUUGAUACUUUUUUCAUUGUAUACCUUUUCAGGGAAAAAAGUUGACAAUAUAGGAGUAUUUAAUAGGAAAAUAAUCUAAUAAUUGUAACUUUGGUUAUUAGUAAUCUUCCAUUUUUUAUGAUGUAGAUAACUUCUCAGAAUUAUAAUCCAUUUUUGCAUCAUAUAUCAAACCAAAACAUCCCAAUUACUCUAAUUAAACCACUAUUUUUGUAGUCUAAGAAAAAUUGCAAACAAGUUUCUGCAAAAUAUCCAUUUGAAAACUGGUCAGGCUUAUCCUAAAUACUCAAUGAAAUGGAAUAUUGGAAUCGGCUUUUCUCAUAGUGCGAAAAGCCUACAGAAACUUGAUUCUGCAAAUCAAAGGUGGCACAUAUCUGGUGUGUUGACUCUUUAAUCUUGUUAUUAGAACAUAAACAAGUUGCUUAACCGUUUUAAUAUUAGUAAACAAAGUACUUGCAGGCAUGCGAUAAUAUAAAUUAGCAGAUUCAACGAAUGUUAAUCAAUUUGAUCAAAGAAUUAGGUUCCAUAUUUUGUCCCUGGCUAUUAACUUUUUCUCAAGGAGAUUACACCUAGGGAAGAAGAUACAUUUAAAUAUAGCACGUUUAUGACAUAAUGCAGGCCUCAUAACUUGGAGGAAAUUUAAAAUGAUAGAAAAUUUCUCGAGUUCAAAUUUUAUUUGCACUGCAUUAUAAGAUGUGAAUCUUUAAUUUCUUUCUCUAUGUCAGUAUUUGCAUUAUUUUCCUCUGAGUCAUGCAUGCAUGCGUAAAAGAGAAUUCAUGCAUUCAUAUCAUACACUGAUUUUGAUAUGAUUAUGGUUUUUUUUUUCCCUCGAGCGUGUCAUCUCAUAUUCUUGACUAGAAUAUAGAUUUCUUUUUACAUAAUUUAAUUUUUUCGAGUUAAUAUAUAAUAAAUCUAAAGAAAAGUAAUCUUCCGGCAUCAACACCAUAUACUAAAAGGUAGUAUCUAAAUUAUAACUAAAAUCAACUUAUAUACACUGAUAAUGUAGUGAUUUUUUUUAUACGAACAGUUAUGAAUAUAUGUUGCAUGUACAUAAUUUGAAUUGAUGUUAUGUAACAUUAAUUUAAACCUAUUUGUAUUAAAAAAAAUUGUACAUUCACGGCGUAUGAAAAGCUUACUCUUAUAACUACAUCACUUCACAAUGCUAGAGAAGGAGAAUAAUAUUUUCUUUUUCCUCUGCCCUGAAAUACAAAAUUGUCAGAAUCCAAACGAAGAAAUACCACCGACUAUGCAAGAGUGAAUUUAAGUAUUUAACUCAAGCCUCUUUCUCCCUAAUGUAUAAGGCUUUAAUAAUGCAAUACUUAUCAGAACUUCGUAUUAUUAUACUGAUGACUAUGUAAAGUUUCCAACCGUCCAUGGCCCUCUAUUGGACAUGGGGUUCCACCUCCCACAAGACAUUGAUCUGAACAUUGAUCAAAUAGGGAAUAGGGAAGAGAAUAUUGAGUUGUUCACUUGUUUGGUGAUAGAAAUGGGGCCAAUCUUGAUUUUAUAUAUCUCAAAGAUGUGGAAUUUGGGGAAAUAUGACAUAUAGUGAUAGUGAUGAAAUUUUUUUUUUUAGUUAUUAGUCACCAAAGGCUAAAUAAAAUAAAGUGGGGAUAGAAAUGUCUAAUGCCUCUUGGCACCAUGACUUGUCUAGAAAGCAAAUGUCCCAAUAAGGGAGUGGUCCAAUGUUUUACACCAUCAAAGGGAAUAGAGAAUCACACACAUAUAAGAUGGAGAAUGUAUAAUUAGGAAUCAGACAAUAGGGACUACUUUGUUUCCUCCACCAACUAUGGAAGUAGGAAUUUGUUUCACUCAUGUCUUCAUUUUUGUUUUCUAUUUUAGGUGGCAAUGCUUGUGUACAUGAUUAAUAACAGGUGUGAUACUUGGCAGAACUAAAAAUAAGCUGAAUUUGUUUGUUCACAUACUUGGCCACAAAAAUCCUCUCAACCCAAUAUCUUAUUAUUAUUAUUAUUAUUUUACUUUUUUGUGCACUGAUAUUUAGGAGUUAGUUAACUUAAAAAUUGUAUUAAACCUAUACUCCUCGAUUACAAAUCAUGCUCACUGAAGAUAAAAAUCAAUAAUCUGAAUAAUGCUUUUCUAUAAUUAUUGGUCCAACGACCACCAGAAGGUCUUUAAGUCCCUCCUGGGAUGCUAGUUGGGGGAUCAUAUCCUGUGCUAGGGUUGUCAACGAGUCGAGUCGAGUUAAAUUUUGGCAUAAUCGAGCUGAGUCUUGACUUAAUUUUAUCGAACUCGAACUCGAGUUCGACGAGUUGACAAUUUUGAAGGUUGGGCUCGAAAAAAUAAAUAAAAUAAUAUAAUAUUUUUUCUUAAUAAAUAAUAAAAUAUUAAGGAUAUUUAUGUAAUUUUACUAUUACAAUAAAAUAUAUAUAUAUAUAUAUAUACUAGAGCUCACGAGCCUAACGAGUUUAAUAUUUUGAGCUCGAGUUCGAGCUCGAUUUUGACUCGAUCAACUCGAGCUCGACUCCGGAGCAACUCGAUUCGUUUGCACCCCUAUCCUGUGCUAGCAUCAAAUGUCAAGAAUUAUUGGCUUUUAAAAUCCAGCAGGCGCCUUAGUGCACUCGACUAGUUUAGAAGUGUCUUAGUCAUCUGUGGAACCUCAAUGGCCCCGUUGGACCAAUCUCCUUCCCUCAUAAUAUAGAAGUAGUGUUGCUAUUGACAAAAAAAAAAAAAAAAAAAAAAAGGAAUGACGCUCUUCGAUGCUAAUCAAACAUGUGAACGACCCUUAAUUUUACAAGGAUAAAUUGUCAUCUCCCUGAGAAAGGAAAAAGAGACUGCUAUCAAGCGUUUUCCAUUAGAUAUAACUAGAGGAAAAUGUCGCGUAGUAGUUUAGUGCCUAUGAUCAGACAUGGUUAAUAAUUACUAUUUGGUGUUUUAUAGUACACAAAUUAAAGUAUGAUAAUUUUAUUAUAUGAUAUUAAACAGAAAAAUCAUAAGUUAUAUACUUAGUCAAAAAAUAUAAUGUGCAACGAAACAUAAUUAUAAAAUACGAUCAACCAUUUUGUAUCCAAACCUAAUAAAAUAAAAGACUUACUUAUAUUUUCUUCUGCACUUUAAAAAUAAUAAAAUCUGCUGUUUAGUUUGAAUUUGAUCUUGAUACGAGAACAAUCCACCGCAUUAUCUUGUCAUAUAAGUAAGAUUUGAAUGAUUAGCAUAUUUGAAGAAAUCAUUGCUAGUGGAGUUUCAGUUCUUGCAAACCAAGUUCUUGAAUUUAUAUUAAUUCUAAGGACAUAACGUCACGAGACCUCCACAUUGGUCAAUCAAUCAAUUAUGAUUUAUUGUAUGAUUUAGGAGAUAUAGCAAAGCAUCUCCUUCUCAAUAGGGGAUUACAAUCACGAAACAUUAGUUUUUGAACUAGUUGCAAGAAUAUACAAUAACUAACUUGCUAAUUUAGAGGAAUAAUUACCUCUAAAAAAGUACUAAGGGUGCAUUUGAUAAAACUAAAAUUUGAAAACUGAAGUCUGAAAUUUGAAAUUUAAAGUCUGAUCCAUUAAGCUAUUGAAUUGUUAAAUAUUAAAUAUAAUAUAUUUGAGUGCAUAUCACAUUCAGUGAAAAGUGAAUAGCAUAUCACUUAAUUUGGGAGCAAAUUUUGCCUAAAAAUUUAGUGCAACUUAAUUAAUUUAGAUAUUCAAUUUUUGGUUAUCAAAUCGUCUGAAUAUGUUAAAAUCUGAUUCCAUUAAGUAUAAGUGUUGAAUUUGGUUAUCAAACAAGGCCUAAGGCAUCUUAAUCUAUUCAAUUCAAGAAAACAAUUAAAAGUAAUGAAGUGUAUACUUUAAAUUUACAGCAAAAUAGUUUUAAAUAGAUGGUUAAACCUAUUGACAAACCAAAUGAAUUAAAAAAUUGCCCAAAUGGAAUCACCAAUAAAGUAGCAAACAAUUUGAAAAUUACCGUAACUAAUAGUUAAAACAACAAAAGAAGUAGAUGCGGUCUGUAAAUGGGAAAAUUUAUGAUGUUAAACUUACCUUAAACCACCAAUAGCAAUUAAUAAAUGUGACUUCCUUCCUAUCAAGCCUGUCUAACAUGGACAAUUGAAUUAAAAUACUAAAAAAUUAUCGCACAAACAACUUGCAAGAUUACAGAUUUCUUACAACUAAAAAGUAGAUUGGCUAAAGAAAACAUACCUAUUGAGAUUUCUUACAACCAAAAAGUAGAUUGGUCAAAGAAAACGUGUAUAUUAAGAAAACUGUUACAAAAUGGGGAAGAGGGUAGCUAAUAUAGUAAGAUCUGAAUUUAAUAAGUUGUAUAAUUGUUGUGGAACAAAGUUGUAAGUAAAUAAAAUGAAUUUGAAUAGAUGGGAGUUACUGUUGUAAUGGCCAAGAAACCAAACUUCUUCACUAAUUGGCAUUAAUUGUGUCUUAACAUCUAUAUAUCACAAGUUUGCAAAUAACCAAUGAAAAAGGUUUCAAGAAAUUAAGACUUGGAUGCUAAUAUAAUUAAAUGAUUAGAAGGGCUUUUAUGUAAUUUCACUAAAAUACAAACUGAAUUUUGUUGUACCCAAUGCUCAACUGGACAUUGAACACUGUCACAUAUCAAACUUGUCCCUAGAUUAAAAUGUCUUAAAGGACAUCUAAGUAAUUACGGUAAAACCAAAUUAAUUAUAAUAAUUUAUACUCAAUGCUCCAAUUGCACUGCAAACACUUUAGCAUUUCCAAAAUACUUCCACCCUUGCAAUUGAAAUUUUUUGAAGGACUUGCAAUUCAAAUUUAAAAAUCAUCUUUGUCCUAAACUCAUUCUUACGUGAUACAAGGAUAAGGAAAUGCCUAAUUUGUAGCUACAUGUUUAACCUCUUAGUCCGAUCCGUAGAUGUUACGGCUCUCACCUUAAAUUAAUCAACACUGACAUUGUAUAAGAAAUACUUUUGAGUCAUACAAGAAGUAUUGACUGACACACGAAAAGAUCCAAUAUAAUCGUAAUAAUCCUAUGCUAUUCAUAUUGAUUGCAUGCUAUCAAGUAGUUGAGUCAUUUCAAUGGUUUGUUGAUCUAUCUUUUUCCAUUUGUAAUCAUGUUUUUGCUUCUAUCCUUUGACAAAGAAGUAACAUAAACUUUCCAGAAGUAAUCUUUUAUUAUAUUGUUAAAUUCUGUAAGCACAUUUAGGCCGAAAAGAAAAUCAGGAAGUAAAUACCAUUUUAGAAAUUUAUUCCCACACUGAUCAUCUAUAUCAUCUAUGAAUUAGAAAACCAAGUUUUCUACCUUACUGCAUCAAUAAACUUUGGAUACGUGGCAUGAACUUGUAAAGUCGUACAUAGAUGCCAUAUUUGAGGCAUAAAUAGACCACUUGGCAGGGGAAAAAAAGAAGAUGAGAAAAACUUAAGCAGUAAUUUGUCAUUAAGCACAUCUAAAGCAACUAUAAAAGUAGACCACCAUAACUUCUCUUUCAAAAAUCCUUUCAAAACCUGUUUCAGGAAAGAAAAAAAAAAAAAAGAAAAGGGUUGGGUCCAUUUGAGAGGUCGACAUUCACAUAUAUAUUAUUGGUUCAUAUCUUGACUUGAAAGGGUUCAUUAUGUGUAAUUGCUAGACCAUGAAUAGAUAAUCACAAACCAGUUCUCUAAUUGGAACACGAAGAUUGAAUCUGUAGAAGUGAAGGCUAAAGAUUCUUCUAAGUGGGAAGUAUAAGUCAGGAGAAGAGAACAAAAGCAAAGUUUAACCCCUGUGUGAUAAAUUAUCCAAUUUUCUUAUUCUUUUUUCGUUUUCCAAGAACUGUAACCAGAUUCUUGUCCAAAAUGGAACCACCCCUACAUCAUCUUGCCCAAGUCAUCAAUUUGGACUACUAUAUCAUCAUCAUAGGAUGACAUAAAAGUAUGACUUCGCAUCCAUUUGAUGGAAAGCAUUUUCGCACAAGAUUGAGGGUUUUGUGAGGACCAAAGAUCUUUUUUUUUUUUUCUCUCUCUUUUUGACAACCAAAUCGGAACCAAUUUAUUAAAUGGUUUUGAAUUAUAGAAUCAAUUUAUUGCAGAAAAUUAUAGAAUCAGGGGCCUCCUCCAGCCAAACAAGUAAAGUUUUGAGACAUGAAAGCCAAUCUAAAGUCUAAACUAAGAGGCUUAUUAGGUCAGGUCCAAGAAACUUAAAAGUUGAAACCAUAUAUUGAUCAGCAACAAUUUUAAGAGUUUUUCCCUCGUCGAUGGGGGUUGCUUGAGGGAGGAAGAAUUCCCAGAAACAUUUAUGCUGGUGUACAACUCUUCCUGUAAAGUUCCGGAAUCCAUUUUCCUUCCUUUUCUGCAAUAAGAAUUACAAAAAUAAGAAGUAGCAAUGGAACUUUUAUUAGAUCUAUAUUUUUCCUUGACACUGGAAAAAAUGAGCUGGAAUUUUACUUUUUUUCCCUUUUUUCUUGAUGAAAUACUAGAGAUCUUAUUGAUGUAAAAAUCAGCUUUCACAAGGAGGGUUAGCCUGGGAUAAACUUACAAGAGUACUCCACAAUGGCUAUUCCUUCAACAAUACUUUGUAAAAUUAAAGUUAGGUGAAAUUAAAUUCGUGAAUCAUGCUAUAUUUGGGUGUUAACUGAUGUUAGUAAAUGUGGAGAAGAACAGUGGAAUUACCUAGUUGAAUAUUAAGUACAUAUUCAAAGAAAAACUAGUUUAUUAUUUAGAGGUUCCACUUCAGAAAAGUGAAGUAUAUAUUCUUGUUGAUGAUGAUUCAAGGCUCAGACACUUGAUCUAAGGCUAAGACACUAUUAAUAUGUGAAAGAAACAAAACUCAAAAAUUGUUUUAUUACCCCUUUUUGUUUUGUUGAUGGUAAUUAACGUCUAAUUAUGUACUCUAAUUCUCAAGCAGAAGGAUUUUUUCAUAGGCUACAAUCUGUCCCGCCAGGUUUGGUUUGUGCUGGAGAAAUUGUUUCCUGUUGGUCCAAUGCAUAGAUCAUCGAAUUGCAAAUGUACUUAAAGUCUUGAUGACCUCAAUCAGUCAGUGACAAGAACAUUUAAGCAAAUCAUCCCUUCUCUAAUUUGUUGGGAGCUGUGGAAAUGAAAGCCCAAAUUAUAUGUUUCUGAGGAAGAAAAAGGCCAAACAGGAGGGGGAUCAUUGCAGCUAUUUUUCACUAUUCCUGGAGUGGUCUAUUUGCUUUCCUUUCCUUGGAUCAAAUCCAUAACUAAUAAAAAGAUUAAGUCUGUGUUGGAAGGGAAGUAACACAAUCACAGCCUGGUUCAAAGAGCAAGCAAUUUUCAACGGCUCCAAAAAGUUCUAAGACUAAUUUUACAUAAUUUAUCAUGUAAAUUAUCAUAAUUUAUAAGACUAAUUUUACUUUGCACCCUCGAACUUGUAUCACUUUGCACACUAAACUUAAAUUUUUAACACUUUGCACCCUAAACUCUUAAGUUUGUUUGAUUUAAGUCCAAUCAAUGACUACAUUCACAAAAUUAACAAGAUAAAAAUCAGUGAAAAUUAAUGAUGAUGUACUAUUUUGUUCUAACUGUGACCCCCUUGACUUUUUUUGACUACUUUUAGUACAUUAUCAUUGAUUUUUAAGGUCUCAAUUACUAAUAUUGUUAGCAAAAUUUACAAGAUAAAAGAUUGUAUAAAUUAACGAUAAUGUAUUAUUUUAUUCUUGUUAUGAUACCUUGGCAUCUUUUGGUUAUAUUCGCACAUUAUCAUUGAUUUAUUAGGUCCUCUGUUUCGUUAACUUUGCUAAAGUUGUCAUUGAUUAGGCUUAAAUAGGACAAAAUUGAGAAUUUAGUGUACAAAGUAUUCAAAAUUAGGAGUUUAGAGUGCAGAGUAUUCAAAAUUAAAAUUUAGAUGCAAAGUAGAAAAGUAAUACAAGUUCGAGGCACAAACUGAAGUUUGUCCAAAUUUAUUACUUGUGACUCAUGAAUCGUUAUAUAAUUUCUUAUAAACCCCUUACAUUUAGAAAACUAUACAGAUUUAUGAUAGUUUGAAUUUGUCGCAAUAUUGCCUAUUAAGAGGUGAAUUUACCUAUUAAUCCUACUAUUUUGAUCAAUAUUUCUAAUAAAUCAGAAGGGGAAAUUGAUCAAAAGGUUUUCUACGCAAGGGAAAAUUGCUUAUUUGAAUCAAACAUUAGUCUUUUCUGCCCCUUUUAUCAAAUAAGAUUUUGUGCUUACAUUAUUGUGUCCAGCAGAAUUUUAUACUGAUUAAUCACAGAUCAUUUUUAUCAAGUGGUUGAGGAAGCCUUCUGCCGUGGAGUAGCUUUUAUUUCUGUAGUUAGUCUCAAUAAUAUGAGAGUUGCUACUUGUUGUUCCAUUCAAUUGUUGUCUUAGGGCGUUUAAUCUCACCAGUCUGCGAGCUGUAAUUCUAUGAAUUCAUCUCAAUGUUGUUACUGUGUCUGUUUUGAAAGUUUUUAAUCUUGUGGUUAAUAUUACUUUGCACCGUUAAAAAGUAGUGAAGCAUGGGAGUUGGGACAAUGUGCACUUGCAUUUCCGUUUGUGAAAAUCAAGACCUAAACUCUAGCUUAAUUGAAUUAGAAGUUCAACAAAGUCUGAUUCCUUAACUCUAAUUGCAUAAUCAAAAGAUGAUUUUGAUGCAUUAAUUGGACCAUUAUGUAUAUUAGGACUGUUCUGCGUCAUAAUCUAGCAUUAACUUGCUACUGAGGUUCUCAACCUGUAUAAAGACUGGCACGAAAAUAAGCUCAAACGCUAGAUUAAUAGCAAAGAAAAUAACUUAGGCUCCGUUCGGAUUAGCUGUUACUGUAGCAGAGUUUUUAGAGUAUAUUUUUGGAUAUUUUUAGAAAAUAUUUUGGAAUGUUUAAGAGUAGGAGAGUUUUUUAAAAUAUAUUUUGGGAUAUUUUUUAAACAUUAAAAAAAUUAGAGUACUUUUUAAAAAUUUAAACAAGUUUUUCAAAUAUAAUAAAAUUUUUAAAAAGUACUUCCAAAAGGUAAUCUAAAAAUUAAUUUAAAUUUUUUAAAAUUUUAAAAAAAUAUCUCAAAAUAUAUUUUAAAAACUCUUCUACUCUUAAAUAUCCCAAAAUAUUUUCUAAAAAUAUUCCAAAAUAUACUCUAAAAACUCUGCUAUAGCAAAAUUUUUCAAAAACACCCUAAAAAACAGUUGAUUCAAACGGAGAGUAUAGUAUUUGAAAAACUGAUUUAUAAAAAACUGAAAGAUCCAAACGGAGCAUUAUGUAUUCACUAAUUCAACCAAGUACUUGAAAUAUUCAGAAGGUCUAAGUGGGUUCGAUUCGACCAAUACCAUUUGGGUCGGGCAUUGCCCUUGAAGCCAUGGUCCCUUGCAAUGUUUAGAAUGUAUGACAUAAUAUCUACCUGAUAUACAGCAAAUGAAAAGUAAUCUGGCAGACUAUGAGAAGCCUUUAAGCACAAGUAGUACAAUGACAAUUUUGACUUGUUGCUAGACGGGUACACAAGAUAACUUAGAAGCUAAAUUGCCAUCAAGUAAAAUAAGCCUUGAGAGAUUUUCCACAGCAUUGAUACUCAAAACUGGUGGCUCCACUAAAGAGAGCAUAUGAUGUUGGUUGCGAAUGAUCCAUCUAUGACAACUUUGAUUUCAAACGCAAAUGAUAUUAGGAGCAGAGAAAAGUGAUAAUAACAGAUCCAUAAUCUUGUAAGAGUUUACUACUUCAAAACCAAGUAACUAGGUAGUGCUGAGCUUUAGGACACAACUAGAAGGGGAACUACCAAUUGGUUGGAGACUACAAGUCCAGAACACUUAAAGAUGGUACGUUACCACUUUCACCAAUGAUGAUUUAGCAGUCCUUAAUCCAUGUAUAAAGUACGAAUUGCUGAUUUCAUUGUCAUGUAACAAUACACUUUCCCCUUGAAGUGAGAGAGGGCCAUAGGAACGCAAGUCUAGUCUGCAAACUUAAUUUACUGAGUCCACAAUAUUUGUUGAGCAGUCAAACUAGUCGGUCUACUCCACAAAGGCACAACAGAAAAAUCUACUCAAAAGUUCCAAGCAUCUGAUCAACAAAUCUUACAGAUGCCCAAUAUUACCUAACCCCAAGUCUGAUUAACAUGGUAAAUCAUCUUACUACCUCAUUUAUUACCCUUUUAAACCAAACGACCUGUAUCAAACAGCAGAAUUCAAUUGCUCGUUCCUCCAAAAAAGGAUCUACAUUGUCCCUCCAACCCGUCUAUGAGAGUGUAGCUUAGUCUGUCAUUCCCUGAGACACUCACAGAGAAUGAAACAUUAGUAAAAGUAGGACCUGCUUACUGUUCUGCCUUUUCUUGGCCCCUAGGAGCCGCGAUGAGAAUGCAUUAAAAAGAAAAUGACAAGGAGAUUAAUAUAUUCUGUCAGUGACCCAACUUUUCAGCUUAAAUGAAAUUCGAAUCUGUAGUGAAAGAAAGCAAAGGUAAAAUUAGGGAAGAUAAAUUGUUUCUAAUGUAAGUCACUUCCCACUCUAUCUAUUUCAAUUAUCACCCGAGAUUCAAAAUUACUGUCCUUAGAACUUCCAUUACAGAAGAGGCACUAAACCGUUUGCCACAUCUUUUCAGUUUAAUAGCUUUGAAAAAAACAAGGUGCCCCUCUCCGAAAUAAUCCUUUCAAUCUUUUCCUUUUGAAUAAAGUCCCAAGCACAGUUUCUUAAUCAGCAACAACUCAAUUUCUCCCCAUAUAACGUGAAGACAUACACCAAGAAGGACAAAAACUGCAUAGCUUCACCACAACUUGGGUAUCCUUUACUAAGAAUGCUGAAGUCUUAAAAAACAAAACAAGAAGACGGGGAAUCUGCAUAUCCAUGCCAAACAUUAUUCAAAACUUGAUAAGAUAAGUUCAACUAAGAACAUUACAACUACCAAUUACCUAAUCAUGUCAAUGAAGUUCCACCAUGACAGAGAGACGAAAGAAAAGUGAAAAACUUACCCAAAUCCAACAACCAAUCAUGAAUUUCUGCAUACUUCAGAUUAUGUUAUUGAACAAGAAAUAGCAACCUUCCAUUGCAUGAUAAAAACUGAAAUGUUGUACUUGCAACCAAUCUACUGCUAACCAGCAUUAUAUUACACUUAAUAUACUUAAACUAUAUGCCCCUUGACAAAGCACCCAUUACUACAAGAAAAUCAACAAAUAACAAUCAAGCACAAUGGUAACUGGUAACAACAACCAAACAUAUUCACGAAAUGGCUGACGAAAUGAUGAAACCAUUUUCAAUUUCAAAUUUCAAUUUUACAAGUCUUGUAGCAUUACAAAUAAAAAUUAGGAAAUAUGACACCAAAGAAAGGAGGAAACACCAAAAUCAAUUUUUAUUAUGAGGACAAUAAUAACAACAUACAAUGGUCCAAUCCUCAUUAAUUAAUUUCAAUAAACAAAAAAGAUACUGGUACAACAAUAGAAACAUUCAGUUCCAGCAUGAUUAUCAUGCCAUUACUUCAGUCCUUGACCAAUAAAAAUUGCAAUUCAGACACCAAUAAAAAAUUAUCAUUGCCAAUUCCCGACUCCUCCACGUUCCCUAAGGCACUGCUGAGAGCUGAGCCUCAAGCAAGAAACCCGGCAAAGCCAUCUCCAUUUCCAGGGACACAUCAAUCCACCGCACUCAGUCUUUUCACAGCCAUUUCCUCAAAACACUCCCAAACCACCAAUUUUCCAACCCUUUUAGCAGAAAAACAGACCUGAUUUCCCCUCCAAACACCUUAAACUUACUCGAAUCCUGAAAAAGCCUAUACAUUUCUGAUGGCAUUCGCCCAGCCUCGUCCCACUCUAAACUCUCCAAAUCCAACCUCAGGAUUCAAAAUUGUCGAACACGCGCUAUGCAACGAGUAAGAACUCUUCAAUCCACCGAUCAUGAGCACCUUAUUCUUCCUCCACUAACAAUCUAGGCCGCUUUAUUAUAUCAAACACAUCGCCCCACUCGUGCUUCUCGAGCCGACUCCAUUUCUGGACCAACUGAUCCCUCUGUUAAUCACCAUAGACUUAAACAGCUUCCACUGAGAUCGCCAUGGCGAUCCCACAUCACAAAGAGCAAGUAUAAAAUUCUCAAUCAAAACAGGGCUUCGCGGCUUGGAAGGUAGAUUAGACGAAUACUUGAGCCAAGAAUUGCAAGUCGAGUACAAAGUAGCUAGCUCGGUAAGAACCAGCACUUGGCUGGGGCCAGCUCCAAUUAGAACGAACCGUGGCGCGACCAAGCCGAGCCCAGCUGGGUAAGGCCUUGAAUUGCCUCGUCAAAGGGUUGCAAACAAUCAGCAUUUUAUUACUGAUCGGGCCGGGAUUGGGAAGAACUAGAGGACGAAGCCCAGAGAUAAAGCAGGCCAUGAGAUGAGGUGAUGGGGAGGAGGGAGGGAAAGGGAGGAAGUUGAGGAAAUCUGAACCAUCUGUCAGACAAAGGGUCGAACACGUGGAGAGCAGGAUGGAAGACAGGUGGGAAUGCGAUGGGAUCGGUGGAAGGCGGAGGGCAAUUAGGGAAAGCACAUGGGAUUGGGAACUGGAAAUCAAGUGCAAGAAUGAUGGAGAGAAAAGAGCGGUAUACAGGACUUACAAACUGCUCUGCAGAUGAUCAUCUGCGGAGUGGCAGGGAAGAAAAGAUCUCUUGGAGGGUGUCUAGAGGCAACCGAUUGGUGGGAAGAUUCCAUCCUCUUUUGCGUUUCUUCUCUGGGUUUUCUUGGGGGUUUUUGGGGGGCGAGGCGAGCGAGGAUGAUUUUGGAGUCAGGUGGAGUGGUGGGCGGCUGUGGUGGUGGUGGGAUGGAUUUGGGUAGUUGGCUGGUUUAAUGCGGGGGAAUUUUGCUUGGGGAAAUGGAAAUGGAAAUGUGUUCAAGGCUUUUAAGGUGGCAAAAGCGCACGGUGGAGUGGAGUUUGGAGGUUUUUGUUUGAUGUGAGUGCAGGAAAUGGGAGUAUUUGUUUGACUCUCUCAAGACAUGUUUUGCCAACUGCUAGAGGAGAGGAAGGGAAUUUAUGCUUAGUUUGGGAGAUGAGAUUUCAGCAGAAAAGAAAAGAAGGGAAGACAAACGUAGGUUUUUCCCAUAUUGAGUGUUUUAGUGAAAUAGAAGAGGAGGAAGAGACCCACUGCCAAUUAACAAAAUUUUCCAUCCCAAAACGGGCAGAAAAGAAAAGGAAAGCUACGAAAAGGCUGCAACAAUUUUUUAAAUUGCUCGUUCUAUUCUUGAAAAACUAUUGAAUGGAUAUCUAUUUGACCAAUGUUUAAAAUCAUCUCUUUCUUUUAUAAACUUUCAAACAACAUUAAAAUCUUUUCUCUUCUUUUCUUAUCUUUUCUUGUCUCUCUAACUUCUCUCUUUUCUUUUCUAUCCUCAACUCACAAACAAGCUAUUAGGUUCUUCGACCUUGUCUGCGAGGGAAAGUAUCAAUAGUAGGCAAUUUUUGGUACAACUAUCAAAUUUAUGUUUGUAUUGUGAAAUAUCAUUUUGUAUUUCUCAUUGCAUGGAAAUUUAGGCUAUUCUUUUUUUUUCGUGUUUACUUUAAGGAUAUAUUGCAAAUUCAGUGUCACUCUCGUUUGAGUAGACAAAAAUUCCACUCAUGCAGGUCAAGUUUGAGUAUUUAACCAAUCUUUUUGUUACCGUCCUUUGUAACUCAUAUUUUCAUUAAAUUUCAUAUAUUCGUAUAUGUCUAUAUUUUUCUUGUCUUAUCAAUUUUUUUUUCCUUGCAAACUUAAAAUUUUAUCGUGUACCAUAGAGAAAGAAAAAAAAGAAAGAUAAAGGUUUGAACUUGAAUCAUCAAAUAAAGGAAAAUAGGCCUUAAACUUUAGGAAGGAAAUAGAAUGAGUUGUGAGCAAUUGUUUUUGGUUAAGAAUGCUAUCAUGAAACAAAAUCCUUAUUAUUCAUGCCUCUUGUCUUAAACCAACCAACUCCUAAAGUGCAGAUUUCUCUUGUCUUCAUUCUUCUUGCAAGUGCUCCAUCCAAACUAGGCCUUAAGUUUAUAAUUGUCUAUUAGUGGGAAUAAAAUUAGGAAUGCCCCAUGUGCCAAAUGGUUGCUUCUUGUACAAUGAAUAAUCUUCUCGUUUGGGUUUCAGUUUGUAGUUUGCCCUGGAGUUGGUGAUUGGAUUAUUCCAAUGGGUUGAAUAUGGGCCUUGUGGGAUGCGAAUGGAUCAGGUCAUGGUGGACUUGGCCGGUCUUUUUAAUGUAUUCGAUUUCGGAAAAUUCUAUGUUUUUCUAUAAAACAAAAGUCAAUAUUAUUAAUAAACUACUUAAAAAUCGUUCGGCACGAUUCGCUUGACAAAAAGAUUCGCUUGACAAAAGAAAGCAAAGUUAAAAAAUAAGAAAAAUUACUUUGCGAAUCACAAACCAUCACGUCUCACGAAUUGCACGAGGUGCUCCAUAAAUAUUUAUGCAUCUCUAUUCCCUCGUACGCGCGUGGUAUCCAAGUGAGUCAAAUUCAAAAUUGAUUCUUAAAUAUUAUAAGAAGACUCAUAAAAUUCUAAAUCGAACAUAUGAAGGUGUAGAAAAACUCUUAGAUUUGAGAAAAAAAUAACAAAAAAACUAAAUAAAACCAUAUGAACUUGAUUAAAUGAAUUAGUCGUCCUGACUAAAACAUCGUGAUUCCCUUCUGUCUUUGUCUUGUUUUCGGAUUUUCCAAGAUGAAUCGCCCGAAGUUUAAAUCAAGGAAACUAAUCUCCAGUUUUGGUUGAUAGAAAGGUAGAAAAGAAGAAUUUCUUGUGAAACCCGAACUCUAGGCUUUGGUAUAUAUCGAAGUGCCACAUGUACUUGCAUCUAAAUAUUGUCUUCUUUUGGUUUUUUGCAAUCGGGACGUUUUGAACUAUAAUUUUUUUUUAAUAAUUUCUUCUAUUGUACCAUCAAGCCCAGCCCUUCUUCCAAUAUUUUCAAUUCUUAUUAGGUAAACCCCAAAAAAAAUUACAAUUUCAAUUCUAGAUCAUAUCUUACACAAAAAGGCAGGAGUUUUUUUUUUUUUUUUAAUAUUCAAUGGAGACUUUAAACCGUAUAAGAAAGCAUAUGAAGGCUUGAGAAUUGUCUAUAAAGACAGUAAGUGUGUUUGGAUAGCCAAAUAAUGGCCAAAAUUUAUUUGCUUACAUCACAAAUACAAUUUCCAACACACUUUUUUAUCUUUCUAAUUACUUUUUUAUCUCACAUACAUCAUAUCACAAAAAGUGUUACAGUAAUUAUUCUAAAUAAUAUUUCAAAUAAUCUCCUAUCCAAACACACCGGUACCGGUCCGACUUCUAUUAUUUAUUUGGGUAACUAAUUUGAGAAAUUUAAAGCCAUAACAUGUGCUUACAUGUUUUUGUCUAUGAAAUCGAAGAGUCCAUAAACUUGCACCAACGAUUCGAUCGAUAGAUGUGCAUCUUCUUUUUUUCCCCCCUUUUGGUCCUAAAAACGUAGGAUCCCUUUAUGUUUGUGAAAACAUUUUAUGCAGAUCAUUCAACUUAAUUAACUAAAACAUCUGCUUGAAUGAAGGUUUUAUGUACAAAACCAACCAAGCAGCCAAGUGGAACGGAAAGAGGCUCAACAUCAAAUGAUCGACAAGUUAAAAGGGUUUUCAAAAGUGAAUUCAAUCCUUGUCAAAAAUCAUAUUGUAUGAACUUCCUAAUUAAUUUGCACUUGCAUUAGGUUAAUUGAAACUCAUUUGUGUUGUCUUUCUUAUUCUAAUCCUUCUUUCAAGUGUUGUGCAUGUCAUUAACCUCUCUUUCUCUCACUUUGUUGAAAUCCUUUCAAGAAAUAAAUUUUCUCAAGCAUUUAGGGUUUAGUGUACUAUCUAGUGUCUACCAUUACGAAUAUAUGCAAUAUACUAGAACCCAUAGUGCUAUGAAAGUUCAAGAAGCAACUUUUUCAAAAAAAAAAAAAAAAAAAAAAAAGCUCAGGAAGCAAUAAAUUUGUCACGUUACACAACGAGUUUUUUUUUUUUUUUGGUAAUUUUUUCAAAGAUUUUAAUGUAGGAAUGUCAUGAUAAAGAUGCAAACUUGGAUAUCUGUACACUAAACUUGACAUGGUUAUCAAUAAUAUCCUUAGUCAAUUACAUUGGACGAUAUCCAGCAAUCUCAUUAAUAAAGUUUCUUAUUUUACAAAAAAAAAAAAAAAAAGUAUCAAUAAAUUUGAUGUUGGUAUGCAUUGGGGUUGAUUGCAAUCACAGUAGUGAUUAUAGAAUGCAAUUUAUAGUGGGGAUGAACUGAUGCUGAAUUGGAUAAAAUUGAGUUUGGAAUACAAAUCUUAAGUAGGAAAGUUACAACCCGCUGAACGUGAAGUUGUGGAGCCUUGGAGCAAAAUUAAUUUGUCCUCAGAAAACCGAGAAACAGUAUGAAGGGCAUGUGCAUAUCCUAUUUUCUCUUAUUCAUUUUUUCUUUUCCUUUUCUUCAUCAGUUGCAUUUCAUGUAAUUACUUCUCAUAUAUAUAUAUAUAUAUAUAUAUAUAUAUAGACACACACACGCAUAUAUAUAUAUAUAUGUAUGUAUGUAUGUAUGUAUGUAUAUGUAUAUGUAUAUGUAUAUAAUAAUUCACCAUGUGGCCAUAUUUAUUUAUUUUUUUUAACUUCAGUAGAUUUUAAGUAUUUUAUUUUUUUGUAACAAUCCAUUCCAUCUAUUUAUUUUCACCCUUAUUCACCUUUUUUUUUCACUUCCUUAACUAUCUCAACUUUCAGUCAAUUUAUUAAUUUUUUACUUUAUAUACGUUUGUACUUUGUAUUAAUCAUGCUUUAUGAAACCUUUUUAUUAAAAAAAACUAUUUUAUCAAUCUACUCAUUAAUUUUCCAUUUUUUAAUUCUCUUAGAUCACAUUUAAUUUUCUAUUCUUAGUAUUUGGUUUGAUAAUAUAUUAUUAUUACUAAAACUUGGACAAAUUUCAUUCUUUCUAUAAUUCAGUACAUUUAUGAAAAUUUCGAUGGAUCUAUUAAUUCAUAGUUUUGACACAUAUUUUAAACAUUGUUUAGUUCCUCCUCCAAAAGAUUGGUUUAGUUCCUCCAAAAGAUUUGUUAAAUUAGCUAUUUUUCACGUUUUGCAAAGUGGGAGGUCUCUCAAGCGGCCAAGUAGACAAAGUUAAUGUUCCCUGGUGAUUUUUGUUCUCUUUUUUUAAACAAUUAAUUUCAAUCCUUUUUACUUAUCAUAUCUCACACACACACAUAUUAAAAGUUUUUUGGUCAAUUUUUAGUGUUUCCAAUGGUUAGAAGAGGGCACUUAGAGUUUUUCUUGUCGUCAGGUUUAAGAUUCAAAUCUUGUGCAUAGUAGGUAGGGAUGGAAGGGUAAAAAAAAUUUAAGUAUUUUAUUUUUUUGUUAACAAGAAUCACUCCUUUCUUCUUUUUUGCCAACUUCUUUUCCUUAAUUUAAAUGUUGUGUUAACAUUUAAUUUGGGCAGGUAUUAAGUGAUUUAUUUUUGUUCACAAUUCAAAUUUUAAGUGUUUUAUUUUUAUUGACAAUAAUCAAUCCUGUCUUUUUUUUUCAUGUGCUUCUUUUUGUUAAUUUCUGUACUUAUUAUGUUUAAUAUUUAACUUGGCUAGUUUUUUUUGUUAAUUUCAUGUGCUAGUUUUUAAGUAUUUUAAUUUGGGUGAUAAUUCAAAUUUUUAGUUGUUUAUUUUUUUCAACAAGAAUCAAUGCCUAUUCUUUUCCCUUAAUUUCUAUAUUUACUUUGUUUAAUAUUUAAUUUGGGCAGGUCUUUGAGUGCUUUGUUUUGUUCAUACUUCAACUUUUAAGUGUUUUUAUUUCUGAAUAGAUUCAAAAUCAUACGACAAAUUUUCCAAAUCAUGAACACAUAACUAUUCAUUAACUAAUGUGACAAAUUCAAUAAUUUAACUUUGACUUUCAUUCAUAAGGAUCCAUUUCUUUUUUCCUCUGAAACAAAGUUUUACUUAGAGGUGUAUACGAACCGAGUAACUUGCGAGCACGUUUGAUUGUCCAACGAGCCUUAAGUGCAUGUAGAGUAUUAUAUGUUCGAUAGUUCGUCGUGUCUUAUUAAACAUUAAUGUAUAUAUAUUAAAUAAUUAUCUUAUAUUAUAUGACUUAAAAUUGCACAAGUGUUCAGAAUUUAUUGAGAAAUUUCAUUUCUUCUCUUCUGUAGUACAACUAGUUUCAUGGGCAUUAGAUUCAAUUUUAUCCCUUCAAAAAUCUAAAGGAAUACAAAAAUUUCUAGCUUAACGAUCGGACUCAAUCGAGUCGAGUACGAACUCUUUGACAAUCUCAUCAUGUUAAGUUCAAACUGUUAUUAUUUUGCUUGAUCGAUCUCGAGCACAGCUUUAAGAGUUGAACUCAUUUCGGAUCUAUUACACCCCCCUGGCUUCACAUCAAUAUGUUCGUAUUUAUGUCCAGGCCACAACUUGUAUUUUCCUCCUAUUUAUUUUCGUGCCCCACACUUUACACAUAUAUUGCUCCUGCCUCCUCCACCCUCUUACGUGUUCGGCUCCCGUGUCUCCUCCCCGCCGGCAUCUGCAGUUGGAAGCGACUACACUUUCUAAGAAAGAACGAUCCGGUGGCACAGAACGGGGACGUGCAUCACGUACAAAGCCACGUCAAGAUUCAAGAAUCUAUCAAACGUUGGGUCCACGUGAUUAAUUGCUUUUCCACGUAGGACCGUCACCCACGGACACCUUCUGAUUUCUGACAGGGUGCGAGAUUCUCCAGCCGUCUGACGUGUUAACGCCUUAACGCGUAAAGGCGGAGACGCCAAAUUUCACUUGGUACCCUUGAUGUUUGGUAGAACCGUUUUAAAUGUUUCCCACAUGUCACUAAAUUUUGUUAUUUAAAAUCUAUAAAAUUUGGUCUCAACCUAAAUUUUCAAUCACCUCUUACUAUAAAUCUAUCAUGUGACCCCAUAUGAUUAUUUUUUAGAGCAAAGAUUUCAUUUAUAGUUGAAUAAAUGAUUCGAUCCAUAUUCAAUUUUGCGAUCAGAUAAUGAUUGUUUUUUUUUCCUUAAAAAGUGAUAUCUGACCAAGUCCAUAUUCAUUUUUGUCAUUAAAAAAGCCUUUUUGUACUUAAAAAAAUGAUUAUAUGUGGAUCACAUGACAAUUUUAAGCUAAAAGUAGUCAAAAACUUAGAUUAGGACUGAAUUUUGUUAAUUUGCAUUUGCAAGGGAGGCAAAGUUAAUGUUUUAAAAGUCAAACUUUGACAAAAUGUGAUAGACUCGUUUUGAACAAAUUUUUUUCCUGAUGUUUUGACUUUCAUCAAUUUGAACUUGAAACUUUUGUUCCUGAACUUUGUAUAUAUAAGCAAACAAAAGUGCAAUAUCACCGAAAUGCUUGUAGCCAAUAAUAGCUGACAAAAAUUAUUUUGCUUCUUUGCAAAAUAAAAUGCAUGCAAUACUACGUCUCCACACUUAAACUGGCAACCUCUCGAACUCAUUUUGCUUUUGGUUGAUUUUUUUAGAACUAAGCCCAUGCCUGACUAGUAAGUUGAAAGUAUACAUCAUCAAAGUUCUGUAUUUCGAUAUUGAUUUUUUUAGCACCAAGCCCUUGCCUGAGCUAGCAAGUCAAAAGUAUCUUUGAAGUUCUGCAUUUCGAUAUGAAUAUUGGUAGAUAUAUAGUACUCUUUCUGUCUUACAUAAAUGUCAUUUUGUUGAUAUACCAGGAAGCUUACAGUUACACCAGCAUCCUAUUAACUAUCAUCAACCACAACUAAAGCUGUAGUUAACUAAAAUUUGCAGCAAAUGUCCUUUGCAAAAUUGCAGCUUAACUAAGCAACCUAAGUUGUCUCUCGAGUUCUGCGCAUCGCGCCAAGUAGCAUGAUACAUGGCUUUGUUGUUAAAGAUUUUGCAAUUCCUUUCUUUUCAAUGCAUGCGGCACACAACUAGUGAACUUUUUUCAAUAAAAGAAAGGGCAUAACAUUUUUGUAGUACUUUUUCUUUAAGCAAGAAAUGAGUGAAAUUUAAGAAGCAGUGCGAGACAGACCGGACGAUCAUAAUUGCCUACUUAUACAUACAUAUUGAUGCUAAUACAUGCAAUGUAAUAGACCUAUCAAUACAAUAAUGACCCCAAGCACAUUAGAAUUGUCUAACUUUGCAUGAUGAUGUGUUUUGUUCUAAAGAUUGAUAUGUGAUCCCGCUGCAAAAUUGGAUAUGGAUACAACUCAUUGCACAUGAUUAAAAGAAAAAGAUCCUUAGUCAAUUACAUAUGGUACCAGCACCAAUAAUUUUGAUGUGGGUACAGCCAGAUAAUCAGCACAUGCAUCAUGUACAACAAAACCACGUCAAGAAUGUAGCAACAUUUUGGGUCCAUCAGAAUCAUCCCCUUAUCCACCAACCCUAAGGGUCUUCUACUUCUUGAAGGUUCCUGAUAUGGUAUAUUGGUAUGGUGAGAGAUUCAUUGAUGCGCAUUAACAUGUAUUAAUUAAUAAUAAUGAGUAAUCUCCCUUGGCACCCUCAACAUUUUGACCUUGACACUUGAAACUAUUGUUUUUGAAACUUUGUGUAUUAAAUCAACAGUGACUUUUUGCAUCAUAAAGUAUAGGAAACAACAAAAGUCUUCUUAAACGGUCUGUCUGUUAAGAUAUAUUUUAAGUGUUAUAUAUUUAAAAUAUAAGAUUAAUUAGAAAAAGUAAAUAAAUACAAGGGAGAGUAGGUAAGAUUAAAUAGGGAAAGUAUAUAAAUACAAAAGAGGAUAAUAAUUAUUAGUAUGUAUAUAUAUAUAUGAUAGGUUAGGUGAAUGUUAGGUAUGUUAACGGGUGUUCUAAAGAGUACCCGUUAGAAAAACCCUUUCUUAAAAUACAAUUUUGGCAAAGCAUUGGAAAAGAUUUUUUUUUUUUUUAAUUGAGCCCUAUUUUUUAACUAGUAUGAGAAUCCAAAUGGCAAUAGAUUCUGAGAACUUUGAACGCUAAUUGACUACCAACCAAAAGUUUCUUACUCCAAAAUCAUCAAGAUCGGUUCUCCAACUACACUUACUGAAAUUCCUGCUUUGCCAAGCUCAUCCUACUACUUGUGUCUCAUGAACAAUAAGCAGAAAAUAAAUACAAAGAAGAGGGCAUACUAGUACUAAAAGAAACAGAACAAUCUCUAUUUCAGAGACCCGGUUGUGCUUAUUUAAAUGGAUUGCAAACGAUAAGUUAAAGGCAUUCUUGGAUGUUUGUCAUAGAAAGACGUAUUGUUGCAUAACUUAUAGAAAUCUAGAUCCCCAUGUCUAUAGAUUUUUUUUUGCCGCAACGGUAAUAUUUUUAUAAUUUAAUUUAUCCUAUUUUACAGAAAGGAGGAGUCCAAUGAAACUGUGUAAGGGACCAGUAGAUGUACAAAUCCGACUAUACCAAAGGAGUACUCGGACCUAUAGUCCAAACAGAGAUUUAAUCUUUUUUUUUUUUUUUGUGGCUAUUGAGCCAAAACUCGGUGGUUAUAUAGAUUCUUUCUUAGGGAAUUGAAUUUCGGUGGAGUUUCAUGUCACCCUUCAUAUGUUAACAAUCAGCCAUAAACAUGCCUAGACCUUUGAAGCUGUCCUUGUGGUUAUCAUGGCAAGGCCUAAGAGAAGCCUAUUGACAUUGGAUAUUAGAGGUUAAAAGAAAAGAAAUAUUAUGAAUAAUUCAUAUUUUUUUAAAUUGCAUAUUAGUCCUUGAGAAAGAAGGCAAACAUUACAAUGACCGCGUCGCUUGAUUAAUCCAACGUUUGAAAAAUUGUUAUAGACUUGUAAUAAACUUCUCAAGUGAAGUACAUGAAAGGAAAACUUUUUAUCUAGUGAUCCUCCACCUAAUAAAGACUACUUAAUUUGUAGAAAUUUUUGCAUAUGCGGAAAGUGAUCAUUGGUGAAGUUUGUGAUAGACUAAAAAGGAAAAACAUGCAAAUGGUUCUUUUUGAAUGACAUUAACCCGGACAUCCCUAUGUUGACCCGGACACUCCUGUGUUGAUAAAAAAAAAAAAAAGAAUGACAUUAACCCUUUAAAAUUUUAUGAAUGUGAAGGUAGCAAGUUCUAUUGAUUUAUUGAAUUGAUAAAGAAACCUCAUUUUGUAAAACAUUCAAGCCUAAACUUUAUCUGUAAAUAUGAUAUUAUCACUGUGAUUGUAUGGACUGAUUAAUUGUGCAAUUGUUUUAAGGAAAAAAGAUUGAUUGUGACACACAAAUUUCAAUUAAUAAAUAAAAUUUAUUAUGUUUUUAUACAUUACAAUCUUAAUUAUAUACUAACAGUAUAUACACUAUUAUGAUUGGAUAUACGAUAUAUAUACAAAAUUUGAGUUUCAAAAUUUAAAUUCAGAUUAUGUAUAUUAUAUAUCCAUGAUGAAGUCAGUAUAUGGAAAUUAAUCGAUGUUUUUAUACAUUGCAAUAAUAUAUAUAUAAUAUAUAUGUGUGUGUUAAUCUGUGUGUUAGUAGUUAUAUUUAUUCUGUAAGUACGUCCAUUUUAUGUUGCGAUUGAAACUAACAAUUGUACAAACCAUAAACCAUGAAGAACAACCCGAUGAAUCUGCAAUUCACCAAAUCACAAAAACGAAAAAAAACAAAAAGUACUC